rnacentral:lncRNA from 1 species
AACAUAAAAUGUUGCAAAACCAGCAUUAAGUAAUAUAUGCAAUUUUGUACCCCAAGGACUUCCAUGGUAGAUAGAUUCAUGAGGAUAGACAGUAAGUAGAGAUGUAGCGAGACAUGAUCCAACAAACCUAGUAGAACACUCGGAACUCCAGAUAUAUGCAUUCAUAUUAAUUUAAACAAUAAACCGUGCAUGAUUAUAAAAUGCCAUUAAGAUCAUAAAGUAAUACCGCAGUGCUAAUACAUUUUGCAUCAAGAUGGUAUAUUUGAUUGUCUAACAAAAGAUGAAAUGUUAUAUAAACGGAGUAACUUAUAAGUAGCAAAAUGGUGGUACUAAAAUUAAGCAAGUGACCAACUAAUACCAGUAUAAUUUGCAAUUAACAGUGUAAGAUCAAUUCUCUAAAUGUUAAAUGGGGCCUCAUGUUAAAUUAAAUAUACAAGAGCAACUUUAAAAGUUGUCUUCGUGUCUUUCCUCUAUGCAUAUAGUACAGAUAUAACAAGUAGCUCUCCAGAAUUCUGCAUAAACCCAACCAAUUCCCUGUCAAACGUCCCCAUCAUCUCCCUACAAGUCUUAAUGGAUCUAUCCUACUUCCCUCAAGCUUAAAGGACAACCACAGAAGUCAAAUUCAAGCAAGUCAAGCAAAGAAAAGGAUCAAUCAUGAGUCUGCCAAAGAAUACUCUCCAUAUUCCAGUCGGUGCCAUCGUCUAAAAGAAGGCUUGCAGAGCAAACGACCAGACAAGAGUGACCAGUCCAGUCAACCCUUCAGCUGACCAUCAACCCAACUAAUAAUGAUCAUAGACUUCGAGUCUCCCCACCUUCUGUCAAAAUCAACCUAUUCCAGCGUGCAUAUAUUCAGCAUAUCAUCAUUCUUCCCCCUCGGUCUCAUGUUAAUGAUCAUAGGCUUUCCAAUGUUAUCCCAAAAUCAACCUAUUCCGUUUGAGCAUAUAACUAGAGGACUACAAUUGUACAAGCCAUGAAGAAACGGUGGCGCUUAAGUAUCAACCUAUCCAGAAGAUGUAGAACCAGCAUAACUAACGGGCUCUGAGAACAAACAACAAGCAAGAUCAUAUAUCUUAUACCUUCCCUCACAAUUAAGAAUGCAACCUCAAACAUUCUCACACUGUUUGGUCCUUGAUCCUUCAGUGGACGCACAACUGGGACCAAUCUUGAGAAGCCCCUAAGAUUCUCUAGUUGGUUGAAGAGGAUUGACCUACCUAGUUGGUUUGACUAUUGGCCUGGUGCUCUUCCAAUGAAUUCAGAAGAAGGAACCUCCCCCACCCCCCAACAAGAAGUUUGACCAAUUGACCGUGUGGAAUGAACAUCACCUUCAUUACUCAAACAAGAAGCCAAUUUGUGUAACAUGUGCAGUAAGCAAAGGUUUGAAACUUCUGGGAUCCUGGACGCUGGUUGACCAUGCUAAAAUCAUAUAAAAUUAGUAGAAACAACCUCGAUCUGUUCUCUCUUGGGGCACUUUUACCCAGCAUAGAGAGUUUUCUCAUGGAUUGUCGUCAGAAAGGUACGUCAAUUGACUAAUCAGGAGAAAACAUUAGAUUUUUCUGAGGUAUGUCCCAAUCAAUCAAACAGAUGGAUCCUGUGGUUUUUUCCAGGGAAAAUCAGUUGUUGACUACUUGGAGGAGCUACCGCAUCAAUCUACUGUAUGUGAACUUCCAUGUUUCUACCAACUAGAGGCAAAGGAUAGUUCCAUUUCUAACACACUAGUCACCUAUAUGGUUACAAAAUUAACUCAAUCUAGCAUGUUUGGGUCACACGUCCAGCUUGAUAACACCGAAAAUGCAUCUCGCGCAGAUUAGUGCCCAUUUAACGAACUAUGAGUAAGCCACAUCCAGCUAUGAGGCAGUGUAAAAUUAGCAACAAAACGCAACAGUAAGUAACCCCCACGCGGCAUAUCAAAACCACGAGAUCAACCCGAAAUGGAGGUGCUAUCUCGAAGCCAACGGCGAAAUGCUCUGAACGGAAACCCUAAACAGAUCGAAUUGGCUCGAACCAACACAAAUCCCCUACUAAUUCGUCAACUAUACCUCACUCAGGCAAAACCCACCGCGGAACCCAUCUCAUAGCGGAAACGAUAGAGAAACCCAAACCGGAAACCGCUCAUGAACCCCACCUUUAUCCUCCCAGACCAUCGAAUCAACCCCAAAAUAACCAAUUAAAAAAAAACACCCAAAGGAGCACGACAAUUCAGCAAAAUCAGUACUGCUCCGGCACAUAAGGCACAGAAUCCGACGAGGUACGAGGAUGGGAGCUCUCACCUCCUCCGAUCUGCACAACCAGCCCGAUGCCCUGAUCCAGCUCGCUCCACCAAUCUCCUUCUCGCUUUUCCUUCCCUCCUCUCUCUCUCUCUCUCUCUAACUUUGCUUCUCUCUGUGUUCUGGUUCUCGUGUCCUAAUCCCUUUCUCCUCUUCCCUUUGCGGAACCCCCCUCCUCUUUUCGCGUGCGCCGAUAAAAUUAAUAUCUCAGCAAAGAGAGAAAGAGAAAUAAAUAAACCCAAAGGCACCACGGGCUUUAUAUACCCCCCCGUCCACGAGCCCCGCCUGACGCCGUCACGGCCACGUCUCUGCAGUCAGCGCUCCCGCGUCGCGACCGCGCCUCCUCACGCCGUUAGGACGGGACGCCUCCCCGCCGUCGGAUCGCAGCCGGACGGACGGACGGCUGAGACGCCUCGACGCGAGGUCACGUGCGGCGCGCGGCCGAGGUGCCACGGCAGGCGUGACGAGCGGGGGCGGAAGGACACGCGGUCGCGCGUUUGACCUCACGCGGAGGGAGGUUUGAAAUCCCUGCGGACCGUGCGAUCGUGAUCGGAAGGAUUAAAAUUAUUUUUGGGCUCCGUCUGAUGGGCCUGGGCCUGGGGGGAAGAUAAGAUGGUGACGUGGGCCCACGCGUGGUGUGGGGACCACUACGAGGAAGGCGACGAAGGGUGAGGCGAUGGAUGAUGUGCGCUUCGCUUUAAUUUGCCUGGGUGUUUUCCAUUUCGAUGAGGGAAUGUGAUGCCUCUUUUUUCCCCUUUGUUAAGAAAUCUGAUAGGCGCACAACUUAACCUUUUCUUUUUGGGGUAAUCUUUUUACUUUAAAGUUCAAUGCUCGAUCUCAAUUUAUCUAGGAAAGUGUUUCUUUGGAAUGUCACAUCUAAAAUUGCUACCACCAUUUCAAGAUACUAUAUCAAUGUUCAAACCCAUGGUAAGAAGAAUGUCAACUCACGUCUCGCGGGAUAAAGUUUUUAAGGUCGUUGUUUAAAAUGAGUAAAUGACAUAAUUGUUUCAAGCUUUUUUUUACAACAUCAAAAAAUUAUGACACAAAAAUUUAGAUCAAAAUUUUAAUCUACAUGUAAAAAAACUAAAAGGAUAAAUCAACUAUGAAUAUUAAACCAAAAUAAAUAGUGCUCAGGUGCUAUCCGAACUCCAUUUGUCCAACAACAUAUACUUUUAGAAUUCAUCUUCGGUAAAAAAAUGUUCAACAAAAUGCCAAAUUGAUGAAAUUGGAUCAAUAUAUUGAAAUAAGAAAUCGUUCAACAACAUCUGUUUGUAUCAGACGAUUCACACAGAUAGACUAACCUUCGGUCAAAAUUAGAUCUUGAACAUUAUAUUUUAUAUAUAAAGAUGGUGGGAGUAUUAUUCAUGGAUGUUGUUUUAUUGUUUGAUGGGCCAAGCAAAUUUAAAUUUGAAAUUGUAUGUCAUAUUAGAUACACCAGCAUGUUAAUGUUUUCAAAUUUUCAUAAUUAAUUAGUCAUAGUUAUUCAAUGGUGAACUAAGUUCUUAUCGCAUGAGCGAUUAUUAGACAACAAGUUAGAAACCGAAAACUAUUAAGACCUAAGUAUUCCCUUCCUCUAAAAUAGUUGGGCAUGUUUUGGUUUAUUAACCUUCACAACAACAAAAAUGCUCUACUAUUUUGUGGUUAUGUAAUAAAAAAUCUUUUGAAUAUGAAACUCUAUUACUCCCUCCGUCCCGUAUUAAGUGACCCAAAUUUGUUUAAAUAUAUACAUAUCUAUAUACUAAAAUACGUCUAAAUACAUGUAAUAUUUCGGCACUCAAUAUAGGGCGGAAGGAGUACAUACAUAUAUAUUAUAACAAUGUGAUCGACAUUUAAACCGUUUCUUAACUGAAAAAAAGCAUCCCAUAAUUUAGACGCACGCAUCUUAAAAACUGCUAUGAAGUGAUUUUGUAGGUCUGAAAUCUGAAUAGAACAAGAAUGCAGGCUUCUGGAAGAACACUAGGCACGAGGCAAAUUUGAUGCGACGUACUACCCAGCUGCGAAUGGGCCGCACUCCAUGAGCCCCCUGGGGCCCGUCUGAUUGGAGCCUAGUGGGCUUAUUUUACUGGACGAGGAGGCCGCUACGUCGUCCCUACGCAGAUUCGUCGAGCUUUGAGAGGACACUUCGGCUUUCCGAAGUGCUGUCACACCAAGGUUUAACUAGCUUGCACUUUGCAGUGUCAUCCUCUUGUCUCGUAGCUGAAAGAUUCAUCAUCGAUUAUAGUACAGCUCUCCUCUCAACCCCUAGGAGUAUAUAUAUCAUAUAAUGAUUGCAAGUAUGGUGUGUUUCUUUAGUUAAGAAAACAGAUUGAUGAAUCUUAUCGUUAUGUCAAAAUCUGUGAUGAAAAUGAAGGAUCCUGUGGCGCUUUUGAGUAUUUUGUCUUCGCUCCGUUUCACCUGUGAUGUCGCACAAAAAUAUUGCCCGAGUACUCUCGCUGAUAGUAUCUGUAAUAGGGCCGGUAGAUCGUUUUGGGGCCUUUUGGCCAGAACACCGUGCUAGAAACGAUGUUGAGAACUGGGGAGUGUACAUUUCUCAGUCGACCUAGAAAUAGUUAUUUCGCAGUCGACGAUCAUAACCAUUCAAUUAAGAUUUUCUCAACAUUUCAUAAUUAUAUGAAUCUUGCACGAAUGUCAGCGAUCGGAUCGGAUGGUUGUUAGCGUCGACUUAGAAAUAGUUAUUUCUCAGUCAUCUUGAAAAUAGCAAAACCGUAAGAACUGAUGUUUUAUUUGUCUGAUAAUAAAUGGAACUUGUCACAGGCGUACUCUAAAUACUCACUUCAUCCUGGCUACAGAAUUCAAGGCCAAAUUAUUAGUAGAUUGGAUCGAUGGUGACUAAUUUGCGCCUUUGAGAUAUUUUAGGAAUUUAUCUCGACCGGGCCCUGAAUAUUCAACAAUUGGUGGGUGCGCAAGGUGCAGCCGUGCAAAACAUGUUUGAAGUAAUGAAAUGGAGCCAAAUAGUAUUGGAGCUACGAUACAUUAUCCUGAUUAAAAACGAUCGAUUACUCGUUAAUUGAAAAUGGAACAGAUUCCAUCCAUCAUAUGCAUGUAGCCAAAUCAGCGUAGUAUGUUGGUUGGCAUCAUGGGAUGGAUGGCAGGGCACUCAUGCAGGCGGAGAACAUGAGACCUGCGUGCGCGCGAGGGUUUUGCCAUCCAUGAUUGCGUCCGCUCUGCGUGGCCCAUGCACGUGAAACCAUUAUCCCUAGCUAGCUCGGUCCAACGGCCAGUAGCUCACCGUGAUCAUGUGGGUACGUACGUGUCGAUCAAAUGACUUCCAUUUACGGAUUCACCUACACACGUUCGUCCUCCUCAUUCGAAUUUGCGCACGUUUUUGUCCGAUCAAUGACUUUUAUACUUCCUCAGACGUGAAUUUGUAAUAUAAAGAAAAAUUAAUACAAAUUCACGUCACUUGUUUCUGGCAUUUAAGAAAAAAAUAAUUAUACAAAUUCAUGUCAUUUAUUUCUAACAUUUAAGAAAAGGAGGGCGAUCAAUGUUAUACGUGUCCAUGCGUGACAUUCUGAUCUGAUGAGAAUUGGCCUGGUCUGGUGCGGCCGAUCUGCAGCGACAGCAACAGAAGCUAUGGCUAACGUAGCGUGCACACCGACCCGGGAUCGAUCAAAAUCACUCGGUCUGGAUUUGGGAGAUGACGCCAGCGCGCGCGCAUCUCAACCAACGUGCGGCGGAGGAGGCCAGGUGCUUUUGAUUAGCUGUGGCCGGCUCAGCGCACGCGCGCGCGUGAGGCAGAUGUGAACCUGCCUGGGCGUGUGAACGCCGAUCAGAGCCGGCCGGCCGGCUCGUCGUUGGCUUUUAAGCCCGAUCGAACGCACAUACGUCCUCUUGGGUGGACUCCGGUCAAGAUCGCACGGAAGCUCGUGCCGAUCACCACAGUACUUACGUUUAUUAUUGGUUUGCACUUUGAAGGGUUCAAGUCUUCAAGCUAGCGUACGUGUACUCCACGUGCUGGAAUUAAUUGAUUAAUGUGCGCACGUGCGUGCUGGGAGGGUAUGGACGGACUCGUGAAUCGUGAUGGUUAAUCCAGAACCAUAUGCUCUUGGUGCAACUAAAAUUAAUUUGGCGCGUCUACCUAUGGCUGCGUGGUGGUUUUGAUUCCUUCGUAUCCUGUCCUCCUUCUACGCAACUGCGGUCUGUCGAGAGAGGAGGGACACCAGAUCGAUCAGAGUACUGGGCAAAUUGUUUCUUUUAUCAAGAGGAGAGAUGCACUUGGGGUGUCCCUGGAGCGCGUGUGCGUGUUUGGUGGUCAUCUUUUUUUUUUAUUUUCCAGAAUCUCUGGGGUUUUUGUUUUGAGCGAAUUUCAUUUAAGAAUCUCUGGUGAUCAAACUUUUGGUUGUUUAUUAUGCCAAGUGGGUGCGUCUGAGCAAGGUAGUACGCACUGGGCCAUCGUAGGGUCCAAGGGUCCAAAGGCUCGGGUCACUCCCUGGCUGCAAAUUGCAUUAUGGGCAGAUUACAGCUGGGCCACCCCAAAGCUAAUGGGCUGUAAUAGUCGUGUUGAUUAGGCCCUGGUCGCUUUCUGGCCGCAGAUUGCAUUUCAGGCAAGUCGCUUUGGGCUACCCCAAGCUGAUGGGCUGUGGUAGGCCGUGCUGAGUGUCACAAGUUCAUCAGAUCCCUUCUCAUUUUCUCAGUGCUCAUGAUAAGAUUGUGAUUGAAAAGAAGAACACACCACCAUUUCUCUCUCUCUCUCUUUUCUUUUUCUUUUUUGCAGACAGUGCGCGCGCAAAAAGAAUCGCUGCGCAUCUCGGUGGCUGCAGAUCAUGCCCAAAUUCGUGGCUUUUCCAGCCGCGAGUUUGGUGGUGCCAUGUACUGGUGCAUUUACCUAGACCUGUUCUUUCUGUGAAUUUUUUCCCCCUCUCCAAAGGCCUCGAGUGUGGCCAGAUUUCACUAGCUGCGUUUGCGGAUUUCUUCGAUUUUUGUGGCCAAUGCAGCCGCGCAUUCGGUUCUUUGUCGUGGAAGCCCCCUUAUUUCUGUUCCUUGGACCAUCUUGAGGUUUCGAUUUCUGCAAGGCCAGCACUGCCAUUCCUUGAUGCGAAUUUGGACGGCGCGUUCAGAUUGGGAAUCAGCCUCCGAUAAGGCGCCAAUCUGGAAUUUGUGUCAAAACCUUUGGGCUAAACCAGUGGAUUCCGUCGACUAAUUGCUUUGAGGCGGCCGAGGAUUUAUCGUCCCUCACCACAAAUCUCGUUCUUUCAAUUGCAAAUGUGCAAUUCAGGGGUCGUCCGCAUUGUGAUGGCAGGGCUGGUGUAGAAGGGGCAAGGAAGAUGAGGCACUGUACGAGAGAAUGGCUCCUCGCGCCGUGCAUCAUCUCCGUGCUGAUCUUGGCACCAGCAGUCUGCCAAGGAUUGCUAUUUGGCGCAGCUGACAUGUCACCGCCUGCGCUGACGCCACCCUUCAUCAAGCAAGUAGACGACUGGGUGAGUAUACUUUCGAUGUAUUCCAUUGCAUUCGUUAGUACUCUCUCCGUUUAUUAAUGGGCACCAUUGUACUAAAUCCGCGUCAAUUAAUAUGGAACGGAGGGAGUACCAAUAGACUGUUACUGUGUUACAACAAUGAUGAUUGAUAUCAAGGUUUUGGGUACCGGUGAGACUUAUUUUUAUGAACGUUUACCUGGGGCACACGUAAGUCAUGCCAUUUGCCAGAACCCUGGGUGUUAUUGCAUAGUUUGUAAUCAGCAAAGUAGUUUAGUUCAGGUCAUCUUAUGAAGUGAUUAUCAACACCUGCAGGCACCAGAGGUAGCUUAGCCUAGCCUUGUUUGUUCUCCUGUUCCUCUGUUUGCUUUUGUUUUCUGUUUUGUAGGUUUAGUUUGCCUAGGUUUUGGUUUUUGGCAUUUGGCUGUUGUUUUGUUUUGCUUAGCCUUGUAAGCUUUGCUGCGUUCUUGGUGUUCUUCUUAUAACAGAACAAAAGAGAGACACGUUUUUGUACAUGUUCAAGAAAAAAAAUGAAGUGGUUAUUAGACACUAUCGAUCUAGUGGGACUAACUUCAGCCUGGCACUCAGGCCUGCUGGCACUUGAUGAAUUAAAUCAUUGCUACUCCCUCUGUUCCUUUUUGUAAGAAGAUGUUCCGGUUUUGUUCUAAGUCAAACUUCUCAUUGUUUGACCAAGCUUAUACUUUAUAGAAAGAUAUACUAAUAUAAUAAGUAUACUACGAAGAUGAUAUCAUAACAGAUUUUAUAAAACUAACUUAGAGUUGUAAACGUUGUUAGAUUUUUGUAUAAACAUGGUAAAAUUUUAAGAAGUUUGACUUAUGACUAAGCUAGAACAUCUUGUAAAAAGGAAUGAGGGAGUAGUUUCCAAGUGGUGAUUCUAUUCUAUGGCAAUUCAUGGUACUUCCUCCAUCCAACAAAGGAUGUCUCAACUUUGACUAAAUUUGAAUGCAUCUAUACACUAAGGCAUGUCUAAAUACAUCCAAAUUUUGACAAACUUGAGACAUCUUUUGUUGGACGGAGGGAGUACUUCAUUUUUUACUGGUUAUUUUUCAUGUACUGACAAGGGUGACCUGAUUACGUACAGGUAGAACACGCAUGGCUCAAGUGUGGUUUAGACAAGAAAAGUCUUCAAGAUGUGAGAAGCUACUACAACUACGCCCAUGUACUUGAAAUUCUCCGUAGGAUAUCUGCAAAAGACAAUAAGGACAGCUCCCCAGUCAUUGAGCAAGACACCAGUCCAUUGACACCAGUUAUCAAGCUCACUUUGCUGAACUGUUUAAGCAAGCAGAGUUUUGAGGUCGAAAAAAACUUGCCCGCUGGUUAUAUCAAAACACUUAUCGCCUCAAUAAGAAAAGAUCUGACUCUUGGACCUGCCCCAAAAAAUGAAGCAGUAGAAACCACCCCUGGGACAACUAUGCCAAAACCAGCAGAGAAACCAACUGCCAGCAUUUCAUCACAAACAACUCCUACUGAAAAGGCAGUACCCACAACUAAAUCGGCUGUGAAAAAGGACAAUGAUGGCAUGCCAACUGCUGUUGUCAUUGGUCUGUCCGUGGCUGGUAUCGCACUUUUAGCUGUUCUCUUCUUGCGCUGCCGUGAACAGGGUUCCGCAUAUGAUGAUAAGCCACUUCUGAAUCUGAGUAAUGUAUCUGGCAUUGGUAUACCCAAUUUGUUCCAAGACACGGUAUUCCUUUUCUUCUUGUGCUGAUUUUUGUGCUUUUAUGCAGCUGGUUCUCUAAACUCUUCCCAAGCAAAUCCAAUAGAUGUCAAUAAGCUGGGGGCAUUGUCAUUGAUGCCAGAGGCUGGUCAAAGUGUCCAUGUGAAUCACAGCUCACAGGAAGACGCAGACACUGAUCAAAAUGGCCAUGUGAAUCAAAGCUCACAGGAAGGCGCAAAUGCUGAUCAAAAUGGCCAUGUGAAUCAAAGCUCACAGGAAGGUGCAAAUGCUUAUCAAAGUGACCAUGUGAAAUUAAGCCCACAGGAAGGCGCAAACACUGUUCAAAACGGAUAUGUGAAACUAAACCCACAGGAAAGCACAAACACUGGUCCAAACAACCAUAUGAAACUAAGCUCACAGGAAGGUGCAAACACUGGUCAAAAUAGCCAUGUGAAACUAAUCUCACAGGAAAGCGCAAACACUGAUCCAGCAGUUUACAACAGUUCAGCUGAGCCGAUGGCUGCUUUUGUCAUUUCUGUGCAAGGAUCAACACCAAUGCCUCCAUCAGUGAUGUUACCUCCAGCACCUCCACCUCCAAAGGCUCCUCCAUCAAAUCUUCAAGCACCUGCACCACCUCCAAAAGCUUCUCCAGUUCCUCCAUCGGGACCCUCACCACCUCCAGCUCCACAAACUUCCCAGGUUCCUCCAUCAGGACCCUCAUCACCAACUGCUCCAAAAGCUGCACCUCCGCUGCCACCAUCAAAAUCUGCUGGACCUCGACCACCAGCGAUGCCUGGUUCCAAAACGCGUCCACCACCACCUAUGAAGAAGUCAGGCAAUAAGGCAGACACUGAUGCAGGUUCUAGUGAAGCUAAAACAAAGCUUAAGCCCUUCUUUUGGGAUAAAGUAACAGCAAACGCUAACCAAUCAAUGGUGUGGGAUCACCUUAAAGCCGGAUCAUUCCAGUAAGUUUGUAGAGGCAAUUGCAGCUGUCUAUCUUAACUUGCUAUUCUGAGAUUACAUGAGUUAUAACUAACUGAUACUUCUUUACAGGUUUAGUGAGAAUGCUAUUGAAACCCUUUUUGGUUUGAGCUCUGACAAGAAGGGCAGUGAUGUCAAAAAGGAUACAUCAAAGGAGGCCUCCCAACUUGUGAGGAUACUUGAGCCUAAAAAGGCACAGAACCUGGCCAUAUCAUUGAAGGCGUUAAGUGUCUCCUCUGCGGAAGUAUGUAGUGCAGUUAAGGAAGGUAAAGUGUAUUGUCACUCUGUACUUUGCAAGUGGCAAGUGCAUACUUCUUCCUAGAUGGAAUGCUGCUCCUUUUUAUUCUUACUGUAGCAGAUAUGUCGAUGCUGAUACCUGAAAUACUUAUUGAGCUUCUGCUUUAUUUUUUCGCGUAAUAAUAUUUCUGCCAUGAAAUGCUAUUCGUAUCAUCAGUUUCUUCACAGUCAGGAAUUAACUAUUCUUCUGUUUUAGGGGCAAUCAAUCACUUAAAAUGUGUUUCCCAAUUAUUAUUUUCCCGAAGCAAAUAAUACAGAAAUUCUGCUAAAGUGACAUGAGUCGUGUCUUCUACUUCAACUGCGAUUCUAACAAAUAGGAAAUUGGGCAAGACUAUCCAGCUAGUAGGUUGCAUGCAAGGGAUGUCACAUUUUCAUUUUGUUCUAGUGUUAACAACUCUGUACAUCUGGUAUCCAUCUUUCUCAAACCUAAGUUCAUGUGCUUCUCUUUAUCGAAAAUAGUCCAUGUGCUUCUGAGUUCUGAUCAUUGUAUUUCAACAUGCUGAAAAAUUGAAAUCCUAUUUCCCGAUGUCAUAUGUCAUUUUUAUCUAUUUCCCUUGAUAUUUUUAUAGGAAACGAACUUCCGUCGGACUUGAUACAGACCUUAAUCAGAUGGGUCCCGAGUAAUGAUGAGGAGCUCAAGCUUCGACUAUAUACUGGGGAGUUCUCACAGCUUGGUCCUGCAGAACAAUUCUUAAAAGCAAUCAUUGACAUUCCUUAUGUCUACCAGCGUCUAGAGGCAUUACUUUUCAUGGACAAUUUACCAGAGGAAGCUUCAAAUGUAAAGCAAUCUUUUGCCACUUUAGAGGUAAUAUCAUAGCCUUUAUGACCUGUCGACUUCUACUCUACUAUACUCUUUCUUACCCUUGAUGUUUUUAUCAGUAUUCAUAUAUCUGCUAUCUUGAUAUUUAAAUCCUGAUCAGGUUGCUUGUGAGGAGCUUAGGAACAGCCGUCUUUUCUUCAAGUUACUAGAAGCUGUCCUUAAAACAGGGAAUCGUAUGAAUGUUGGCACAUUCCGUGGAGGAGCUCAGGCAUUCAAACUAGACACUCUUCUUAAGCUGUCUGAUGUCAAAGGAACUGAUGGGAAAACAACACUGUUGCAUUUUGUUGUUCAAGAGAUUAUCCGUUCUGAAGGUGUUCGUGCUGCACGGGCUGCAAAAGAGCAGACCAGCACCGUAUCCAGUAGGAACACCAAUGAUCCUGCCGAUGACAAUAACGAAAAAACUGAAGAAGAAUAUAAACAGCUUGGUCUGCAAGUUGUGUCCAGAUUGGGAGAUGAACUUCAAAAUGUUCGCAAGGCCUCAAUCCUUGAUGCAGAUCAAUUGACUAUGUCAGUGGCAAGUCUUAGCCACAAGCUUGGCAAAACCAAUGAAUUCUUGAGCACAAGCAUGAAAAGUUUAGACGAAAACAGUGGGUUUCACCGCAAGCUUGUGCAUUUCAUAGAGCAGGCUCAAUCUGAAGUCAAUUUCUUGCUAGAGCAAGAGAAGAAAAUACAAACCUUGGUAAAAACUACUGUUGAUUAUUUCCAUGGGAGCACAGGAAAGGAUGAGGGUCUCCGGUUAUUUAUUGUAGUGCGAGAUUUUCUCGCGAUGCUAGACAAGGUGUGCAAAGAGGUGAAAGAAGCAUCAAAAGUAGCUCCCAAGAAAACAAAGACCGGAGGUAAUCUGCCUUCCCAACCACCUAAGUCCUUUCAAGAUCCCCGGCGUAAUCUUUUCCAAGCUAUUCAAGACCGGAGGGCAGAUAGCUCAAGCUCUAGUUCUGAUGACGAAAGUUAACUCCAUAUGAAGGUACCUAACAUGAUGCCCUUCCAUAGCAUUAGUUAGAGAGAAAGUUGACAAAGAAAUGAUAAUGUGUGCCUGUUUUCCUGUCAUCUGUUGUAGCACCAUAACCAAAUUGCUGAAAUAGGAUGGUCAUCUUCGGCCUGACCAAGUAUUCUUCACAAGAGUAGUUGUAGUACUUCCACUCCUAUCAAGCAAAUUGAGAUGCCACAGACGAGGUGCCAACUUGAAAGUCUGGAAUUGGCCAUCGAAGGAAGGGGAAAAGAAAACUGACAUCUUUAGUUAGAGCAGGUAUAACAGGGAGGAAGUAGUCUGGCUGACUGUUAGUCUGUUACACUUACGCUACCUGCUGGUUCUUGAUUGUAAAUUUGUACUAACACAGCAAGAUACUAGUAGAAAGGAAGAAGACAUGCUCCACACAAGCUCAUAAACCUCGGAUUCUUUUGUUUGCACUUCACAAUACUUUUGCAAAGAGAAUAAGAUGUUAAAAGUGUCAGGCUUUUAGCUGAAACAUCCUGUGUAAAUUCUGGCAGAUUUUGAGUGCUAUAUGCGAAGUGGUGACAAUUUAAGAGCAGGUUCGUACUGCUGUCGUCGGUAUCUUUUUCUCAGCCUGUAUUGGUAUUUCUGAACCGUUUGUGUCUCUGUGCCUCUGGCAGUUCGGUUCACUGACGCGUCAGGCAAAAACUGGGUAAUCCUAAUUUGCUUGCAUGUGCCAUUUGGUGCUCCUAUGACCAAGUGCGUACUGUUUCGUUCGCCAAGCCAUUCUACGACGAAUCUAAUCUAAUCGCAGCUAGUGUUAGGAGCUCCUUUUUUUCAGCUUCCCGCCUUGACACUCUUUCGAAAUCGCUGGGCACGUGAAUACUUGUCCCAAAAUUCAUAAGUGCCCGCCCAAAACUUUUGUAUCUUCGCAUCCCAAAUCCGAAAUCUUCUACACUUGAUCCAACAACCACGUUUGGACCAGCAUACGAUGAUCAAACACAAAGAUAGAAACACCAGACGAUUGGCCUCACGAUUCACGAACCAAGCUAAACGCCUUACUCGAACGAUGCUAACCUCAGAUAGUCAGAUGGUUUCCCGGCCAAUUCGAAUUUUUCCGCCAUUUUUUUAGAUAACCUUUAAGCCAUGAAUCAGUGAACACAUUCAACAAUUUAGCCAUGAAUCACUGAACACAUUCAACAAUUUCGCCAUGAAUAUUUUCUCAGCCGACCCAAUACCAAACAACAGAGAGAAGAGUCAACAAGGCAUCCAAAGAUGCAACUUUUAUAAAACGUAGGGAUGAACUCAGAUCAGCUAAUCCUUGUCCACACAAGAGCACAUCUAAGUUUAGCACCGGUACAAACACAGAUUCAGAAGCUAAUAGUAACAUCCUAGUAGAACGCAACACCUAGGCACACGCAACUACACAGUGAUACAGCCAGCAGCAUCCACGACGCGGAGAGGAGUCAGGAUCUAGCUAUCGUCAUCGGCAGCCGCGGACUUGGCGCUGCCUCCGGCCUUCUUGGGCAGCAGAAGGUUGUGGAUGUUGGGCAUGACACCGCCGCUGGCGAUGGUGACCAUUCCGAGCAGGCGGGAGAGCUCCUCGUCGUUGCGGACGGCGAGCUGGAUGUGGCGUGGGACGAUACGGGUCUUCUUGUUGUCCCUCGCGGCGUUUCCGGCCAACUCGAGAACCUGCACGAACGAGAGAUUCGCAACGGUUAAUCCAAAAUUCCACUUAAACUUGGAGCCAAAUUAGCAAAUUAAACUUCUCCAGAAUUUCGACGAAACCCCAAAUUUCCCCAAGAGGGAACCCUAGGACUCAUCCCCAAUUUCUCCAACCACCUCAGACGAGACCAAAUGACCGCCGACGCUCAAAUUGACAACCCAGAACAACAAAUCAAGCAUCGGAAACCAAAAUUCCACUCACCUCAGCAGCGAGAUACUCGAGCACGGCAGCGAGGUAGACGGGGGCACCGGCGCCGACCCUCUCGGCGUACUUGCCGGCCUUGAGGAACCUUGCGAUCCUGCCGACGGGGAACUGGAGCCCGGCCUUGGAGCUCCUCGAGAUGGCCUUCUUGGCGGCGCCCGAGCCGAUCGCCUUGCCCCUCCCGGCCAUGGCUACAGUGUUCCGACGGGAAGAAUCUGCGCGGCUGUGGAAGCGAAGCGCGGUACGAAGUGCGGAGGCUUGGCUGGUGGGCAAGAGGAGGUUGGUGGGAUUGGGAUUUAUAGCAGAGGCGAGCCAAUGCCGGGGAAGUACGCGGAUCGGUGACGUGGCGACGAGGGCGGGGUCAGGGGGUAAGAUCCUGACCGUCGGAUGAGGUGAGCCGCGGUUGGUUUUUCGGGUUUGCCGCGCAGCGUUUCGGCGGUCAGUCGUGGUCCCAUUCGCUCUACCUCUGCGGGCUGUGGGCCGCGAGGCUCGGGGCUUUUGUCGGGUGUGACGUUUUUCUAUUUACCGCGCUCCUGUACGGCCGGUGUAGUUUGGCAGAAAAGUGUAAAAUGUUUAGUUAAAAAACAAAGCUUGCACUAUUUGGUGCAACUCAGUGCGAAGAAUUAGGUUUUCUUAUGUAAAUAUGACAGGCAAAGUUUCGUCAUGUGAUUUCGUAAAACUUGUCUGAAAUUAUAAAUCGAUAAAGAAUACACGGCACAAAUUGGCACAUGUGUGAAGGUACGACACGCCAGUGCUCGGUCUAAGAGAUAAAUGGGUGGACAAGUUGCACCAACCUUACCAACGAGCCAUGACUCAGUUUACCCGCACAUAACAGAUGUGUUGUGUAGUCUUAUUUCGUCUUAAUUACCCUCUCUCUUUUACUAUAACCUUUAGAAGGACUGUGAAAAAAAAAUCAUGCAACCUAUAUUGUUGUAAGAUUGUCAUCACAAGUUUGUCUAAUGGCUCGAAAUGACCUUUGAUCUUAACAGAACUUAGACCGUUAGGUAAACUAGUUUGUCCAAACAAAUGGAUCAGAAUGCGCGUGUGAUUGCAACAUCAAAUCAACUCCGAUGUAAUUUGAAUUUAGGAAAAAUGGAUCAAAAUGUCCAUGUGACCGGAUAAGUAUGGUAGGCCUCGUAGUGUUUUAGCGCGGGGCAGGGUGUGUUCAGUGCAUGUCGAACACAUAUGGUCUGCAUGCAUACCUCACUCCUUGCACACCAUAUUUACUUUUUUUUUUCUAGAAUGCGUUGAGAACACAUAUGCAAUAUAGGAAAAUGUUUUUUUUCCGGGUGAAUGCAGCAAAAUGUUACAAAUGAUUACAUUAUGUAGUUGAGGAUUAGCCCUAGGUUUCCUACUUGAGCCUAGUUUAGCCCUACCGCUACCGCUUUGCACAAUCCUGGAUCUGCCACUGUUGGCAUGUUGAAAAUCGGUAUGGUCGGCUAGGGGUGAACAGGUGACUAACAAAUUUUACUUUUUGUUUUUCUUUUCUUGAAAGAUACAAAGCACUUAAUUCUAGGGUUUGCUAGAUUUUCUAAAGUGAACGCAACCCUAGUAUGAAAUGCAAUAACCACACGUGAAGACGAAGAUUUCAUCGGAGUUCCACCUAUUGGAGUCGGUGUACGUCUCCGUUUGGAGGAGUUCUCUACCACAAAGGUACAGACGCCACGAAAGCUCACUCUAUUCUCCACCUCACCACACCACAAAAGUGGGAUGAGCUCUCACAACACCACAAAGGUGAGGUGAGUUUCACUAGUGGCUUCUUUGAUAAUGAACGCCGAACUCAUAAUAACUUGACCGAGGCAAACUCCACAACUCAAUCGGAGGCUCCCAAUCCAAGCCCCGAGCACUCAAUCACAAAGGGAGAGCUUGAGGUGACUACUUCCGUUUAGGGUUCCCAACAACCCAAGAGAAACGAAAUCCACGAAGACAACAAGGGGAAUCAACUUUUUUUACUUGGUGAAACCCUAGAUGUCAAUCUUCUCCUCCAAAUCUCAAAGUAUUUGCUUGGGGGAACAACUAUGGAGGGAGAUCGAGGGAAAUGAAGUUCUUGUGUUCUUGAGGAGAGAGAGUGGGUGUUCUUGGCUAAAAAUCGAGGAAAAGACCCGUUGAGGACGAAAGGGUUUUUAUAUGGGUCCCCAAAAACGAACCGUUAUGCACUGCGCAGAGACAGGCCGGAACUUCCGCAUAUUACCAAAAGUUCCGCUAAAUAAUCGGAACUUCCGCAUUUUUCCCGAAAGUAACAGAGAGCACCUGGAAGUUGGGGCGGAAGUUCCGGUCAGAACUUCCGCCACAUGUACUGCAGUAGUCCAAAAACAAGUUUGAAUUUGGUUUAUCUCUCUUACUCUUUUUGGGGUAGACUUUUUAGUGGGUGCAAUUUAUGUAGUUGUGUACGUGAAAUCGAUUCACGCAAUACCUUCCCUUGUGGAUUCUCUCUUAAUAGUACCGAUGUCCUACGACUCAAAUCAAAUUAAAAAAGCCGCUAACACCGCUACGCUUCUUAGCAUCUUGAGGGUCCACACCAUCGUCUUGCGCCAAUUCCUUUAUAAAAUCUGAAACACUUGACACACGAUUAGAUACACUACAUGUUGCCAUCACCACCAAAACCACUUAGGAGAGAAAUGCCCUUUCACAUAUGUCGAUUAAUAUAUUUUCAAAGGCAUCUUUGUGUUAAAAUAGAGCAACUUUGACUCAUUUUUUGGCAACAUGACUCAUCUAAUCACAAAAUUCGCUCCAAUGCCUUCUAGCAGACAAUUGCGACUAUGUACUAACUACUUUGUCUCAUGUGUUGACAACUUUCGCUCCACUGCAACACUGCGUAUAAGUUUAGCUCAUUUAUUGACAGCUUUCAUUCCAUUUCACACAACUUUAGCUUAGCUCAUGUUGUAUUUUCUUACUCGAUUGCGGGUAACUAUCGUUGUACUUCAGGCAACUUUGCCCCUAGCACUUCAUAGAAAGUCACCUAUGACUACAACUUAGUUGAACUAUAAUAAGAUGAAACUUGCCUUGUUUAACUCAAGAGUUGAGUUAAUAAAGAGGGAUUUUGUCUUAAAAACUCGGACGUUGUAUUUUGAAAAAUAUUAGUCAAAAUUGGGAUCUACUCUCUCCGUUCCUAAGAUGUUUUAGCUUGAUCUUAAAUUAAACUUUUGAAAUUAUGAUCAUAUUUAUAAGAAAAAUCUAACAACAUUGACAACUCUAAAUUAGUUUUAUUAAAUCCUUCAUGAUAUUUCAUAGUAAUAUACUUAUUUGAUUCCUUCAUGAUAUUUCACAAUAUACUUAUUUUGUAGAUCUUGUUCAUUUAAAAAAAAAACUUGAUCAAACUCAAAGAGUUUAACUUAGUAGAACAUAUAAUUAAGAACGGAGUAGUAGCUGGAGAUAAUAAUUUUGAAGAUAUGGUCACGGAAGAGCCAAAAAUAUAAACAGGUUAUAAUCCCAACCCUUGGAUUGAGUAAGGGUUACCGAGGUUCUGGAGCACACAAGUAGAGACAUUAGGGGACAAACGUUUUCGGCAAUGACGCUCUUUUCAUUUUGAGGUGUUGGCUGGAUUGGUUUUCCGGCCAACGGGCACGGAUUUAGGCCCGUCUCUCUUUUUUUUUCCAGAAAGGACUCAGUCUGAAGCAAGUGUACAAGGGACUCAUCGACAACAACUGCCGCGUCAUGCUAACCUGAGCGGUCAACUACGCGCUACCUGAGCCGUCGACUACGCGAUAUUGGAGUACACAUCCACGCGUCGACACUCAUAACGGCUCAAACGGCACCAAACGACUUCACAGCUGAUCCAAGACGCUAUCUCCAGAUUCCGACGAUCCUUCUCGAGGCCACGGCAGGUAUACAAUCGAAUUUAGAUCGAUGAAUUUCGAAAACCCCAGCAGUAUUCUGCAAAGCUUACUGAUCAGGGGAGGCAACGGGCACCAUCUUCCGCAAUUUCUGAAGCGUAGUGAUCGCAUCAGAGUUUACAACGGCAUUCACAACCAUCGAUUUAAAAAGGGUUUGGAUUUUGGUUCCUGGAACUCCGCCAGUGUAUAGGCAUAACUCGCCGGAAGAAACCGUUCAUCGUUCUUCCAAAUCACCCUCCAUGCCCAUCUUCUAGCAGAAUAGAAAUUAAAAAAAUGCCUCAAUUUGGCUACUGGCUUGGCAUGUGACCAACAUAAAACGACGAAAUGAAGAGACACAAAUUGAAACAUAGUAAUCUUAAAAUUCAGUUUUUUCCCAUUUCUUCAACCAUUGAACACAAACAAGAUCAACCCGGCUUGCAUCUGAGUUUAACUCACCCGAAAAUUUGCUUGCCAUAUUCACAGCAAUCGAAACACCUAAUCCGAGUAAGAAACUGGAGUUUUCCUAUUUUGUUCCACCCAUCCGAAACUCUGCGGUAAUACACUAAAUCCUACGAAUCAAAAACUCCUUCCACUUGUGACGCGGCGCUAAGGAAUCCAUGAAGGUGUCGACGGUUGUCCUCAGUUGUCGUCGUCGUCGGCGAUGGAAGCCUUGGAGGAUGAAGCCUUCUUCGGGAGGAGGUGCUGGUGGAUGUUGGGCAUCACGCCGCCGCUGGCGAUGGUGGCACCGCCCAGGAGCUUGGUCAGCUCCUCGUCGUUGCGCACGGCGAGCUGGAUGUGGCGCGGCACGAUGCGGGUCUUCUUGUUGUCCCUUGCGGCGUUGCCGGCCAACUCCAGGACCUGUACCAAUGUGAAACGAAAACGAGAUUAGACUAAAGUCGAAACAAGCAGACUGAUUUAAUCCACAUUGCAUUGGAACACGAAGAAACCUAAUCUUGACGAGCCGGGGCCCGAUUUUGUCCCCAAAAUUAUUGACGGUACGAUUCAAAACAGAUCUAAGAACGCCCAGCCAUCGGAAUCUCCGCCGUAACCGGAUCGAGGAACAUGAGACCCAACAAAUCGAAGACGCGGUCAGGGGAGAAACGUACCUCAGCUGCGAGAUACUCGAGGACGGCGGCGAGGUAGACGGGGGCGCCGGCGCCGACGCGCUCGGCAUACUUGCCGGCCUUGAGGAACCUAGCGAUCCUGCCGACGGGGAACUGCAGCCCAGCCUUGGAGCUGCGGGACGUCGCCUUCUUCGCUGCGCCAGCGCCGAUUGCCUUCCCGCGACCGGCCAUCUCUACAACCGAGGAGAGGAGAACAACGACGGCGAGAACCGGCUGCCGGAAAGAGGGUCGCGCGAGAGGAAGGGGGCUGGUGGAAGGAAGCGAGAGAAAACGCAGAUGCAGGGAAGCGGUGGGCUCGGAGGGAGAUUAUAUAGGAGCGUGGGGACGGGGCAGCAGCCAAUAGGAGGCGGUCACGCGGAUCGUGGAUUUCGGCCGUCGGAUGCGUGGAAACGUACGGCGGAUGCGAGGGAGGGGGGCCAAGAGGAUUCUGAUCCGGAAGCGGCGGGAGAACGGGCAGAUUUUCGUUUUGGUCUUUCCGGGGGGCGGGAGGUGGAAAACUGGAAAUCGACGGAGCGGUCACGUGCUUUCUAUCUGCGGGCCCAAUUGUCGGUGUCGUUUUCUUCUCUGGUAAACAGGCGUGACAGGUCCAAAACACUCGCGUUCCACCAUUUUGUAACAGCAUGCAUGUGUGUCGUGAUGCCACGGGAAGUCCAGUGAAUUCCGGAGGCUAGGCGAACCAAUGGGACCAAAAUUUGUCUUAAAAAUACGAUACGUAUUGUAGGACACAUAGGCAGUGAGUUACUGGAUUUUGCGAAUGGUACAUUUUGACAUACUUAAUUUAAACAAAUGAACUAUUUUUAAAAAAAUAUGUCAUUUUGAAAUUUUAGUUUAUUUGGUUGAACUAAGGAGGGUCAAGAAAUACCUUGAGGAUCACAAUUUUACAGCUCUAUAUAAGGGUAAGCGCGAGCAUGAAGAUAAAGUUCUUAUGAAAAGAUCGUUGUACAAAAAUGUGAGUAUAUAACUUGACGUGUUAAAUGCACAACCAUGAAUCAUGGACGGGAAUGUGAGUAUGUGACUUAACGUGUUAAAUGCACAACCAUGAAUUAUGCACGCAAUACAAGCAGUUUUUUUUUUCGAAGAAAAAAAAGUUGUUACAAACGGCACUAAGUUUCAUGCCCUAUGUUGUCGGUUGAUAUAGUCUGAGUUUGCAAGUAGAUAUUUAAGUUCUUCCAAUCGAAUUACCAAAUCAGCAUUUGUAUUGAAAUGUGUUGCACCAUAUUUGGUUGUACAGGCUAUUGCUAGUUGGAAUGAAGAUAACAAACAAUUCAGAUUUUAGUUUGUGAAUUUUACCGGACCUCGACUACUUCGUCGGAGUUCACCGGAGUUUGUCAGACUAGUAGAGCUCACCAGAGUAGCCUCUGGCCUAGUUUUAGGAACCGGACCAAACCGGAACCGGUGGCCUCUGCGGUCUGUUAAGAACACUGGACGGACCGGACGGCACGCCGCACCGGAAAAACUGGGCUGAACCGGCCGGUUUAUGACGAAACUGGUGAACCGGGCGGUUUUGUUCGAUUGACUCUUGUACAAAACAACCUGAGAAACAAUUUGCGCCGUCCAUGAAUCAAACCCCAAGACCGCCUUCGAGAACGCACGAGCAGACCACGCUAGCCACUUGGGCUAACAAUGCUUGCUUACCAAAGUAGGAAAACGAGGUUUGUAACCUUUUAGAACGUAGGGCCGUGUCGCCAGUCGGGUUGGACCGAAACUAAACCAUAAAUACAUUAUUUUAUAUCUAAAAACCAUAUCGGAAAAACCGGAACUGAGAGCCUUGCCGGUUCAGUCACCGGUCCGGUUUUCAAAACUAGGGCCUCUGGUGGUGGGGUGGGGUGGGAGAGGGGGGCAUACAUAGUCCAAUUUCACCAAGUUUGGAGGGUUAAACUCAAAUACGCGUCUGAAAGUGCAUAUUCUCCCAUGUGCGACUUUGAUAAUUAAUGACAAUCCAUUAUUGGCCGUGCAUAUUCUCCCACUGUGAUACGACAUUAUUUUUCGUCUCAAUGAAAUUUCCACACAUAGACCCGACUUGGUUACUCAAUUUGACCAAGUUUGUAUGUCAAUCUACCAAUAUCAACUCUACAAUAGUCCGCCAUGAAAUGUAUCAGCUAAUAGUACACUUAUUCGAUAUCGUAGAUAAUUUUAACUAAAUAACGACAAUAAUUUAGGAUUGGAGGGAGUACUAUUUAAACCUCGAUCAAAUUUAAAUAAAUUUGACUUAAAGUAAAGUUAAAACAUCUUGUAACUGGAACGGACGAUGAUAACUCCGCAAAAGCCUUCGAAGGCAUGGACAUCCAGUGAUGCGAACGAGACUCGGGAAAACCAGAUAAAACGAGACUCUCCCCAAGAAUCGACGACUCUUUUCCACGAUCGUGGGGCGUGGACAUCUGUCCGGGGGUGACGAUCCUGAACAAGAAAGCUGAACAGCAGCUAGACUUUGAGAUAAGCGUUUGUUCCGUCACCUAUUACGUACUGCACAUUCACAAAUAUCCUAGACCUAGAGUACUGAAACCAACCCGAUGCCAUUUUACAAGAAAAAAAAUGAUUUCAUAGACACGAAAAGUACUGAUAAGAGUACGACUGCCACAUUUUCAUUCCAGUAACACGACGCCAAAACAUUCAUACUUCAAUGCAAAAAAAGCAAGCAGAAUCAUCAAACCACAUCUCACAGCGGGGAAGGAAUUAUUAUACGCCAAUGCAAAAAAAAAGCAGCUGUCGGCUUUAACUUUAAGGAAAAAUCCAAGAGACGAGAUCUCAGGUGUGCACGCCGACGGCCUUGGAGCCGCGGGCGUCCUCCCUGGCGGCGGCGUGGGCGGAGACGAAGUAGACGAGGCAGAAGAGCGCGUGCACGAAGCAGAGCACGCCGCCGAUGGAGAGGAACUGGUGCCGCAUCACCCCGCACUCGGCCAGCUUCUUCUUCGAGUUGGGCAGCGCGCCCAGGAUCAGCAGCGCCAGCCCCACCACCAGCACCAUCCUGCCCAAUCCAACCCCAUCCAUUUCGAAACAGAUCAGAAGUUCAGAACGCAGCCGAUGAUUAGUUUCAAUGUUCUUGGACUUGGACUCGAAUCCUGCGUGCGUACCAUGAGAGGACCAGGGCGAAGGACGCCAUCUGCCGGUUGGGCGAGGGGCGCCGAUGCGGGUCACCGCCGCAGCAGCAGGCGCACGCGCAGCCGCCGAUGAUGUUGGCGAUCGCGUGCGACGCCGCCAGCACCGCGGCCGCCGCGAUGCCGAGCUUGUAGGCCUGCCGGACCGGCUGCCUGCACUCGAUGAACAGUAUCUUCAGGUGCCUCCCCUGCAGCAGGAAUCAAAUUAACCAGAGCUUCAGCCUUCGGAGACGGGUUCGACGAAGCAUCAACUCAGCAAGCUGCAGGAGUGAGUAUUCAUCAUGGUUUACCUGGUUCUGGGCUUUCUCCGCGUGGAUGCCGAGGACGCCGGCGGCCACAUCCAUGGCGACGAUGAGGAGGCAGACGACCACGGCUUCGACUCUCGCCAUCGUGUCUUUCUCGACUUCUCGCGAUGGCGAAGAUGGCAGGAGCAGCGGUGUGGGCGCAGAACAAACAGGCUUGGUUGUCGCUACUGGAGUGUGCAGCGAAGAUGCUUUUAAGGUCUCAGCUUUUGAUGUUCUUUUAUAUUGUUCUGUGUCUCAGGCUCUCUGCUUUGUUUCGGCUUUGGGGUUCUUUACUGAUUCCCGUUCACGAGAAAGGCGGAAAGCUCUGCUAGGUUGUGCUUAAAACGAAAGAAAACAAAGCCACAAAGGUGAUGUUAAGGUGGCACUAGCUGACAUGGCUAGACACGAUGCUGGCAGUGCUAAUUACCCAUCAUCGCGAUCGUAAUGCUAAUGAUUAUUAUAUCGAGUUUUUCUGUGGAAGAUUUGAGAACCUAAGCUCGUAAAAUCUUUAGAUCAACUUCUAAGGGCACCUACAAUGGUCAAUACGAUUGUCCUAUCUUAUGUGUUCAAGGUCAAGAUGUUGUAUAAUAGGUUAUGUUUUAAUGCCAUAUCAUACGAUUAAUGCUCAUAAAAUUAAUAAAAUUAGUGUCAUUUAUUUUUACUAAAUGAAUGAAUGCCAAUUAAUAUAGGAUGGUGGGAGUAAAUGCCAAGAAAAGGUGAAAUCUAGUACAAUGAGAAGUUAUGUCUUAUCCUUAUUGUAAAGAGGUCGUCUCUUAAUUAAAAAAAGACUUGCUUUUUUUUUCAUUUAUCUUUUUUCCACAUCAGUUUCUGUCAACUGACGUCAUCUCAUUCAUUAGAGGGCCCAUUUCAAUUCAAGGGUAUUCAAGUGAAUACCUACAAAAAAAGAAAUGAAUAUCUAUAUCUCCUCCGUCAGGAAUUAAGUAACGUGGAUUUGUACUAAUUUCGGAACGGAGGGAGUACCAUGAAUUUUAUAUGUAUGCAUAAAGAAAGUGUUUUGGGCUAAAACUCAAAGUCAAGCAUUGAGCCCUAAAAUGCUAGCCAUCUAUCUCCUCUCUCCCUCGAGUUGGUCCAAUGGUCAAAGUAGAAUUUUGGAUCGCUUAAAAUCGAACUAUCUACUGGAUACUCGUAGUCUCGUAUUGAUUAAUGCCUGCACCUCAUGCCCCUUGGCUUAUUCUAAAUCCCCAAAAAACAUGUUUCAAUCCAAGAAACUAGUGAUUUCUCCUCUGCCUCCUUACAUGCUCUGCUCCUCGGCAUCCCCGGUUUUGGGCGUUGGCCGAUUGGAUGGGCUGGCUAAUGCUUCACGCUUCGGCGCUUCCGCCAGUCCACAACUGUUGGAGAUAUGCCCUAGAGGCAAUCAUGUGAUGAUGUUAUUUUCUAUGUAUUCAUGAGUUAAUGUUAUUGUCUCUGAACAUCAUCACUGAUAUGUAUCAAUAAAUAUGUGAUUUGUUUGUGAUACUAUAUAUUCUAUCAUGCUGUUCUAAUGUUUCCUAGUCAUUGAGGUUAUGCGGACACAUAACCUACACUAGCAAUGCGACUCAGUACGAUCACUAUGUUUCACAAGUCAUAGGGCAAGGUGCUGCCAACUGAUAGCAUUGGACUCGACAAUGAGAUUGCUAAGUCGGACAGACACGCACUGAGACACAAUGAGAUGAUUGUCAUUCGUUAGUCUCAAUUACGAUGUUUACGCCAGUCCUAGACCUGAGGUCAUUGCAUGAGCUUGGGACGUGAAUCGGUGAAAGAUUGGUAUGGUCGACUAGAGGGGGUUAAAUAGGAGACUAACAAAUUAUGAUUUUUCUUUUUCUUUUCUUGAGAGAUACAAACACUUAAUCCUAGGGUUUUCUAAAUUCUCUAAAGUGAAUGCAACCCUAGAAUGAAAUGCAAUAGCCGAAACAACAAUAUAUAGCAAGAAUGUAAAGGGGAAAUGAUACCACACGUGGAGACGAAGAUUUCACCGGAGUUCCACCUAUUGGGAUCGGUGUACGUCUCCGUUUGGAGGAGUGCUCUACCACAAAGGUAGAGACGCCACGAAGGCUCACUCUAUUCUCCAACUCACCACACCACAAAGGUGGGAUGAGCUCUCACAACACCACAAAGGUGAGGUGAGUUUCACUACUGGCUUCCUUGAGGGCGAACGCCGAACCCUUACAAACUUGACCGGGACAAACUCCACAAUUCAAUAGGAGGCUCCCAAUCCAAGCCUCAAGCUCCUCAUACGCCAAGGGAGAGCUUGAGGUGACCGCUUCCGUCUAGGGUUCCCAACAACCCAAGAGAAACGAAAUCCACAAAGAAAACAAAGGAAAUAAACUUUUUGACUUGGUGAAACCCUAGAGCAAGAUCUUCCCCUCCAAUCCUCAAAGAAUCAAAAGUUGGGAGUAGCUAGGGAGGGAGAUCUUGGAGAUUUGAGCUUUUUGUGUUCUUGGGGUGAGAGGGGUUGUUCUUGGCUGUGAAAACGGUCAGCUAGCUCGUUGGGGACGAAGAGGUAUAUACAUGGGGUCCCUAAAAUCGAACCGUUAUGCACUGCGCAGAGACAGGCCGGAACUUCCGGUCAUAGCCGGAACUUCCGAUCAAACGAAAGUUCCGCAUUUUCCGCCGAUCCUAACAGAGAGCGGCCGGAGGUUGGGGCGGAAGUUCCGGCUGGAACUUCCGCCUCCUGGACUGUAGGCAGAACACAACAUGCUGAGUUUAGUUCUUCUCUCUCACUUUUUGGGGUAGUUUUUUUAGUGGGUGCAAAUUGUGUAGUUGUGUACGUGAAAUUGAUUCACCCAUUACCUUCCCCUGUGGAUUCUCUCUUAAUAGUACGGAUGUCCUACGACUCAAAUCAAAAUGAAAAAGACGCUAACACUGCUACGCUUCAUAGCAUCUUGAGGGUCCACAUCAACGUCUUGUGCCAAUUUCUUUAUGAAAUCUGAAAUACUUGACACACGAUUAGAUACACAACAUGUUGUCAUCACCACCAAAACCACUUAGGGGUUACCAAACACUGCUCCGUAACUGGGUAGUUAUAAAGGUAGUUUUAGGCGUUUGCUAAGAAGCAUGCUGUAAGUCAUGGUUGAUCAAGAUGGGAUUUGUCCCUCCCUUUGGGAGAGAUAUCUCUGGGCCCUCUCGAGUGAUCAGAUUCGGAAAGUAUGGCCAUGCGACUUGGGUUAAGCGUUAACACGUUCGGGAAUCUGAAUCACGAGAUUAAGAAGAAAGUCGAGUUAUACAUAAGGAUGACAAGUACUCGCCUUGAGCUCGACACACAUAUCGUGAGGCAAAAGGAAUGUUGCAUGUGGAAACAUUGUAUGGUUCGCCAAUAUACUUUGUGGUUAUUCGGGAGUCAUCACGUGCUGCUAGGCGCUGCUACUGACUAUCGACUUGGGUCGGAACCUGUGUUCGGACUCGUAGUUGUGUCCGUGUGACCGCGAACCUGUAGGAUCGCACACUUAAGGGGAUGGGACCGAAUUGAAUCGGAUCCAACUCGUAUCGGGCUUAGACUCCUAACGGGCCUCAAGUGUUGAAGCCCACCAGGGAGGUCUAUUUAAGUGGAGGAGGCAUACCCGGUUAGGGUUACCCUAGUUUUGUGGCACGAGUCAGACUCGGCCGUCACAUCCCCACGCCCAAACCUAGCAGUCCGCCGCACGAAGUUCCUCUCUGUACGUGUGGAUACCUCGGAGGCACUAUACCUGCGGCGCUUGGACGAACUGUUCGUGUGAUUGGCAAGGAGGAACAACCCGAUCGACUACUCGGCAUCGACACGCAUCACCGACUCUACUUCCGCUACGAGUCUGCGCGUCUAGUGGUAAUCUCGUAAUCCAUUAUCUACAGCAUUGGUCCGGGCAGAAUCAGUAGAAAAUUUUAUUUUGUGCUCACGUAGCCUACCGUGUUCCCCAACAACAACAACACACACACUCAACGGCGGAGCUGGUAUAAAACCGUUGGGUUCAAAUGAACCCAAUGGAAUCGUUAAAUCCUUCACUAAUUUAGUCUUUGUGUUUUUUUAUUAGUGAAAAAAUACACCAUAAAUAAGGGGAUUGAACCCAUUAACUUUGUUUCAACCUUCGCCGCUGCAUACACUGCGUUGCACACAAGAGGACAACUCCUCAGGGAUCACUUGAUUAGAGACUCAAAAUUUUCACCAAAUUUUUUUGAACAAUUUUGACCCGUGAAUUUUCGGAACAAUUUUGACUCGUGAAUUUUCGGAACAAUUCCGACCCGUGAACUUUCGGAACAAUUUUAAAUACCCAGUGUCAAAAUUCCGGAUGACGUCGGAAUGACCCACGAGGGCUCGCCCUUGAUCCCAUUGUACAUGCCCUAAACAUCUCUAUAUCAACUUCGCUGCGUUACUUUCUCCCCACACGGGGUCGGUCCAUCAUACAGUAGCGCUAUGGUUUGCCAAACCAUCAUGUUUUUUUAGGGGACCAAACCAUCAUAUAGUACUAUAGGUGUGUUUGAGAGAGCUCCAACUACACGGAGUUGGUGGAGCAGGACAUUCAUAGCUUCAUUUUUUUAGAGUUGGAGCUGUGAUUAAUUCAAUAAUGAAAUAAGAUAGGACUACAAAACAUGUACCAAGUAUUCACAGCUCCAGCUCCACGAAAAAAUGGAGCUAUGAAUGACCAUCUCCACCGAAUCUGUGGAGCUGUUCCAUUUUUUUAGAACAAAGAUAUGGCUUUAUUGAUUCAUGAAACAAGUAGUACAAUAGAUCGGUACACGGACGAACACAAAACAACGAAGAUACUCAACAAAACUAAAAGCUUCAUUGCAGUCCUUCGAAGUAAAAUUCUCUUGAUCCACCUUUUGCAUCUUGAUGCUUCUUCACGUAUUCGUUGACAAAAUUGCAGAAUACCACACUUGCACAAGCUGAACUAACCUCAAAGGUUUUAAAAAACUGCAUGAGCCGCCCACCUCAAAAGGCGAGAACUUGAGAUCAUUGAACGGACCAUGGCCGGGGACAUACCCCUUGCAAGACAAGCUAAAACUGCUUCUCCGUCGAUGAAUAAAAAAGAAAAAGAUCAAAAACACAAAAAGACGUGCCAUGAGAACCACUGACUCCACGGCAUAGGUUGCAACGUCUAUAUCAGAACGAUGAAGGAGCCAGGACACUAAUCUUCUAGACGACGAUGGCUCCAUCGCCAAGACGCCACCAAGAAGAAGACACAAACCAAAGAAGGUAGCAAAACUAGAUGUCAUAUGUUGAUCCGUGGUUCCUUUCGUCUCUCACGGGCGAUCUGGCAUCGAGAGACGAGAGGAACCGUCGGAGAUCGAAACUUCCUCGAAGACGGCGGUUAGGGUUUCCUCUGUUAUUUCACGAAGCAGAUCCGUUCGGUUGAAUUUCAAGUUGGAACUGUUCCAAACACACCCCAUGCAAGCAUCCCAUAUUUUCAUUUGAGAAUAUGUAGCCCAUAACUUAUUUUGUUGAGCGCAAUGUAGCCCAUAACUAGGGUCCCGAAGUUUUCCGGUCGCAGAAGUUUAUGGGCCUCAACGUGGGCCAUGCUCCUAAACUGGCAGCCCAAAACACCUCACCGUGACAUCGCGCAACGAUCUCACGGGGCAAACCAAGAAACCCCAACCCCACCGCGCACGCCGAAACCUCGCAGGCAAUCCGGCCGCCGCCGCCGCCGUAGCACCAGCAACAGCAGCAGGAGGGAGAUGUCGUUCCGGGCGCGGGAGAUUUACAAGAAGGUGGUGCGCCGCGUGGGUGGGGAGGGGAAGCUGCCGGCGGAACUGAUGGAGUCGGUGAAGAACAUGAUGCCCAACAGCAAGGUCGUCAUGGGUCGGGCCAAGCGCGGCAUCUUCGCCGGCCGCCACAUCCAGUUCGGCAACAAGGUCUCCGAGGACGGCGGCAACAAGUAGGCAAAUCUCACCCGCCUCUUCGCUCGCGCAAUCUCUUUCGGGUUCCUUCUGAUCUACGCGCAUAUAUAUUCGGAAGUGUAAAUUGCAAGUGUAGGUUCUUGGAAUGGGUAGAAAUGACGCUUGAUGUUUGACCUUAUGUUGGGAUUGAUCGAAUUCGACGCAAGAUGUUGAUAGGGGUAGGAAGAGAAGGGGAGUGGUAAGAGAGAGUGGGUCUGUGUUGCUCGCUCGCCCCUUCCUAUCUGCCCUGUUUUGACCGUGGCGGAGUACUAUUUUAGAUUGUUCGCUUGUAUACUUAGUUUGCUUCCCUAAUCAUCACAGACAUGUGAAUUGGAUGGGUUUGGGAUCAAACCAGGACUGCCUUUGACAGUUUUAGAUGCAUGUAUUUGCUUGAUGGUUGCAAUGUAUGAAGCUAGAAGAUUUGCUCGGGUUAUAUGAAAUGACACGUUGUGCUAAGUGCUAACCCUAUAAUUGUAUAAUUUCCAACCUUUUUUGGCUUCCGUGAUUGAUGUUUAUUAUGCACAUUUCAAAGGAUGCAUGCCUGGACUUUGGUAAUCGUUACUUGAUUUUAUCCACCCCCCACAUCAUUGGCACAUAUCGGCACAAAAUGUUAGGUCAUCAAAAGAGAGAAGGCGACCCCCUCUGAACUCCUUUGCAAGUGUUAAUUCUUGGAUAUCCGGUCAAGCUUAGCAUGAUGUUUACUUGCUUCAGCCUUGAUAUGCCGCAAUAGUCGAUUAUAAUUUCAUAUUUGAUGAAGCCACCAGUCACAUCUAACUUGAGUGAAAGAGAGAAACCACAGAAUCUUGCAAAAGCUCUUUAUCCUUCCUGACGUUGCCACCAGACUUAGCAGUCAACGUCUUAAAUAGUUAGUGUGGCCUCAUGAUUUGAUUGUCCUUUAUGAUGCGAAGUCGCUAUGUUAAAAACAAAAAACAUAAAUAACCAUUUUGCUGGAAACAAAGCAAUGGUAGAAUGACCCAAGUCACUUGCAAUUAUUCUUGUGCAAAUCCAGUAGUUGCUCGCAGACACCUGUUUGGGGUUUACUUGAUUCAAUCAUUAUGGGUACUAGCCACUCAGGUUGUUGAUCAAUCCAACCAUUGAACCACUUUAAUUUAGGAUAACUCUGUGAUCUCUAUGCGUCGCUUGCGCAGUCUCCUUUGGGUUCCUUGUGAUCUGUGCGCACAGAUAGUCCAAAGUUUUAUUACAAGGGCCAGUUCUUCAGUGAGUGCAAAUGUUUAUCUUAUUUGGGAAAUCUAGCUGGUUUCUGUGGAAAUGUUCCUUUUAUAACUCUAUGCUAGGAUUUAUCGACCUGGAUGCCAAGUCUCUGUAGAAGUUCACAAACUUCUGUCAAUAAUAUAGGAAACAUGCAGUUUUAGGUCCACAUAAUUGCUUGAUGAUUGGAAUGAAUCUAGAAGUUUUCUAGAGUUUUAUAAUAUGAAAUGACACAUUGUGCUAACACUGGAGUAUGUAAUUACCUCUUUGUGGCUUCCAUGAUUGAUGUUUUUAUGCACAUUUUGAAUGGAGGCAUCCUUGGCCUUUGGUUAUGGUUACUUGAUUCUGGUCAUCCCUCCUCCACCUCAAUGGGGCGUAUCAGCAUAUGCAACCAGUUAGUUAAUCAAAACAUUGAAAUGGAGCCCUUCUGUACUCCUUUGCCAGUGUUAAUUCUCGGGAUGCUGGUCAAGGUUAGCAUGUUAUUUAGUUUCAGACAUGUCAUGCUGCGCCAAUCGAUUCUAAUUUCACAUUCAAUCAGGGUAAAAUGAGUGACGGAGAAACUACAUUAUCUUGCAAACGCUCUUUCUCCUUAAUGACUUUGCCAACUGGCCUACAGGCGGAAGUCACCAUUUUAAACAGUCAGUGUCCUCGUGAUUUGCGCAGUCCUUAAUGACGCAAACCUAACAUGUUAGAAAUACCAAUCACUGUUUUGUUGGAAAGAAAGAAGUGGUAGAAGGACCCCCAAUCAUUUGCGAUUAUUCUUGAGCAGAUUCAGUAGUUGCUCACAGAUACCUGUUUGGGGUUUACUUGAUUCAAUCAUUAUGUGAACUAGCUGCUCGGUUAAUCAACCAAACCAUGGAACACUUCAAUUUAAGAUAUUUCUGUAACCUCUAAGCCGUGCAAAGCAGCCAACAAUGUUUGAUCAUUCUUGUAACCUUUAGGCUUGCAUCCUUUCAUCUCUAUAGCAACACAGUAAUUUUAGGUGCUGCAUCCUUGAAUAUCUAUGUAUGAUGUUAUAUACUCUUUUGGAUGUUUAAUUACGCCUUCAUACACCCAGAAACAUCUUGGAAAUUCAGACAUUCAAGAUAUGCCCUGCUUAUUAUUUUGGCAUGUGGCGCAACCCUUUCCUAAGAAUUUUUUGUUUGCACUCUCCCUCUCUCUGUAUUAUACAAACCAAGCGGCUGUGGUUGUAUUUUUGGUACCUGUUGUUUAUGUAGUGUUUUGUUCGUUCAGGUCAAGACGGCAUUGGAAGCCAAAUGUUCAGGAGAAACGUCUUUUCAGCUAUAUUCAUGACCGGCACAUUAGAGUCAAGGUAACCACUCAUGCACUGCGGUGCAUUGACAAAGCUGGUGGGAUCGAUGAAUACCUCCUGAAGACACCGUACAACAAAAUGGAUACUGAGAUGGGGAUAGCCUGGAAGGCUAAGAUUGAGAAACUGUAUUCAGAGCUAGCUGGAAUGGAAGUUGGUUUCUUCCCUCCUGAGGAAGAGGCUAAAAUUGAGCAGGGUUUUGAGGAGGUUCGAUCUGCCAAGAGAGAGUUCCGUAGGGAAUCAAGAAGGGUUUUGGCUUUGGCAAAGCAGAGUCAGCUAGAAGCAGGUAAAGCUGAUAAUGACGAAACAACUGAAGUCGCUGAUACAAAUGAAGAAGUGUCUGAUGUUGCAGAGAAGUCUUAGCCUGGAUCUGCAUGCCCAUCAUGAGUGGUAAAUGUAAUUCCGUAACUUUUAUGUCCUCUUCAUUUGAUUGUUAAAUAUCAAAGUUUUCUUGGAAUAUUGAUAAUGAUUGACUUGCAAAGUUUUGCUUUGUUUACCCUGAAAGUUUGAAAUGUAUACUAGAAAACGGAUGUGCUGGUAUCUUGAUAUGAUUUAUGACUACGUCAUUAUUGGUCCGUAUGAAACCUGUCAAUAUUAGUGCAGACUGCAGUACUAUUUUGGACAUCAUCUGGGUGUAAUGUUUCUUCUGUGACGUCAAUAAACAUAAGGGCAAAUUUUUGUCUGGUUAACAAUGGGUUCUGCUCAAUAUCAUCUACUUUCGGGUGUUUUGUUCUUUCAUAUUUAAUUAUUUAUAUUGGGUAGCUGGAUCUGAUUACCUGAUUCUUCGUAAGGAAUAACUGGAAAUGCAUGCCACACUUGAUUUUUGCAUGUGCCUAUGAUUUAAACAUUUGAUUUCAGCCCCCUUGUAUGCUUGCAGGGGCCCUUUUCUAGCCCAAAGUUAUGUUAUAACCGAAUUACUUUUUUUUGCAGAUAAAAAGCAGAAGAGAAACAUUGAUGUCCUUUAGCAAAUAAUGGAAGGUUUUUAUUUCAUAUGAAGAGGGGAGAAUGACUUGCGAGUUAACUGCCUCCUUCUGGGAACAGCAAUGUAUCUUAAGCCUAACUGCCUAAGUUUACCAUAUAUCGGCAGCAUCACGGUGUUGUAAGCUGUUGCAAAUUUAGUGGAAAUUUUGUACAACUGUUGAAUACUCUAGUGUCAAAAUUCAGGUAAUUUUCUGCUAUUAGCAACUGUCCUUGAACUGAAAUGUUGAAAUAAUCUACUCCCUCCGAUCCAUAUUAGUUGUCGAAAUAUUACAUGUAUCUAGACGCUUUUUAGACAUAGAUACAUCCAUAUUUGGGCAAAUUUGAGACAAUUAAUAUGGAUCUGAGGGAGUAGUAUAACUGACAGGAUAGACAGGCAAUUAGCUAGAGGUGACAUUUCCUAGUUGAUUCCUGUUACACUCCCAAUCUUUGUUACCGUUCUUGCUUCUUGAUGUCGUGUGUACUCUCGAUCAAGCUUGGUGGCAACUGAAGAUUUGUGGGGUUGUUUGGUUGGACGCACUCUACGCUGCUGUUCUUGACCUACUUACCACCUUGUAAUGAAAAUCUAGGCUAACUGGCUGACUUUGUCAGUCUGUCUUGAAGUUGCUGCCAAGUGUCAUUGCAUCUGCUUAGAAUUUUACUUUGUAAAAAACUCAAGACAUAAUCAUACUUAAGUGCUUGCUGACAUAUUAUCAACAAAGAAGUUACAUCGCCGGUUCCAUAUGAACAAACACAAAAGGCCUGAAACUGAAAGCACACGGCCAUUAUGCGGAUCCAUGCAUCUAUCCUAGCUUGGCGAGGACAUCGCUAAGAACGGUCUUGGUCUCGCCGUAGUACUUCUCGGCUUCGGCGGGGCUCUUGAUCUUGGCUGCAUGGUCAAGCUGCAAAAACGGAGGAAAAUAAUAAUAAUCUCACACAAGUCAGUCCUGAAAUCCUCGUGAAAACGAUCAGGUUUGCUGUAAAAACGGAGUGGAUGUAUGUGAAUUGGCGAGAUGUUUUACUUACCCCGUCGAGGGUGUCGAAGAGCUUCCCGGUGAGGUCCUUGAGGUCCUUCUUCUCCUCCUUGGUGGCCUUGGAGGAGAUGACGGUCUUGAGGUCGUAGCGCAGGUAGGAGGCCCUGAGGCGGAGGUCGUUCAUGACGUACGGCCAUUGCUUCUUGUCGAUGAGCGGCUUGAGGUUGAGGAUGUCCUGGGCCGACUCCUUGGCCCGGGCCGCCGCCGCCGCCGGAGGCAGCGGCUGCAGGUAGAAGCGGUUCUUCAGGGGGAGCGCGAAGUCCCUCGCCUCGUCCGAGUUCUCCGUCCCGGCUGUACCACAACCCCAAAUCAUCCAUCAUUACACAUCAUUUUUCAAUUGAAAUUCUACAAAAAAAGGUAGUAAUUCGUGCACGAGCAGUAGUUAUCUGGAGGCACUCACGGAGUCCACCGGAGGGAAGCGGCGGCGGGCCAACCUUGAUGGGGUUGACGGCCGCGAGCACCGCCUGUGCGAACGCGCCGCCGGCGACCCCGCUGGCCAUGAGGCCAAGGACCGCGCGGCGGCCGGCGGUCUCGGCCUCCGCCGACGCCCUCACGGUGAGCUUGCUGGCGCCGCGCCGGCCGGCCGGGCCUGGAAGGCGCACGCCCUGCGCCGAGGUCAAGCCGGUCAUGGACGCCAUGGCCUGUGCCAUCUCGAGCUUUGCGUUUUCUCUUGGGGAUCGAGGAGGAGGUAACGAUCGAUCUCUCGCUCCACCAGUGGCGGCCAGCGUGCCGGAAAUAUACGAGGGAGCCUUCGCCGUCGCCAACCUUAUCUGACUGGAUAAGUUGGGGGCCAGUGCGGGGGCGCCAUGUGGCAUGGUGCAUCGCCUGGCCUCCCCAUUUGGAUUGCGCUGUGGCCAAUGGGCGGCUGCGGCUCCUGGCAUGUGUGGUGAGCUCCUCGUCGGUGCUUGGGCUUCAGUUGGCCAGUGACAUUUUCGUGUUUUGUCGGUUUGUUCGUUUUGGAUAAUUUUUCUUCCCAGGAGACACAAUGGACAGCGCCAUUAGUACGAAUUUUUGUGGGGGAAAUUCAUAUUUUCAGCCUGUUACGAGAAUUGGCGGAAUCACAUAGAAACAUUUGAAAGGAACAUAAAAGUUAUCAGAAUAUUCGAAAGCUCCGUAUGGAAGCUCAUCAACAUGAGAGGGCAUUUGAAGUUUAAUCCCUCUUUGAUUCACAUGAUUUCUAAAAUGUGUAAAUAGGAAAACGUAAGCAUUGUAUGUCAUAGCAUGUUGUUUCUCACAUAAUUAAAAAACACACAGAAAUAAGAGCAAGACAAGUUAUUUGAUUACACUAAAAAUACAGAUAAAGUUUCAAUAGGGAUUAGGUCAAUGCCAUACUUGUUUAAGAAAACAAAGAAGAUAUUUCAAGAGGCUUGACUCAAUGAGAAUUUUCUUUCAGAAUUGGUGCAAGUGAACCAUACAACAGAUUCCUAUAGAUUCUAAUCCUACAAGUCAUAUAAUCCACAUAUCGAGAGGUGUAAGAGCCGGUUCCUAUCAUAGAAUCCGAAAAUUUAGCUUGAAUUUAAUUGAGUAUAUGAACUCAAUCGACAUUCCGUGGAAUCACUUCUGUACUCAAACCCCAAUUUUGUUAUAAAAGACACCAUUCCUCUCUGGAUUUGUCUCGAUUUUUACGAAUCCAUGUCACUGACAAACAUGCCUUUUGAAUUCAAAAUUUAAAUUUAGCAAAAAAAAAUGAUUUUCGGAGGGCUACCAAACAAGCUGAACCGUGAGAAAGAGAGAAAAAAAUACUCUCAGUUGAUUAAUCCCACAAAGUGAGAAAGAGGAAUCAUGCAAUAGCCGCAGGAUUAGAUUGCAAUGAACUCGCGUUCAUUUUUCAGAAACACGGAGGCGGUGCCCUCUGUAUCAUUUGCACCCACGGUGCUAGCCACAAGUUUGCCUUUUUGUCUCAUUCUUUCUCUCUCUCCACUUUAAAUUAGAGAGGUUAAACAGUCUGACCACUGACAACCUUUUGCUCUUCUCUUUUUCUUUCUCUCUCCCAUUUUAAGUAUAUUAUGGUACAUGACAUAUUUUUGAAUUACAUAUUUAUAUUUAGUAAAUUAUGAUAUAUGUAUUGUACCUUAAUAGUUUUUAAAUAUCUCCUGUACAUGAAUUUAUGAUACGGGUACAUCGUAUGGUACAUCACAUUACCUUAACAAUUUGUGAGUACCUCGUGCACAUGACGAGUACAUGAAGGUAUAUGAUGAUUACGUGAAGGUACAUCACAAAUACAAUUAACAAGUACCACAUCAACGAUAAAUUACAUCAUGUACCGGGACAAAAUUAGAACACAAACAUUCAUAAAUAACUACUACCUCGUCAUGUACCAUGGGUACAUGAUGGUACUCAAAUAAACAUUUAAAUAGGAAACCACAAAGAUUCAAAAAUCACAUGGUACAUGAUGGUGCUCCAAAAUCACAUGAUACAUGAUGGUACUUCAAAAUCACAACACAAAAUCAUGGUACAAGAUGGAUCCAAAAUAAAAAUUCACAUGGUACACCAAAAAUCAAAAUAAAAAAUCACAGCAAAAUCACCGGAACAGGAGCUCUCCGCGGAGAAGCCCAGGACAGAGCUCUCCGUGGUGGCGGGGACGGGAGCGGGGGCGGACACGGACGCGGGACGAUGUCGUCGCCGGAGUUGAGGACGGCGGCGGCCAAACCCACUGCCAGCCAGGAAGAGAUGAACAGGUUUCUGGAAAGAGGAUCGAUUGGAGGGACCGUACGGAGGAGAGAGGGAAGCUGGGACCGACUGCUAAUUAGAUGGGAUGGGCAGAGAAUUAAGGAAAAGAAAAGGAGAAUUAAGGAAAGGGGAGGACAGGUGGUUGGUAUAUACGGUAGGUGCAAAUGCCAUGCAGCGUACCGGGAGGUUUGGCUGCCAGACUUGCCAAGAUCGUGCCAAAAGGUUGCAACUGCGCGACCGCGGAAGCGCCCAAAAUCAAACCCUCUCGCUCGCCAGUCGCCACCAUCAAUGGCGGUUCGCCGCGGCCGGCGGCGACCACGCCCUCCCUCCUCGACCCAACCGCUCCCUCCGCGGCACCCCGUUCGUUAAGCGCUUGCGCAAGGCCGACCCCUGCGUUCAGCAGACGAGCCUCUCUCCCUUACUGACGGCGGCCUCACAUGCAGGGUCUUUCCGCAGCUCCACUCCCACGGGCCACGGGAUCUGAUGCGAUGGCUGUGCGCGCGUUCCCGCGACCCGCGGCGCGGUUACGCUCUCCGGCAGGCACCCUUACCUGAGCCUCCCCGCCCGGCUGCCUCGCCCGACAACUUCAUCCUCACUCCUCAGCGAGCGCCCUCUGUGAGCAAAAUCCCUACUUCAGUUUAACCGCCAUUGCCAGACGAAUCUGUAGCAACUUGAGACCUAACAACAAUUGAGUAAUGUAUUACGACAGUCAACUAUGUUACCUGACGAGUGUGACGAAGUUACGUGUAAUUUAGCAGCAGGUAGAAAUUUGUAGUGUCGAAGUAUGAGUUUUAUACUUUUGUAUUGGUUCCCUGUAUUUGAUUUGGUUAAACACUUAGUUCUAUCCGCAGUAGUCCACUUACUAGUUGACCAAUAAUAGUCGAGUAGGAACUCCCGUUUUGUUAACUCCUUAGGAGGAUUCAAAGAAUUUCUAGGUUUGGUUUCCUCUUGGGGUCUCUGUAUGUAACUAACAAGAUGAAAUCGUGUGUUACUGCAGAAGUGCAGAGGCGGACCUUUGAAAAGACUGAAAAUUGUCUGCAGUGGAACUCCCGUUUUGUUAAAGUAGUUUUCGAGAUUGCAUGGCGUGGUUAACUCUAUGAUAUUACAGGAUAUGUAUGGAAGGUAAGACUCUUCUGUAUUCCAUAAGUUUCCGCUACUAGAUACAUUUCUUACAGCUGUAGUCUUUUAGGAGAGUGAGGUUCAUCUUUGAUGGGGCUUCUCAUCACUGGUUUCUUAUUUGAGAGCACAACUACAUGAGAGACAUGAUAAUCAACAUACAUGGUACACACCUUGGGCCACCAUGCCUGGUGGUUGGUUCUGAUGGGAAACAACCUAGUUUGUCAGUUACCUAAAAGGUUUCCAUUGUGUACUAUUAACUAUUGUAAUUAUGAGCCAUUAAUUCUUACUUUGCACCAGAGAAAUACGAAGAAAACAAUCAUAGUCCAAAUCAUUUUUCAUUAGGACGCUCUUUGCUUCACCCCUCUGAUUUUAGUCUGUCAUUGCAUCAUCCAAUCAAACUCUGUUUAGCUGGAUAGUCAUCUUGAUUCCUUUCAUUAAUUAUGACCAAUUCACGAUAUCACUUUCUAUUUUCAUCGAUCACCCAGUGGAUCAAAUCCAGUUCUAGCAGUAGCAGCAGAAGCCUGGGUAGCAGUUAAAUUUAUGCUGUUAAAAAGCCACACAAUAAAUAAACCAUACACACAAACUGUUUUAUUCGUUCACUCAAACACAUACAGCGACAUGGGGGCCAAGGUCACAUGUAUCACAGCAUAUCAGAGAGGCAUCAAGCCUCAUGAUUUUAUUAUUGUCACACCAUAUGAUUAUAACCUCUUAACACAUCAGUUUAUUUAUUCUCGGCCUACUUCCACACAGUAGCCUUAUUUCUGUUUACCAGCACCUCUUGGCCCUUCUUGUACACUGCAUGGGGAGAUUUUAAACUGGCAGGUCGGUGUUCUCAUCAAAGGGGAACGGGUCCAACUUUGGUUGCGCUGCUUGUAAGAUCUUUUGAAUUGGCAUUUCUGGCGUUGAUCUUUCCAGAGGUGCAAUUGGAUCAACACUUGGGUCAUGAUCCUGAAAAUUAAGAAUUAAAGAUUAUUAUAAUAGAUAGGUGCAAAUGAUGCUUUUCUUUAGUUUUUGAGAUGUCUUGAUUUGCAUGAGUGGCACUGACCUGGUUAGCAUGCAUUCUCUUGACAAAAGUUUGGAAAGUGACAUAGUUCUGUCCCUGUAGCAGCUCAUCUGAUAACCGGAGGUAGGUGAAUCCAUGCAGCUUGUGCUCCGGAGGGCCACUCUUGUUGACACCUUUUGGUCUCGCAUUUCUGAGUAUAGUGUUGUACCCCGUUGCAUCAUAUCGACCAAGCGCGUUUUCGCAGGCCACAUCUAAGCCCUCUCUCCAUCCAGCACUCAGCACCUGGGAAUUUUGAUAAGAAGUGAUUCAGUGAUUCCGUAAAAGAGAAGUGCAGAAGCCCUAGUCAUAAAUCACUGGGCAGUGGCUAAUGGUGUAGUUACCUGUUGGACUAGUUCUUCUGGUGCACUCUUCGCCUCUGAGCUCUGCUCGGAGUCCCUCAUCUCUGCACAAGUGAAGUUGAGGCUAGCAUGAUGCCUCUUGAGCAUGCGUGCUAUGGUUCUGUAGCCGUCUCUGUCAUCUAAGUUGUAGUACCCGGCAGUGAGCUCGGCUGCAUGGUUUGGAACCCUGUACCACCAGUGAAUGCCAGAUAUCUGCAACCAAACAUCGGAUCAUGUCUCAUUUACGUUCGAGAUUAAGUAAUGGAGUUGCCUAUACAUCCUCGAUCUGUCCUUUAACCUCAAGUCUAAUGUUAAUAGCAAACAUUGUGCAAUCCUUGUUGUUUAUUUAGAUUAUCUUUCUGACCUUAUCAAAUGAUCUACCAUAAUAAGCACAGAUCUUGAGAAAGGUACUUACUUUUUUUUUGAAAAGUAAAAAGAAGGUACUUACUUUGAUUGCCAGCUGCACUGUAUAUCCCACGAAGACCUUGUUUGCUUCAUCCAGGAUCUUGUCACCGUGCUUGAUCAGUUUGUUGGAGUACCAUGAGAGGAAAAAAUCCCCCUUCUCGGUGACGUAUGUUCCGUUGUCCUUGAAGAAUUGGGUCUUCUCGGGAGUGUCAUUGUACUCCCCAGCAUCAUCAGGCAAUUCCCACUCAGGAUGACCAGCCUUCGCUGCUGCUGCUUUGAAGUCUGCUACCAGGUACUUAUCGUAGCACUGCAGAUUAUUUUUGUUAUAGUAUAAUACCAGUCAGUUAGAACAGUUCACUGAAGUCCUUUUGUCUGGUAGUGGUGAUAUAUUUUUUAACAUUUUUUUAUUUCAUCUUGUGGUAUUGUCUGUUUUUAGAUGUACGUUUGAUUCCAUCUGCUUUUGCCGCUUAACCGUGUGACUGUGGUCUCACGUUUGCGUCUGGUACAUUCCUCAAAAGAAUAGUGUGGCCGUUUUAUCCAAACGUCUCUUUUGAUCAGAAUCACUUUGACGUUAGCUGUUUCUUUUGUAAAGGAGCUUUCUCAAUGGAUAUCGUCACUUGGACAAAAAUUAAAUUGACCUCGGUCAGGUUUUCUGUUAGUUAGUAUGGCAGAAAGCACUCACGAUGAAUUCUCCGAUGCCUGGAAACACCCAUCCCUGGCUCUGGGGAUAGGAGGGGUACCUCAUCUCUCCAGCCGGGCCGAGCCCCACCUCAAUGUCCACAAUGACACCAGCAUUCAAGAACUCUUUCAUGUUCUCCCUGAAGCUCGCCAUGUAAUCAGUAUACAUCUAUCACACCCACAAAGGAGAACCAAAUUAAAGCUUCCCACCAUGAGCGUACAUUCGCAUCAAAAUCGCAACUAUAUAUGCCGUUGCCCAGAUUCAUCUGACCAGACCACCGUAUAUAUAUAUGCAAGUAGAGGUGGCUUACCUGAAUUGCAGUUCUUCCGUGGAAGAGAGGCUGGUCGUCCACUCCAAGAGUGAGGUACUCGAUGUUCCUCUUCCCGCUCCGGUUGGUGCAGAAAAUGUCGGGAUCGGUCGCGCCGAUGUCCCGCACCCACUGUGGGAUCGGGAUGUUGACGACGUCGCCGACGUUGCCACCGCACUGGUGGAACGACAUGAUGGCCUGCAGCUUCAGCCCGGCCUCCUGCACCAGCUCGAACACCUGCUUGUAAGCGCUCCAGUCGUAGGCCUUGGGGCCCUUGCCCUCCACCAGGCCCCACCAGACGUCUAUCAUGACGCCAUCGACGCCGGCUUCCGUCAGCUUCUUCAGCUGCGCCCUUAGCUUGUCGCCCUUCUCGAACUUGUUGUCUACGCUCACAACAUCCAGCUGUUUUUUUUUUUCGCCGGGACAAUCAAAUCAGGGUUAGUACAGAAUUCCGUCCAUUCAUGGCUCUAGUCGACUUGUCUAUGAUUUCACGCAUGAACUAGAGUUUAUACAUAUCGCUAAUGUACUACAAUAUGCAUUAGAUCCUUGAAACGGUGUAUCAGUGAAUGGAUGAGCUUAGCUUACAGGGAGCAUGACGUUGACUUGGACAUAGUUGGCUAGCAAGCUCCCCGCCAUUGUGGCUUCUGGCUAUGCAGUACUAUGCUUUGGAAACACUGCGCUGAACUUGGUUUGAUGGAUGCUGCAGGGAGCCUAGGGGGUCUAUUUAUACUGCGAAAGGGUGGUGGGUGGCAGCUGAGAAAAUAUAUUUUCCUCUCAUUGAGUGACGUUUUUUUUUUGGGGGAAAUGUAUUGAGUGAAGGUUGGGUAACUCAUACGUCCGUUUGGAGCGGCGAUGUUUAUCAAGUAUACUAGAAAAAGGUUUCUGAAGUAUAUCCGUUCAGGUUAUUUGAAGCCCCACUUCUGACACCAUGUUCUUUGUGAUCUAGAAACCCGUAGUGUUUCUAGAGAAAAGGCUUUUCAGUUCAGCUUUAUUAGAAAGCCGAACAAGAUUCAGCUGGGAGUUACAGCGUUACAGGAUAGGAUCACCACCAACGUAGCUAAAGUAUCAAAAGGGAUAACAGCACUCCAGCCAGAUGUGCACACAAGCACUACUACCAACAAACUACAAACCUCAACAUAACAGCAUAGACUACACCAGUCCGGAUUUGAUUAACAUUGGCAAGCCGGACCACAUCUUGAAUUUGCUUCAUCAUCGCCUCCAUCGCCAUGCGCCCUUUUUCAUGAAGAGCUAUCCAACGUGUAAGUAACGCCAUGGCUUUGAACACAACCCAUACCGCCAACCUCUUUAGGACGAUAAAGGUCUUCCCACUUCACCGUAUGAUACCUCCUCUUAUCUCCAAUUCCUUCCCAAAUUUUUUCGGCUGAAUAGAGUCUAAUUUCGCAUGAAUUCCCUCAUUCAACUUAUAGAACCCCAUCAUGUAAGUUGGAAUAUUGUCGAAGCAAGCAUCACAAACGGGAGUAAAGUUCUCCAACAACAACUUCUUAGGGGCCACUGGAAUGCCCAGAUAUUUCAAUAGAAAGUGUCCAACUUCACAAUUCAGCAAAGAAGCAAUCCUAUACUGCUCUUGUUCAUCACACCCAACAACAAAGACCUCACUCUUUGUGUAGUUGAUUUUAAGACCCAGCAUCUCCUCAAAACAAUAGAGAAGAAACUUCACCAUCGCAAUUUUUAAGGAACAAAACUGUAUCAUCCGCAUACUGCAAGCGUAAAAUUCCUCAUGGGACAAGAUGCGGCAACAAGCCUCCCAUAUGAUUCUUAUCCUUCGCAGAUUGAAGCAUGAUGGCCAACGCUCACCAAAUUAAAAAGCGGAUCUCUCUGCCGCAAACCCCUAAGAGUCCUAAAAUAUUCAGAAUAUACAGAAACCCGUAGUUUACACGUACGAGUUUUUCACGUACCCAUAAAAUGUGUAAUGCCGAUGGGCUCGAUGCACCGACCACCCAUGCAGGGCCGGCCUACCCGGGCGCGGGGACGGAUGAUGAUGAUUUGACAUGAUGUGAUAUGAACAUGGACGGAUCAUCGUCUCCCCGCCGCGAAUUUUUUUUGCCACCGGUGGAACGGAACCAUCGACGCCAACCGUCCAAUUAAACAACGGUACCAGCGACCGGAAUCGUGAAAUCUCCCUGGCAAACCCGACCCAAAUCCGUCGCACUACGGAACAAAAAAUGUACUACGUAGGCAGGCACUGCCCAAUCAUGGAGCUAAUCUAUGAAGCACGUUCCCAAAAUCGUCCGUGGUUCGGUGCGUGCUGCUUCGUCGAUCUUAUACGUACCACAAAAGCACAUGAGCGCGACGCUUUAUUAAUUCUUGCGGGGUUCACUGUACCUGUCAGACUUAAUUCACGGUCGAUCCACUGAUGGAGCCACUCAUCAAUGCACGUGCCUCUGAGCUGUAGCGUGGAGUCUCACACCACAAUUUCUGUCCAUCUGAUCAGGUCCCCUACGUGGCGAAUCCGUCCAAGAAAAGAAGUGGUAAUUUUCGUGCUUGUUAAGAGUGAUCUGCUGCUACCACUAGACUCGUGUAUGUCGAAGAUUUACUCAUCUGUUGAGUUGUGUUAUCGUGUAAAAACCGUAAGAUGGGAUUAUGUAUGAGGCCAUAGGGGCUUUUCAACCGAAUACCCAUUCGACCUUCUCGAACACCCAGUCGAUGAACUCCGCGAGGUCGCCGCCGACGGUCAUGUCCGUCUCGGGGUCGAACGGGUACGGCGCCUCCGGCGAAGUCGCCUCCAGCAGCUUGUCCACGGGCAUCGCCGGCCUCGACCGCUCCAGGGGCUUCAGCGGCCGGAGGUACCGGGCCGGAUCAGGGCAGUAAUCCUGAAAUCAAACCAACAGCCCAUUGCAUAUUGUCACAAGUAUUGGGCCUAACAGAGCCCAUGUUACGAAACCCAAAGGCGAAUCUUAUGUUGGGGUUUACCUGGUCGGCGUGCAUUUUCCGGACGAAGGUUUUGAAGGCCCGGAACUUGUUCCCGGCCAGGAGCUGCUCCGUCAGCCGGAGGUACGUGACAGCAGCUAGCCGAGGCCGAGCGCCGCCGACGCCGUUGGGCCGCGCGUUCUUGAGCAUCUGGUUGUAGGCCCGGCGGUCAUACCUGGGCAGCGCGUUCUCACAGGCCACCUCGGUCCCCUCCCUCCACCCGGCGCUCAGCACUUGCUGGACGAGCUCCUCCGGCCCGCUAAGGGCCUCCUGGGCCUGCUCCGAGUUCCUCAUCUCCGCGCAGGUGAAGUUGAGCACGGCGCCGUCGUGCCGCGCCAGCAUGCGCGCCACCGGGCCGUAGCCGUCGCGGCCGCCCACGUUGUAGUACCCGGCGGUGAGCUCCGCCGCGUGGCUCGGGUGCCUGUACCACCAGUGGAUCCCGGACACCUUUGCGGCGAGCUUGACGGUGCAGCCCAGGAAGGCUUUGUUGGCUUCGUCCAUGAUCCUGUCCCCGUGCUCGAGCAGCUUGUUGGAGUACCAUGUCAAGAAGAACUUGCCCUUCUCGGUGAGGUACGUCGGGGUGUCGGGGCCGUCCGCCGUGAAGAAGGCCGUGUCGUCUGGCGUGUCGUUGUACUCUCCGGCGUCGUCCGGGAGCUCCCACUCCGGGUGCCCGGCCUCCGCCGCCGCCGCUCUGAAAUUCUCCUCCAGGUACCUGUCGUAGCACUGCAGCAUAGCAACGCCGUUUAGUUAACAAUCUGAAGCAAGGCUCACCAAACAAUUGCAGAGUACGUAGUGCUUCUUGUUGUUCUGAAAGUCUUGUCAGUUGGGCAGAGAGGGAUAUAUAUAACUAGGAGGCCUACUUGGAACUGUCCGAUGCCGGGGAACGCCCACCCCUGGCUCUCGGGGUAGGAUGGGUACCUCAGCUCGCCGGCAGGGCCAAGCCCGACCUCGAUGUCCACGAUCAGUCCAGACUCCAGGAAGUCCGCCAUGUUCUCUCUGAAGCUCUUCAUGAAAUCGGCGUACAGCUGCAGUACACGUCGUCCGCGAUCAAAUUAACUGUCUUUGAUGGUUAUAUCCUGCAAUUUUCAACGGACAGAGCAUCCGUGUAUACAUACCUGGAUGGCAGUUCUGCCGUGGAACAGGGGACGGUCGUCGACGCCGAUGGUGAGGUACUCCUGGUUCCUGGCCCCGCCGGGGCUCGUGUAGAACACGUCCGGGUCCGCCUCCCCGACUUCCCGGACCCACGCCGGGAUCGGGAUGUUGACGGCGUCGCCGACGUUGCCGCCGCAGGCGUGGAACGACAUGAUGACCUGCAGCUUGAGCCCUGCCUCCUGCGCCAGGCGGAACAGCUCCCUGUACGCGCGCCACUCGUACCGCGCCGGCCCGGCGCGCUCCACGAUGCCCCACCACACGUCCGCCAUCACGCCGUCCACGCCGGCCUCGCGCAGCCGCCGCAGCUGCGCCCGGAGCGCCCCCGCGCCCUCCACCUCGUUCUCCGCGGUGAUCACUUCCAGCUGCGUUAAUUACAACGUUGAAUCGCCGACCGUAAGCCAUAAUAGUUGUCGAAACCACAUGGGUUUGCUCUGUUUCUUACUUACGGGGAGCAUGACGAAGACCGGGACGUAGCUGGCCAGCGUCUUGUCCUCGUCGGCGUCCGAUGGCGGGGGCUGUGGUGCAGGAGAAGUCUGCGCGGUCUCGGCGGCGACAGCUCGGACGGAGGCGGCCGCCGCCCUCCCGGAAUGGACGACGAGCCGCCCAGUGCUUGCCGGUGGAAGGGGCGCCGACGCCCUUCUACGGCAGCUUCCCCAUGGCUGCACCUUGACCUGUGAUGACGGUGAGGUCGCGAGCAUGGUGUGUGUGUGUGUGUAUGCAUUUCUUGAUUGCCUUCUCUUCGAGUGUCUGAUGUACCACUGCGAUUUUGCCUUGUUCGGUCGACGAUAUUUUGGCGUGUCUGUGCUGUGUAUGUAAGUGGCCGGCCGGUCGCCGUUGCCAUGGGAUCCGCGUGACACACGAAUCUGCUCCCUUUCUUCGCGAUGUGUAGCCAUGGGAGGAGGAGCCUGCCCGGACCUUCCUGCGGGUGUCCAUCUGAAGGUGUGGUUUGCGUGAGCCGUGUGUUUUCUGCGGGUGUGCAUCGCUCGUUUUUGUCCGUAGCUUUUCCUGUUUUCGUCGUGAACGUUUGGUGUUGGAGAGAGGCUUGAGGUUGUUUGUAUCUUUGGAGCUAGCUCUAGCAAGGUUGCAGAUUCUUAGGGCCUCCGCAAUGUGCGGCAAAUUGGGAUGUCAAAUUGUCAAUCUAGACUUUGAUACCGGUGUACACACUGUAGAGGUGGUGCCAAAUCAGAAAAAAAUGGGUACGAGCACCUUCCGGCUUCGAUGCUGUCAACCCCGGGAAUACCAGAGUAUCCCGCCCGGGAGUGUGGCUCGCAGGAACUAUCCAAAGACUUGGCACAUCUCCGAAAAGAGUUCGACUGGGGCUCCGCGAAGGCGUCUGCCACCACCCGCGGGAAGGAAUGUGUCUGCCGUGGCAUCAGCUAGUCACGAGCGAACUCUUUGGCGUCCCGUCGAUUGGUAGUUUCGCGUCCAUGGACUCCGACGAAGUCAACAGGGCCUGCGAACCGUGGGCAUGACGAUCCUCACGCAUGGCUAGAGGCUGGAUGCAGCGAGCUCAUCCCUUACUUUUGAUCAGGUAAAGUCCUUUGUGCAGAGUUUCACCUCACCGGACUCGACAAGUCCUGAAGACCCCCCGCGCCACGGACGUGGCGCAGUACGCAUGUACAUAACCACACAGCACACAGGGCAGCCGACCAGCUUCAGAUUCAUGUUGCAGUGCGGAAAUCCCCUUGCAGUAAAACCCUAGCCGCCACUGUGGUGACCCCUUACCACUGUAAAAGAAGGGCCAUGGCUUCCAUAGCAAGGAUCGGAUCAUACUGCGGCCAAUUGAGCCGCCCUCCAAGGUUGAGAGCUCACCCUUGUAAUCAAGAAACAACCACCAUUUCAACAAAGCAGGACCUAAGUUUUACACCUCCAGGUAAGCUGGACAUGGGUAAAUAUCCCCGUGUCUUGAGAUUGAAGAAGAGGCUUGUGUCACUCUCGCAUUCCAACACCAAACCACAAAGAUUGGUUUUUGUUUGAGGGAAAAGAAAUAGUAGAUCAAUUGAUCUACUGUAACAGAGAAUAUGUACAAUGAUUAUCUAAAGUUUCUAAGCCAGUCAAUCAUGUCCGGAAUAGAUUUUCUCUUAGCACGACGGAAAACAAGAUUCAUUUCAUCUCUGAAGAUGGUGUCCUGACUCCCGGUAUCAGUGUGCAAAAUUGUGUCGUGCUACAUUUUUUUGUGAUGAGUCGAGAGAGUUACAUAAUGUUUUUAUUUUGAGUUGGGUCCUACUCCGCCGGUAAAACUGCGGACAUUGGAGACCAACAUUGCUUUUGCUAAACUUUAGCUAUUUUCUCCGACACAUAUUACUUGUCUGAAAUUUGUCAAAUAUGAAUAUAUCUAUGUUUAAGAUGGAUAGUAGGGAGUAGUUGAUUUUUUUUUCAGCGUCAGUCGCUUUGAUUUUGGCGCACGAAUUCUUUACUCCACGUCGGGCUGCUGCGUGUCCCGGCUCUCCGCGUCCGGCUGUUGCCCUUGGGCUGCUGUUGGUCUUUUUCGUUUUCGGCUGGACUGGAUAUUUAGGCCGAGCCCGUGCCGGGGCUGAGUUCUCUGAGUUGUCCCCCUUUUAUUUCAUUUAGCAGUGUUCUUUUCUUUUUUUACGAGGAAUUUAACAGUGUUCUUCGGAGAGCUCUAGAGAGAAGAGGGGGAGAAGAGAAGAAAGGGACAGCUUCGAGGGAAUUCGGCAAUGCUGCGGCGGUUGUUGGGAAACGGGAUGCUGCAACAGGAAGCGGCCUCGUCUAGCUCGGUAUGGAUUUUGCUCUUCAAAUCCCACGCUCGUUCAUGCUAAAAUGUCCCCGUGUGUUUUGUUUUACUGUCUUUUUCUAGACCACCGUGUGAUGAAUUCAGCUUUGUCAUUGGAUUUUUUUUCUGUAGCACAAAGUGGUGUUGGUAAGCAUUUAAUUUGAUGGCAAAUGACUGAUAGAGAUUUCUCGCAAAAAAAAAAGACUGAUAGAGAUGCACAAAGAGAGAGCAGUAGUAUAAGAUUUACUUAUGUCGGCAACUAUUGAGAUUUUUCUUUUUCUUUCGAGUCUCUGUCUGAACCGAUAUUUCUAUUCUAAGCAUUUGUUUCUGAGUUUAUGUCCAUGUAUUUUUGCCAAUUGGUUAGUGCUUCUAUGCACUCCGUACGUGUAUUUAACACCUAGUUUGGUUUACUAAUAGAAACCAAAAUUUGAUGCUGCGGCUAUUUGGGCACUUAACGGAGGAAUGUGCGUGUAAGAGAAAAUAGAUAGUUCUGAAUACCGUGAGUCAUCCAUUUCUCUACUCCCUCCGUCUCAUAUUAAGUGAUUCAAAAUUGUUCAAAUAUGAAUGUAUCUAUACCUAAAAAAGUCUAACGUCUAGAUACAUGUAAGAAAUCACUUAAUAUGAGACGGAGUGAGUAUGUAAUAGUGACCACGUUCUUUAUGUUAUUCAUUUUGUUCGCAGAGUUGAGGGCUGUGAAAAUAGAUUCUUAACUGGUUUGCCAACAUUGUCUAUUGUUUGUAGAAGGCAAAUUUCUAUUGUAUUAAAAUUCACAUUUCUUAGCAUUUAAUUAAUUACCUUUAUUCAUCUAUGCAUUAAUUGUAAGAUAUUACACUAAGAGAUGAUUUGGUGUACAACAUGUUUUGUUGUCUUUUCUAAAUGAGGUGAAACGCACAAGAGAAUACAGUCUUAUCAACCAUUGUAUAUGUACUUAUGUGUUUCAUGUCAUUUAAAAAAUAUAACAAAAUAUGUUGUACAAUAGCUUAUCUUUUAGUGUCAUGUCUUACCAUUAAUGCUUACAUGAAUAAAAUUAACUAAAUAAAUAUGCUAAGAAAAUGUAAAAUCUAGAGUACAAUGAAAACUUGCUUUAUCCUUCUUGUGAAAAUCAUCUCUUAAUUAAGAAAAGACUCGUGCCUUUUGUUCAGUUCUCUCACUUACACGCCAGAUUUUAUCCUACGUGAUAUUGUUAAGAAAAAGCUGAUGUCACCCCAUUGUACUUGUCCUUAUUCGAUUUGUAACUUCACGUCACAUAAUUACAUACUCUCUCCGUCACACAAUUCUUGUCUCAAAUUUGCCCAAAUAUGAAUAUAUCUAUUCCUAAAAGGCGUCUAGAUACAUGUAAUAUUUUAACAAGUAUGAAAUGGAAGGAGUAUUGGUAAGUUAUGAUUGGUCAAAUCUUUUCUUAACGAAAUUAAAUACGUCAAUCUUUAUAAGAAAUGAGAAGAGAAUGAUGAUAAAAGAUGUAUCCUGCCCAACUGGGCGAGAAACUAUGCUAGGAGUGUACCGAAGCGCACACAAAGAAAUCUCAGAAGGAAUAGGAAGCAGUUUAUUGGAACGCAAAAAAAAAAAUCAGUUUAUUGGUACACUGACCAAUACGUAGGCCGUGACGUGGUGAAGCUACGUCAGGAAAGCACAUCCGGCAACAGUCAGUCAUCCUCACGGUCCCGAAAGUUUUCAAUGUUUAUUAUUUGCAGAGCAGCAGGACAAGACAAUCAUGCACUAGUCUAGUGAUCUUCACCGGAUGCACUAGCACGCUGCAGUAGAAUAAGAGAUUUAGAGCGAGAGUGAAGGCCGGCACAACCUGCGUCCUGGACUCCUGGUGCUCCGCCAUGGCUUCAAGCGGCGAGCAGCGAGAACACACGGUGGCGCUGCUCGACAGCCCUGCAGCAGAGGUCUGCCUCUCUCCUGUUGAUUUAUUCAGCGAGGAUAUAUGCUCUUUGAUUUCUUCUCUAGUCACUCGGCUACUCGCUUUUCUCCGGCAUAUAGAGGACAAAUGGAUGUUUAGCUUCUAAAUUUGGCUGGGGAUUUCCUUGCGGCAGGUAGAAGGAGAAUACACCAUUGACCAAUCGCUCGACUUCGAUGGGAACCCCGCGCUGAAGCAUCAUACAGGCGGAUGGCGCGCGUGCCGCUCGGUUCUCGGUAAUCCUCCUCCUCUGAUUGAUAUCUGCCGAAGAUCUGUUGCUAGUUUGCCUGCAAUGGGUAGUAAUAUUCGGUGUUCCUUCCUGGUUCUUAUUCUGUCCGGCCGCCGGCUGCUUGUUGUUGGAUGGCACUACCACUGUACACACGGCAGCCACGGAGUUCUGCUACUGCCUGGCGUACAGCGGGGUCUCGCAGAACCUCGUCACCUACCUGACCACCGUUCUGCGGGAGAGCAAUGUCGCCGCCGCGAAGAACGUGUCCACCUGGCAGGCCACCUGCUUCCUCACACCGAUCGCCGGCGCCGUCGUGGCCGACUCCUAUUGGGGAAGGUACCGCACCAUGGUGGUCUCCUGCUCCAUGGGCGUCGCGGUCAGUUCCCUCGCUACUCUGCACUUCCAUUAAUCACUGGAUUUUGCUUUGCCCCGACCCAUUCGAUGAUCUCUGUUUUAUUUUGCAGGGCUUGGUCGUGAUAGCGCUCUCGGCGAACCUGCCGCUGCUCACCAAGAACGCCGAGCUGUUCACAGGCUUCCCUACCCUGGUCUCAAACCUGGCGUCAGCUCAGGAGUCGGUCCUGUUCCUCGGCCUCUACAUGACGGCCUUCGGGCUAGGCGGCCUGCGUCCAUGCCUCAUGUCCUUCGGCGCCGACCAGUUCGACCACAACGACCCGCCGGAGCGCGCCAGCAAAGGCUCCUUCUUCAACUGGUACGUCUUCACCAUGAGCUGCGCGUCGGUGGUGUCCAGCACCUGCGUCGUGUGGGCGCAGGAUCACUUCGGCUGGCCGCUGGGCCUGGCGAUCCCCGCGGCGGUGCUGGCCGUCGGGCUGGCCUGUCUGGUGUCGGCGUCACGGAGGUACAGGUUCCAGCGAACCCAAGGCAGCCCCCUCACCAGAGUCUGCCAGGUCCUUGUCGCGGCUGUCUGCAAGUUCAACGCUCAGCAGCCGGCCGAUCGCUCUCUCCUCUACGAGCUUCCGGAAGACGGCUCCAUGAAAGGGAUCCAGCGGAUAGAGCACACCAAUGACCUCCAGUUUGUUGUUCCUUCCUACCAACUCACUGCGAUUAUCAAUUCCAUCUAGUCCAAGUUCUUGAGAUACACAUUGCGCGCUUAUACUCGAUCCAUAUCAGGUUCUUUGACAAGGCUGCCAUUGUGCUCGCUUCUGAGGCGGCAGAGGAGGAGGCAACCUUGCCGCCGGCGCGCAACCCGUGGAGACUAUGCAUCGUGACGCAGGUGGAGGAGCUUAAGAUUCUCGUGAGGAUGGUCCCGGUGUGGGCGAGCAUCGUCUUCUACUACGCCGUCUCGGCGCAGGUCUCGUCGACGUUCGUCGAGCAGGGCAUGGCGAUGGACACCAAUGUCGGCCCCGUCCGCGUCCCCCCGGCUUCGAUGUCCGCCUUCGACCUGCUCACCGUCGUCGUCCUGGUCCCGCUCUACGACCGACUGCUGGUCCCGGCUGCCAGGCGGCUCACGGGCAGGGCAAAGGGCAUCUCGGACCUGCAGAGGAUCGGCGCCGGCCUCGCCAUGCCAGCGCUCGCCAUGGCCGCCGCCGCGCUCGUCGAGACGGAGCGCCUCCGCCGCGCGCCCUCGGGGCCGGCGAUGAGCGUGCUGUGGCAGGCGCCGCAGUACGUGCUGAUGGGCGUGGGCGACGUGCUCGCCACCGUCGGGCAGCUCGACUUCUUCUACAGCCAGGCGCCGGCAUCGAUGAAGACCGUGUGCACGGCGCUCGGAUUCCUCGUGAUGGCGGCCGGGAGCUACCUGAGCUCCUUCCUCCUCGCGGCUGUCGAAUGGGCGACGGCGGCCGGUGGCCGGCCUGGGUGGAUCCCGGACGAUCUUGACCAGGGGCACCUGGAUCGCUUCUUCUGGAUGAUGUCUGGGCUGGCUUGCCUGAAUCUAGUUGCGUUUGGGAGCUGCGCCGUGCGGUACAACUCUAGAAAAGCUUCCUGAGCUUCACACUUUCACGGUGGACAGUGAUUCCUUCCUUGAAGUGUGAAGGCCGAGAUCUACAUAUCAUUCACCGAGUGUGAUGACUUAUUGCUGAGAUUGGAUCGAGUUCUUCUUUUUUCUGUUUGACACAUUGGAUCAAGUAAAUCUCCAGUGGCGGAGGUCCCCGUAGGGCAAGGUGGGGGCCGCAGACUUGCAUUUGGAUUGUGAGAGCACAAGCCUCCGAGCGAGGAGCUGCCCACCUCCAGCUUCUUGGAGGAGAAGUCGCCACCUAAAUUUAAUUAGGCUAUCAAAUUAGUUUGGACUAAACUAUUUUGGAUGUUUAACUAAAUCUGAGAUACGGCUUCUCCAGGAAGCUACGUGAGAGCAGUUUUUAGGAGAAACCGGUUCUAAAAUCCGAAAAAAACGCACCCCUAUUCCACCAUAUCUUAUUCUCGCCCUUUUUUUUUAACUUUUGCGAAAAGCAUCUUCUCACCCUUAGGCUGACAUGCAUACGUAAUAACCAACAUGUGUAUAUGCCAUCUCUAUCGAUAGGUCAUGUAACUACUGACCACAUGUCUGGCCGUGAGUUGAAUUAUACUCCUUCCAACUCACAUUAAACUCAAAAUUGCCCAAAUAUGAAUGUAUCUGUACCCAGAAAACGUCUAGAUACAUGUAAUAUUUCAUCACCUAAUAUGGGACGGAGGGAGUAGAAUGUUUGUUUGUCGAUAAAAAUACUAUCCGCCAGCGAAAAAACUCGUUUUGUUAUAUUUAAGUUGACUGAUUUUAGUUAGAGAUAAGUUGAUUCCUCAACCAUGUAUAUGAUUUGUGUUUUAAGAUACGAAAUGGAUGCUGAAAAAAAAAGAUAACGAAACCUACGUACUAAUCCAACGGAUCUGAUUCGUCAAUUUAGAUUUAAUCAUUUUCUUAAAAAUAAGACAACUUAGAUAUAGCCACACACAAAAAAAGUUAGCUGAAUCAGCUCAAUCGAUGGCAUAUGUCCAUGGACAAAACUAUCUAGUCACAAACACAUAGCCGUACAAGGCCAGUUUUACCAAUAGACUAUGUGGCACCUAAGAUAGGACGUGGCAGUGUUAUAUGAAAAAAAAAGUUGUCGUGGAGGGACAACGCUUGAAUUAGAAGGUGUUAAUGGACGAUAAUGUAAGCAUCGAUGUAAAAAUUAGUUGCAAAUUGGAGGUGUACGACGACUUUAUAAAAAAGUGUCAUCAUACGCUCAACAAUAUUUUUUUUUGUAAAAUACACAUAAUCGGGACUUCGUUAAAUAGGUUCGACUCUCUUGUGGAGUGCAAACCUACCUACUCCUAUGUUAGGAGAAGCGGCUUUUCAAAAAAAAAAUGUUAGGAGAAGCGGUGACUGUCGUGCUUGGGGAGUUUGGUCGGUUCGUCACACUGACUUCGUAACUCUACAUACUUGGGUCACUCGGUCGGUUCAUCCCUUGUCUCCUUCCCUUGAGUUCAUUCUUUUUUUCAAGUGAUAAAUGAAAUGAGAUACAAGUCCGAACCAUAGGUACCUUGAGGGAUGAGAAAUGUUAGGAUAAAAGUGCAAGUUAGAAACUAGAGUAGGAUCAUCCUAUUCUUCUUAUCAUGCUCUAGCGCUUUAAGUCCAUUUCUUCCGCGCGUGCAUCCUUUUGUGCCAUUUUAGCUCUUAUUGGCUUAUUAUCUUACUCUAGGUGGCUUGGCUAAUCCUCGUUGGCACCUUGACCAGACAAUUUUUUUAUUGCCCUUGUCUUGUGCCAUGUAGGAUUACCGGUCUAGCCCAUAUAAGAAAACUAUUAUUCCCCAUCAUAUUUAAACUACUCAAGUAUUGGUAGAGGCACACUUUAUCUCCAAUCUCCUUUUCAGGAUAUUUAACAUCUUUAGAGUAACAAAACCAUAUCAAAUAUUAGUAAAAUAAAAAUAGAUUUUUUUCUGAAGUUGAUACAAAUGAAAAAGGGGAAAUAAGAAAUUAUAAAAUAUUAAAUAUGAUAAGUAUUUUUGAAAAUAGAUCCUCACUAAUCGUAAAUCCUCUAACAAAAUUAGAAAAAAACACUAAAAAACUCUUUAAAAUUCUGGAAAUUUGUCAAAUUUUGUGUCAAACAGGCUAAGCUAACCUUGAGGCCCAUAAUACACUACCACUUUCUGUAUCCAAGCCCAGCAUCUUUAGGCCCAGUAGUUCUAGACGGCUAGACCCAUUUGUCCGUACUCGUUAACCUCGUGCUCCCCCUCUUGGCUUGAUCCUUAUCUCGGCGUCGGAGCCCACAACCGCUUCCCAUCCUCCUCCUUCCCCGGACCGCCCACCACCCCGAAUAUCCCCCAAAUCCCGACGCGACCGCGAAACCCUAGGCCACCGUCGCCGGCCACGGCGAGCCUCUCCGCCGCCAUGGCAUCUCCGGAAGGCUCCAACUGGGUCUUCGACUGCCCCCUCAUGGACGACCUCGCUGUCGCCGACUUCGCCGCCGGACCUGCAGGAGCAUUCUACUGGACGCCGCCGAUGCAGCCGCAGAUGCACACUCAGGCGCAGGCCGUCUCCGCCGCGUCGCUUCCCAACCCCUGGUAAUUGCGGCUUCCCGCCUUCUCGGCCUCGAUCGCGCUCAUCCGCGGCUGGCUUGGUGGUUCUAUGGUUUGGGCUAUACAUUCCGUUCCCUGAUUUGCUGCCUCUGUGUACGUAUGUUACCACCUGUAGCGUAAAUUGUGAUCGUUAUAACAUAACUGCUGUUAGCAGGCGUGCGAUUGUAGAUUGGUAAAGCCUAUUAAUGGAAUUUUGAUCACAACUAGAAUUACAUGCAUGUGAAAAGAUUGAGAACGUACGGAACUCCUUACAUGUGGGUUCUUCGUUUUCAAAAUUAUUUUCGCGUGUUAGUACUUAGGACUGGUGUUAGUUCUGACAAGGGUAUUACUAUUUGAGGAUAUGGUUCUGUACAUGGAUGUUACAUGGGCCUUUUCUGGAAGGUGUGUGCAGGAAGGGCUAUUUGCAAUCUGUAUUGCUCAUUUGGUUUCCGCACACAUACAUAUAUAUGCAACAUAGAAGGCAUACACAGCGCCAUGCUUCUUCUGAGUGAGAUGAACAAGGGAAGAGUUCAAAUGAAAAUGGUUAACAUGGUCAUCAGCGAUUUUAGGGAUGCAGCUGCUUCUUCUAUCUGUGGGUCGGAUUCAUGUUGAGUAUCAAGCUGAUGGUAUCAGAUUUAUAUGGCGGAAGUUUGUCUUUCAUCUGUGAUCUAUAUUUCCAGAUCAAGAGUUUGUAAAAUCAAUUGCAUUACAUGUUUCGAGUUAGAUAGUGUAGUGAGAAAUGCCAUAAUUUUUCCCAUUAACAGCUGUAUUAAUGAUCAGAAAAUGGGUGAGGUUGGGGUUGUUAGAAAGGCCCAUCUUUGCGGAUCCCUGCAUGAAGCCUAGCAUGCAAUUUAAAUUAUUUAAAAUGUUUCCAAGUUGAGAACUAUUUAUAGUUACACUUUGGCAUAUGAGGCUAUGCUUUGAUUUAUCGACUUAUCAUAGUAUUUAGCUGUCAUAUUCGGUGCAUGAACAGAGGUGACCCUGUGUGCUGUUUAAUGUAGACCUUCUUUUUUCUCGAAAUGGUAUUUCACCUAUUGUAGGUUAUUAUAUACUAAAUUUGUGAGAGUUUGGUAUUGUCGUUGAUAUGCUAAUUUUGUGCGCUGCUUAUUAUUGUGCACUAUAUUGUGAAUUUUACAUUCUUAACUGCAAAUUUACCUUUUCACUAGUGCUGAAAUCAAUAGCCCUGUCUCUCUGGACUGUGAGCAUGCCAAAGGACAUCCAACAAAUAAACGGUUUGUUUGUGUCUAUGCCUUUUGAAUUCCAUAUUUCAACCAUACUUUUCAUACCUUUUUCUGUUGAAUGUUGCCAACUUAGUACGAAAAUGCUUCAGUCCCAGGUCAGAAAGUAGUGCCCAACCUAGCUCCAAAGCGUGCAGGGAGAAAGUGAGAAGGGACAAGCUAAACGAGAGGUAUGUCCCUGCCAGCAAUUGUUCUUUCAAGCUGUUUUUCUUGCUGCAGCAUUCUAUCUGAAAGCAACAGUGGAGCUUAUGGUCUUCUUUUGUUAGGUUCUUGGAACUGGGUGCUGUCUUGGAUCCAGGGAAGACGCCUAAAAUAGACAAAUGUGCUAUAUUGAAUGAUGCUAUUCGUGUGGUAACUGAACUGCGUAGCGAAGCAGAGAAGUUGAAGGAUUCAAAUGAGAGUCUCCAAGACAAGAUCAAAGAACUUAAGGUCAGUCCUGCUCACAUGGCUUAGAUGUUUAAGCAGUACCAUCCGGCAUCUCUCUCUCGUGAUUUUAUUUGCGUUAUCUACAUACAAUAGAUCUGAUAUUCCACAAGAUUUUCUCAACCUGCUUUGCUGUAUAUGGCCUAAAGACCACUGUUUGUUGACUACACAGGCUUUUGGAUUUCCAGCGAUCUGUCAAAUCUUCUGCCUCUAUAUAUAUAUACUUGUUUUAAGUUCUUUGUUUAGACACUGCUUAUUCUCCAUUAAAUUAUUGUCUAGAGGUCUUGUCUUUCAACAUAUUCAUGAGAUAAUUUGUGGUAAAGCGAUCAUCUGACAAAUAAAAUGAUUUUGAGAUCCUUUGAUUUUUCAGUCUGAGAAGAAUGAGCUGCGGGAUGAGAAGCAAAAGCUGAAGGCGGAGAAGGAAAGCCUGGAGCAGCAGAUUAAGUUCAUGAAUGCCCGUCAGAGCCUCGUACCACACCCUUCGGUUAUUCCGGCUACUGCAUUCGCUGCCGCCCAAGGGCAAGCAGCUGGACAGAAGCUGAUGAUGCCUGUCAUUGGCUACCCAGGAUUUCCCAUGUGGCAAUUCAUGCCACCUUCUGACGUUGAUACCUCUGAUGAUCCGAAGUCAUGCCCUCCUGUUGCAUAGGCCAGCAAAAAUCAUUUGCCUCAUCUAUCUUGAGGGGAAGGGGGCAAAACUGCCUUCCAUUCAAGUUUAUUUUGGCCGCCGUCAGUGUUACUAUUGUAGUCACACCCAGAACAGAACUGAACUGAAGCCUCUUCUUCGUAUCAGCCGGUGACAUGUGAUGUCCUGUGACACCGUUGUAUAUGUUAGUAAAUAAAUACCAUCCGUUGAAGCAAAUGCGAUUAGACGUUGUAGAGUUAUUGUCGUUGAACCUUUUCUUUUUAUUUUCAUUGUUGCCCUGUAGCCUUGUUUGCUUGUCGCCCGUGAUUUGGUAUAACACAAGUAGGUUGUAGCUGGUUGGUUCAUCUUGGAUUGAGUUGGCCUCGCGAUUCUUCCAUGCGAAAACGAAGUAACCAGGGAUCUGAGGGAUGGAUGCAUCUGUGGUCUAUCAUGAAUUGUUGGCAAAUGGGUACGACGUGAUGACCUCUCCUAGCUUAGCAAGACGUGCCCUCCACUGAUGCCGUACUAAUUUACUUUCUCCAGCAAUAUCUUACAAAAAUAACUCCUUUUGUUUUGUACUUUCUUGCCAGUUUCAUCGCCUUUGCUUACCUGCAACCGAGGCAUCUGUCGCGUCUAUUCCUUGUUCCUAGUGUUUCCAGGAGCAAAUGUGCGAGGAAAACAAUAAAUUCACAGCAAGAUGCACAAAAGAGAUGAAACCAGGCAAUGAUUGAUCUGUUUAUAAUUUACCUCUGGUUUCAUCUUAAUUUGGAAACGUGGAGCUUCGGCUCCCUGUCUAUCUAAAGAAAAUCGACUAUGUACAUCGAUCGAUAUAGAGACCGGGUUUGCCUUCUUUUUCAAAAAAAAAAAUCUGACAACAUAAUUUAUCAGAUGAGAAUUGUGGAUAAUAGACGUGUGUACAAAAGCAGAUUUGCACAAGAGUGCCUUUGCACAAAUCGAAAUGUAGUAUCAAAGACCUGUUUCAAAAUGUAGUUACAGAGUAGGAAGUCGUGUCCAUGCACGAAAUGAACAAGGAAUCAACACAUGAAAAAUAAAAUAAAUGAAAACAAGUACAGAAAAAAAAAAGGGAAAGCCUCUGGUAAGACUUUAGUACAAACUCUUUGUACCAAACGUACGUGUAGAGAUCGUGCAAUUGCUCAAAUUAAUCCAAUUAAUUACGCGGCCAUGGCCACGAGGGCGGCCAGCGCCAGCAGACCGGCGACGUGAUACCGCGGCGGCGCGGACGUCAGGGACACGGAGCCGGAGGUUCCGGGGGCGGGGAUGGUGGCCUUCGUCGGGCCGCCCGCCGGCGCGCUCCUGGCGGCGGCGUCCGCGAAGGUGUCCGCGGGCGGGGAGGGGAGCGGCGAAGGAGAAGGAGCGGCGGCUGCGGCUGCGUCUGCUUUGAUCUUGGCGGCGAGGGCGGCGUCGUAGGGCACGGUGGUGACCUGGAGGUGCAUGGUGCCGUUGGCGCAGUGGCGCGGGAUGCCGCAGAUGAAGUAGCGCGUGCCGGCCUCGGCGAGCUCGAACACGGUCUCGCCGCCCGAGUGCGUGGAGAUGGGCUUCCCCGUCGCGCAGCUGCCGUAGUCCGCCUCCGUCACCUCCAGCACGUUGUGGUACGCCUCGUACUUGAAUGCUGCGGUUAAUUAUAUUGUUACCUUUUUGACAUGGGCACAUACAUGGCCUGAUCAUAGUGAGAAGAUUAUCGAGAAGAAGAAGCAGCAGGAGGAAGAGAUAUGUCCGUACUAAGGGUGUCGCCGAUCAUGAAGGUCUUGCCGGCCGUCCACUUGUCGUAGUCGACGUACGUGUCCCAGCCGAUGGAGUCGUCCACGGUGUAGUCCACCGCCAGCGCCGUCGUGGCCAACGCCGCCGCGACCGCCAUGGCUGCGAGAAAUGCUCCGCAGCUGGACUUCAUGACUCCCGAUCGAUGGAGGAGGAUUAGUCGUUUGGUUCUGUGAUCUCUCGUCUGAGCGAUGUAUUGCUACGUUGGGGGUAUAUAUACCGGGAGCUAGCUAGAGCAAGCAAAAUAAGACUUUCCUCUUCUUUGCCCUCUGUUCAUGGCCUGCCAUGAAACAUGCGUCUGAGUAGCUAGCUAGGCUAGGUUACAUUCGAUCAGUUGGCAUAUUUGGAAUUAAUUGAAAUUAUUAACACGUGAGUACAUCGCACCUGGUUGAUUUUUGGAGCGCCAAGUUGACUUUUUCUUUAAUUUGCUAGGCUUUGUAUUGUAUUUUGAGUUGCAGUCACUAUUAUUUAUUUAUUACUCGAAUAUGAAAUUACUUGAACGGUAUUGACGAUACGUGCUUGUAUCACUUUGACAUGCGAGAUUCUUUCAGUAUAAAUAAUUGAUGAAUCAUGAAUGAUGAUUAGCUCCUCUACGUGAGCACACGUCCCUUGCUUCGUCCGUACCGAUCGAGAAUAGCUAGCGUGUUCGUGGCUUCGUGCUUCGCAUGAUCGAUCAAACAUUAAUUUCAUUAUAGGUGGUUUCAGAACGAGUUGUCAUUAAUUAUACAGUUCUCUUUUCUUGUUUUUUCUUCUUAGAAGCAGAAGUCGUCAACCUAUUCUGAAUCCGUAGUGGUGUGGAACAGCCCUUCUCCUCCCCCGCGUCGUCACUCCCGCGGGCGGCACGGGGGCAAACCCUAGCGCCGCCGCCACCACUCUUCCCUCCCCUUCUCCUCCCUCGCUGCCGCCUCUGAGGCUGCCGCCGGCUAAGCCCGGGUCGUGGUCGAGGACGGUGGCGGGGAGGGCUCCUGUCUUGGCGGCGUUUGCGGUGGCAGGGAGCGCUGCAGGGGUCGGCUUGGCAGCAGCUGGGCGCGGCUUCGGCGGCGUGUGCGAGGGCGUCCCCAGCCUGCUGCGCGGCAGAUCCGGCGGUGGAGCGGCGUUUCCGGCGGCUCGCGAUGGUGUGGGCGCGGGCCGAGCCCGGGUUGGGCGGCCGGUGCUGGUGGCUUGGCACGGCGUCGUGGCUGAGUGCGGCUCCCCAGCGGCAUGGCAGGACCUCCCGACGGUGUGCGGCCUCUUUUGUGGCGCCGUGGUGACGCGGCUUUUGGGCCGCGACGUUCGUCUUGGUGGGGCUCCCUGCUCGGGGUUGGCAUCACGGAUGGCCAACGUCGAGUGGAAGGCGUGGUGGAAUAGCCGGAUCUGGGCGGGGUUGUGUUUGAGCUGCACUGGGCGAAAGCCAUGGCUCCGUUUGUUACCUUCCUAAAGGCGUCGAUUUGGUGCAGAUCUCCUCCCCUCGACCAGACCCCAUGCUCCAGGGGAAACCCUAGAUCCAGGUCUUCUCGGAUCGGGCGAUGUCGAUGCUUGGCAUCAUUUCCCUCUUGGGGGCACCGCUUUGGAGCAGGAACCGGCUAGAGGGAUCAGUGGCUUGGUGGAAGGUGGUGGCUGCCCCAGUGUUCGUGGGCGACUUCAGUGGCAGCGACGAUGGUGUUGGGCAGAGGUUAGGCUGCGGCGUCGGUUCUAGUAGUCGGUCUUUCCGACCUAUCCGUUGGCUUUCCAGGAGUGGUUGCUUUCAUUGUUGGAGAGUCAGAGUCGCCAGCUCAGGAGGAGUAAUGCGUGAUGACGAUGACUUGGUGGGAGGUGGUCCGAUUUUUGGGGUUCCUUUUUGGCGCAGGCCUUGCAUAGUGCCCCUCUGAAGCUCGCCAUCAGAAUCGGCGUCUUUUGUUCGCCUGCGAGGAUGACCGACUGUUUGGCAUGGGCCGGUACGAGCUUGCGUGCCAUUGGAGGCGGAGUCCCCGUUCUUGGACGCUAGUGGGGGAAGUCGAAGUCGCCAGCUCAGGAGGAGUGUUUGUGUGAUGACGAUGACUUCUGCGUGCAAUCUUCCUUCAUUUGCGUGCGUUGAGUGAAUGUGGGUGGCCAGGUCGGUUAGUUAGGGUGGUCCAUGGUGCGGUCAUGUUACAUGACGGUAUUAUGGACGUUUUGUUACGGUUUUUGUCCGGUUUUCCGUUAAUUAACUGAGCAAUUCUAUUUUUUUUAAUUAAUAGAUCGAGUCCUUCCGACUCCGGUUCGAAAAAUAAGAAGAAGUCGUCAACCUAAUGUAUGUCUGUUGUGCGAAAAGAGUUAUUUCUAGUCUUCCAAUUUCGGUGUUCUUGAUUGUAUCUUUCUCUUCUUCUUCUUUCUUUUCUUUUUCUUGAAGCGGUUUUUUGUUGAAAUUUGCAAAAAAAGAAUGCAUUUUUUACACUUGAGGAAAUAUAUAUUUUUUUGAGAAAAAUUUAUGCACAUAGAGAAUAGGUAAAAACAUUUAAUUCUAAAUUUUCAUUAAAAACAGAGAUCAUUUACGUUCUUUGAAAAAAAAACAAAAUGACACAAUGAAUUUCCGGCCUGCCUAAGCCGACCUGCAGCGUUCCUAGUGACAGCGACAAUCAGGAUGUUCUAAAAAACGUACGGAAACAAGCGAUCGAUCACUAUUUCAAAAACAAAAAAGCUCACCGAGCAGGUAUAGAAAAACCCUUAUCCAGGACAACUCCAUCGAACUUAGAAAAAGUAUCAUCCGUCCAUCAGUGAAUCUGGAAUAUUUAAUUUCACAUUGUUGAUAAUCUACUCUUUUUACAGAAAACUGUAGGAUACAAAGAGCCAAAUAAGGCACAAAGGAGACCGAGACAAGCCACUAAAGCAGGCUGCCUUGGCACCAUCCCCGAAUCUAUGACACUUUGGAUCAAGAGGUCAUCUUGACCUUGAGGCUACUAAGCCAGGAAGCACCACUUGAUAAUCUACUUACUGCUAGCCACUACUACUACUUGCAGUCCCCAAGCAUAGAUAGCAGAUCAACAAAUCCACUUACACCCAGAGCCACAGUGCAAGAUCCGAUUAAAAUCGAUACAGCAGGGCCUGUUCCUCUAUCAAGAUCAUUUCCAGAAGUCAAUACCGCACAGAGAUGGCUCCGUUCAGCAAAUUGCUUCCAAAGAUUCAGGACUCAUCUUGGCAAAAGUUCUGUGAUCGAUACUUGGUUCGAAGACAUAACCGUUGAGUUUUCAGUGUAUGGAUAGGCGUCCGAAUACGCGUUGGAGCUCUCACUGGUACUGACCUCCUGGAUGCAGAACGCUGGCCUCGACAAAGAAGGCAGACGAACAGUGUGGCUGCUGAACAUGAUGUUCACCGACGACAUAGCCGGCCUGCUCCCGGGUUUUCUCUGCACGCACAGGAGUCCGACGUGAAUGCACUUGAGCAUCUGGUCGAUGGGAGGAUGGUUGCCCAAAGAUGGAUCGAUCAACUCGAUGACAUUGCCCCGGGUCCAGUGCUCCCAUACCUGCAACAAAUUGUUAAGAGUAUUCGUACACUGUUGCAGGAGUUGCAGAGCUUAUGAAAAGGCUUCAGGUGCUCACAUUAUUCAAGAGAUCCACGUCUUGCUCGGUCUUAUCUGAACCACUGUUUCUUCUCCCUGUGACAAUCUCUAAGACCAAAACACCAAAGCUGAAAACGUCCGACUUGAUGGAAUAAUGACCUCCCAUGGCGUAUUCUGGGGCCAUAUAUCCGCUGCAACAAAAUAAGUAAUUCAGAACCCGAUAUAUGUUGAUGUCUUCUUAUGGAUGUUCUUGACGUGCUUACUAUGUGCCGGCAAUACGACGAGUGACAUCUUCUGAUUGAUCCCCUCCAAAUAUCUUCGCUAGGCCGAAGUCAGAUAUUUUAGGAUUGUAAUCAGAAUCCAGUAGUAUAUUGCUCGCUUUGAGGUCUCGGUGAACUAUCUUCAAUUGUGAAUCUUCGUGAAGGUAUUGUAAGCCUCGAGCUAUUCCAUUGAUAACCUUGAACCUCUUUCCCCAAUCUAGCUCUUUGUUUUUCUCAGAAUCUGUCAUUCAAACAAAACAUAUCAUUGUAGUGUAAAUUUUGUGUCACAGCAUUACUCUGAAGAAAAUUUCAAUAAGGGAAACAAAAAAACGCUAUAAUAAGAAAGUCUUACCAAAUAGAAUGGUAUCAAGGCUUCUAUUUGGCAUAUAUUCAUACACAAGUAUUUUCUCAUGUUCUUCCAAGCAAACACCAAGAAGUCUCACAAGAUUCUUGUGGUGAAGCUUGGCAACUAGAACCAGCUCACUCUUCAGCUCUCCUAUUCCUUGUCUGGAACUCUGACAGAGUCUUUUGACGGCUAUUUCUUGACCAUCAGGUAGGUCGCCCUGUCCAAGUAAAGAUACUUAACUGUCGGCAGAAAAACAUAACUGACAAAGGUGUUAUGAUUCUGUACCUUAUAAACCAUACCAAACCCUCCUUUACCAAGCAUUCUACAUUCGUCAAAGUCAUCUGUGGCACCUCUUAGUAUCGCUAGAUCGAGAAGAAGCGAGUCGAUGUUUCGAUCAUCUGAGGUAGCUGAAUCUGUUAGUGGAUAAGUACACAAUGUGUCAAUGAUGAGAAUCAAGACUAUAUGAGCUUUUCAGGAAAUAUGAUUUUGCUGCAAGCUAUGGAAAUUCACGGUAUUAGCUAGAAUUAAGAUUUAAGAAAAUGAAAAUUGACUAAACAAAGUCCAUAUUCUGAACUAAUCAAAUCACCAUGUUCUGGACAAUAAAUUGAUUCAUACUUGAAUUGCUAUUAUUCCAAAAUUCAAAAUGGUUAAGAGGUCUUACAAGGCAGAAACGCAUUUGCUUUUGGUCUUCUCCUCCAGCAGAAAAAGUAUACCAUGACAAUGACCAAUAUGACAGCAAUUGUAGCCAUUACAAUAGCUAGAACUAUACCUGCACUAUUUCUCGUUUUCUCUGCAAGUAAGUAUAUACCAUCAAAAUGAGAAUGUAAUUAAUUUUAUUUUAUUUUUUAAUGAAAACCUGAAUAAAACAAAUACUUCCUCCGUUUCUAAAUUAUUGUCGUUGUUUUAGUACAAAUUUGAACUAAAACAACGACAAGAAAUUUAGGAACGGAGGGAGUACAUUGCUUACAAGUAGCACAUAUAUUUUGCAGGAAAACUUUCCAGGACCUUUCAUAAGAAAACCUUGUGAGUUCAGAGCACAACCAUUUGCAAUAUUGUCUGUUGUUCUGUUCUGAAGGCUCAUGUUUGCAUUACUCUGACAAAUGGUAGCCAGCUUCUACAAUCUACAUGCAUAUAAGUUUCGUUCUUUCUGGUCAAGCAACUAGUGAUUUUUCAACGGAUAUGGAGAGGUCAUGACCCUUGAGCAGGAGAGUGAACAAGCUGUUACUGCUAAUUGUUUCGAAAUCUGUACCAGGAUCAUUUCUUGGCUAGCCAACUGUUUUACAUAAAAUCGAAAUGGAUUCCACCCUUCACCCUUGUAUAGUUGUACGCAAUUUCAGAUCAAACGACCAACUAAACAAGUAAACAUGCCAUCAUAUUGCACAAUUGCAGAACAACAAACUACUCACCUCCUCCUCCGGUGGUCGCCGGUGGCGCAGGAGCGGGCGGCGUGCCGACAAACUGCGGAAGCUGCAGCAGCGGGCGGCCGGAGAAGAAAGGGAACACCUCGUACCGGAAGUUGCACCACACCCCGAAAAUCCCCCCGCCAGUCCUCCCGCUGAACAAUUUGGGCAGCUCCGCAGUUAUGGUGCCAAGGCAGGUCCGGCAGACCUCCACCGUCGUGUCCGGCGCGCACUGCGACAGCGCAUAGAUCUUUGGGUUGCUCCUGUCGUCGAAGCCCUCUGUCCCCGUGCCGAACCGCCUGGAGGAAGACGAAGAGUCCCCCGCCGCCGCGUAGCCGGCCGUGGCGUUGACGAGCAGCCCUACGGCGGCGUCGAACGCCGGCGCGGCUCCGCCCGCGACGCGGCGGGAGCGCUGGAGCGUGUACGUGGUGACGUAGUAGUCGUCGUCGAGGAGGAAAUCCCGGUUGGAGAAGCGGAGCUGGCAGAGGUCGUAGAAGAUCAUCACGUCCUUGUAGAGCGGGCACGCGCGCGUCGCGCCGCGGAAGGCGGCGGCCACGCAGCUCUCGCAGGCGGAGGCGUUGGCGACGUCGCCGCGGCAGAGGGCCUGGCCGUAGACGGCGUCCGGCACGUCUCCGACGCUGCCGGUGGCGUAGAGCUCCGGGGAUGAGGAGGCGUUCCUGGGGAGGGUGGCGGCGAGGCGGUUGAUGUUGGAUUGGUAGGUGCUGUUGGCUGUGUAGUUGCCGCUGGGGGGAUAGGGGCCGCAGGUUGGCCACGGAGGCGGUUCGUCUUCGGCGGCGAUGAGUGGCGCGUAGAGGACGGCGAAGAGGAAGGUCGCGGUGACGCCGGUGAGGCAUGGGGAGAAGCGGCGGCGGGGCUUGGCCAUGGCAACCUGUGACGUGGGGGGGCUUGUGAGGAGAGCAGGUUCGGGUGUCUGUCCGUGUAUCACUGGCAUGUGUGGUCAGUGAGGUUGACUGGAGUAAAGUGACUUCAGGUUUAGUGAACAAAAAGCUUAACCAAAAAACCCUCAAAUUGAUCCCAGGAGGUGCUGGCUAUUUUGAACCAAACUAGUAUCCCCUUGGUACAACACGGGUAACAAAAAAAUACUAACCAAUGUGUACUACACGGUAACAAGAAAGACAAAUGCUAGACGUCGGGCGGGCGAUUUUGGGAAAAAUCCGUCUCCUCACAAACCGUCCGAUUGGAACGCCACGGCUGUUGCAUCCCGCACACAAGAAAGAAAUCAAUCUCCUCCUAUUCCCGUCCCCCCCCCCCACCCCCACACACACCCAACCCAACACGACCAGCCCAAACGGCGCUUGCAGCAUACCGCCAUCGCCUUGCAGCAGCGCCGGUGGUCUGCAGCGGUGCAACACCUCCGGCAAGAAGCGAGGCGGCUUGGUAGCAACGCCAGUGGGAGGCACCACCUCCUUGUAGCAUGGACGUCAAUAGCCUGCCUCAACGCCAGCGGGAGGCGGCGCUGCCUUUCAGCAUUGCUUCGCAACAUCCAGUCUCGCGCCUCGCCAUUUGCAGCACCGCCGACAGGAGGCGGCGUCUCCUUGCAGCUGUGGUGCCUGCAGGUCUCCACACCGCACAGGGCCUAUCAGCACCGCCGCAUAAUGGACGCAAUAUCACCGGUCGCCGAUCGAAGUACUUCCGGUCGUCGUUUGAAGCAUCGAAGCCUCCCGUUCCAGGCUUCCAGCACCCUAAGCCGCCGUUCGUAGCACCCCCGGUCGCCGUCUCCACUUGCAGCACCUUCGGCCACCAGUCGAAGCACCGAUAGCGGCGCUUCCCACACGGCCGCGGGUCGCCGCAUCGCUUCCCUUUCGAGCACCAUCGUCGCAGCACCUUCGGCUUCUGAGUCACAGCGCCUCCGACCGCUUGUUGCAGCACCCUCGCCCGUCGGUCGUAGCACCGCAACCUCCGCUUGUGGCACCGACGGCCGCACUCGCAGCAACGCCCUGGCCAUCACAGCAGCAGCGUCUCCAAUAGGCUUGGACAUUUUACUCGGUACUCGGAGAGUAGCUCGACUCGUUAAGAGCUCGGCUUGUUAGACUAAAGAACCAAGUAGAGCACCUCCAGAAACUCGUUAACACUAAAGAGCUUAACGAGCCGAGCUAGCGAGACUCGCAAGCAUACUCGUUAGCUCGUUAUCUGGCGUCUGGCGGUCGAACCAAACACAGUAACCCACGACUUGUUAGACCCAGCACACCCUCUCGAACAGCCCAACUGCCUGAAUGCGGCCCAAGCCCAAGAUUCGUUAGGUCAGUCGGGUCUCCAGUCUCCUCGUCUUGUACUCUCGUCAAGCUAAUAUUAGUCUUAUUAGUGCUUCUGUAUUGUACUGUAUGAGGACACCGAAGCUGUGUAAUGGCUGCUAGUCUUAUGAGUAUUUGUGUUGUAGCCUGUAAUGGUUAUUAGUCUUAUUUGUUAUGGACUUAUUAUAUAAUGUUGUACACAUGCUUUGCUUGUCAUUUUUUCUGCAUAGAUGCUGCCCAUUUUUUUCACCGCUAACGCGUUUAACGAGCGCUCGCGAGCAGUAAACGAACCAAGCCGAACAGGCUUUGAUGUUCGUUAAGGUUGACAAGCAUAACGAGCCGAGCUCUUAACGAGCCGAGUUCUUAAAAAAGCAAGCUCUUAACGAGUCGAGCAUGCUCGUUAGCCAGGCCUAGUCUCCAACUCGCAAAGCCGCUGGCAGCCUAGCCUCGCAGUCAUGCGCGCGGCUGCAGCCAUGGAAACGCAUCCAAGAGAUUGGAACGAGGGAGAGGAUGAGGGAGAAGGGGAAAGUAAGAGAGAGAGGAUGAGGGAGAAGUGUAACGAGAGAAGAGGGAAAAAGAGAACGUGGUGCUUGGUCGUUUCCUCCUUGUCACGUGUCACGCACGGAAGGCAGUCGACACGGGCCGUGUCAUCGGUCGGGUGAUAACUAUCUUUUCCCAACAAGAAAGUACUAGCCAAGUGGAGGAAGCAUGCAUAUCACAAGUAAGUAAAAACAUAUUGAGAAGGAAAGAGAAGAAAAUUAGUAUCGACUACCAUUGGAGAUGCCCUUUAAUACUCCUCGGCCGUGAAGAUUGCAUGCGGAAGAACUACAAAACUUUUGAAAGAGAGUUACUAACUUCUGCCAGUGAAUAAACUAAUGAACAUUUUGUAGUUCAGGAACUCAAAAAACACACAAAUAAAUCAAUAAACCGAAUUACUGAUACAGAUUAGUCUCAAAAUGGUUUACAAAAGCUAAAAAGGACAUGUGUCAUGAUCCUGAACAAUGGGUUGUAACUAGGUUUGUGUCAUGCAUCCACUUUUAGCCUUGACGAACGUUUUUUUACUAAUCUUAUUACUAACUCAAGUUCAUGGAUUUAUUUGGGUUUUUUAGUUCGUGGAAUAAAAUAUUUUUCAGUUCCAUUUUAGGUUUCUUUUCCUUUCUGUACUUUUCUCUUAACUGAUGCCAUUCGUAUUUUCUCUCCUAUCUAACUAAUGAAAAUGCAGGGCCGUUGCUUAAAAGAAGAAGAAGAAGAAGAAACACAUUUUUGACCGGACGUAUUGAAAAUGAAUGAUUUUCAAAUUAUCCUGGUACAGCUCAUAGUACAUCAUUUGCUGUACGUGUCUCCAUGUUUUCUCUGUUCCUUGUCGCUAUCCAUCACUUGACGUUGAAAAGACCAGAGAAAUGAAUGCAGAAACAGAAGAAGCCUCCUUACUUGACCAAUUCCAUGUGCCACGUGAAUACGUACAUGAUAGAGACCCUGCACUCUCGAUACCUCGAUCGUCGUACACUCGCAGGUAUAGUCCAUUCGCCGUCAGCUGCUGUCCGACGGCAACAGCAGUUCAGUCCUGUCAGUUUCUUGAUUUCUUCCUCGCUGUCGGGCGUCAAUUGUGUAUUACUACUGCGUGUCCAACAUUUUAUCAGCACAGCAGCAGCGCAGCUCGCCGCCAUGGCGAUAGGCACGCGUCGCCGUCUGGGUCUGGCUCCUCUCUCCUUCUACCUCGCUCCAGCCACAGCCUCGCUCCUCCUAACGUUAUUCCUCCACGCGCCGCCGCUCGCCGGCGCGCAGCCGCUGCCGUGGCAGCUCUGCGACGACCCCGCCGGGAACUACACGGAGGGCGGCGCGUACCAGGCCAACAUACGCGCCCUCGCAAGCGGCAUCCCCAAGAACGCCUCCUCCUCCCCGGCCCUCUUCGCCAAGGGCGCGGCCGGCAGGGCCCCGGACGCCGUCUACGCGCUCGCGCUCUGCCGCGGCGACACCGCCAGCGCCAACGCCUCCUCCUCCUGCGCGUCCUGCGUCGCCGCCGCCUUCCGGAACGCGCAGCAGCUCUGCGCCUACAGCCGGAUCGCCACCAUGUACGACGACCCCUGCAUCCUCCGCUACUCCGACCGGGAGGACUUCCUCGCCAACGUCACCGACAACGGCGGGAAGAUGCUCGCGUGGAACGCCAACAACGUCAGCGCGGACGUAGCGCCAGCGUUCGACGCCGCUUCCGGCCGGCUCGUGAACGCCACCGCCGACUACGCGGCGGCGGACCCGAGACGGCGGUUCGGCACGGGGGAGUUGGACGGGUUCGACGAGACUUACCCCAAGAUUUACUCGCUGGCGCAGUGCACGCCGGACAUGACGGCGGCUGAGUGCCGGGCCUGUCUCGGCGACAUGAUUGGGCGGUUCACUCCCCGGUAUUUCGUGGGGAAGCCGGGCGGGCGAGUCUUCGGCGUGCGCUGCAAUUUCCGGUUCGAGACCUACUCUUUCUUCUCUGGGCGCCCGCUGCUGCAGCUCCCAGGCGCGCUGCCGCCUGCACCGGCGCCGGCAGCGGCCGGAGAAGGUGAGUUUCUGAAACAGAAAUCACCCCUGGGAACGUACAGCUCUGAACUUACGCGUGCCCCGGCCUUCUUGAUUGCUUUGCAAAACUGAAAACAAUUUUCUGCAGCUGAAUUUAAGAUGCGUUCCAUCUGAAAUCAACACAAUUUUUUUUGCAGGAACAACAAGACGUGGUGCAGGACCAGUCUUGGCAAUUACACUGCCUAUAGCUGCUGCAGCAUUACUUCUCAUUGCAACGUGCGUUUGCUUCUGGAAGAGGAGAAAACAUACGGAAAGAAAGGCGUCAGUACCAUGUAAGUCCUCUCAAUUAAGGAAAGAGGAACGGCGAUUCACCGAUUACUUCGAUUUAUUCAUGGUUUACACUUUCUGAAAUACUAACAAAUCUUAGUUACUGGAAUUACUCAUGCUCACUCAGAUUGUGAUUUUUUUUUCCGAAAAGAAGGUUCAAACCUCAGGCCUCCGCAUCAAUAUGAUGCUCACUCCAUUGUGAUUAGAUUCUCAUUUGUUUUGCUUUUUGUCCGGGUCUAGAAUCCUACUUAUAUUGCUGAUCAUGGCACACAUGUUUCUUCCAACAGAUUCAACUAAUCAAGAUGACAUUCAGAGCAUCGAUUCCCUCCUCCUUGACCUAUCGACGCUGCGGGCUGCAACAGAUAACUUCGCCGAAAGCAACAAGCUUGGCGAAGGAGGCUUCGGCGCGGUCUACAAGGUACCAAUCGUACCAUUUAGUAAUGUAAAUCUGUUGGUUGCAUACAGCAUUACAGAUUACAGACAUAUAUCUAAACUUGUUGACACACAGGGCGUCCUUUCUGAAGGCGAGGAGAUAGCAGUGAAGAGGCUGUCGCAGAGCUCCCGGCAAGGAACAGAGGAGCUGAAAACAGAGCUAGUCCUGGUCGCCAAUCUCCAGCACAAGAACCUCGUCAGGCUCGUCGGCGUCUGCUUGGAAGAGCAGGAGAAGCUGCUCGUGUACGAGUACAUGCCGAACCGGAGCCUCGACACCAUUCUUUUCGGUACCAUUCAUCCGAUAGAUUCUAUCCCUAGCCGGGCAUACAUAGUUACAUACUGUCACUGGCUCAGCUGUCUGACCGUCUCUCUUAUGUUUGUGUAUUGGUUUCGAUGGAUGAAAGAUCCUGAGAAAAGCAGAGACCUGGAUUGGGGGAAGAGGCUGAAGAUCGUGGGCGGGGUGGCUCGAGGCCUGCAGUACCUCCACGAAGACUCCCAGCUGAGGAUCAUCCACCGGGACCUCAAGGCGAGCAACGUGCUGCUGGACAUGGACUUCAGCCCCAAGAUUUCCGACUUCGGCCUGGCCAAGCUGUUUGGGUGGGACGAGUCGCAGGCCGUCACUAGCCACAUUGCCGGAACGUAGUAAGUUCUUCCGGUACACGUUGGCACGCACAAAUACAUCGGAACAACAAGAGAUUUUAUUUCCUCGUGCUCUAUGGAUGCAGCGGAUACAUGGCGCCGGAGUACGCGAUGCGCGGGCAGUACUCGGCCAAGUCGGACGCCUACAGCUUCGGCGUCCUGGUCUUGGAGAUCCUCACCGGAAGGCGGAACAGCAGCUUCGCUAACUCGGAGCAAUCCGUUGACCUCUUAAGCCUCGUGAGUAAUUCUACAUGUCCAAGUUCCAUCUGAUCUGCUCCCCAUGAAGGCAAUUUACAAAACCGUCUUCACGAAACAAUGUUAAAUUCUGGCGCGUACGUGCAGGUAUGGGAGCACUGGACGAGGGGAACAGUGGAGGAGCUGGUGGACCCGUCGCUGGGCGGCCGUGCUCCGGGAGGCCCGAUGCUGCUGAAGCUGGUCAACGUGGGGCUGCUGUGCGUGCAGGACAGCCCCGCGGACAGGCCGGCCAUGUCGGCCGUGAACGUCAUGCUCAGCAGCAGCACGGUGUCUCUGCAGGCGCCGUCGAGGCCCACGUUCUGCAUCGAGGAGAUGGAGGGCUACUCCGACAUGUACUCGGCGACGUAUCCAAGGGGAUCCCGGCCCACCAAGGUGCAGACGGCCAUGUCGCCGAACGAGGUCUCCAUCACGGAGCUCGAACCAAGAUGAGGGCUGUGAAGCAAUUUGCUUGCUACUAUACGUAUACUACGUACUAUACUACUGAAUCUCCUGUAUUUAUGUUGUUGUGACCUUUUAAUAUGCUGAAAGUACUCAGCAAGUUCUGUGCUACUGUAGUAUACUAAGCACUAAAGUAAAGUAAUUAAGGUUUGUUGCACAUCUUCGCACACGAGUCAAGAUGGCCGAGUUGGUCUAAGGCGCCAGUUUCAGGUACUGGUCCGAAAGGGCGUGGGUUCAAAUCCCACUCUUGACAUUAAUUUUUCGUACACAGCACUACUCCGUUCAUUUUUCGUACACAGCACUAAACAAUCCUUUCUGAAACAGAAGAAAGAAAAGAAAACCCCAACCCGCCAGAGGCUUUCAUCGCAUCCGAUGCGCUAGCAACUCUAGACUGGCAAUGGCGUGCAAGCUAGGUUUAACAGUGGCCACCUCGCCAUACCGGAACUACGCUACGCUGGAUGGUUGGCCACCCCGCGAUCCUUCAAUGCGCCGCAGUUCCACGGCCGUGCCCUGGUGGCCUGGUUCUUUCCACUCCUCUCUCGUGUUUGAACUUCCUACACGGUGAGUCCAUGCAUAUGUGGUACGUCGUCGCCACCUGCUCCAACAUCGUUCUAAUUAAUCCAAGUGUUCCAAAGCUAGAUUUAAAACAAAAUAACAAACUGCUUGUUUCCCCGCAAAAAAGCUUCCAACUUCCUGAUCUUUAAGGAGCAAAUGUCCCACCAGCCUUUUUCCUCCGCCAAUCCAACUGACAGUACCGACGUUUCUUCCGAUCUUCUCCCACUCCUCUUUCCCAGACAAUCCAUCAGUCUCUUCACAUUUGAUCACUUAGAGCAUCUGCCUAUCAAGUUUCCUAAAAAUUCUCCCGAAAAGGGCUCAAAUCCGGUACUUUACAUGUGCAAUUUCACGUUUUUCUCUUCAUGUAAAUAUAUAUCAUCAAACUGAGAAUGCACUUAUUUUUAAGUCUUAACUUUAUGAAAACAUGAAUAAAACAAAUACAUGCAUGUUCACAAGUACUCCCUCCGUUUCAAAAUAAGUGACGUGGAUUUGUAUAAAUUCUUAUACAAUCUACACCGCUUAUUUCGGGAUGGAAAAAGUAACACAUAUAACUCUUCUAAAGCUUUGUGACGCUUCUUCAGGGCAAGUGCGAAAGAAAAUUUUACUGACAGUUUUCGAGUUGUGAUCUGUGACCCGACUAUGUUUGACGCAUCAACGGUGUUAGACUGUACUGACACUUUUCUUCGUUGUGUCAGUGUUAAACUUGUAGGAGUAAUGUGUUUUGGUAGUAGUGAUUAUAAAUUUCGCAACGGGCCUUCUAAUUUUUUGUUACGGCUUAAUAGACCAAGAAAAUAACAAUCUGUCCAGUCACUAAGAAAUAAAUUCCGUAAAAAAGUUCAUACUCCUACAAAGAUCUGUUAAAUCGAAGACGUGCUACAAUUUGCGAGGCAAAGGGUCGCGGUGUGCAGAAUGUGAGCUAACUGCCAGCCUGCCAGGAUACAAAUGGCGUGGCAAAGGGUCUUAAUUUAUCUAGGCAGCACAUGACACUUUCUAGUACACAAGAAAUUCAGAAAGCAUUGCAUACGGAAGCUAGCUUUCUUUAAUCCUUCUUUGCAUCGUCAGUAUUCAGUUUGACAUUGGAGCAUUCGAGUGCAUCCAGAUCUCAGCCGAUUCCGUCCUCAUCAAACAGGCGGGGCAUGGCGUCCGAGGCAGCCAGCGUCGCCGUGGUCUCGGCCGCCGUGGCCGCGGCCAUGGUUUAUGCGCGCCUCGCCGCCUCGCGUUCGCACCCCGGCCUCCCCCGCCUCGCCGCGCUCCUCCCGGUGCUCCUCCUCCUCCCCGUCCUCCCCUUCACGUUCUCCUCCAUCCACCUCCGCACCAUCUCCGCCUUCUUCCUCGUCUGGCUCUGCGGCUUCAAGCUCCUCCUCCUCGCCGCCGGCCAGGGCCCUCUCCACCCGGCGCUCCCGGUCGUCCGCUUCGUCGCCUGCGCGGCGCUUCCCAUCAAGGUAGUAGUAGAAGUCCAGGACAGAGCAGCAGCGCAUCAGCCGUCCCGGCGGUCUCUCCCUCCCGCGUUCUUGCUCUCCUACGCGGCCAAGGCGGCUCUGUUCGCGGCGCUCGUCUCGCUCCGGGGCAUCCGGGCUCGGAUGCCCGCGUACGGCGUGGUCGCGUUCGACGGUGUGCACGUCUACCUCUUGCUCGAGCUGUUCAUGGCGUCCGCCGCGUUCUUCGCCCGGGCCCUGCUCGGGGCCGACCUGGAGCCACAGUUCGACCGGCCGUACCUGGCCUCCUCCCUCCGCGAUUUCUGGGGCCGCCGGUGGAACCUCAUGGUGCCCGGCGCGCUCCGCCCCACCGUGUACCGCCCCGUGCGCAGCCGCCUCGGCGUGCCGGCCGGCAUGCUCGCCACGUUCGUGGUGUCGGGGCUCAUGCACGAGGUCAUGUUCUACUACAUCACGCUCCGGGCCGGCACCGGGGAGGUGACCGCGUUCUUCGUGCUCCACGGCGUGUGCGUGGUCGCGGAGCGGUGGUGGGCGAUCCGGAGCCGGAGCGGGCUGUGGAGCCCGCCGCGGCCCGUGGCGACGGCGCUCACGCUGGCGUUCGUCGCGGGCACCGCGUCCUGGCUCUUCUUCGCGCCCGUCAUACGCGGCGGGCUGGACAAGGCCAUCGUCGCCGAGUGCGAGGGGAUGCUGGCAUUUUUGGAGGCGGCUGCGCGUGCUCUGGCUGACGCGGCGGCACGUUUGGUCUGGUCAUGAUUCCGGUUGGCAUUCGCGGUGUGUAUGUCAUGUAAUUGUAGUUCCGUGGUUUGCCCAUGGCGAUUCCGGUUGAAUUUGAUUUCAGGGGAACAAUAAGGUCUUCAGCGUAUUUCCCCAGAACAGAAUCUGGUAUCACCGCGCUAUGCGUGGGCACUGGAUCAUGGGAUUGUCGUGUCACGAAGGUGUAGUGUACACGCUGCAUACAAGAGCAUCAGACAACUGAAACUGGAAGAGCACAUUUUCCGUGAUGUCAAACGAUGAUGGAAAAUUCCAGAAAAGCUUUGUGAAAUAGGCAUGAUAUCUAGGACACCGACAAGUGGCCACAAGGGCUCACAGAGCGACGUGGCCUGAUCCGGGCUGUUGUUCCUCAAUCGGAUGGUCAAGAUCACCACUUCGGUUCCUCCAAAAGACAGAGUCUUGGUACCGGUUUCAGCACGGACGAGAGCAUCUCUAGAAGAUAACGCAAAAUCUUGAUAGAAAAAACACGUAUUCGGUAAAACUGAAUCCGUUUUUUAGUUACUAAUUUGGUCCGGACAGAACAUAUACCGCAUACCUGAACCGUAUCAUCGAAUAUUCCCAUCUACUACAGCCAGCCCACCUCGUGGUCGUUUUCCUCCUCGUGAACGACACGAGCACCAGAAACAUCUGUUUUCUCAAUGUUCUCUCGGCGCAUCUGCUUUCUCGGUGUGCUCUCCGUGCUCGAAGACCACGGAUCUGCGUUGGGGCAUCCAUGGUGUGGCCGCGUGAGGGCUGCAGAGGAGGGCCGCACGGGGCUCCAGCACAGGCUCGAUGCGGAGGCAGGGGAAGUACCGAAGCAGUGGCGCAAGCGCGGGUGACGCUUGGCCAGAGACGGGGAAGAAGGUCGCGGGCAUGGCGGUGAGCGCACGCGUAGGGUCCAAGUUGUGGUGGAUCUCGUGCGGGGCGAUGCCGCGGUGUGUGAGGCGUCAUCUCGGACAGGCGGAGCGGCAUGAGAGCUGCUAGAGAUGCUCUGAUGUCCACUUCGAGGUCUUCUUCUGUUUCUCGUUGUAAAAACUCUCUCUUCAGCUAAAAUUAAUCUCCCUUUUGUACAUUCGUACAAUAGAGAGAUGGAGCAUUUGCACAAUAAAAAAAAAUCCUAAUCAAUUUCGGCUGCUUCCCUUGACCCUUUAAAAAAAAUUCUUCGACAGUCGAAGGUUCAAAAAUUGGCCGCGAGCAAUGGUCAGGGUGACAGGCGAAGAAACGGAACUGUGGAGACUCCAGACGAAGAAACGGGGAGGAGGGGUGCGAUCUGCCGAGUUCAAUCUUUUUUCUGCGAGUAAAGUCUAUUUUUACAGUGGUUGGCGUCGACAUCAAACCUUGACCUUGAAAUCCCUGAAUUCAGCACUUUGUACUCAAUAAUUCCGGUCAUCAAGUGCCGGUCAUUAGGUGUUGAAACAUGCUUUACAUACUGGGAUUGCUGACGUGGCUGGGAUCUUUCACUGACCAAGUCAACAUUUCGCAAACACAAGUCAAGACGUCUACGUGGCACGGUCAAUCCUACGUGGCAAAAAAAGAUUAGUCAACGAGUCAAGCCUCUCAUGCCAUAGUCAAAGGGUCAAAUGAGUUAGAGUAGAGGGCAAGAAAGGUGUGAGGAGAGAGCCCUUAGUCCAUGGUGGACCAUGGACCAAGCCCCUCUUUUCCCCCGUGGUGCACACAAAAUCUAUGGACCAAAGGAGCUACUUUUACCACUUUGCCCCCAUUUUUCUCUUUUCCUCAAGGAUAGCCAUGGUCUUUUGUCAUGGACCCCUAGGAUAUAAAUACCCCCCAUGAGGACAUGUAUCAUUGACUCUCAACUUGAAUAAACUCAAGGAGAGAGGGCUAAAGCCUCUUGCAAAGAGCUCUAGUUUCGAGAUUCGGGAAGACGCGUUCGGCCCGGACUCGAAGGAGAAGGGGUUGGGUUAGAGUUCCGAGGGUAUCCUAACCUCGAUACUUGGAAAGACGCGUUCGGUCCAAGUACGAGGCGGCCCCGACGAACCUCUCGCCAAAAGGUGUCUUGGGAAGAUCCGCUCGGUCCAAGCCCUUGGCUAACAACCCCUCGAAGCUUUUCCUAACAUAGGAUUAAGUCGCACCCGCAGGGUCGACCGAACCUAUUCAAAAAAUAUCGACGUGUCAACUUGUCCAAGUGUACGGCGACCUUCGCUAUAAGGCCGGCGUAUAUGCCCUACUUUUAUACCCGCACUUGUGUCAUCGAUCAUUGGCACCCCUUACUCUAAUUGUUGUCGAGAACAACAACAGUAGCGCCGACCGUGGGGAACCCUCGCCGCAAUUGAAGAUCUAAUGGCCCCGACGAAGCCUACUUCAUUGGGUCCCCAACUUGCCGCGAAGUCUACACGGUUGCAAACGAAGAAAGCAAGUGCCUCGGGGGCUCCCGAGGAAGAAGGAAACAUCACCAUUCCGGACGCCGCCGCAAGCAUGGUCGCCACGACGGAAGUCACAGACGCCCCUCCGGUACCGGCCGUCCCGAAAGGAACCGAGGUGUUCGAAACCGUCAUAGGCGGUCCUCGACACUUACCAACGUAGUGGCAAGGAUCGGCGAGCUGCCUACGGUUGCCGCCCCCGCAGGGGACACGGAACUCGGCAUGCCUCGCUCGAUGGGCUUCGCGCCACCUUCCCUACAACCGGUGGUAACCCUGCCCUCGGAACCUACAAGAGGAAACCAUGUGGUGUCGGGAGGAUCCGUCCAGAAAACCAAGGAGUCCCGGCCUACGACCCCUCCAACCCGGGAUUAUCUCCACUGUCGCUCGCCGCGAUCGCCCAAGGAGCUCCUUGCUAUCAUCCUUAUUGGGGGCUUCCGCCGCAAGGUGCUCUCCAAAUCACACACCCUCAACAUCAACCUCGCUUUGCGAAUGCCCCGCAAGCGCCCCUUGCUCCCCCCGCCGGGGUCGAAUAAGGCGCCCACCAGGUACCACCUCAAGCUGCGCCUCGCGAGGAACGAGACCCUAGAGUGCAUGGAAACGAGCAAGUGGUGGAAUCCGGAGCCCGUGCCGACGGCGAAAGGAAUGCCCGGCGACGCUCCGACCCUCCCAGAAAACGUCGAGAUCAUUCUCCAAGCGACCCCUCUAGCGACGAGAGCGACGAGGGAGGACCUCGCCACCGAAGGAACCAAAAGAAUCGGCCGACUUGCAACCCGCUCACUCGAGAGAUCCAAGACGCGCCUUUUUCGCCAAGGUUCAAGCCGCCCACGAUACGACCAUAUGACGGGGAGUCAAAUCCUCUUCAAUUCUUGGAUGUCUACUCCACCGCCAUACGGGCCGCCGGGGGAGGUCCCGUCGAGAUGUGCAACCUCUUUCCACUCGCGCUCACCGGAAUGGCGCAAACUUGGUUUUACAACCCGCGGAGGAACUCCGUGCACUCAUGGGAAUGCCUCCAAGAGGUCUUCAUCGCCAACUUUCAAGGAAACUUUAAGGAGCCCGUGCAGGCUCACGAGCUAUACACCGUGAAACAAAACCCGAGGGAAUCCCUCCGAAGCUUCUUCCAUUGCUUUGCGAAGGUGCAAAACCAAACGCCAACCCGCCGUCGACCACCAUGAUCGACGCAUGCAUGUAAGGUCUUCUCCAAGGAGAAGUGAAUCGGGCCCUAAGUCGAAACCCACCGAAGACGACCGAAGAGCUUUAUCGAAUCACGCCCGGGGCGAAGACGGGGACAUCACCAAGGACGUGCCACGCGCUGCUCCCGAAGGAACUCCCUCGUCCGACAAACCUCCUGCACCCGCUUCGUCUUCCAAGAAGAAGAGGAGGUGGGGGAAAAAGGGCGUCGGUGACCAAGCCCGGAAAAUCUUCGCCGUCGUAGGCCAAGCACCACCUCAAAAGGCUUGGCAAGCCAAGAAACCACCUCGUCCGACCGAGGGAGUGGCUGGAAGGUGCCUCAUCCACAACUCGGCAAGCCAUAGCACCGAAGAGUGCAACACACUCAUCGCAGCCCGCGAAGAGUUCCAGGCGCGGAUGCAAGCCCGACGCAAGGAUGAGAAGACAGCUGAGGCUCCGCGCCUCGCCAUCGUCCUUGUCGCUGACCCGGCACCCAAGGAAGAUAACCUCCCGUUCCAGGAACCUGCACAUCACGUAGGAGUGAUACUCAGGGGCUCCGCAACGGGACAAGGAUCAAAGCGACAACGCAAGGAGUAUGCUCGCGAAGUCAAUGUCGUGGGAACCUUCACCCCGACACCCCCACCUAAGUGGGCAAGCGUGCCAAUUGCCUUCACCGAAGAAGACGCUAAGGGGAUACGCUUCCCACAUGAUGACGCUCUCUUUGUGAUGGCGAUCGUCGCCAAUUGCGAGCUGAAGAAGAUUCUUGUGGACGGCGGAAGCUCCGCUGACAUCAUAUAUCUAAGCACAUUAAAGAAGCUGAUGGAGCCCAAGGGGGGGAUACAAGAACGGCUCGCUUCAGCCAUCCCUUUAUCCCCUCACAGGUUUCGUACCAGGGAAGUCCAUUCAGCCGCUCGGACAAAUUGAGCUCCUCACGACCUUCGAAGAUGCCACAAAUCACCGAACCGAGCUCGUACGCUUCGAUGUGGUGGAUAUGGAGGCCUCCUUCAACGCCAUCCUCGGGAGGACAACGCUAAACCGUCUUUGUGCCGCCAUCAACCACAAUUUCUUAUGCAUGAAGAUCCCAGGCCCGAAGGGCGUGAUAACGGUCCGCAGCGAGCAAUCUUCCGACAGGAAGACACUUUACCGCCACGAGACCAAGUGCGCCGAAAGGGAGAAUCAUCCAAGAGUAUUAACUUGCUUUCAAGCACGGGAGCAUCCGAAACCAAUUCUCAGGAGCGCUACAUCCCCAAGCCUCUCCCUGAGGGAGAACUCAAGGAAGUACGCAUCUCCCAAGAUGACGCCACGCGCACGGUGAAAAUUGGAGCCGACCUCCCGAGUAAACUCGAGGAAGAACUUGUCGGCCUGCUCCGGAAGAAUUCCGACCUCUUCGCUUGGUCACCUCCGAAAUGGGAGGAGUCCCGCGUGACGUCAUGGAACAUCGCCUCGCCGUGCGACCGGACAAAGCUUCCGUGAAGCAGAAGCUUCGGAAACUCUCCACCGAGAGAAGCGAAGUCAUCAAACAAGAAAUCGCUAAACUCUCCGACGCCGGGCUUAUCCGAGAAGUUUGGCAUCCCGAGUGGCUAGCCAAUCCUGUCUUGGUGAAAAAGGCCAGCGGCAAGUGAUGAAUGCGUGUCGACUUCAUCGACCUGAACAAGGCAUGCCCCAAGGACGACUACCCACUCCCUCGGAUUGACUAACUGGUCGACCCCACGGCGGGAUGCAAGAGGUUGAGCUUCUUGGACGCCUAUUCGGGAUAUCACCAAGUCCACAUGGCCAAGGAAGACGAGGAAAAGACCAGCUUCAUCACUCCCGUCGGCACCUUCUGCUAACGCAGAAUGCCCAUUGGAUUGAGGAACACCGGCGCGACCUUCCAACGCCUCGUUAGCCUCAUCCUCAAAGAACUAUUGGGGAGAAACGCCAAAGUAUACGUGGAUGAUGCCGUCAUCAAAAGUCAAAUUGCAGGAACUCAUCCCAAGGACCUGCAGGAAACCUUCGACAAUCUUCGCAAGUACGGCGUAAAGCUCAAUCCGGAGAAGUGCGCAUUCGGAGUUCGAGGAGGAAAACUCCUGGGCUUUCUCGUCUCUCAACGAGGGAUCGAGGCUAACCCGGAGAAAAUCCGGGCCAUCAUGGAAAUGGAGCCUCCUCGCUCCGUCAAAGAUGUGCAGCGCCUAGCGGGAAGAAUGACGGCCUUGUGACGAUUCGUCGCCCGAUCGGCCGAGAAGGGUCUUCCUUUUUUCAAAGCCUUGAGAAGCCUCGACAACUUUGAGUGGACCGACGAAGCUCAAAGGGCCUUCAAAGAACUCAAGACCUAUUUGUCGACCCCUCCGCUUCUCACGAGCCCAAAGCAGGGGGAGCCCUUUCUCCUUUACCUUGCCGCGACCCCGGUCGCCGUGAGCGCAGCACUCGUGAAGGAGGAAGACGGGUCACAACGCCCGGUAUAUUACGUGAGUGAAGCCUUGGGAGGAGCAAAAGGUCGAUACACCCAGAUCGAGAAGAUCGCUUACGCCCUCCUCAUGGCCUCUAGAAAACUCCGUCAUUACUUCAUGGGCCAUACCAUCUUGGUGCCAACCACUUUCCCACUCAAGGAAGUCUUCUGCAAUAAGGAAGCCACCGGAAGAAUCACCAAAUGGGCAACGGAAUUGGCCCCUUUCUCGCUAGAGCUCACGGCGAGAACGGCCAUAAAAUCCCAAGUCCUGGCUGACUUUGUGGCCGAGUGGAAUGCUCCGCUAGCCCCACCCGAAGAAAUCACAUCCAAAACCAAGCCCCCCGAACCACAUUGGAUAAUGAGGUUCGAUGGCUCCAAGCGUCUCGACGGCGCCGGGGCUGGAGUCAUACUCAUCAGCCCCGAAGGAAAAAUCCUGGAGUACGCCGCCCACCUGGACUUCAACGCCACCAACAGUAUGACGGAGUAUGAGGCGCUACUUCUCGGACUUCGACUGGCCAAGGCCAUGGGAGUCUGACGCCUUCUCAUCCAAGGAGACUCCCAACUGGUGAUAAAUCAAAUGGACAAGUCAUAUCAAUGGCUUGAUGAAAGGAUGAAGAAAUAUAUCGAAGAAGUUUGCAAGAUGGAACAGUAUUUCCUGGGCAUGGAGGUGCGACGCAUUCCACAAGGAGAAAAUCACCUGGCCAACAGGUUAGCCCGAACGGCGGGUCCUAAAGAACCGCUGCCGCCCGGUGCAUUUUUCGAAGUAAUCCGCGCUCCAUCCAUAAAGGAAGAAGCCGAUGCCGUUGACGAAGCUUCAAAGACCAGCAUGGUCAUCGACACUCCACCCUCUUGGAUGACAUCGAUUAUCCGCGCCUUGAAAGGCGAGGUGGACGAAGAAGCGGAAGGCCCGAGCGCCAAAACUCUGCUCGCAAUAGCCAAGAUGUACGUCCUCCUCUACGGCGCCCCACACAAGAAGGGUGUCGCCGCUUUGCUUAAAUGCAUGCCCUCGACCAAGGAGCCAAACUCCUACCCAAGGUCUAUUCGGGAAUAUGCGGCAACCAUCUUGCGCCAAACGCAACCAUGACAAAAGCCUUGCACUAGAGGUCCUAUCGGCCAACGAUGGUGCAAAGCUCAAACCCAAGGGGAGAGGGCUAGAGCAUCCCAAGGGGCCUGCUCUCGAGUGCUUGGGUCGAGCCUAGCCUCGACUUGACCUCAGGGACGCACCUUGGGAGGCCUAGUUUCGAGGUUCCGGGCCGUCUAGUACGGUCUGGACUCGAAGUAGAGGGGUCGAGUUAAAGUCUUGAGGGUAUCCUAACCUCGCUACUUGGGAAGACGAGUUCGGCCCAGGUCCAAGACGGCCCCGAAAGAUCUCUCGCUAUAAGUGACUUGGGAAGACGAGCUCGGCCCAAGCACUUGGCUAACGACCCCCUCAAAGCCUCUCCUAACAUAGGACUAAGUCAUGCCCGCAGGGUCGACCGAACCUAUUCAAAAAAUAUAGCCCGACGAAAUGGCUAUUUUCUCGCAAGGGAACGGACCUUCUCGGGCCCUCCCCUCGCAUGCAACGGGGGCUGGAGACAUGCCAUGGUGACAGGAUAAUCAAUUGCCACUUCUCCGAGAAGGUCAAGGCAUAAAUGCUUCCCUGAGGGAUUUGUGUCGCAAGUCAUCCAAAAGUUCCGGGAAAAACGUCAUUUUGCCAAAAUGAUGUCCCGCAAGAACUAAACUCCAAGGAAUUCAUAAAAUUCUGCGACCAUCUGGAAGAUAAAAGUACACUUCACCUCCAUGACUUAUCUAAAGACAAACGGCAUAGUCAAUAGAGCCAACGGACUCGCCCUCUAGGGGGCUUCGCCAAGCAGUCAAAAGUAUGAUAAGCAAGGAGGAAUGCGAGCCAAUAGGCUCGUCAAGGGUGUGGUGUGAGGAAUACGCACCUUUGCAAGCCACUCUAUAGGGCCGAACACCGUAAUUUUUGGUGCAUAGGAGCAAAAGCAAUGCUCUCGGUCAAAGUCAAGCGCCACGCGCUCACUUCAAGAGGAAAGGGCUCCAAAAAACCACCGCCCUCGCCUUCGCGAAAAAUGAAGAGCAUCAAAUUGAGGAAACUGCCGACAGAGACCUCAUGAAGCAUGCCACUUAUAAGCAGACUGCAACUCGCUUAUACAAAACAAGGGUACGAGAAUGAUUCUCCUCCGAGAAGACCUCGACCCGAAGCUCUAGCACGAGCUCGGCCCUAAGUGGGAAGUACCUUGCCGCAUCGCAGCCAAGAGGGACAUAAAGAGAGCACACGUGUCAUCCUGAAAGCAUAAAGGGAUAACUCCUCAUCAAUGCCUGGAGCCGGCAACGAGCUGCCACUUCUAUGCCUAUAAUGGCCGAAGUAACCAAGGGUGCGCCUCCGACCCUUCGGGCGAGUAUAAGUGCCAAGCCAGCCAUCUUCGCCAAGGGAUUAUAAGCGCCCUCGAGGCCAUCUCGUCAAAAAGGAAGGGAAAGGGAUGUGAGCACAAUCAUCCUUGGAAAAAUUAAGGUAGCACAUUGUCAUGUGUGUUACCUUGGCAUGUGUGGGCACUCAAAAGAGGCUCACCGUCAUCGAAAGGGAAAACCUUGUCAUGUGGCAUCGCCGCGAAAGGUUAAUCCUCCUCGUGGGGAGUUGCUGCCUAAGUGCCACUCUCCAAACUUAUCAUGGGAAGCCUACACCGGCCUAGGUAUUUCCCAUGCAGCAUCACCGCAGAGGAGAACCUUAUCAAGCGGCACCCCCGCGAAAGGAAAAUCAUCCUCGAAAAGAGUUGCUGCCCCAGUGCCGCUCGCCAAGGAAUGCUAGGAGGCCUACGUUGGCCCAAAGCAUCUCCCGAAAUGUCUCCGGACAUAAUUGUCUCAUCGGCAACCCGUUCCUUGGUGGAUCCUAGUGUGCCCCGAGGCCAUCCACCAAGCAGAACCAAGUCCCCCGAGGGCCGGAAGCUCCUUAAAACGCAUUUAAGGAGAACCGUAAAUAAGCGAGUUAUGCAUGAGCUUACUUACCUCGGAGAACCAUGCUAUCCGUGUGCGAGACGUCACGCACGGGCCUGUGUGAUAGUAACCGAAUUAAGGCUCCAUAAUAAUCGCGGAAAAGCAUAGCUUCCUGAAGUCCGAAGAGGGAAAAUUCCGCAUGAAAUUUCCCGAACGGCAGGUCGAAAUGUCCGGAUCACUACCGGCAUAUCGAUAGCGACCCUCGCAAGGGUACCAGGAUUCAUGGCUCGUAACCAUGACCUAAGGCACCGAAGCCGAGUCAUAUCCCAACGGCAACAUCAAUUGAAAGCACAAUGUGCGAGUAAUAGCGAUUGAUCGCGAGCUGUAUAAACUCGAGGAAACAUAAUAUUCCACAAAGGAAGAAAUGUAGUACUCACAACCACAUGUUGAGCUAAAGUUGACAUUUCCUUAAUGUUAAUAACAUAGCGAUACAUGGAACGAAACAAAUGGAUGCAUUGCAGGCAUAUGGCAAGCUACACGCAAGUCAUAAGGCUAUGUCAGAAGGACAAUGUGCAAAGCACAUAUGCAAGCAUUAGAGGUGACUUGUCGACUCCAAGGACGACGUAAGCUCAUACCUCCCAAAUACCCUCCGGAAGGGUGAGGUCGGAAACUCAUCACAAAGUGAGGAAUUUUGGACCAUUGAGUACCACCGUACUCCCGAGGAACUUCCUCGCCCAACAAGGUCGUCACAACCUUAGGGCUCGAAAGUGCGACGAGGUUACAACCUCCAGCAAGCCUCAAACCUUCCAAAGGUUAAAGGCGCAUGCUAAGACUUCAUGGCUCAACAAAAAGAGUUUGAAGCAAGAAAGCCACUCACCAAGUCUCGAUCUUGGUGUGAGUAGCCCACGGCACCCUACAUGGCUUGGAGAGAGCCCGAGGCCUCCUCCUUUUUUCGUUCGCGCCAAUGUCAACUCCAGAAACACCGGAUACAACUAUCACGGUACCUGGAAAAGAAGACAAGUAUGGUGUCAAAAUAUUCACCAAAGGUGGGCGGAGCAAGAAAAUGCAGAAAAGCUCACCAAAGAUAGGCAAACGAGCUCAAGCUUUGUGCUCGAGAGCGUGAAUGACUCGAACGCCACAAAGGGCAUUGCCUUGUUGCAAAAGCUCCGGUGACAUGGUUGAAACGCCAUCUUUGACUGGGUUGCCAAGCGCAAACACAACCUGUCACAUGGUGCCUAACCAAGUCGCGAUGUCAACAUACAAAACAAGAGAAUCUCGCCAAAAUUCGCUAGGGGGGCUCACCUCCAAGGUUGCCAGACAAUCAAGGUCCUUGCUUCGAUGCGAUUGGACUCCGUUGAACAAAUACCUCGGCAAACAAGACCUCGAUUCCUUUAGGGCGAGAUACCACCAAGAUUGUGGUCAACAAAAGUCUGCAUCCCGAGAGGAUUGGACUAUAUCGAGAUGGUCCUUGAACAAAAGGAAACCCUAACCCCCACCAAGUCGGGGUGCAAUCAUCUCGGUGAUAAAAAAUCCACACCUCUUAUCUUACCUGCAACAUGGGUAACGAAGCGUGUGAGCAACACUGAAGAGCCCAAAGUUCAAGGCUUGUUUCUGCAACAAAAACCUUAACUCCAAGAGUUAGGUUUGAAGGCUCAAGACUCAAAGGCCGUCGCAGAGUAUCAUAGCUCCAAGAGCCAUGGUCGCGGCAAAGAGCCGAAGGUACAAAAAGUACCACUAAAAAGUCUAACUUCAAGAGUUAGCAUUGCGAACCCAAGGUUCGGGGCCGCCGCGAAGUACCAUCGCUCCAAGAGCCAUGGCCGCGGAAAAGAGCCUAUGGUACGAAAGUACCACUUGAAGUCUAGCUCCAAGAGCUAGCACAGCGAACACAAGGUUUGAGGCUGUCAUGAAAUUCCAUCGCUCCAAUGGCCAUGGUUGCGGCAAAGAGCCUAAGGUAUGAAAGGACCACUUAAAGUCUAGCUCCAAGAGCUAGCAUUGCAAACCCAAGGUUCGAGGCCGCCGUGAAAUACCAUCGCUCCAAGAGCCAUGGUUGCAGCAAAGAGCCUACGUAAAAAAGUACCACUUAAAGUCUAGCUCCAAGAGCUAGCGUGUAGAACCCAAGGUUCGGGGCCGUCGCAACGUACCAUGGCUCCGGGAGCUAAGGUCGUGACAAUAACGAGCCCAAGGUUCAAAGGUCCAAAUUAAAGGCGAUUGCCAAAGACCCAUCUCGCCAAGCAAACAUGAAACUCGCCUAGAAAAGAUGACACAAAGAGAUUAGUAUGAGUUGCAAAGAUUCCCAAGGAAGCUACUACGGAAAAUCUACGGCAAAAGACGUCGCCAAGGCAUGCACAACCACUGGUCUAAAAAAAAGGGGAGCCAAGCUGCUGGGCUGAAAGGCCCACAGCCUGCCUACGCGAGCAAAGCUCCUCAGGCUGCAGGCCCACCUCAGGCCAGCCCAUCAAAAAAAAAGGGGAGAGAGAGCCUCACCCCCGGGCCGCAGGCCCAUCUCUCGUCCGGCCUGCCCACGUGGAGAAGAAAGAAGGAGAGACGCCGCCACCUACAGGGUGCUCGAUGAAUCGCCUGACGGGGGCACGCCUCGCGCCUCGGCGCCUUGCCACGCACGCUCGCCCGUGUCCGCGUCGUGCUGUCGUGCCCAUUUAUGUGUCAUGCCGCUCGCAUUUGCGCCGCACCAAGCACGCUCGCGCCAGCUGCGCCCUCGCUGUGCCUCGCGAGCGCGGUCCCGCUCCAAGCUGCGUGUGCCUGCGCCGUGCCGAAUGCGCCUGCCAACACCUUGUCGCGUGUGCCCGUUCCUACUCCAUGCCCGCGCCCGCGCCGUGUCGCCCGCGCUCGUAGUGCCGUGCGCUCCCAUGCGCCUGCCGCGCCCGCACGCGCACCUAGCCGCGCCGCGCCGUGCCGCUCUGUCGCACCAGUGGCACCCGGGGUACCACCGCUGCGCGACGCGUGGGCCCCGUCCUCGAGUUCCCGGGAAGGUUUCAUCGCAGGCAGCGGCUACGAGCAGUCCGGCAAGCUACUAGCCCGGAAGGGCUAGCGGGGCUUCGGGGAAUAUUCCCGCCUGGAUACCUCCCGGGAAGCCGCUUCCCGGGGGGAGGUUCCUGGGUGCGUUGGGCCCGGGCGCUUCCCGGGGAGCGACUUGCCGGGACAGGGAGUUCCCGGGCGCCUGCCCCCGCCUCAAGCGUGGGGCCCAGUAGGCAGAUCAAAAGCGCCACGCGAGUGCGUGGCAGGCGUGGGGUGCGCGGCCCCACCGGGGCAAGGAGUAAGGCGCACGGCUCAUUAAAUGAGCCGACCAACGGGGCGUUACCCGUCCGAUCAAGUGAACAGUGGCUGUCCAAUCCUACCCUAGGGUUUUAGACCCCUAGCGGCGGAGGUGGCAUCCAUGCGUGCCACCAGCUCACCGGGGGGGAGUUGUAUGCCUCUCCGCUCGACACUUGUAGCGCAUGCACCGUGGCACCUGUGGUAUCCCCUUGAGUAUAAAAGGAGGACCCCUGCCAACGGUCAAGGGGUUCGUUCGGUUGGAAUCUCAGUUGGUUCGAGUAGACGGUAGAGUUCGGCUGAGUUCGGUCAUCCCACAGUUAGCCUCUAGCUUGAGCAGAGAAUAGUAAGGAGUACCUUGCCAAAGGGAGAGAGUACCCGGGAACUUUUCCGGCAGCCUGUAAACACUCGAUUCACAACCAAUACCAGCUCAAACAAGCAGGACGUAGGGUUUUACACCUCCGGGUGGCCCGAACCUGGGUAAAAACGUGCAUGUAUCGUUUCCUUGAUUAGCGCGCACUUUCAGUACAUCCUUUCGCCGGCCCCGCAGGGCCUCAUCGGCCGAGCCGGCGAUCGCCGGGGUGAACCCCGACGCCCCUACCGAACCUAAAAGGGGGCCGUGACCGCACGCCCCCGGUGUCGGAGCACCCUGCGACGACAUCUGGCGCGCCAGGUAGGGGGCGCGCCAGAAGAGCCUGCCGGUGGUCGCCGGCAGCAUCGUUUGCGUCGACGUCGGCCUCGCCUUCUUCGCCGACGAGAAUAGUCGCCAUGCCCCCCAAGCGGGCUGGUGAUCCUCGUAUAAACCCGCGUGAAGCCUCAGCGGCGCACACGCGGUCGCAUGACAUGCGACCCGAGUCAGGGGCUCCGGAGAAUCCCGAGCCCUCGAGGGUAUAGCAAACACAGCUGCCUCCCCUGCCUCCUCGGCCGUCUACCGACAAUCGGCCGAGGGGACCGGCUGCCCCCAAUGCCAGGGCCACUCGCGCGAGCACGCACGGUGCCGCCUGCGCCGGGCAGCGGGUUGAGUCGCGGGCCGAGGAUGCUCCGCGACAGCGGCAGCAGGAGCAUACCGCGUCACGGGCGACCCCUGGGGGUUCGCACCCAGCACACCCGGAGGUGUCCGGGGCCAGAGCGGGAAGCAGUCGCUCAGGAAACCGGUUGCCCCCCGCACGAACCCCGGCGGAAGCCAUCAUCGCCGCACGCGUCAUGGUGCGAUACGAACCGCAACAAGGCACACCGGCGCACGAGACGUGGGGCGAGGAGUUAGAAGCACAUCUCGCCCUGGCCGCCCAGCAGCCGCAAGGGGAGGGCGCCCCGGUAGGCUCCGGCCACGGGCAGAACCCAGAGCGCGGGGACGCGCCACCCGCCUCGCGACAGGGGGAGAAUCCUCCCCCUCCGCAGGGAGGCCAAGGAGACAGGGGCCCGGAGGGGUCCUCGAACUCGUCGCUCACCGUUCCGGGGGGCGAUGCACGCGGCAUCUUGAAUGCCCGCCAGCAAGAGGAUUUGCGCCAGCGCUUGGAGUGCCCGCGCAGGCGCGAGGUAGAGCGCCAGCGUCCACAGGAGCAGGAAGACGCUCCCAUGGGCCCCGAGGACGGUUGCACCGCGUUCACGCGCGAGUUGCGACGGGUGACGUGGCCCCGUAAGUUCCGAGCGCCCGCGCUCGGUACAUACGACGGGACCGCCAACCCCAAGGAUUUCCUCCUGACCUACACGUUGGGCAUGCACGCCAUCGGCGCCGUUGACAAGGUCAGGGUCAACUGGUUCCCGAUGGUCCUAAAAGGAUCAGCGCGAACCUGGCUGCUCAACCUGCCCACCGGGUCCAUCGCCACUUGGGCGGACCUGCGCAAGCAGUUCGUGAGCGCGUUCCAGGGCGGCUAUAAGUUCCCGAGAACCAUGGCGGAGCUGCACACUAUCGUGCAGAAGCUGGGAGAGACGUUGUGGGCCUUCGUCAACCGCUUCUCCAACCUCUCCUAUUCCAUCCCAGAGGCGGAGGCGGCUGCUAUCAUCAACACCUUCGCCAUCAACGUCCGUGAUCCCAAGAUGCGCGAGAAGCUGAGCACGCAUCGGAUCCGGACGACGCAGGACCUGUACGCCCUGGUGCACAAAUGCGCCAUGGCCGAGGAAGGGCGCCUAGCGCCCGAGCUUGCAGCUAAGGCUGCCGCGAGCCCUGGCGAGGGUUCGCAGAAGAAGGGUUCCCGCAAGUGCAGCGGAAAGUAAGUUCUCGCUGCAGACUCGGGGGCUCCUGCCGUGAGGCCUGCGAAGAAGGCCUCGUCGGGUGGUGGAUCUGGCGGGAAGCAUGGCAACGCGCCCCGCUGCCCCAUAAACAGCAACUCCACCCGCGACGCGCAGAACUGCCGUGUUCUGCAGGGGAUCAAGCAGCGGCGGGAGGAGCGCCAUGAGGAGCGCCACGCCGCCAGUGGCUGCUUCAACUGUGGCGACAUCGGGCAUCUCUUCCGAGACUGCCCGAACGACCCCAGGGCGGGGCCAAGGCCUGCCGGUGGCGGUGCCGCAGGGAUGAACCCCAAGGGGGGCGCGGUCAGCCCCGCGCUGGGCGGGAACGCCCACCCCGGGGACGCGACAGCGCACGCGCUGAGGAGCAGCGCGAGUCCGACUGUACUGGCGGUGACGAGCCGGGCUUCCAGGAGCCUCGUGGCGUCGCUUGCAUCCAUGGUGGAGCUUACGCUCUCCCAUCCCACGCCGCGGUGAAGCGCCUCACCCGCGACGUGUGCGCACUGUUGCCGGAUGCGGAGCCGCAACAGCCGCUGAGGUGGUCGCAUGUGCCGAUCACCUUCAGCGCCGACGAUCACCCAGCAUGGCAGUUGGGUUCAGGGGUAAUACCUUUUGUCGUCUCGCCGAUCAUUAGCAAUAUGAUGGUGACCAAGGUGCUGGUGGACAACGGAGCGGGGCUUAACCUCCUGUCCGCCAGGCUGGUGGAAAAACUCCAGUUGCCGGUGGAGCAGCUGAAGCCCACCGACCCGUUCCGGGGGGUGAACCCCGGGAUCGUGCGCCCGCUGGGACGCAUCACGUUGCCGGUCACCUUUGGGUCCCGAGAAGCGUUCAGGACCGAACACAUUGUGUUUGACGUGGCGCAUACCCCGUUGCCCUACAACGGGAUCCUUGGUCGGCCAACGCUGAUCAAGUUCAUGGCGGCCACGCAUUGCGCUUAUGGCGUGAUGAAGAUGCCGUCCGUCUAUGGAGUUCUCUCCAUCAGGUGCGACCUCAAGGACGCGGCCUGGUGCGUCGGCGAGGUCAUCAGGCCGCUGCCGCAGCUGACGCCGGCGACGAAGACGCUGCCGGAGACAGUUUGUCGGGCGAUGCCCCGGCAACGAAGAAGGCCCGCGCUACCCCGCAAGAGCUUGUCGGGGGAGGCGCAGGCUCGAGCUCGCGCCCCGGCAAGGGGCAGAAGCUCCGGGAGGAGGCCGCCAAGGUGAAGAACCUGCCCCUCCAAGCCGGCGACAAGGAGGGCACCGUUACUGUCGGUGCGAACCUUGCAGCCGAAUAGGAAAGCACCCUCAUCACCUUUCUCCGGGAUAAUGCCGACGUGUUCGCAUGGGAACCGUCGGAUCUUCCCGGAGUCCCCAGGGAGGUGAUUGAGCAUCGGCUCGCGGCGCGCCCCAUCAAGCAGAACGUCCGCCGGCAAGCACAAGAGCGUAAAGAUUUCAUCAAGCAAGAGGUGGACAAGCUCAAGGCUGCCGGAGCGAUCAGGGAAGUUCUGUACCCUACUUGGCUGGCUAACCCUGUAGUAGUGCCUAAAGCAGGGAAUAUGCUUUGCAUGUGUGUAGAUUUUACUGAUCUUAAUCGCGCAUGCCCCAAGGAACCCUUUCCUGUACCCCGUAUCGAUCAAAUAGUUGAUUCUACCGCUGGUCGUGACUUGCUGAGUUUUCUGGAUGCUUUCUCCGGCUACCAUCAAAUCAAGAUGGCGGUCGAGGAUGAGGAAAAGGCAGCGUUCAUCACCUCGGUUGGCUGUUAUUGUUAUACAUGCAUGCCUUUCGUGUUGAAGAACGCGGGCUCCACAUUUCAGCGCGCCCUGCGCGAAUGUUUGGGGCCCCAGCUAGGCCGCAACACGGAGGCCUACAUGGAUGACAUCAUCAUCAAAUCGAAGCGUGGGGACUCGCUGAUUGAUGACCUGCGGGAGACGUUUGACAACCUCUGCAGGAUCAAGCUCAAGCUGAACCCUGAUAAGUGCACCUUCGGUGUCAACUCCGGGCAGCUUCUGGGUUUCUUGGUUUCACACAGGGGGAUACAGGACAACCCGAGCAAGAUAGAAGCCAUCGAGAAGAUGGAGGACCCCCCGCAAGGUGAAGGAUGUCCAGCGCCUCAACAGCUGUGUUGCCGCGUUGGGAUGUUUCAUCUUUAGGCUGGGCGAGCGUGCCCUGCCUUUCUUCAAGGUGAUGAAGAAGAAGGGUCCAGUCGACUGGACUCCUGAGGCCUAGGCGGCGUUCCGGGAACUCAAACAGUACCUGAGGUCGCCGCCCGUCCUCGUCGCCCCCAAGCCGGGCGAGCCGCUGCUACUCUACCUAGCGGCGAUUGACUAGGUGGUCAGCUCGGUGCUGGUUGCCGAGAGGGAGGAAGAUGUCCCGGGUACUGAGGCUGCGGGGCAGGGGGCUGAGCGGCCCCCGGCAACCGCCUUGGACCCGAGGACCACCCCCGAGUCGGCAACCUCGGCACCGCGGAAGCGGUUGGUGCAGCACCCGGUGUACUUCGUGAGUACGGUGCUGCGCAACGCGCGGACGAGGUACCCGCAAGUACAGAAGCUCCUUCAGGGGAUUCUCCUUACGUCCCGCAAACUGCGCCACUACUUUCAGGCGCACCACGUUACGGUGGUGUCGGCGUUCUGCCUUGAACGGGCCCUCACCAACCGUGAAGCCACCGGGAGGGUGGCCGAAUGGAGGAUGGAGUUGUCGGAGUUCGACCUUCACUUCGCCAACUCUAAAAGCAUUAAGAGCACGGCCUUGGCGGAUUUCGUUGCGGAAUGGACGUCUAUGGGCGUGGAAGAGAAUGAACCAGAGACCAGCCUGCCCGGCAAGCUGGACGAGGACCACUGGGUCCUCUACUUCGACGGCGCGUUCAGUCUCCAAGGAGCAGGCGCCGGAGUCGUCAUCGAGUCACCGACAGGGGACCAGUUGAGGUUCGCUGUCCAACUCGAUUUCGCGAACUCCACCAACAACACUGCGGAGUACGAGGGCUUGCUCGCCGGGUUGCGGGCGGCAGUCGCCCUCGACAUCAAGCGCCUAGUUGUUCGCGGCGAUUCCCAGCUCGUGAUCAACCAGGUGAACAAGGACUACGACUGCCCACAAAUGGCACCGUACGUGUAGGAGGUCCGCAAGCUAGAACGUAAGUUCAAAGGUUUGCGUUUCGAGCACGUCAAGCGAAAGGAUAACUUCGCUGCUGACGAGCUGGCCAAGAUGGCAGCAGAGCGCCGGAAACCUCCGGCGGGGGUGUUCUGUCAGAAGCAAGCGGCUCCUUCAGUCGCCCCCAGCCGGCUGCUGGGGACGCCCCUCCGGCAACCGAAGGAACCCUUGCCGCAGCAGGGGUCCAUCUCGCUAACAUAGCGGCAUGUGUUGGCAGGGAGAUCCCUCUCUGGGCGGAAGAGAUCGCCCACUACUUGAAAGGAGGGGCUCUCCCGGAAGAUAACGUCGCCGCGGAACGAGUAGCGCAGCAAGCCAAAAUGUACACUAUGGUGGAUGGGAACCUCUACCGCAGGCGUGCAAACGGUGUCAAGCUUAUCUGCGUGCCGUAGAAAUAAGGGCACGCACUGUUGGAGGACAUACACCGAGGCACAUGUUCACACCAUGUGGCCUCCCGGGCUUUAGCCGGCAAGGCGUUUCGGCACGGCUUCUACUGGCCCACAGCCAUGGCCGACGCGGAGCGGCUGGUGAGGACGUGCGAAGCAUGCCAGUUCCAUUCGAAGAAAAGCAACCAGCCGGCGCAGGCCCUACAUGUCAUCCCUUCCUCGUGGCCGUUCGCGAUCUGGGGGCUCGACAUCGUCGGUAAGCUACCAAGGGCGGUUGGCGGUUACGAAUAUCUGUUCGUGGCCAUCGACAAGUUCUCUAAGUGGGUGGAGGUGGAACCAGUGCGGAAAGUGACCGCCCAGGCAGUCAUCAAGUUCUUCAGAGGCAUCGUGUGCCGGUUUGGUGUGCCUAACAGCAUCAUCACCGACAACGCCACACAGUUCACGAGCGCGGCGUUUCAAGCCUAUUGUGAAGACAUGGGCACUAAGCUGCGCUUCGCGUCCGUUGCUCAUCCGAGGAGGAACAGACAGGCGGAGCGAGCCAACGCAGAGGUGCUGCGGGGCUCAAGACGAGAACCUUUGACAAGCUCAAAGCCCACGGGAUACACUGGGUCGAAGAACUCCAGCCCGUGCUGUGGUCAAUCAGGACCACACCUAGUCGGGCAACGGGCGAAACUCCUUUCGCCCUUGUCUACGGGGCAGAAGCGGUGCUGCCCCUCGAUCUCAAGCACGGAUCUCCCCGGGUACGAACGUAUGGCGACACCAGCCAACGCGAGCAAAGGGUUGACGAUAUAAACUUCAUCGAAGAGCUUCGAUGCCGGGCUGCUGUGCGAGCCUCGCGCUACCAGCAGGGACUCUGUCAUUAUCACGAUAGGCGAGUCCGUCCCCGGGGGCUCGAGAACGGAGACCUUGUCCUGCGUCAGAUACAAGAAACGAAGGCCGGGAACAAGUUUACUCCGAAAUGAGAGGGGCCCUUCCGGGUAGUGCAGGUGACCAGGCCGGGGGCUGUCCAGCUGGAAACCGAAGACGGCUUGCCGGUGCCCAAUAGUUGGAAUAUUGAGCACUUGCGCAAGUUCUACCCGUGAAGCGGUGGAGCCCGACCCUUAGGUGAUGCCGCCGAUGCAUGCCUCUCGAACUAGUGAAGCCGGGCAGCCCCCGUGUGUAAACCACUAGUUAUUGUGAAUAAAGCUUUAAAUUCGCCUUGUUUAUUUGCAUGUUCCUCCUCCUUCUGUCUCCCGCUUUAAGUGCACAAAAGUGUCUUUCCAUACUUGGUUGUGAGCAGGGGGCUGUUGGAGCCUCGAAAACAUUAACCCGUUGCCGGAUCGUUCCGAUACGGGACAUGCAGUUCCGGGCUUCCCGCAACGUGCAUCCCUGGACAUGCAGUUGCCGGGCUUCCCGCAACGUGCACCGCGCAGUCGCUGUGCCUGGGAAAUGAAAUGCUCACACCCAAGUUUGGCAUCGACCCCUUUGUGCCUGGGGGCUGGGAGGCAGGAGGAGUUUGUCUGUGUUGCUUUGUGUAUUUUCAUGAAUUUCGAAAAAAAAUUGCAGCACCUCGGGCCUGGUAAGAAUCUAACUUGCAGGAAAGGGUGUAAUCUUGUGCACUGUGGUGCCCGUGGGCUGCCCACGGGUCGCGGCAUGCACCGGUGCCUUGUGGUGCGGGACGACCGCAACACAAGAGACUCACCGCACUCCGAGGAUUCUGCCCCACGGUGGGCUCCACCACGUGUACCACAGUUGCUUGGCAUGCAUGGUGGCGGAGACUGUACCGCGUUUCAAGGGAGGGGUGCCACGGGUGCUGGGCGGAUCCGUCGCGCGCGGUGGCAAACCCACCUCCCGCGCCUAUAAAAGGCACGCCCCAGCCACGGAACGGCUCAGAGCGAAGCCGGGUGAGGGGCCGUUAAGGCGGGCGGUGCCACGGAGGCGCGAUGGUGGUGCAUUCCAUCAGCGCUUAGCACCGACGGGUGCGCUACCAUCGCGCCCCUGCCGCAUCACCCCAUCGAGCCCGCCCCGAGGGGCGUCGUAGAGGCACGGUGGUAGUGCAUGCCAUCAGCGUUCUGCGCCGACGGGUGCACUGCCGCCGUGCUCCUGCCGCACCUCCUCAAGCGGGUGGCUCCUGGGCGAGGGUCGCCGCGGAGGCACUAUGGUGGUGCAUUCCGUCAGCGUCCGGCGCUGACGGGGUGCAUUGCCGCAGUGCCCUUGCUGCGUCCCUUCAUAAGACACCUCCGCAAGGAGCAGGGGCUGCCGCAGAGACUCUAUGGUAGUGCAUGCCAUCCGUGCCUUGCGCCGACGGGUGCACGGUCAUAGUGUCCCGGCAGCAUUCCCCUUGAGAGAGCCUUAUUUCGGGCGCGAGUCGUUGCGAGGACGCUGUGAUGGCGCCGGUGUCGGCGCCCGCCGCCCAUUCUGGCCCAUCACCGCGUCCCUGCCACAGCCCUCGAGCAGUUUUGCUCCCGGGCAACGAGGGUUGUUACGCCCCUCAGGACGAGCUCCCCAGAAAAACCAGGUCUUCCCAGUUGCGGGGGCUGUCGCCGGGAGGCUAUAACUUCCUCGCCACCCGUGCCCGCCGCUCGGGGUGGGGCACAGCUGGCGGCGAGGACGUUAUAGCCAUCUUGCGGCUGCUCCCGAGGUGGAGUCCUCCUAGGCCAGGGUCCCUCCCUGAAGGCGAGUGUCGCUGCAUGAGCGUGGUGGUAGCAUCGUCGUCAGCGGUUGCCGCUGGCGGCAAUCCUGCCCCCGCGUUCCUGUCGCAUCCCUCAGAAACAGUUUCCCUUGAACAGGCACCCGAGGUGGAUCCCUACCAAGGCAGUGCUCCAGGUGGUCUUUUCCGCCAAGCGUCACGAGGCAUUGGACUGAACGGAAAAGCUAAGUGCGUGAACAUGAACGCUGAAUUCGCUAAAAACGGAACGAAAUUGAGCGUUAUCUCGUUGGGUGUGGCCCCAGAUCCUGCGCGUAGCCGGAGUGUUAAAAGGAUGCUUGCGGGGGGAGUGCGCUCCCCGUGUGGCUUCGCGGGUCCGUCCCGGAAGGGCACGGCUUGGAGUAGUUACCCCGCAAGUGGAGUGGCUCCCCACUACCGCUUGGCCCCAGGUCAGCACCGCGAGUCCGUCCCGGGUCCCUGGUCUGGUCAAGGGUGAGGCGCGCGAGUCCCCCGCAACACAAGGCAAAAUGCGCAAAGGCUAAAAGGGCCGCCCCGCUAGACAGCACCAGGAACAAUGAACAUGUCGAAAAACUUAAUUGACUAAGAGUCGAACGAUUACAUGGGCUAAUCCGAAGUAUAAUUGUUCAAACAGCGCUAAGCGCCACACUUGCAGGGAAAGCAAACAAAAGAAGAUACAUCGGGGAGCAACAAGCACGGCUGGGGGCUGCGGCAACUAGUUGCCGCCAUCUUCGGCCGGGGGGUCGGUGGGGAGAUCGGGCUCCGGCUUCAUCUGCAUCCGCUCGACCACCUCGUCAACGAACUCGCGCACUGCUUGGGUGUGCAUGGGCUCGUCCUCGCUGUCGGACCAAGCGUCCAGCAGGGACUCGAAGGGAAACUCCGGGUGCCGGAGAUGAAUCCGCGGGAGGAUUGUCCCGGCAACCUUCCGAGCGCAGUUGGCGACUUCGUUGGCGUCGUACUGGGCGAUCCAGACGUCGAGCGCCCCAAGCUUUCCCACCAGAUCGGAGAAGAAGGGGAUCAGCGUCGUGACAUCUAUUCCGUCCACUUCCGUCGCCUGCAGCUCGAACUUGGGCAGCAGGUCGCGCAGCGGAUGGGCGAUCUUCAGCAGCUUCUCCGUCUCGAUCUGCCGCUGCCCGAUCAGCGUGCCGUGAUGGAGUCGAGCGUCGUGCACGGCCUUUUUGGCCUUGUGGACAUUGCCUUCCAUCGCCGCGAGCUCCGCGGUCUUCACCGCGAUCUCGUUGCCGGCCUUGGCAAGCUCCUCUCGGACGGCGGCCAGCUCGGUCUCAAGCCUGGCCGCUGUCCCUGGCGGAGCCGAGCUCGGUCUCGUGCCGAGCCGCUGCUCCCACCGCAUCUUCGGUGGCCUUGACUUGCACCUCCAGCAUGUCGCAGAAGCCUUGGAUUUCGCCGAGGUAGUUAGCGAUCAGGACACUCUUCUCGUCCAGCCGGGUCUGGGCCGCCGCGACCACCUCGGCAUGUUCCUUCCUGGUCGCCUCGAGGGUGGCCGCCAUUGAGUCCAGCUUCCCUUGAAGCUCCGUGCGCUGGGCCUCCAGCUGCCGGUGGAGCUCGGCCUCCGGGACCACCGGCUGCCAGGCGUCCUCCAAGGCUUGCCGGGCCAGCCGCGCCUCCUCCUCGGCGAGGCGCGUCUCCUUGCGCCGCCGGGACAGUUCUCGCCGCUCUCUCUCCACGACCUCCCGCACCUCGCCAAGUUGGUUCUUGGCGGCAGCGUGAUGCUCCCUCACCUCGUUGAAGGAGGUGACGAAGACCUGUUGCUGGUCCCUAACGGCGUCCAGGAACCGGUGCCCCCGUUCGAAGAUGCUCGGAUCCUAGGUGAGGGGGUUCCAAGCGACCCCGGCGAGGGUGCCGAGGUCGGUACCGGGGAGAGCAGCCGAGGACGAUGAAGCCCCCGCUGCCAAUGUGAGGCUGUGCGCGGGGUUGCCAGCCUGCUCCCGGGGGUCCUGUUGUCCUUCCCCGGCAACUUCCCCUGCGCCUGCGCCUAGGGACCCCGGGGCUGGGGAAGCCUCCCUGCUCCCGGCGGGGGCUGUCCCCUACUGGGCGGCAGGUGAGUCCGCGCCAGUCGCGUCCGCAGCUGCGGGCACGUCGCCGGGCGCCGUCAUAGCGGCGGCGAUGUCCACCGCUGCCACUGUCUCUGCCGCGGUGGGGCUUGACGUGAGAGUCGGUUCCGGCUCCACCUCCGCCCCCGCGACCUCGACGACCGGGUCAAGAUCGACCACGGUCGCGCCCGUUCCAGGUGUGGGCGCACUUGUGCCUACGACGAUGAUAAGCAUGAGGAUCGGCGAGUAAUGGGCUGGCGAAAACGGACAAGGGUGACCAAGAUGGUUACCUUGCGCGGCUGUCGGGCUUGCGGGGGGAGCCUCUCCUGCCUUGCCUGUGCCGGCGGGAGCGUCCAAGAGGCUUGCCGCGCGCGGGCUGCCGGUCACUGCGAAAAGAGGUACGUUCAUGAGUUUGGCUAACAAAAAUUGCAGCUGCGGAGAAGUAAUGAAGACAUACUGGUUGCUGGCCCUGCCUCCGUGGGGGCUGGGCCGUCAGGGGGCGCGAUCGCGUCGCUGCCAACCCUUGCGGCGGUGGGGUCGGCGGCGCCACUGGCAUCGGCGCGCGCCCUCUUGCUUGGCGUGACGGGCGGGGAAUCGCUCCUCGCCCUCUUGCUGGCACCCGUCCGCGAGUUGGACUUCAGGAGGUUACGUCGGAGCGCGAAUCCCCGGAAGACCCCCCGAGCAGGUGGCGUCGUAGGCGCCCGCGGGGUCGUCGCGACCCGGAGAGCCCCGGGUGUCGACGGUGAUGCCGCCGCAGUGCCGGGAGCCGAACUUGAGGAGGCUCCCGCUACCGGGGCGAAGGCCGUUGCCGAGACUCCGGCGACCCCUGCGGACGCGGGCGCUGCCGGAGUAUCGGCAGGCGCCCCGGGACCGGCUGCCGCCACGGUGCUGGUGGCUGCCGCUGAGGCGGAGGACGCCGACGAGCGCCCCUGAAGCGGCCGCCAUCGCAAGGUUGGUGGCCGCUGCCGGGGCGGACGUCGCCGUUGAGGAGAUUGCUGCGGCCGCUGCAAAUGCCCUCGAUCUCCUCACGAUCAGGGGCGUGCUGUCGCUGCUUUCGUCGUCAUCGUCCACGGGGACGACCUCCGGGGACGCAACCGCCUGGCCCGCCUCAUCGUGCAGCGACUGGAGGGAGGGCCAGCUGGGCUCAGAUCCGCCCCCGCUCUCCUCGAGCACCUGCUGCUCGCGGGGUGCUUGCGGGGGAGCGUGCGGGACCCGGGUGGGGGUGUCGUCCAUCAACCCCCACUCAUUGCAGGGCGGGAAGGCGCCGACGAUGUCGCUGAGCGCCUUGACGCCGACGUGAAGGCAGGAAACCCCCAGCGAGAACUCCGUUGAUUAGAAGGUCUCGCCGGAGAUCCCCCUCACCCAUGUCCUGAGGGUCUCCAAGUCCACGCCGUCCUGCUAGAGGCGUGUCCUGUCCCCGGGACCCGUGUACAUCCACGCGGGCCGGGAGCGUAGCUGCAGAGGGGCUAUGCGCCGAUGGACGAAGGUGCGUGCCACGUCCAUGUCGGUGAGCCCCGCUAGCCGCAGCGCCUUGAUCUUCUCCACGAUGGGGAAGAGGUCGGCGUCGCGGUGGUACCUGUCUGCCAGCCGUUCUGGGGUUGCGGCAGCUCCGUCGGCGACUGGAUGAACUCCUGGGGGUCCUCCACUCGGACCCAACACCAAUCGCUCCGCCACUCCUUUUUGAUUUUCUUCCCCGACCGGACGAUGAAUUCGGACUUCAUCUGGUCGCGGGCGCGGAAUACCACCCCCGACGACAUUGCCUUCGCGUUGUCAAUGCGGGGGUAGAAGUAGUGGCGGAAGAGCCCCACCGACGGCAUCACCCCCACGAACGCCUCGCAGAGGAACUGGAAGGUGGCGAGGAGGAACAAUGACGUGGGGUGGAGCUGCGCCACCCGCAGCUGGUAGGACUCCAUCAGUGCGUGGAGAAAUAGUGAGAAGGGCGGCACCAGGACGCAGAGGAGGAAGCGCGCGAACACCCAGAAGUCGUUGUCCUGGUGCUCGACGCCCGCCGGGAAGAUCAACGUCUCCCCGUGCUCGUUGAAGUUGGAGGCGACGGCGUGCCGGAGCUUCCCCAGUGCCUCGCCGUUGUAGCCGGGGCGGAAGAAGGCGACCGCGGCCCGCAUCUCCCGCCUCUUCUGGUACUUGGCGGCGGCCGCCUUGGUUGCCGCCUCACUCUUGCUGGCCGCGGUUUUCUUUGAGACCUGGAUCUCCUUCCCCUUUCUGGUGGUGGGGGGCGCCAUGGAAUGCGAGGGCGAAAGCUAGCAGGAGCGCUGGGAUGCGAGAUGCGGAAGGGGAUGAAGACGAAGGCUAUGGGGGCAGAGUGUUUUUCCCCUUUUGGCAACAGUACAGUACGAGCCUUAUAACGCCCGGCCGUUUGGUAAUGGCCGGUUCCGUACCCUACGGGUGCGCUGGGAUAACUCCUAAUCAUUACGAGUAAUACGCGGCGUGGCCUUAACUUCCCUAUUUAGGGGGGGUGUUUGGGGCGGAAAUCACGCGCCCACUACUCCGUUUGUAACGGCGCCGUACACGGGGCAGUGAAGGGACGCGGGCCGCGGCAAAUCGGGGCCCACACGUCGGUUAAGGGCGUAGCCCGGAAACCGACCUGGGGGAGACUCAUCCGGGAACAGGUGAUGCCGGCCCACGCCCGGGGGCUACUGUCGCACCAGUGGCACUCGAGGUACCACCGCUGCGCGACGCGUGGGCCCCGUCCUCGAGUUCCCGGGAAGGUUUCAUCCCGGGCAACGGCUACGAGCAGUCCGGCAAGCUACCAGCCCAGAAGGGCUAGCGGGGCUUCGAGGAAUAUUCCCGCCUGGGCACCUCCCGGGAAGCCGCUUCCCGAGGGGAGGUUCCCGGGUGCGUUGGGCCCAGGCGCUUCCUGGGGAGCGACUUGCCGGGACAGGGAGUUCCCGGGCGCCUGCCCCCGCCUCAAGCGUGGGGCCCAGUAGGCAGAUCAACAGCGCCACGCGGGUGCGUGGCAGGCGUGGGGUGCGCGGCCCCACCGGGGCAAGGAGUAAGGCGCACGGCUCAUUAAAUGAGCCGACCAACGGGGCGUUACCCGUCCGAUCAAGUGAACAGUGGUUGUCCAAUCCUACCCUAGGGUUUUAGACCCCUAGCGGCAGAGGUGGCAUCCAUGCGCGCCACUAGCUCACCGGGGGGGGGGGGAGUUGUAUGCCUCCCCGAUCGACACUUGUAACGCAUGCACCGUGACACCUGUGGUAUCCCCUUGAGUAUAAAAGGAGGACCCCCACCAACGGUCAAGGGGUUCGUUCGGUUGGAAUCUCAGUUGGUCCGAGUAGACGGUAGAGUUCGGCUGAGUUCGGUCAUCCCACAGUUAGCCUCUAGCUUGAGCAGAGAAUAGUAAGGAGUACUUAGCCAAAGGGAGAGAGUACCCGGGAACUUGCCUGGCAGCCUGUAAACACUCGAUUCACAACCAAUACUAGCUCAGACAAGCAAGACGUAGGGUUUUACACCUCCGGGUGGCCCGAACUUGGGUAAAAACGUGCGUGUAUCGUUCCCUUGAUUAGCGCGCACUUUCAGUACAUCCUUUCACCGGCCCCACAGGGCCUCGUCGGCCGAGCUGGCGAUCGCCGGGGCGAACCCCGACGCCCCUACCAAACCUAAAAGGGGGUCGUGCCCGCACGCCCCCGAUGCCGGAGCACCGUGCGACGACACGCCCGCGCCCGCGGGCGCACCACGCUGUGCCGUGUCCGCGCCCCCGCUUUGCCGCUCACACGCGCACCACGCCGCGUUGCGCACCUAGCCGCGUCGCUCCGCGCCGCGCCGCGCCUGCGUUGUGCCACCCGCGCCCACGCGCGCCCCGGGCCGUGCCGUGCCGACGCCCGCGCUCCGUCGCCGACGCCCGCGCACACCCCGGGCCAUGCCGUGCCCUGGCUGCGCUGCGUUCUACCGCCUGCGCCUGUGCGCAUCCUGCUGCGCCAAGGCCGAGCAAGGGCUGAGCCCGCGUCCACAUUGCGCCCCAGCAUGCGUGCGGCCAUGCCGCUCCCUCACCUCACCAAGCCGAGGCCACACUCGUGCGAAGACACGCCCACUUCCACGCCCGGAAGCGACGCCCCGGGAGCGCUCGACAGAAUGCCCACGAAGACUCGGAGAUGGAGAGCUUCCGCGGCAGCACCUCGGCAACCAAUGCGACCUCCGUCAUGAGCAGAAAGUGGCUAAUGCCCCUACGAGGCGCCUACAAUACACCAACCUCUCGAAGAGAUGUCGGGCGCCGCCGAACUCGUCUUCGACGCCGGACAAAUCAAACAAGCAUGGUGUAGGCUUCUCCAGUGGAUGGGGGUUCCAUUUUAUAGGCCACCGGAGUUCCUAGACGUCCGGGUCGGGCCAAUGGGGCGGCGACACCUCGCCGUCCUUCAUCCCAAGGAACAAGACAAGGAGAGGAAGAAAGAAGCAAGGGAAGUUUUGCCUUUUCCCAAAAGGAGGCCGGCCUGGCCGAAGAGGGGCGCCCCCCGCCCGGGCCCCGUGUCCCGGCCGUGCCGGCGACACCUCCGGUGACGGGCGUCGCCUGCAAAGGCGAAAGGCAGCCCCUAACGGUCCCUCCCCCGUACGAGGGAAGAAGAAGGACGGUGGUCGUCCGAUCUAGGGUGCCAGGCCGCUUGCGAACCGUCGGAUCGACAACUUAGUCCUGAACCGGUACCGGGCUCUAACUGGGCCACGGCCCAGUAUUGGCCCAGGAAGUCGGCCGGAAUAAAAAAAAAGGAAAAGGGGGCUGCGCGCCCAGGGACGGCCCAGGUGCCGGCCCGGCGUGAUCCCGCACCCCCGAAAAUGGCCCAGCCGGGGAAAUUGCUAAUAAGACCCUGAAAAUUUCGGGGAGGCCCGCAGGGCCCCUGAUUUUUGCAAAAAAGUCCUCCUGGACACCGGAUUUCUCGCAGAGAGGCCCCUAGGUCCCGGUUUUGCUAAAAAUACCCCCCGAAACUCAAUUUCUCGCAAAGAACAUCGUCAUGGGCAUGGAAUCGCCCCACGGCGCCUCCAAAACUCCCAUUUUUUGUAGGAAAACCAUCGAGUACUUCUGCUUCUCAUAAGGAAGCCAGCCAGGGAAUUCAUCAAGGACACCAUCGCAAAUACAACGACAUGAUUCAAGAGUCUCACCUCAGAGGUUGACCCGAAGGCAUUCUCAAUGCCUCCAGCUCAAGGGGGCUACUGUUGUAGUAAAAUAAAACCCUUAUAUGGGCCGGGUCAUAAAUUCUACGUGGCGACGACCAAGUCAACAUUUCGCAAACACAAGUCAGGACGCCUACGUGGCACGGUCAAUCCUACGUGAUAAAAGAAGACUAGUCAACGAGUCAAGCCUCUCAUGCCAUGGUCAAUGGGUCAAAUGAGCUAGAAUAGGGGGCAAGAAAGGUAUGAGAAGGGGGCCCUUAGUCCAUGGUGGACCAUGGACCAAGCCCCUCUUUUCCCCCAUGGUGCACACAAAAGUUAUGGACCAAAAGAGCUACUUUUACCACUUUGCCCCACUUUUCUCUUUCUCUCAAGGAUAGUCAUGGUCUUUUGUCAUGGACCCCUAGGUUAUAAAUACCCCCCCAUGGAGGCAUGUAUCAUUCACUCUCAACUUGAAUAAACUCAAGGGGAGAGGGCUAGAGCCUCUUGCAAAGAGCUCUAGUUUCGAGAUCCAGGAAGACGUGUUCGGCCCGGACUCGAAGGAGAAGGGGUUGGGUUAGAGUUCUUAGGGUAUCCUAACCUCGAUACUUGGAAAGACGCGUUCGGUCCAAGUACGAGACGGCCUCGACGAAUCUCUCGUCAAAAGGUGUCUUGGGAAGAUCCGCUCGGCCCAAGUCCUUGGCUAACAACCCCCUCGAAGCUUUUUCUAACAUAGGAUUAAGUCGCACCCGCAGGGUUGACCGAACCUAUCCAAAAAAUAUCGACGUGUCAACUUGUUCAAGCGUACGGCGACUUUCGCUAUAAGACCGGCGUACACGUCCUAUUUUUAUACCCGCACUUGUGCCAUCAAUCAGUGGCAUCCCUUACUUUAAUUAUUGUCGAGAACAACAACAGUUAUUAUUGAGUACAACCUUAUAUGAGAUAAACGUGUGAUUGCAUCACAAUUUGACAAGAAUACGGACAUGUGCAUGUAUGUGUCCGGGUGUUUGGAUCAGAGUUGGAUUUGUUCGGGUGUUUGGAUCAGAGUCCAGGAAGGAAGCAGCCUGCGCUGCAUAUCAUAGAAAACCAUCGUUACUUUUUUCUUUGCUCCGUCUUUCUUUGGUAUACGAUCUCCUUGCAUCUCAAUAACGUCCGCAUGCAGCAGGCGGCCGCAUGGCAGCAUUGCAGCGCCUGCCGGUGCCGCUUUCUCGCUAUGUCCUCGGCAUGAUCGCCGCGACCUCUGGUCGAAGCCGCCGAGCGCAUCGGCGCGCCGCUGCUAGCCAGAGCCAUCCCCACCGCAGGCAGAGCCUCCGCUGGCUGCGCGCAUCGCACCGGCCGCAAUCGCUAUUCGUUGUCGCUGCGACCACACUCCCUCCGAUACAACCGCCAUGCCAUGACCCCGCGGCGCUGGAGCCGCCGCUGGCCCUCGACGCCAUUACCAAAGAGGUUAGUGUUUUUCUUUUCGAUGUUGCAAACGUGUCCAGAUUUUUUUUAAGAACUUAGCAGGAGAUCUACUUUUUCAUUAAAGUGGACGAGAAAGUAUACAUGACUUGACAAAAAGAACCAAGCCAAUUAUACAAGCAACUGGCUGGUUUCAAAUAGAAUAAGCUACUCCUAACCCUCCUCCUCUAACAGGAGGGCACAUUCAGAUCUUAUAACCAAAGCCACGUUUUGCGACGAUGAUCUACAAUCCUUGAAUAUUCGCUGAUUUCUUUCUUUCCAAACAUGCCACACCACCAUGCUAGCCCACACAAUGUCAGAAUUUUUCUUCCUUGAAUUAAGUUUCAGCAGACGACUCCACCAACAAAUUAGCGAAGUACUUUGCUUAACGAUCCUACACAUCCUCGGCCUCUCUUAAGAAAGAUCCCCAUAUCUCUUUGGAGAAAGGGUAGUCAAGAAUCAGGUGUCGUGCCGUCUCCAAAACCUGAUCGCAAAAGCAGCAAACGUCUCCAUGAGGCCAGCCCCUCGAAGCCAGCCAAUCCCCAGUCUAAAACCUGUUCUGGAGCAAAAGCCACAGGAAAAAACGAAUUUUGCCCUCACAUCUGACACUCCAAGCUGAGUUUAGAGCCACCUUUGAAGUUCUCCCUAAAAAUUGCACCUCAUAAGCUGAUUUGGCUGUGUAAACACCACUGGCAUCGAAUUUCCAUCUAAUGGAGGCUUCCUCCUCAUUCAGAGUGGUACCCUGUGUGUCCAGAUUUUGCAAAAGUUAACAUAAUCCAAUCCAAUCCGAGUGAAGGAAAACUAAUUAUACACCAAUAGUAAGGGCCGGCGGUCAGUCCAUAUGGGAUGACAAACACCAAUCGGUAAGGGAAGUCAGUAAAAAGGCCGGAACAACCAAUCCCAGUAGGCCACAAUAGCCAUGGUAGGCCACAAUAGCCAUUGAAACUAACAGUCCACCGUAGAGAAUUGCAAAUGAUGCAAAUUAUCAGAUGUACGUAAGAGACCUUAAGGCUAGAGCAAAAACGUCAGGCCCGAAAUAGCAACUCCAACAGUCAAUGACGCCAAAUUGAUAUGAGAUGUUCACUAAAAUGAGUUGAUCUCCAUCGGAGAUAAAGAAAAUAGGAAAUCAAUAGCCAAAAGAAGACCAAUUUUUACACAGAAGCAGCGAAGGAACAAUGUGGCUCACAUUAUCGGAUAGAUGCAUGUGAAUCGGAUGGAAAUAUACGUCCACAGAGUCGCCGAUUCCGUACCUGCGAUACCAACUGUGGACUGGAAGCAACACCCUUGCACAAACGACAAUAGGAAGCCGAUCUACCAUACGUUCACUCCAAUCCACAACCACGACAGCAAAUAGACGAAGCCGAACAACUCUUGCCGCCGUCCGCCGGAAGCCAUAAUUGUACCACAAACAACACGUCAGAACAAACAAGGGAAGUUCGUGUGUUAGGUAAAGUCGUACAGGCCAAUGGUUGAUGGGCGUAAUACAUACAAAAUGCAUUGGAUAAAAAGGAAUGCUUACCGCAUUACCCAUAUAAAACUAUUGAAGAAUAAAAAUCUAUACACACCUAAUAAAUGUCUAAAAAAAAUUUUGAACAUAAUAUCUAAAUGGUAUACAAAAUGAAUCUAUUAGAAAUCAAAAUAUUAAAUACGUAGAGAGAACUGGAUUAAAAAAUAUAUAUAUAACAUAUUAUUUUAUUAUACAAAAUCUAGAUUGCGCGGGUCACCCCGCUAUUAAUAAUAUGAAAAGGAAAAGAAGUUCCGUGGUGCCUGAUGCCGGCAUCGCGGCCACCUGCCUUUACUCGCCCACUCCGCCGACGGAAUCGAUGCGAAUUCCCACACGCACAGGCUAACCGCCCCCAGAUGCUCUGAGAGGACCACCACGUACGCCAUGGCAGACCGGAAGGAUGCAGGUGGGCUCAGUGAAAACAUGGCACGACAGCUCGCAGGCCACGGCCCACGGCAAUGCUGGAGUCGGUCAGGAAGUAAGCCACGGGCUCACCACCAUGGAACGUGACAGAGUAGUGCCCCCGACGCUGUCAUCGUCUUCCUCCGGCGUGUCCAGGGAGCGUCAUUAACGGACGAGGCAUCCGGAGAGAGCGAAAUGGCGUUCUCCAUACGUUAGUGCAGGAAUGGAACACGUCCAUGGACAGCAGGGCCGGAGCUCGCCGACGACGAGGACGACGCCAUAGGGCGAGGAGCUGUACAUGGAGACGGCUUGGAGAUUCGUGUCGGUAGCUCCGGGCGUGGCGGGAGCGCACGGGAGGCGCCGGGAAGUUGGAGUCUAGCGCACGGUAGAGCACGAGCCAGCCUACGACGGCGACCGGCACUGGCGCGGGCCGCGGACUCUGCAUGGCUUCGCACGACCAAGACCCACUCGAGCUGCUAAUUCACGGUACUAAGAGCAAGUCCAGCAAUCCUCCUAAAAUUUCUCCCCUAUAUCUCAAAAUGAGGGAUUCCCUAAAAAUAUUUCCUCCUAAAAAUUGGCCAACUCCAACAGUUUACCUAAAAGAUCUCCCUAAUUCUAUAUUUUAAGAAUUUUUGUAACUACUUUUUGAAACCCAACAACUAACUCUCCAACGACUAGUUUUCGAAUGGUUGGAUUUCUAACGGCUACCUUUUCUGAUCUAUAUAUACAUGAUCAUCUCUCACAAUCUCGAGAGCUCGAUUCGGGCUCGAUCCAAACUUGAGAAACGAGAGCGGGGACGUACCUGUCGGCGGGAGGGAUCGAGCGGUUGCUCCCUGACGUGAGGGGGGAUGCCCCCACCACCUCGAUCUAUAGGAGAGAAGGAGGGGGUGGAGAGGAGAGACUUUUUUUUUUGCCUUUUUCUUCUCCCCUAAAAAUGCUAUUGGGAAGGUGAUAAGGGAACUGCCGGAAUUGUUCUAAGGCUGCUGACUGGGAUCCAACAUUCAAUUGGGCUGCUAAUUUUUGUGUGUGGAUGCUAAUUUUUGUGUGUGGAGAAUUGGGCUGCUAAUUGACUCAAGGUGGACUCACUCGUCCCGGGGCCACAUCAUCGAUCCAUGUUUGAAAAAGCUAUGUCAGUGCCUAAUAAAUGGGAUUAGCGAGUACAAGGUGCUGAAAUCAGGAUUUCAAGUGAGGGUUUGAUCUCAACGACCUCUGUAAAGACAAGAUUGAAAAUAAACUUUUACUCUUUUUUAUGCCAAGUCCCGAUCCUUCUGUUCAGUUUUUGUUUUUUGAGCGAAAUCUUUCUGUUCAGUUGAUUUUUUUUUUUACCGAACUUCUGUUCAGUUGAUGGUUCAAUUAAGCUUGCUGGACUGUUGGGAGUCUGGGCCUGGUUAUUCUAUUAAGGCCUACUGAACUUGAUUUGCACACUAUGCCACUAUGGGCUAUUGGGCUUUGAGCCCCAGCCUUCACAAUAGGAUACGCAUUUGUUGACGGCUAGUGCAAAUGCUUUGGCAUUUCUCAGCCGUAUGAAUUGGCCGAAUCAAAUACCAAGGCCUCAUUGAACACAGAGGACCUAGAUGAGAUGAGGCCGGCCUAUCCACGCUUGUGUGUCCUCUGAAGACUACAUCAAUUGGGUCAAUUCGAGUCCAAGUCUUCCCCUACGACUCGAUCCAGAUUGUGAUGGUCGUUGCCUUGUAAUAUAGCCGAACUCUUGGAAAGGAGAUUGCCCGGCCUUGGCAAAUGGCAGUGGCAUGCAUGCACAUGGAACCAUGCACCAAUUAAUAAGAAAAUGAAAUGAUACAGUAGCAUCCAAUUAUGGUUGGCUGUUACCUCAGCUGGUCUAUGCUUUUUCCACACGGGCUGACAAAAUUUGGCAGGCAUGGAUGCACCCGUACGUGCAAAUUAGUUAGCGAUGUGGUGGAAUUCUAUGUCCCGUACAUCCACAUGAUGUGGAUAUGAGGAUAUCGGUGCAACACGCAUAGAAAGAAGGUGAGGAUACACAUGCAUACAUUGUACAUACAAGCUAGUGGCCGGGGCAAUUGGGCAUACAGGAGCACAGUCGCUACUCGCUAGCGACGUUCUAUGGGCUGCAUGCUUGGUUUCUUCGCUUCUGCCAAACCAAACACUCCGAUUUGUAAGCUUCCCUAUUACAAGUGGGGUAGUUUAUUACGAGUAGUGAUGUGGCGCUAGCGGCUCAAACAUGCCACGAGGCACUGGAUGAUCCAUGUAUGGUACUCUACCUUGAUACUACCGUUAUGAUGAGUGCAUUCUCGUAGUUCCAUUCGUCUUAUCCAGUUUUAGAGGCGAUGUAUUCAGUGAAAACUCUUGUUCAGUGCAAAACUGCAAACUUCUUUAAGAGACCAUUAGAUUUGAAAUAUACGUCUCAGACGAGAGGUAGGAAUCCCUCAAACUACAGCCACUUAAGCACACCUUUAGUACGUAACACCUCGGAAUAGUUCUGUAACAAUUCAGAUAAUAAAAAAAAUAAAAAAACUGUCCGUCUUAUCGAUCGAUCAGAAGCGACAUCAUCUCUUUAUGAAAAAAAGUGCGAUUCAUUGAUCUGGAGUGUCGCCGGCCAGGUCCACCCCCUCGACACGAGGCGACCUGGACCACCUCCGCAACGGCGACCAGGAGCACCAAUGCAACGUUGAACUAGAUCCCCAACAAGACAACGACUUGGAGCUUCGCCCUCGGCCUUCCAUGAUGCGCCGCCCUCUGCCACCAUCAUGCCUUCCAUGGCGACGGCCGACGUGCCCCCAUCGACCGGCCAACGAGGCAACGGGGUCGUCACGGGACAUGGCCGGUGAUAUCGAUGAGGAAGCUCCCCGGAGGAUGCUGUCGUCGGACACGGUGGAGGACACUCCAGGCCGUACUUACCAUAAUAGCAAGUCAGGCGGCUGUUGUAUGAUGCGCAAGGUGGUGACCAACGCGGCGGAGCAGGAGUGGUAGAGGCGGCUGCACGCAAGAGAGGAGAGGACGAGGAUGUGGCCGUGGAGAGGAGGGCCUUCCUGGCCGUCGGUGACCAUGCCCCAGCGGCGGCGAAUGACGAAAGGAGGGGAUAACUCCCAAGUCGCAUGAACAGCUCGAAUUACUUCCACAUAAAAAUAAGGGUUUUCGUAAACAACUGCGUUUAAGUGAGUGGUUUCAAUCCCACCUCCUAUCUAAACCGUAUAUUCAAUGUCGCUGUAAAAAAAACCCCUAUAUUCAGUGUUCCAUGAGAAAAAGUUUGCCAGAUUUCAGUGGAUACGUUGCCAUAUAUUAAUUACACGAGCUUGACAAAAUGAUGGCCUUGAUUUUGUGAAAUGUAGCCGGCCAAUAGAACAAAACUGACUGAUACCGAGAGCAACUAAUUUCUCUGAACCAUGGAUAGAUAUAUAUCAAUAUAAAUAGCAUCAUGCAUCGCCGGCCAUAUGGAAGUAUUGUCUUUGUUUUCUGUUGGGUCUAUGGAAGUUUGUUGGAAGUCUUCAGGCUUUUUCCACACGAAUUGACGGAAUUUGUUGGGAAGCAGCAGCAGGGAGAAAAAGGGCUGCGGCGUCCAAAGGAACGGUGUUGCCACUUUUGUCCGGACCCAUGGCCUGAUGCCCAAGUGACCCAACCCAAGUGGGGUUUGCGCGAGGUUCCAGCCAAACUAUACACUGGCCACUUGUGAGACAUCUUUUUAAUAGGGCCCAUCACGCGCACGGGUACACAUUUAGAGUCAGGUCAUCGGUGUUUGACCUGUCCAGGUCAGAUUCGGCCGAUCGAGCUUGUCGUAAUUGUCAUAAAUUCAUCUUUUUGCAUGCAUGGUACUAGGUUAGUACUCUGGCAGAGUGUUACAGUGGGUGGGAGUAACAACAUAGAUGCUGCCGAUCGUGUCUUUGAAGUGAUACAUAGAUAGCUGCAGUACGUACCAGCCUUUUUAUUCCUCGCGCACAAUUUUCACAGCUCUUGUAGGUAGAAUUUCGUAGUAUAUAUAGUACAACGUUACUCGGUCUGAAUUGCAUAAAAUGGUUCUAGCUAGCCUUAUCGACUUGUAAAGAAAGUACUUACCGUCGGACGUGGGAAAAUGACAAAAGAUCAGUCGUACUACGGCUCGUAAGAGAGGAAACUCAGAAAACAGACUUGGUCGUCGACGAAAACGGCCUUCACGGCGCUGCGCAUGCACCACCCUCAACCCAAAGCGCUGGAUCGGUGAACUCACAAAUGCCGAUCGUCGAGCUAUAAAUUCCUGCCCGCCACUUUGCCUGUUCACCACUCCUCUCAUCGAUCGUCUCGCCCGCCACCUCAGAAAAGCAUAUACAUCAUGGCGCUUACUGGCUCUCUCAUCGUCCUUCUUGGUGCCACAUUGACGCUGCUCUACUUCCUCGGCGCAGGUAAUUAACCGCAACAACGACAUAUAUAAUUCGAUCAUAUGAAAAGGCAGCGGUUCCGAGAGUCCGCAAGCACGUGCACAGUCUCUUCUAACAAUGGGCCGGCAAUAAUGGCUUGUAAUUCAGUCGUUUCUUUGUGGCAUACGAUCGACAUUGCAGUUGCAGAGGCGGGCGAGGUGGGUGUGAGCUACGGGACGAACGGGGACAACCUGAUGGACCCAUCGGCGGUGGUGGAUCUGCUGAAGAAGAACGGCAUCACGAUGGUGAGGGUGUACGACACCGACUCGAAAGUGCUGACCGCGCUGAAGAACACCGGCAUCAAGACGGUUGUCGGGAUACGCAACGACAUGGAGCUGGCGGCCGCCGCCGGUGACCCGAGCUGGGCCGUCCAGUGGGCCAAGAACAACGUGCUGCCGUACUACCCGGCCACGGACAUCCGCGGCGUCACCGUAGGGAACGAGGUGUUCAAGCAGGUAAGCCAGCUGAACCUGCAGCUGGUCCCGGCCAUGAAGAACGUGCAGGCGGCGCUGGUGAGCCUAGGCCUUGCCGACGCCAUUAAGGUCACCACGCCGGUCGCCUUCGACGCUCUCAAGACGUCCUUCCCGCCGUCCCAGGGCGAGUUCAAAGACGACAUCGCCCAGCCGGUGAUGAGCCCCAUGCUCGAUUUCCUGGAACAGACGGGCUCCUACCUCAUGGUGAACAUCUACCCGUACUACACGUACACGUCUCAGCCAGGCACGAUCGACCUCAACUACGCCACGUUCCGGCCCAACGACGGCGUGGUCGACCCGGUGACCGGCCUCAGGUACUCCAGCCUCUUUGACGCCCAGCUCGACGCCGUGUACUCUGCGAUCGACAAUGUGCAGCAGCAGGUGGCCUCUUCCAACGGUGCCGUGGGGACGAUGCUCAGGGGCCGGCGUCGCCACGUGCCCGUGGUGACCGGGGAAUCCGGGUGGUGCUCCUACUGCCCGCAGAGCGUGGGGGCAUCCAUGGAAAACGCUCAGGCGUUCAAUAAUAACCUCGCCAAGCGCGCGCACUUCGGCAGCGCCAGCAGCAGCAGCUCGCUCGCCGUCGUCAGCGACGGCACCCCGGCCCGCCCCGACGCCGACAUCUCCGUGUACAUCUUCGCGCUCUUCAACGAGAAUCAGAAGCCCGCUGACGAGCAGAACUUCGGCCUGUUUUACCCAAGCGGGAAGCCGGUGUACCAGGUCGACUUUAGCGGCGGCGGCGGCGGAGGAGGAACGGCGAGCUGGUGCGUGGCGAGGAGGGAUGUCAGCGACGCGCGGCUGCAGGCGGCGCUGGACUACGCGUGCAACAACGGGGCGGACUGCAGCGCCAUCCAGCCCGGGAAAGUGUGCUACGAGCCCAACACCAAGCUGGCGCACGCGUCCUACGCCUUCAACGACUACUACCAGAGCAAGGGCCGGGCCAGCGGGACUUGUGACUUCUCCGGGGCUGCUUCCAUCGUCUACCAGCAACCAGGUGACUUCUUCCAGCUGACUCCUCCUGAUCAAUUUGUUCAAGCCCUUAUUAGUGGAAACUGUCAGGUGUGAUUAAACGCUGUGGCCUGAAAUAAUUAACAGGCAUCUGCGACCCGAAGGCGGCGAGCUGGUGCGUGGCGAACGCGGCGGUCGGGGACGCGCGGCUGCAGGCGGCGCUGGACUACGCCUGCGGCAAAGGCCGUGCCGACUGCAGCGCCAUCCAGCCAGGCGGGCGGUGCUUCAGUCCUGACACCAAGGUCGCGCACGCGUCCUACGCAUUCAAUGACUACUACCAGCGCAACGGCCGGUCGUCCAAGUCCUGCGACUUCAGCGGCGCUGGCUCCGUCGUUUACCAGCAGCCAAGUAAGUUCGUUCACGCCCGAUCCGUAUGCCCGGCCCAACAUAUCUUCACGGGCCCUAUCUUCACCUUUGCUUACUUUCUCGAGUAAAUCACCCUACCUACUAGCAUAUUUGCGAAAGAACUACGUAGCUUGUACCUAUUUCCACUUUACCAUUGACACGUACUACUUCACAAUUUUGCUGCACCACCCAGUACCGUAGUGUGAUGCUUUCAGUGAUUAAUUAAGUUGUGAUAUUAUUGUGUUUGUUCAUAUUUUACAGAGAUAGGUAACUGCGUGCUCCCAUCAACGGGCUGAAUGAAGAAACGCUAGAGAGCUAAGAUCGAAGGCUACGCGCGCUACCAGCCCAUUGGUAUAUAUGGGAUUCAGGAAUAAAGCCGUGUAAUCUUUUAUUUCGCAAGAGAAAAAUAUGUGAUCAUAUCUGAAGAUAAAUAUGCCCUUUGAAUAAACCUCCACUUUUCAAUCAGUGGAUUUUUAAACCCGGUCUCCUCACGCCCUUUCCACUACUUUGACAUAACGGAAAAACGAUGUCUCUGACUAAACCAGAAUACAAAGGGGAGAUAAAGAAGAGCAACAACGUUUUACUACAUGUGGUAGGAAACCCAUUGACUGGGCUCGUAAGCAAAACACUAACUGCCGAACGAAUACCAAACUAAAGGCACCUCCGAUCAUUGCCUAACUUCUCGCUCUGGAUUGUAAAGACAUUAUUACUUUUAAAUAAAACUCUCCUGUUCCUCGAAAAAAAAAAGUGAAGGCACAUUUCCUUUGGUUACGUGCUGACUAAUUAUUACAGUACUCAUACCAUAUUCUUGCAAGGAAAUUAAUUCCUUGCUGAUUAAUUAAACUAUGUAAUAACCAAGAGCAUACGGCUCCCUACUCUCGCCGUUCUAAAAACAACGGCAUUGGAGGAAGUUGGCACAGGCUUAAAGCCGAGGCUGCAACAGCAUCUCCAAUGUCAUCCCCUAAAACUAUCACAAAUGUUCUAUUUGGGGACAUGGACAUUUUGCCUCCAAAAUCAUCUCCCAAUGUCAUUUUCUAAAUGGACAAAAUGUCAUGUUUGUCCGGACACAUCCUCCAAACUUGCCCCAAAUUUGAAAGAUUUUUGGGGUGUCCAAACAUUGUCCAGUGCUCUCUUUUGUCCGUUUCGGCCCCACAACAAGAGAUUGGGAAAUGAGAAGAAAAAGUGAAAAGGAGAGGAGAAAAGAUAAAGAAAAGAAAAAGCUAAUUUAGGAGAGAAAUUUGAGAGGUGUGGUUUGGAUGACGAGGGCGGACAUGGAACGGACACAUGUCCACUUGCUCCUUAAAUGACCCAAAAAAAGGACAUUUGAGGACGAAAUUUGGGGAUCCAUUGAAGUUGUUCUACUCCCCCGGUAUCUCCCCCAUCGUCCUAGCUGCCGAUCAAACUUUGAGAUCUACGCCAAUCAACUAACUUACCAAUGUCUUGCAUUAGACCAUUGAUGAAUUAGUCUACGAAACGUACUGCUAUUUUUAGCGACAUCUCCCAUUCUCUCUCUGCCUUUUGCGUGUGAGUGCUUUUUCCAUGUGAAUGAUGACACUUUUUUUUUCUUUUUGCAUGUGUGCUGACACCUCUUUUCCUCACAAUUUUUCUUCUGCACAUGACACAAGUGCAUAGUCAAUAUUUAGUAUGGGCUUACAUCCAAGUACAUGCCAAGUACAUCAUCAAUUUAUAGUACAUCCAGGUACAUGCCAAGUACAUCACCAAUUUAUAGUACAUGAAGCAGACCGUGACGGGUACGUCGAAAUACAUGACAGGUACAUCAAACGUACAUUAUGAUACAUGACAUGAACAUUAACAGUUUUUAAGUACCUUGUCAAAUCAAGACUGUGUACUUCAAGUCCUAACGGUACGUCACGUACCAAAGGAAAAAAUUGCAGUACAAACGUUUGUCAAAACUUAAUACCUGAUCGUGUACCAGUGGUACAUCAGAAAAAAAAGUUGACCAUCAAUAGCUGCCUAAAACAUUAAGAAACAAAAUACAAUAGAUAAACCAAAUUGCAGAUAGCCUGCAAUCUCAAUUCAAUGAAAAAACCACGAGAUCCAAAAUCAGAACAACAACAUCUCUUGCCUCCCUCAUGGUACUAGCCAGUACCAGGAUUAUGCACAACCUCAAAGGAGCGCCUGGUGUCCAUGGACCUUGCUGAUGCCGACACUGAGGAGGGCUGGAGGGAUGAGAUGUGAGCGUCGAGGUCAUCGUGGGAUGGGGAUGGGACGAAGACCACGAGGUGGUCGAAGGAGGCCCACGGCCCGCAGCAGCGGCAUCGGAAGUGCAGGACCAUGGUAGGCGGCGGCGGAGGCCGAGACCAGGGCCCGUGGGGCGGCCUUGCGCCUGGAGGUCUCGCGCACGUACACUGCUGUGCCGAUGGCGGCGGCACGGAAAGGUUGGGACGGGCUGGUGUGUGUGUGUGUGAGAGAGAGGAAUCAAGGGAAAGAUGGGCAGCUAAUUACAGAAUAAAUGGCCAAGGAUUAAAGGAAGGGAGAGACACGUGGUUGAUUAACAAGGUGGGGGUAGAUAACGGGGGUGGUACCUGGAGGUGGCACAAGCUGAAGUGUCAUAACAGUAAAAUGUCGUCGGGGGUGGUACCUAGAGGUGGCACAAGCUGAAGUGUCGUAACAGUAAAAUGUCGUCAACUAUCGUCCGGACACUAAAGCUGGAGUACUUCCUAUGCCCCGUGUGCUAAAUACUCAACGGAGAAGUCGUUUUCCCAUGUGAAUACACAUGGUAAAAGAUCCGCCGGACAAAUCACCCUAGGCGCCUUGGACCUAUGUGCUACCCGAGGCGUUGAUAUUUUGGUAUUGUUUUGUUUCGACACAUCUAUCUCCACUCCAAUCCACGAUCUUUAUUCUGAUUUCCUGAAACUUCAUGUGCCAACAAAAUUAACAAGGAAAUUAGCUGUUUUGACAGCCGGUUGAUUAAUAGAUUAGUUCAUUAUAUCUAUUUCAUAUAAAAUACACCCAGUGUCAUUUUGGCAGCAAAAUACUUGAUCAAGCAAUUAAAAAAAACGAUCCUUUAAAAAUAAUGCUUAAUUUGAUUGACUUUUAGUUAAUGACAAUAGGUCAGUUCUUUUCGGCUUUCUGGACUGACUUCUCCAAGAAAACCUAGCUUGGCCUACCAAACUAGUUUGGUCUAAACUAUUUUAAAAACCUAGCUAAAUCUGAGAUGGGGCUUCUCUAGGAAGCUAGAUGGGGACAGAUUUUAGGAGAAGCCGGUCCUAAAAGCCGAAAAGAACGCAGCCAAUGAAGGGUAGUGUAUUUACCCAUCAGUGAUGGCUUUGAAUGCAUUUUUCAAAAUAGCAUCAAUGCAAUUUCUUCAAUAGAUCCAAAGAUGCAUUAUACACAACAUAUUCUAUACAGAGUACAUAACUCAUCCCUGUUUGAAUAUCCUUCGUUCCUAUGUUAAAGCCCAUACAUCACAAUGCCAACAAACCAAACCAGUUUAGAAAAAAAAAAGGUACCUAAUACCGCUCUAGUGAUACCUCAUCAUCCCGUUCAUAUGAUCCUUCUGCCUGCAAUUACCAAAACAUGACUACAUUAUCCCACAGCUAACAUAGUGCUUGAGAACCUCUAAAAGCUACACAAGUGAAAUUUAUCACAGGUAGCAAAAUGGAAUUACCAAAACAUGAGUACAUUAUGCAUGUUGAUUGCUUUCUGAGAGGAGAACCGUUAUGGAGGUCUCGACACAAAUCCUCUACAUCUAAGUAGAGGCAACCCAUUAGCUUAUUUCUCUCAACAUGCAGCCUAUCCACAUCAGCAACCAAUCAUGUCAACAAUUUGUGCCAUGUCAUUUGUGCCAUUGCAGCAGCCCAUUUUUUGGUGGACCAGCUCAUCCUCCUUUUUCCUUUUUCCCUUGGACCUUUGACCGAUCACCUGCUGAGCCCAUCACGCCCGAUGCUUUGCUCGCUUCGUCGUUGUUACUCCAUAUCGAAUCACUGUCCGUCCGUUCAUCUCAUAAGUCGUCGCCGUUAAUGUCAAAUGGCAUGUCCGUCCGUUCCCCUUCAGUUCCAGCUUCCAUUUCCCAUUCAAUACGAGUCCCGUGACUUCUCCACUUCCUCUUCUUUCUCCUCACCACAUCCUAUAUAUCUCCAAGAAUUUCAGUGCGAAUCUGGAAGCCACCACAGACAAACAAAAAAAAAGAUCGACGUCACAGAUCAAUAGAAAACUGAAAACAAAAAACCUGGCAUCACAACAUCAAGAACUGAGCAGGAGGAUGCAGACGGCGACGCACGGUGGCGGGCGGGGUGGGACGGAGCAUAGUGAUGAGCGAGCUGGAGACGGUGCGCAAUCACGGGCGGGCAGAGGCGCUGUAGCAGGCUAGCGGCGACGCAGUUGCAGGCGCUGGCGGCACACCAACGGUAAGGGUUCAGGAGUUUCUGGUUGGGGUGAGGAAUCAGAGGGCGAUUGGCAUGAGAAUCAGGUAUCGGUACAGGGGUAUUGGGGGGGGGGGGGUACGAGAUGGGCCUUUUUCAGAGAUGGGCCUGCUAGAUGGAGUAGGUAUCGGGGGGGAUUUCGGUUCAGGUUAUUUUGGAUGGGCUGCUCGAGACAUACCAACGAUCUAUGAUUAUGUUUCAACACUAGCUAGCCAGCACAACGAUAAGAAAAGUGGAAAUAGAAAAAAUAAAAUCCUCUUUUCUUAUUUAUCAUGUUGUGUUUACAAUACAAAUCAUCUUCAUCAAAUAAUGUAUUAUAUAAUACACUCUUCAUAUUAUUUUAAUUUAGUACGUCCGCUGAAUCGUGAAUCAAAAUAUCAGGUCCGCAAACUACAUAUAUCACAUAUUGUCAUACUAAAUUUAUGAUAUUUAUUACUCCAUUCGAUCCUAAAUUGUUGUCAAAAUAUUACAUGUAUCUAGACGCUUUUUAAUAAUAGAUACAUUCAUAUUUGGGCAAAUUUGAGUCAAGAAUUUAGGAUCAGAUGGAGUAUUAUUUUUUAUGUCUUAUACUCUCAUGAGAAAACUAUUUCUUUGAAAAUUUUGCUCUUAGUUUCCGCAGCAACGCGCGGGAAAUUAUCUAGUUUUAUUAGUAAGAGACACAAUAAUUACAAAGGGAUGGGAUACACAACAAGGGAUGCAGGGAGCAAGCUAGAACAGAGCAGUAAAGCCAUGCUGAUUGUGAUUCAGACUACAGCUCUUGCAACAUCUAAUCUUUUAAAUUUACUACUUAUUAAUAUACUCCUUCCGACACAUAUUACUUGUCUCAGAUUUAGUACAAAGUUGUACUAAACCAGUGACAAGUAAUUUCGACCGGAGGGAGUAAUAAAGUUCUUUAAGAGCAUCUCCACUCGGCCCCUCUAAAGUCCCCCCGAACCGGUUAUGGGGCCGCCGGCGCCAAAAAAAAACGACCCAGCCGUGCCCUCAUUUUGUUUUCUUGUCCGGCACGGCCCCACUUCACAUCCAGCGCCCCUAGGCUGAACAUCAUCGGCACAACCCAAAACAUAAAACCCAUCUCACCCUCUCCUUCUUCCGGUGGCCACCUCCAUCCCAAAUUGCCGUCGGAACCACCCCUCUCACGAGUGACGGUCCGCAGCAAAUGGAAAGGUUGUCUGCCGCAUAGAUCUUCCCGCGCCACCGCAGCAACUGACGAAGGGUUAACUUCGGCGAUGUCCAUAUUAGUCGACUUGUGUUCAGGAAAGCUACGUGUGUGUAUUGGCAAACCCGUCAGCUUACAAGCAACGGGAGGCGAACAUUUACCCAGGUUCAGGGCCCUCGGAAGGUAAUACCCCUACGUCCUGCUUGUCUGAUCUGUAUUGAUGAGUCGAUUACAAAGUUGCCGUCACGAUGAAAAGCUCAGAUUGGAUCUGGCGAGUGCGUCUAGGCGGCUUCUGUGAGAGAUUGGAUGAUCUUGGCUCCCCCUCUUGGUCCUUUAUAUAUGCACGAAGUCAGCUUUUGGGUAGAGUCCAAGUUGAUUACAUCAUAGAGAUAUACUAUAUGUAAGCUUCCUUAUCUUGAGUCGCAAGAUUAGGCAUCUGGACUCCUGAAGUCGCAGUAGGCUUCUACAUGGGCCCGCAGCUGGGCCAUGGCGGGUAUCCUCAAGUCGAGUACGUGGUUAGUCAUAACCACGUCAACGACCCGUUCCGCCGUUGUUGUAAGACUACCGGUAGCUCCAAGCCCACCCCGCAGCCACCUUUUACGGGACGUGUUCGACGAUUUACCAAUGCCAUGAAUUCGGAUGACGAGGAGAUGCUCACCGUGCUGUUUGACGAGGAAGUCGCCGUUGCCGAUGAUGCGGCCUCUGACGGCGAGGAGGAGCAUCAGGUGAUCCUCUCUGCCCUCAUUGGCCUAAUUGCCCAGGAUGCACAGCCGCCGGGCUGGGGAGAUUCGAGGAAGGGCCGCCACAAGGGCAAGGAGGCAGAGGAUGGAGGGCUGUACGCCGACUACUUCGCCGAUGAUCCAUUGACGACGAUGUGGUCCUUCGGAGCCGUUUCAGGAUGUCCCGGAAUUUUUUGUUGAAGAUUGCCGAGUACCUCAAAGAGUUCGACGAUUACUUCAAAUUGAAGAGAGACGUCGUUUGCAUGCUUGGUUUCUCAACUAUUCAAAAAUUCACUAUAUCCCUCCGGUUGCUUGCAUAUGGAAUUCCUUCCGAUACACAGGAUGACUACCUCUGCAUGGCAGAGUACACGGACAUCGAUUGCAUAUACAAAUUUUGUAGGGUAAUUAUGGUAGUGUUUUGGGAUAUUCACUUGAGAUCACCCAAUGCAGAAGACACAGCUCGGAUCCUGGCACAUAACAAAAAAAGAGGAUUCCCAGGUAUGCUUGGAAGCAUCGACUGUAUGCAUUGGUCAUGGAGAAACUGUCCAUUUGCACACCAGCGCAUGUACAAAGGUCAUAAAGGAUCAUGUAGUGUGGUACUUGAGGCAGUGGCCGAUCAAGAUCUUUGGAUUUAGCUUUCUUUCUUCGGUAUGGCAGGAUCGAACAAUGACAUCAAUGUGUUGCAGUGCUUGAAUGUGCUCUCCAAGCUUGUUGAAGGCAUUGCUCCUCCGGUGAACUAUGAGAUAAAUGGACAUGUGUACACCAAGGGCCGGGAUACUACCUGACAAAUGGCAUCUAUCCAGAAUGGUCAACUUUUGUGAAGACAAUCUCAAAAGCACCUUCGGGUGGAGCAAGUUCUUGGUUUGCGAUGCAACAAGAAGCUUGUAGGAAGGAUGUUGAGCAGGCAUUGGGUGUGUUGCAGGCUCGAUUUCCAUUGCCGGUACCCUACUCUUACAUGGUCUAGAGAUCAGACGUGGGAGGUCAUGGUUGUCUGUGUGAUCUUUUAUAGCAUGAUCAUUGAAAACGGAAGGGAAUUUUCAGUGUUUGACACUGAACCUUAUGAACGGAUGGGUCCUCUAGCCAAUGUUGAUCAUCAUUUAUCGGCCGCCUUUGCUGCUUUCCUUGCCAAACGUCAGGAAAUUCGGGACACAAAUACUCAUUAGCAACUUUAAGAUGAUCUGGUGGUACAUUUGCAUGUAGUUCUAAUUUGUUUGCUUGAAUCUGUGAUUCAAAACUUAUUAAAUAAUGUGCUUGUUUAAGUUUUUUUAUUUGCAAAAUUAGGUAUAAGGGAGCCGUUUGGGGUGGGUGGGGGGGUGGGGGGCUGGAACUCUAGCUGGAGCCCUCCCAUACAGCCCAUAGCCGGAUGCCGCAUGGGAGGACGAGUGGACAUGCUCUAAGAUUACCGGCCCUCACGUGGUUGACACAAACGUCAUCAAGAGCAAUCAUUUUUUCUUCUUCUUUUGAAAAAGAGGACGUUCCUCCGGUCUCUGCAUCAAUCGAUGCACACAGCCAUAACAUUAUUGAAGUCACAAAUAGCGACAAAUCACAAUUAUUCAAACUCAAAAUUGGCAAUGAGUUAGGAAACGCUCCUAGCCUGUCGCCCUCGAGCCACAUCAGAACAAAGAGACCGUUUGCCCAACCUGUCUUCAAGCGCAGUCAUGUUGAUCCAAAAGCAUUCGAGUCGAAGUCUUCCCCUGUGACUCGAUCGAGACUGCGAUAUAUACAAUGGUCGUUGGCUUCUACUGCAGCCGGCAGUGUUAAACACUAGUGGACGCCUACGCCUGAAUAAUAAGCAUCUUUCUUUCUCUGAAGUCUGAUAGAAAGGACUCCUGCUUAUUUAUUGGCAUGCAUCCAUACGAACAUGCACCAGUGAUAGUAAGAAAAUGAAUAUUGUAGAAUAGCAUUCAAUUAUUAUUAGUUGUUACUUGACCUGGUCUGGUCUAGGCUUUUUCCACAGGAGCUGACAAAGUUCGGCAGCCAUGCAAAUUAACAAGGUCGAUCAGGAAUUCUCUGCACGUACGCCUAAUGUUCCAUCCACACCAGUAGAGAGCUAGUGGAGGGGUGAAGAAAAUAUGACGUUGUUCAAUGGAAGUCCUAUUUGUCGUUCUCACGAGUUUUUGACAUAUGGAUCAGGUGGACAAAAUGGACUAGUAUUGGACACGUAGUUUUGAUGAUGACCAUAUUUUCAAAUUUGGGAAAGAAAUGAAAAAGAUUGACACAUUUUGAACAAAUAAGAGUUCUCAUUGCGUUGCAUUUUUGUUAAUGAACCGUCAAAUGAACAAAUGAAGAGGAUUUGGAGAGUGCCUUGAAAAUGUCGCAAACACGGUACUUUCAAGAGGCGUAGCUAUGGUUUUUGUUUGGACCACCUGAUCUAAGAUGGCAGGCAUGCAGGAGGACGGUGACGAUCGAUACACAAACGUAUACACAAGUGGAGGGAAAUUGGGCAUAGAGAACGCAAUGUCGCGAGCGUCCUUUUAGCUGUAGAUGACAAGGGUAAUUUUUUGCCCUUAUGUCACCAAAUUUAUGCUGAACAAUUAUGUCAAAUAAAAUACACCAACCCAGCCAAAUUUAGUCUACCAGCAGUUUCAUAUAGUGAGGAAGAAAUUUCUCUCAACCUUGCAUGCGUGGACACCAGUAUAAUGAGUAGCAUGCAUGGCCAGCUAUACUCCCUCGGUGUAGGGUAUUUCCACACGAGUUGACGGAACCUCUGUUAAGAAGUACUCCCACAGGUAUAUAUAAUGAUAAAAAAUAUAUUGUGUAGGGUAUUUCCUCACGAGUUGACAGAACCUUCGUAUAGACUUAUUAUAUUGCAUGAUAAGUCUAUACAAAAAUCUAUUAAAAUCUCUAAUAAAUGAUAAAUAUAUUAUGAAAAUAUAUAUUAUGCCAGAUUUAAUAAAAUCAAUUUGGAGUUAUAGACGUCGACAGAUUUUUCUAUAAACUUGAGCAAAAUUUUAAAAAUUAACUUAGGAUAAAGCUAGGACUUAUGUUUGGUCAAAACAAAAGAGUAGAUUUCAUAAAAUCACGGGUUUUGAGGCAUUGUAGGCGCUCCCGAUGCUGGACUUGCCGGAGCUGGUGCUGGACCGCGUGCUGGAGGAGCUGGUGCUGGACCGCAUGCUGGAGGAGCUGUCCCCGGCAUCGCCGGCGACCAUGGCGUGCAUCUUUACGGGGCUCAGGGCAUGUAGGGGAUGAGGAAAAUAAAUAAAAACAAAUUGGUUUAAUGAAAAAGACGUGACGCAUGACAUACGGGACCCACAUGUAAGAAAAACCGUCAAAUGCGUUUAUACCGUUGUUUUGGAUGAUGUGAGACAAUUGGACACAAAACGUGUCGUUUUGCGAACAAAUUAGUAAAAAUGAGGGCUCGUUGAGAAGACUGCCUUAAAACCUGUGAUUUCGUGAAAUUUACAUAAAACAAAAUGGUGCUGCACUGCUGCCCACUUUUGUCCGAACCUAGGGGCCAGCCAGGGCCAAGUGGGGUUUCCGGUCGGUAUACACUGUCCACUUGUCACUUGAGAGCAAUCGUUGUGCGGCCUAUCGGGCGCGCACACACAAUACAGAGUCUGGUCAUCUGUGUUUGACACUUUGACCUGUCCAAGUCAGAUUCGGCCGAGCAUGCAUGUUGCAGGUGGGAAGAAUGUGGUCAUUUUGGUGACCAGGUCCCGUCUCGAAUUUGGUCCCGGCGAAACAUUUAUUAGGCUUAACGUCGGCGGCCUUCCUGAUGUUACAGCGCCGUUCGAUCAUAUAGGUUUUGGGGUUGUGAAUCGGUGGAUAGAUCGAGCAUUCGAGCCUGCGAGGUGCCAGGCUCCCUUACUCUGUACUAGUAUGACGCUCGAGACAAGGGACCGAUACCAAGAGUUUCUUACGGUACAUAUAUUAUAGUGUAAGGAAAACAUAAUACUUAAUGGGAGUGAUUUUAUUUAAUGGUGUCGAUUUUCUAGGAUCAAAAGUAUUACAGUUAAAAUACGCCAACAACAUGGUCUCGAACAAUACUAGGUGACAAGCUGCGAGCACAAAUGUUGUUCCUAUGUAUACUUGAUUAACAUCAACGGUAUGAUCAAAGAUUCCAUAAAUGUUUCACAUCAUGAUACUUAAUGUGUUUGACAACACUACUUGAUAUGUUGUUACUCGCGAAAACAACGAGUUCAUUAUUACAAUAUAAAUAAUUUUUCAGCAUACAACUUGCCAACUGGUCUCAUAACACGCUAAAAUUAACUUAAUUAGUUGACAUUGUUGAUCAUUUGGUCAGUGUUUGUUUUGAUAUUUUCCAAGGCACAACUCCUUUAGCGAGUUGAAAAUAUAACCUAACAUUGAUUUCUUGUUUGGCUUAAUCAUGAAUUUCUACCAAAUCCUACAAGGGUCUUUUUGGAUUGAAGGAUUUUCAUAAGAAUUUGUUAGGAUUCUAACCAAUAGGGAUUUUUCCUGUAGAGACUCUUAGGUUCAAAGGUAUACAUCCUCCAAAAUAUCAUAUAUUGAUUUUCUACAUUCUAACUUACAAGAAUUCCAGUCAAGACGUUAGACCUUUUGAAAAAAUGUCUUAUGAGUCUAUGACAAUUACGGCCUACACUAGUCUCUAUGCAAAAUUGCCUGCAUUUUUUUACUGUGCAACCAAACAACUUCUAUGCUUCAUGUGUUCUAAAUUCAUGUAGGAUUCUAAGUGCCAUCAGUGGCGGAGGGAGAGUGGGGGCCAGCAGGGGCCAAGGCCCGGGCCAUAUCUAGGAUUAGUUCUGCCUAAAUUUGUGUAUUCUAUAGUUAUGGCCCCCCUCAACAUUCACACACAAAAACAGCAGCCACAGAAAAUCUGCUCUUUGACUAAUUGACUUCUCAUAUUCCAAGCCAAAAGCAGCCUGCUGCCUGCACUCAUCGCUGGAACCGGCCGGCCUCCGGCCAUUCCUGCCCUCGAAUAGCUACAUGCGCCUGGGCUUCUCCUCUUCUUUCAAGAAUUUGUUUUUCUAUUUUUUGUCAUUUUUACUUGGCCCUCACUAUCCAAUUUUCCUGCCUCCGCUCCUGCGUGCCAUGACAUCCUUAUCUUUGUUUUCUAUUCAUGCAUUUUACGAUUCCUGUGAUUAAAAAGGAGCUAAACAUUGUUUGAGCUAAGAAACUUCAAUUUGUCGUCUUCCAUAGCGUGCGGGCCAUUUGGAUGAAUUUUCAGUUACAUCACGUCUCAGGUUACACCGGAUGUUUGCAGACUCGUAGAGGUGCAAAUGUCAAGCGACCUCUGACCCUACUAAUUUCAACCAAAUGAAGUAAAAAUUUAAAAUCACAUCUCUUUUUAAAAAACUAUAGUAGAUUUGUUUGAACUAAAGAGAGUUGCAUGGUAUCUUCUUCGGUUCAUCUUUUUGCACCUGUACUGAGUCGGCAGUUAUUGUAGUAACUGUGCCGUGAAGGUUAGAGCAUGCCAGGGCCCAGGAGGGUACCAUGCGCAGCUGUUUUGAGCCAUCAAACAAUGCGUACCUGUCCUGGAUCAAACACGCGCGACAGGCGGUAGGAGUCAAAAGGCCUUCUCUGGUGGUGCUGCACUACACCGCGCAUGCUUGGUUUCUCUUCGUGUUUUCGAUCCCAACAUCUAUAUCACGUAUUCACGUCCAUCUUCUUAUAUUAGUUUAAUAGAGGAUCAGGAAUGGUGGUGCGUCGGAUUGCAACUCCACGAUGUUUACAAUCCAACAUUGUUCUGUAUCCAACAAACUAGACUCGAAUUGGUGUGCCUAUAGGUUUAAAAAUACAUUUGCAAGAAGAUAGUUGUAUCCAUUACCCAAGUGGACAAAUGGUGUGGCUAUACAACGGCCGAUGUAACGCCAACACUAGUGCUCAACAAGAUAUUUUUCUGAACGAACAUAAGCACCUGCCUUCCAUGAACAAAUAAAAUAAGAAAUAUAGAGUACAUGGCAUGGCCGUGGAGGUAUUUGCUAGUGGUUGUAAGUUCACAUGCCUAGCUAGAUUUAUCCAACACGUGCGAGUUGGCAAUGCCUUUUGGAAAGUAGGAUGAACAAAUCAAAUAAAGGAUAUAUUGGGCAGGAUAGGCAUUAUAUGUGUUUUAUCCACAUGAUCAUGCAUUGCAUGUCUGUCGUUGGUUUUGUGCCGACCGAGCACUACUGCGUGCAAGUUGGGCAUAUGUAGAGGACCAGGAGUGAUGUUUCUGCAGUCUCUCUCUGAUAUGGAGCAUGGCUGAAAGAUCCGUAUAUACUACGCGUUGUACAUUGUGUCAAAUCCCAAAAUGAAAUGGACAGUCUUCGAUGUAACAACUGGCGGGGUGACCCGUGCAAUUUCAGCAUCUAGUUUUUUUUAAUGUAUAGACAUCAUUGCGACUCGGACCUGUUCUGAAAAAAUCGAGACAUUUCAAAUUAUUUGUUGGUACGAACAAAGCAAGAGAAACCUUCUGAAAGAAUUUACCCGCACAUAUGUAUGCGCACUAUAUUUGUUACAUCUUGUUAUUCAUGUUGUUGCAUAUUUAUAUUAAGCAAGUUUGUAGGAACCCUAGGAGCUAGCCAAAUUACAUAAAAAAAAUACUUAGUAUUGGAUUAAGCUGGACAUAGACUUCUCCUGUGGGCAAGUAGUGCAAUUACAAUAUAAUCAAUCGCUUGAUUUUCUCAAUUUUUAACUUCGUAUACAGAGUUCUAUUGUUAAAACCAACUUCUAACUUUUUUUUAAUAAGAUAAAGUUUGUGAGACCGAAAUUUGCGUGUCUUAAAAAAACAUGUGAUUGAAGCUUCUUGCUACUCUAUAUUUUCAAUCAAAUGUAAUACGGAGUAGAUUGUUUCACUAUAAUAUGCUUUUAGUUCAGAUAAACAUACUGCAUCUUCGAUUCUGAAUCCACUUACCAUAAAAAUAACUAUCUUUGAAUAGACCAUGCAGCGUGAGUAUAUAUGAUAGAUUUCCUGAAUUCCGAUUGGCAUCCUCCUGAUACACGUUGCAAGCUCUUUGUAAGUUCCCUUAAGAGCAAAGUUCAUAUUAAACCUUGACUUAGUACUAGAGCAAGUCUGAAAUCAACCAUGACUUUCUAAUCCCUGAAAUCAGCACCCUGUCCUAGCUUGUUAAUCCUGUCUAUUCUCAACCUUCAGGAAUCAAACCCCGUUUGGGAGAACAGGAUCCCUGACAUAACGGUUAAAAUUUGGAAAUUAUUGACUAAUUCAGUUCAGCUUAUUGCUAAAAUUUGACGCCUAUAUUUAUACUAAGUUAUAUAAUGUCAGAUAUAAUAUUAUUUACAAUUUUGCAUUCAUGCAGGGAAUUUGAUCAUAUGUCUAGUUACUUGGAAAAUAAAAAUAAUUAUAUGUCAUAUGAUAUAUAGUCUGUUUUUGAUCAUUUGUCUCAUUUUAUUUGGACACCUGAUGAUUUACCCUUUUCUACUUUUAACUUGAAUUUUUAUUUUUCGAGCACAUGUGAAAUGACACAACACCCAUCCGCUUGCGUAUGUGCAUAGCUGUAUGGACGCCUAUGUGGUUGCGUGUGCGCGGCGUUGAAGAAAAUGAAUGCAUCUUAAUUUUUUGUUUUAAUAUAUGUCUACUAAAAUUGACCCAAUCUAAGUUAUUUUGUAGUUCAAUGUGUUUUUGGAUAAAAAUCCCGAGAUUUGUCUAUCUUGUCAGCAAUCCCGCUCACCCAAACAAGAUUUGGUUCCCAAAGGUCGGGAUCGAACAGGAUUAUUAAGGACAGGGUGCUGAUUUCCGGGAUUGAGACGUCAGGGUUUAUUUUAGACCUUGUCUACACGUUUAAGGUUUACAAUGUACUUUGCUCUUCCCUUAAUUAUGGUUGUAGGUGUGUGCGUAUGCAACGUGACAAUUGUUUUUUUACGUACAUGAGAAUUAUUGUACCACCUCCAAAUCUUGUAAAUCUGAACCGUUUAAUUUACGGUCAACUGUGUAUAUAUUUUAAACCUAAUAUGAGUGGAUGAAUGUGGUGACUUCUCGUUCUUCUGUUUUAACAAUAUGAUAGCUGAUCCAUAUUACUUGUCGAAAUAUUACAUGUAUCUAGACGCUUUUUAAACAUAGAUAUAUCCCUAUUUGGGCAAAUUUGAGACAAAUAAUAUGGGUCAGAGGGAGUAACUUUUUUUCUAAAUGUAAGACGUUUCAAUAAAUUAUAUAACCUAUCAAAACGUCUAUAUAUACAUUUAGUAACAAAGGUAGUAUAUGGGAGUAGAUAGUAAAGAAACGAGGUGGGUGAUUAUGCCCAAAAAAAGACGCCAUAGAAGAUUUGAAUAUCUGUGUACAUAAUUAGUGUAAGGUUUUCUUUCCAUUUUAUGUUUAAGCUUGUGUACAUAACUAUAACCUUACUCUAUCUUAGUCAAUAUAAAAUAGCACUACUAUAUUUUGUUAAAAGUCAAUCAGAAAAUAUAUAAAAAAAUAAAAAAGAUAUAUAAAUCGGGAGCAGUUUUUUGCAACUCGGUUGAAUCGCACUCUAAAUCUGAGCCAUACGAUUUAAUUUAGGGAUUGUGCCCAAAAUUUUCUAUUCCCAAAUACACUAAUAUGAUGGUCCACCUAUCGAAUGAACCUGACCGUUUUCUUUGGAAGCUUACUUCCUCACGGGUUUUUUCCUGACUUUAUGUAUGGUCAGACGGUUUUUAGAGGACUCUGAAAGUUAAAGAUUCCAACAAAAGUUAAGAUAUUUAUGUGGUUUUAGACCAUCAAGUCCUUCUUACUAAAGAUAAUCUUGUCAGGUGGAAUUGAGAGGGGAGUGUGAAGUGUUGUUUUUGCGCGUGACUCUUAUGAGAUUAUACAACAUAUUUUUCUCUCUUGUCCUUUUACUCGCACUGUUUGGCUUAUCAUUUUUAUCUCUUUUUAUUUGCCUCAACCGACUACGAUUAUUUAUUUAUUUGGGAAUUGGCUUAUUGGGGUUCAUAAACAUAUUAAGAUUAUAUGCAUAGACUUGUUAUGCUUGAUUUAAUACGCUGGCUCCUUUUUAAUCCACGAUCGCUGAUCAAUGAAUUGUAUGACCUUAUCAACAAUGCAAUAAAGAUGGUUAUGUGCAUCGAUUGAUGCAGAAGUCAGAGAUCCUUUCCCUUUUCAAAAAAGAAAUAUACUGAAUACAUGGAAGAAUACAAAUGUGCUGGACCCACGUCCCGUCGCCUCUUUCCUCUACUCUCGAUCUCUCCCUGCCAUCUUGUCGCCUCUCUCUCUCUGCCAUCCCGACUGCGCCCCCCACCAGACGAAUACAGAAAAUACCAUUUCCGGACGUGUUCCACGGAAAACGUCGAUUUCAUUUCCCACUUGGUAAACUUUUGUUUGUAAAGUUUCAUUUUAGUUUUCGUCUUCUCACCAUUUCCGUUAUUCCACAGAACGGAGUAAAUGUUUUCGCUAAGUUUGAAAUCCUAGACAAGGUACCCUGUGUUGUCCCCGGUUCUUUGUUUUUUGGUUUUGCCUCGUCCAAUAUGAAGAAAUUGUACUAACUAUCCAGUACUGCCUCUCUUCCUAAAUCUUACAUACUAGUCGUCGAACUGUCCACGAAGACAACCUUUUCAAAUUUUGACCAAAUUUAUAGAAAAAUAUAUCAACAACUAAUAUAUUAAAUAAUUAUAUUAUUAUUUUUUCGAAAGGGUGAUGAAAAUAUAUAUCAUGACAGAUAUAAUAAAACUAAUUUAGAAUCGUGUGAACAAUUUUUCUUAUAAACUUAAUCAAAGUAUAAUAACUUUGACUUAUCUAUUACAUUCAGAAACGGAGGGUAUGUCUUGCCGUAAAAAAAACUGUUAGCAUGUGUGACAUCGUACGUGGGACCCACAGUGAAGCGCCUCGACCAAGAAUUUGUUGGCUGCUAUAAAUUCACGUCCACACUCGGACUCAUCCACACUCCUCAGCUCAUCUCUGCCCCUGUUACACUGUACACAACAGCAUGGCGCUUACUUGCCUCCUCAUCGUCCUCCUCUGCGUCUCACUGUCGCUCCUCUUCGUCAACCAUGCAGGUAAUCGGGGUUGAUGUAUAAAUUAAGGCGGCUGUUUUGGAAAAUACUACGACCGGCCGUUUAUUUUAUUUUAUACUAACUGAGAAAAGCUAAAAUAUCUUAUAUUUAGAAACUUAGAGAAUUCCUACUCCGUAGCCAUGCACGAUAAUUAAACGGCUACGCAUCUGAUUAUUUCUGGAUUUGUAUUGCAAGUUGGUCGUCCAUAGACGUUGAGUGAAUGUGUGCGCGUGGUGGUGUGCGUGCCUCUACGAUGUUUCUAUAAAAAAUAAUACUAGACACUAGAUCGAUAAGGUAAUUAAUCAUAUUACCGACCCAAGAAGGGUCUUUACUUUGUACCCUCUCCUCCCACAAAAUAUAAGUCAGAUUAUUACAAAAGUGGUCAAGAUUUUAGAACUUUCAUCACUAUGCGGGAAGCUAUAUGCAUGGAUUGAAAUGUAAGAAUAAAAUCGUUGUAUUUGUCUUGCAGAAUAGUUUCUGUCGUAUGUUCUUUUACAUAUUAAUUCAAAAUCAUGCAUUAGAGAUGUUGAAAAUUAAGCGCUAGUUAGCAAGGAGGUAACAGGUGAUUUUGGAUCCAUAUGUUGAGUUUGAGUUUGGUUUGAAGCCCAAGCGCGUAGGCUGGUCGAUGUUGGUAAUGACUAGUAGGUUGAUUGGACUUUUUCUUUUUCAAAAAUAAGGAAAUCUCUCGGCCUCUGCAUCGAUCGAUACACACAACCAUUAUAUUAUUAAAAUAUCAAGCAAUCAACGUGCAAGUCUCAAAUAAGCUUAAAAAUAAAAACAAACGAACAAGAGAAACACCACACGCCCUCAAGUUAAAGGUCAGCACACCACCCAAAUUGGCCGAAGAACCCCUGUGCUACCAUCUACAAACGGUGGCACCCAGAGUCCAUACAUCCAUGUCCCUUCGUCGGAAGCAGUACGGAGCCAAUGUGACGCCCGGAAAACAACCUGCAAAAAAUUAGAAUUUUUUUCUGUUUAUAUAGCUAACAUACAAAAAAAUAAAAGUUGAUAUGAUGAGCUAGAUCAUUGUUUGUACCGAUGUUAGGUCAAUCCGCAAGGUUACAAGUUGUAUCGUGAGGCAGGGCGGACCUCGGAAGACAAUCACUUAAUGUCCAUCUUUUCAAAAAAAAAAUAAUGUCCAUCAUUAGAAGAAGUGUUGUCCAGUGCACCCUCUUGCAUGAACAUGGGUGCCGAUUACUUGGAUGGGAUGUUAAUUACAUCAGCAUGUAGAAAUUAACUUCAAACUCAGUGCUCGUUGAGACAAUCUGUUGAAACAUUUUAUAAAUUUGUUUGAACAAACGUGUGUUUGUGUGAAUAUUCACUUUGAUAUAAAUGAACAUUCAAUUUGAUAUACUUGGACAUUUUCCUAGGAGAGUAUUUAAGGUUAACAAGUUUGAAUCAUGAAACUAUUUUUACAAUUUGUGAGAAUCACCAGUACAAAAUUAUACUACAUUUGAAAUAGAUAAAUAUUUUGUCUGGCAUAUAUGGGCAUUUCAUGCAGACGUACAAAGAAUAUCUGAAAUUGCAGAGAACAUUCCAAAAAUAUAUAUUACUCUUGUAGGCCCUAGCGUGCUGCGGAAGUUAUGCUAAUUUCAAGAAUCAGAAGUGAUCCACACAUUUGCGAAAUUAUGAUAUUUUCAUUGAUGAGUCUGUCGAUCCGUAGCAAUGGACGGGCACUGGUGUCGAAAACGAAAUCUACCCAAAUAAUAAAAGGAGGAACGCUUCCUUCGUCGUCGUCGUCGUCGUCCGUCCGUGAAUUUUGCAAUUUGCCCCUUCAAGUUUUUGUUAAUUCAACCCGCCGUCCAAAUAAAGGACGGAACUGGGUUUGUUUUCCAAGGUUUCGGCUAAACUGCAAUUUUGCAUCUCCUUCCACGGAUCUCUCCCCAACUCAUCCCCGAGUCCCCGACCCGCAUCUCGCCCUGCCUCCUGACGGGUUGGGACCCAAGGCGCUGUCCCGUCAUGGCACGGAUCUGGGUUUUUCUGCAAGUUUACCCCCCCCCCCUCCCCGCGCUCCCUCUCCAUCUACCGGCCCAAUAGCUGCAGCGGCGCUCUGGUUGCCACGAUGCUGCUCCACCUUCUACGGCCGAGCGCUCGCCUCCGCCCCGACACCGCGCAGCCGCCGGCCGUCCCCUCAUCCACACCGACCUCCUGCGCUUCACCGCCGCCGUUCACCCACCGCCCCUGAAGCUAGAGCGCCACACAUGGCCUCCUCCACCUCCGUCUCGCCUGCCGCUGCCGCCUUCUCCGGCAACAACCGAUGCCUCCUCCUUCCAUGUUCACUGCGUCACCUCCCUCGCAGCCGCUCGUGCCCGCGCUCAAGCUCCCGCAUCCGCUUCGCUGCCUGCCACGCCAAUACCCUCCUCUCAUCACCCGGGGCCAGGUGCCAUCCGCUACCGCGGCGUGGUCGUCUGCCUCCUCCGCUAGCGGGUUCUCUGUAUAGCUCCUCACGCACGGGCUGCCGCCGGGCAAGGUCGCCAUCCUGGAGCGCCCAGUGGCUAGCUCCGGUGGAGGCAAGGACCGGCCUCUGCACCCUUUGGACAAGGUGGCCAUCCUGCAGCGCCCCGUGCCUAGCUCCGAUGUGGGGGGGGGGGGGGGCGCAAGGACCGGCCUUUGCACCCUUUGAAGAAAUCAAUGAUAAGUCGGUAAUACACUCAGUGACUCAGAAUUCUCACGUUCAGGAAUAUGAAAAUUAUGGAUUCUAUGACAAAAGCAAUUGUUCCGUUAAAUUCGAUUGAAUGUCAAAUUAUCUUAUUGUCAUUUCAAUGAACAUGAAUUUUUGUGUGCAUAUGUUUAAGAGGCCGUGACAAUGCACGGUCACCGUACUAGUUAAGGAAUUAAGACGCCACGGCAACACGGGCAUUGUACUAAUUGACACAUAAUCUUUGGUGUGCAUUAUUUGCAGAGGCGGGAGAGGUUGGGGUGAGCUACGGAAGGAUCGGGAACAACUUGAUGGACCCAGCGUCGGUGGUCCAGCUUCUGAACCAGAACGGGAUCACGUCGAUCAGGGUGUACGACACCGACGAGGCGGUCCUGAACUCGAUGGCGAACACCGGAAUCAAGAUCCUGGUGGGUCUGCCCAACGAGCUGGUAGCCUCUGCGGCGGACGACCCUUCGUACGCGCUCCGGUGGGUGCAAGACAACGUGAAGCGGCACUACCCCGACGCGAAGAUCAAUGGCGUGACCGUCGGGAACGAGGUGUUCAACCAGGCAAGCCAACUCACCUCGAAGCUGGUCCCGGCCAUGAAGAACGUCCAGGCGGCUCUCGCCAGGCUAGGCCUGGCGGACGCCAUCAAGGUGACCACGCCGAUCGCGUUGAACGCGCUCAAGCAAUCGUCGCCACCGUCGCAGGGCGCGUUCCGGGACGACAUCGCGCAGUCGGUGAUGAGCCCCAUGCUCGACUUCCUGGACCAGACGGGUUCUUACCUCAUGGUCAAUAUCUACCCGUAUUACACGUACAAGGAUCAGCAAGGCGAUUUCUCCCUCGCCUACGCGACGUCGGGGCAGAACGACGGCGUGCUCGACUCUGGGACGGGAGUCAGGUACUACAGCCUGUUUGACGCGCAGCUAGCCGCCGUGCACUAUGCGAACCGCAGGCGCGGCCACCCAAGGGUGCACGUGGUGGUUGGGGAGACGGGGUGGUGCUCCUACUGCAACAACGCCGUGGCUUCCAAGGAGAACGCCGCAAGCUACGUGAAUAACGUCAUCCGGAGCACGCACUCCUCCUCCGGCGGCAGCGCCGGCACCAUGGGCAGCAACAGGACGCUUGCCGUGGGUGCUGCUGGGGCAGGCACAAACGGUGACUUCUCCGUGUACAUCUUCGCCCUUUUCAACGAGAACCAGAAGCCCGCCGACGAGCAGAACUUCGGCCUGUUCUACCCGAACGGGCAAGCGGUGUACCAGGUCGACUUCAGGGGUGGCGGCGGCGGCGGAGGAGGAGGAGGGACGGCAAGCUGGUGCGUGGCGAGGAGUGAUGUCGGCGACGCGCGGCUGCAGGCGGCGCUGGACUACGCGUGCGGCCACGGGGCGGACUGCAGCGCUAUCCAGCCCGGGAAAGCGUGCUACGAGCCCAACACCAAGGCCGCGCACGCGUCCUACGCCUUCAACGACUACUACCAGAGCAAGGGCCGGGCCAGCGGGACGUGCGACUUCGCCGGCGCCGCCUCCGUCGUGUACCAGCAGCCAUCAGGCACCUGUGACCCGAAGGCGGCGAGCUGGUGCGUGGCGAAUGCGGCCGUAGGGGACGCGCGGCUCCAGGCGGCGCUCGACUACGCGUGCGGCCACGGCGCGGACUGCGGCGCCAUCCAGCCGGGGGCGCAGUGCUUCGACCCAAACACCAAGGUCGCGCACGCGUCCUACGCUAUGAAUGACUAUUACCAGCGCAACGGCCGUACUGCCAGGUCCUGCGAUUUCGGUGGCGCCGGCUCCGUCGUCCACCAGGCACCAAGUGAGUUCUUUUCAUAUCCUAUGCCUAGAAACGAGGCAGUUAAGCUUCUCCAAUUUUGACUGUAAAUCUUUAAUGUCACCCAAAAAACAGUGCUCCCUUUGAUUUGUACUCUGGUUUAAUAUUAGUAUUAGUCUAUUUUGGCAAUUAAUCUAAUGUUUGUUCAAAUGUUUGCAGACACAGGUAACUGCGUCCUCCCAUCAAGGGCCUGAACUGAAGAAAGGCAGCGAGGACUAAAAGCCUUGACUGUUAGCUUGGCAUAUGAGAUGAUAAUAAACUCUGCACUAUAGCUACUUUCGAACAAGUCUAGUUUUCUGCUAUACAACUAGGCAAAUAAACCCCAUGUACUUGCCAAUCCGCCGGUAGCCCGGUGCAUGCUAAUCUAUACUUAAAUACUUAAAAUGCCAGCAUUCCCCGAUUAAAAAAAGGGUCAAUACCAUCAUGAGUACUGUACUACUUUGUGCAACUGAUCAGCUCAGGACGGUUUAUGCACGAUCACCUGCCUUAAUUAAGGUCGAUGUCGACGGCACAACGGGUCAUCAUUUUCUUUUUUGGCGCGAACACGGGUCACCGCAAAUUUUCAGUGACAAAAAAAAUUCAAAUAUAUUUUGAGAGUAUUUUUGUCCCUCAAUUAGCAGUAAAGUUUAGAAAUAUAGAAAUAGUGUUUGAACUAAAUCGUAUAUAUUUGGUCCCUCAAUUUGCAAAGUAGACACUUUUGGUCCCUCUUCAGAAUGUGAACGGUUUUGACUCCACAUGGCAUGAUUUUUCCCAUAAUUGUCCAUGUUAGAUACCAUGAUAGCGUCCGUUCCUCCUACAAAUGGUCGUUGAACUUAAAAUCGUACACAUUUGGUCCAUCAACUAUGCAUCAUGGCAUCCAACAUGAAUAACUUUAAGGGGGAAAACCAGUCCAUGUGGAGCCAAAACCAUUCGAAUCCGGAAGAGGGCCUAAGAGUAUCCGAUUUUGCCGAUUGACGGAUCAAAUGAAUACGAUUUCGAGUUGAGUGACCAUUUCUAAACUUUGCUAUCAAUUGAAGGACCAAAAUUAUACUUAUUUUCUCCCAGGUAAAUAACAUGGGGCAACCACGUGUAAAAAUCAAAAAGUUGUCUGAAAGGGCCAUAUAUAGAGGCAGUGGGAAAAAUCUUAUAGACCAGUCGUCGAAUUGCCCAUAAAGACAACAUAUGAACACUUAUUUUGGAGCAAAUCAAACACAAACGGAUUUAGCCCGAACUUACAGCUUUUUAUCUGAACAUCACACCGACUCAAAAGUUACCUAGGAUACAGCUCAGUAAUUGUAACCCCAUUCACAGACACGUCCAUUCCCAAUAAGAAAUCUGAUCGGUCAGACGGCACAGAAGCUAAAGCUGAUUCUCUCCCGAAGAAGAACGCGGGCUGUGCUGGUGCCUGAAUCUCCAUGUUAUCUCUGGUUAACAUGAAAAUGACGGAUGAUAUAGAAGGCCUGUCGUUGGCGUCCGAUUGAACGCACAUCAACCCGAUAUGGAUGCAUCGUAGCGCCUGGUUUCGAGCGUUUUCAUGGAGUGAUUGGUCUAGCAUUUGAGAUAUGGUCCCUUUUGUCCAGCAAUUCCACACCUAUUCAUAAGGACAGCAUUUUCAGAUAUGAUGAUACAUUCAUACGAAACUUCCAAUGUAGAUAUGUAAUUAAAGUAAAUAAAAUCAGCACUUACAUCACUAAGGAGAUUCACGGCAUCACUAUCAUCAGAACUGGAAUUCCUUCUCUUAGUUACAAUUUCAAGGACCAACACACCAAAGCUGAAAAUAUCGAUCUUGGGUGACACGAGUCCAUGUAUCGCGUACUCCGGUGCCAUAUAACCACUGCAGAGGAUGAGCAGUUAGGCUACGAAAGAUGCUCGAUCAAUAUCUGCGAGAUGUGAAUGUUUGAUUAAGGUAGGUAUGAGCUUACAGUGUUCCAACAGCUCUAGCUGUCCUAGUAUUAGUAUGACCUUCUCCUAGCAGCCUCGCCAAUCCAAAGUCUGCGAUUUUUGGAUCCAUGUCAUCAUCGAUAAGAAUGUUGUUAGCUUUCAGGUCCCGGUGGAUGAUCCUCAUGCUUGAGUCCUCGUGAAGAUACAAUAUACCCUUGGCAAUUCCAAGAAUGAUGUUGUAUUGUUGCUCCCAGUUUAGUGUAUUCCCCUCAUUAGUAUCUAUUGGCGAAACACUGGAUUCAUAUUAGCUGUUGCAAAUUAAACGCAGAACAAUCAUAAUAACUCACCUACCGGUCAAAAAAAGAUGUUAACUGUACCUACAGUAUCUGCUGCAGUGACUUAUUUGCCGGAAAUGCUACAGUGGGAACUUAUUGUCUGUGGUUCCACGCUAGGUGUGAUACUCCGGUCACUAAAAAUGAUACUCCGUUGUACAGCUAUGCAUUACUCAUUCUAUUCUUACCUGUAUUUUCCUUGAGAAAUUUACGGUACCCUAGUACUCCAUGGAGAGCCAUGGGAGUACCGAUCAAAUCUAACCCUUCAUUUAAAAGAGUAAAUUAGACUUUUUCUGCUAACAAGGUAAUCUCAACUUCCCAUCUAUAACUCCCUGUGGCCCUUCGUCUUGAUCCAACACACACGCACCGACUGGUUCAUCCCGAUCGAACUGGCCGCGAGACGCACCGCUGCCUCCCCUGCAUGCCGCCUCCUUUGCAGGGCACAUUUAGGCUUUGAAUUGGGUGUAAUCCGGCAUCGUUAUGAUCACCAAAUUGACACUGCUGCCAAUUGGCCACCGUGCUCCGCUCUCCUCUCCUCUUCCAGGAGUUUUAUAGCAUGCGUUCCAUGGAACCUUCAUGUCCAUGUGAUUUUUCUUUGAACUAAUUGGGAUGUAUUUACUCUAAGAACAACAGAAACAAAGACCUGAUCGAUCUUUCUCUAGCACUACAUGCGGGCAUCAGUUUCAAGAUUCUUUGAAUCCCUGAUUAGGGAUUACUAACCCAACUCACUCCUGUUCAUGGUGAUCCUUCGGACUCACCAAUUUCGUUCUCACGACUCUCCUCGGGCCAGGACACUCUGGUCGGCGGUCGCCAUCGAUCCCUUUGCAAGAGAUCUUUUUUGCGGGAAUCCUCCGAUUGGAUAUAUAUAUUUCUAUUUUAAUCACAGGUGACGUAUAAUUUUCCUCCUAAGUCUUAAUUUCUUGAUUACGAUUUUACCCCUGAACUCAUGGUACUCCAUAAUUUUUAGAGAUGUUACUCCUAUCUGAUUUUGUUGGAGUACCACUUGAUAUCAGCCAUUAGAUUGAAACAAACGGAUGGCUUUUAUUUAUUUCGGGGUACUGUAAAAGAGCUCUUUUCCUUUUGCGGCAUACUUUGUAUGGAUGGUGUUUCUCAUGACAAGCAUCAAUUAUCGCUGAAUCCAUAAUUAAAAAAUGUUUUGAUGCAUACCAAAUAAAAGAGUCAAAUAGACUUCAGAAACACAAUAGAGAAAUGCCACAAUUUGCAGUGACCACUGACCAGAGAAUUUUGCAUGUGCAAGUUUGUAGCUAAAGAUGUUUUUUUUUAGAAAAUGUGUAGCUAAAGAUGUGAGUGGAGUAGAAAAAUACCGAAUAUAAAGUUGUCAAGGCUCCCAUUCUUGAUAUACUCAUAAACGAGUAGCGUAUCAUCCCUAUGCGAGCAAAACCCCUGCAAUCGAACAAGGUUCUUGUGCUGCAGCUCUGCCAAUAGUAGCACCUCGUUGUGUAGCUGUUGCAAACCAUGCCCAGUUCUUCCCAGCAGUUUCUUCACUGCUAUUUCUUGACCAUCAGGCAGUAUCCCCUGAAAUGGAAUCAUUUUCAGACAACAUACUCCCUCCAUUUCACAAAGGUUGGCGUAUUUUGUUUCGUUAAGACAAAACUUUGACCAAUAAAAACUCUAUUGAUAUGUAUUUUUUCAUACAUAAAAUAUAUAUCAAUGGAUUCGUCUUUAAAAGUUCUUACUAAUGAUCAUGGUUUUGUAUCAUAUAACUUACAUAUUAAUAGAGUGAUUCUUGGUCAAAGACUUAUCUUAACGAAACAAAAUACUCCAACAUUCGUGAAAUGAAGAGAGUAUGAUGCAUUACCCUUUUCUAUCCUUGAAUUCUUGGCUGUUUACUUACCUUGUAUACAAUACCAAAACCACCUUCUCCGAGCUUGUUGUUCUGUGAGAAGUUUUCAGUUGCCUCUUGCAGUGCAAGCAAAUCAAAGAUCGUGCAUUGUGCUCUUGCAAUUUUCUUCAGUGCUGGUAUCGUACGACAAGAUUGCCGUCAGUAAAUGACAAAAUUCAAGCUCUUGGAUAGAUAACAUAUUAGAUGCUACUCACGGUGGUCGUCCUCGGUAGUUUUAGUCCUUCUCUUGAACCGGACGAAAGCGAAAAUGGACCACAGAACCAAUAUCAAGACGACGGAACAAGCGAUGCCUGCUGAGAGUCCUGCUGCACUGGUUUUGUUCCCUGAAACAGCAUACACCAAGCGAGAACUUUAAGUAGUACUGUAAUUUCUUAACACUAUUAACUAAACAAAAAAAUAAAAUUCUUCAGACAAAAAGAAGAAUUGAGAGAGUGUGGGUACUGCUACCUGCUCCUCCGGAAUCUGGAGUUGCAGAUGGGGAUGGGGGCAUGACUGCCGGCGCUGGUGGUGCUGGAAGCAGCAGCAUCGCCGGGCCGUCGAAGAACGGCUGCACGCUAUACCUCAGGUUGCACCACGUCUCAAGCCCUAUGAUCCACCGGCGCUUGAUGCUGAGAAAGGGUUUUUGGUUCUGGAGGUUAGUCCCGAGGCAGCCCUGGCACUGCGCAGGCGUCAUGUCCGGGAGGCACUGGGCGAGCGCGUAAAUCUUGGGGUCGAACUCCACCUCGGCCGUGGCGAAGUACUUCUUGCUGCCGGUCGAGUUAUUGCCCUGCGCGGCCAACGCGCGGUCGACGACGGCGGUGAGCACGGCCGUGGCGGCGGCACUGAACCAGGCACUCGGGACCGUCGACACGUUCCCAGGAGCCUGGGAGAUUCGAAUACUUAUCCAAGUUUCCAAAUCCAUUGUUUGUUGUAAAUUUCAUUAGUUUGGAUUACAGAUACUAUAUAGGUACGCAUUUAAAACUAUGAAGUUUUGGAAGUGAAAUUGGGUGGCGGCGCGGCGUACUUGAGCUCCCUGACCUGCCACUGGUCCGCUCUGAGGAAGUCGAGGAACUGCUGGCCGCUGGAGAAGCGGACGACGCAGCUGUCCUCGUACAUGGUGACGCCGGUGUUGUUGGGGCAGUGGUCCGGCGCGCCCGCGGCACGGAACGCGGCCGACACGCAGGCGGCGCAGGCGGAGCCGUUCACGUCGCCGCGGCAGAGCGCCAUCGCGUAGGCGCGGCCGGGCUGCGUGCCGGCCGCCGCGGUGGCGAACCCCGUGGGCGCGGAGGAGGCGUUCCCCGGGAGCGCCCCCGCGACGAGGCCGAGGUUGGCUGGGAAAGUGCUGUUGGGCCCGUAGGUGCCGGCGCCAUCGCAGGUGAAGUCCUCGAACGAUCUAGCCCGCGGCAGCAAGAGGAGUAGCAGGACGGCAGCGAGGGGCCCGGCGAGCAUCGCUGCUGGCGCGGGGGCGCGGGGCACUUCGGGGAAAUCGUCCUUUUUUCUUUGGCCUGAGCCUGAGCCUGACCCCUGCGACAACGGCGAUAGCAGGCAGAUACGACGCAUCGCGUCACUUCCAUUUUUCCACGGGCGCGCGCAAGUGGUAUACUGCAUUCCUGCUUGAUUUGUUGAGUCAAAGUUGAUUGGCCGCCUGCGAAACCGGCUGCCAGUUUCGCGGUGUCACCAUCGAACCCGUUGUUACUCAUCACGAAUUCACGAUGUUUUUUCACAAAGGGGCUUUCUGCUAAAUAAUUCGUGCCACGGCGGGCCGGAAAAAGAAAGAUCGUGUCUUUUUGCUACGGACCAUGCUAGUCGCUUAUUCCACCCUGCGUGGAAAAAGACACCAACUUGCGUUUGCUUAUUGCGGCAAUGCCGUGCCGGACAGGUCGUUGGCUCGUUGCCAUUCGGUCGCCUACCUCCACUUGAUUAUAUUCCGGUUAGUACAGUUUUGAUGUGUGUAUUUUUUUGAUGCAGAGGUUGAGGGUUUCAACCUCUUUUUCGGAAAAAAAAACCGCUUAAUACAAUGGUUUACUGCGCUAGCUAGCUGCACGCUUGACUAGGUGACUGAUGGAGUGUUGUAAGUUUUCAUUAACAAACCCAUGUACAGUAGUUAAAAAGGGAUGUGGAAGAGGGAGGGAAAAAAUAGUCUUCUCUUAACCACGAGAUAAUCACUUAACACUUAAGAUAAUAUGUUUUUCUCAAUUGUAUUGUACCUGAUGCAAUCUCUUAAGUCACUUUUUUCGUUCAAAUUUAAUCUAUUCAUAAUUUUAGAGGCAUCUAAGCAUUAAUUGAUAGACAUAAUAUUAAGAGAUGUCUCAUUGUACAACAUUUUUUCAUUGUUUUCUCUAAAUGACGUGAAAAAUGAGAAGAAAACAUUAUCAACCACUCGAAUGCGCGACAACGUAUUUUCUUCCACUUCGAUGAAAGUUGUGCCUAUCAGGCUAGAUUGUCCUGACAUUUUAAGACUUGGCCUCCAAGUGUGCGUAGUAUGUAUGGAUGCGCCCUUUCACAAUGGCAAUUGCACCAAGAGGUCCAAUUCGUAUCCUCUGAGACGUCUCCAUCUUAUAUACAUUUGACUCCAAUUAAUCACACCUAGCUUUGACCUGAAAGGUAAUGUUGCACUGGUUCAUAACAGUGCCAAGGAGCAAAGAGCUGGAUCAUGUAGGAAAUUUGAAAGUACAAAAAAAACAUCAACAAAAAUAAAAUAAAAUGUCUCUCCCUCAAAAUUUGAAAGUAAACAAAGGAACCCAUCUUAAUUGUUUUGAAAGUUUGUCCAAAACUUUUAAAGGUUUCAGCCUAAAAAUUUGAAAGCUUUUCUAGAAGUUUAGAAGUCCAUCCGAGAUUUUUAAAAGUCUAGAAAAAAAAGAAAGCUUGUCAAUAAAAUUUUGAAAGUUUGUUAACAUUAGUUGAAAGCUCAUCAACAAUUUGAACUUCGCUCUUGUUCCAGAAGGUUCAAAAUCCAUCUCAAAUUUUGAAAGUUUUAAGAACUUAUUUCUAGGGUUCUGGUUAGAGAAUUUAGACUUCUUUAUUUUAUAAGAGUCAAAAAGGGGAAAGAGUAAAAGGUUGGGCAAUCGGCUUGUUUGCCUGUUUUCUCGAGGAAAAAAAAGGAGGAAACCACGCGCUCCCUCCUCACACGGUGAAAGAAUUAGUCACAAGAAAAGAAUCCCUUAGGGGAACGCCUGGUAGGGAUUCAAGUGCGGGGUUGUUUCCACACAAAGCUUUUUUUUUUCAAAUGGCCUCGUGACCGGAUUCCGCUCGGAGUUCGUACAUUGGUUUCCCGCAAAACUCUAAAUUUCACAAGAAAAAAGUGUCUGCAUAACUCAAUAGUAGAAAUAGUUAUUUCUUAAACGAUAAUUAUAACCACUAAAUUAAGGAUUAAUAUCUUCUUAUAUCUUUUAUAGUUGCCUCGUGUUUAACUAAGAUGUUUACCAAAGCCCAGUGAUGCGAGCUUGCUACGAAACAAACCCAACUGGCCUAAUUUCUGCACAGAUCGGAGUAGUCAGUUUUUAUUUCCUUUUUGUCUUCUUUUUUUGUGAUGGAACUUGGAAGUAGUCAGUGAGUCACUGACGAGACUUGCACUACUAAUUUCCAUGGUAGUGGUCAAACUCGACAUGCGUCCAGCGGUCAAAUUUGGUCCGGCCGAUCUACAAAAGCGACCCCAAAGUACUUUCUCCGCUCCACGGCCGGUCCAGAGUCCAGCCUCCAGAGUAUGAGAAUGGCUCACCGCCUCCUCCUGCUGGCGGGCAUCGUCGCCCUGCUCGCUUCCCCCGCGGCGGGCGUAUACCCGUGGCCAAUCUGCGGGCACUCAGGCAACUUCGCGGCCAACAGCACGUACCAGGCGAACCUGGCCCGCAUCGCCGCCACGCUCCCCAAGAACGCUUCUUCAUCGGCGACCCUCUUCGCCACGGCCCAGGUCGGCGUCGUCCCGGAGCAGGUCUGGGCGCUGGGGCUCUGCCGCGGCGACUCCAACGCCUCCUCCUGCUUCACCUGCCUCGACCAGGCCUUCACGGACCUGUCCAACGCCUGCGCCUACACCAAGGACGGCACCAUCUACUACGACUCCUGCGCGCUCCACUACUCCAACAUCCACUUCCGGGCCUCCGACAACACCGAGUACAGCACCACGUACAGGCUCCGGAACGACUUCAACGCCACGCUGGAGCCGGCCCGGUUCCAAAGCGUCGUGGCGGCGCUCAUGAACGCCACCGUGGACUACGCCGCGUACAACAACAGCGGGCGCAUGUACGCGUCCGGGGAGGCCGAUUUCGACCGGGAGCUGCCCAAGGUGUACGCCUGGGCGCAGUGCACGCCGGACAUGGCGCCCGCGCGGUGCCGGGACUGCCUCGGCCGGAUCAUGGAGGCGCUGCCCAGGCAGUUCACCAGCGCCAUCGGUGCCAGGGUUCUUGGGGUCAGGUGCAGUUACCGGUAUGAGACCAAGCCCUUCUUCGAGGGCCCCGUCAUGGUGCGGCUGCAAGGGACGUCCUCGGCCAGCCCUGGAGCGCCGCCGGCUCCUGCGCCCACGACUGUGGUGCCCAAUGUUGUGACGCCGGGGACAGCGGCCCCGGCCGCACAAGGUCAGUCAAAGCGUUUACUAGUUUCGUCUUUGCGCGACUUUUCGUUACGGCGUGCUUAAUUGAUUGCAAACCGUGCGCACCGAAAAUUUUGCUAUUCACAAGUCGCAUGUUCUUUUUUAAGUCAGAGAUGAAUCAACAUGUUAGACAUCGGAUAUUAAUCCAACGACACCAAGUGAGAGAUGAGAGACUGGAGAUGACCUUUUGAUUUUAAUCCAACGGUUCUGAAACGUUCACUACUGAUAUAUAAGGCUUAUUUCUUAGAAAUAGCCACACCUAAAUUAUUCAGGCGUGCAAACCUCCUUUUUUUUUCCUCGGUUAUGUUUCCACUGACUCCGAGUCUCCGAUAUGUGCUCAAAACAUAAGUGAAAAAAAAAAUCUAUAUUUCAAUUAGGUCCCUUAAAUUCAUUUUAUUUGAGUCUUGCAUGUACGUAGCUUAAUUAUUUUUUUGCAGAGUCUUGCUUUUUGUUCUCUGUAGAAUUUUACAAGCAGUGACACUCUAGUCUCAUGUUACUCCAUGCGUACAUUUUUAUCGGUCCUGCAUUUCAGAGGGCCCCUGUAUUUUGUUGCUGCUUUGCAGUCCACCGCAAUAAGCCUUGUGUUAUUUCAUUUGAAGUUUAUUAUACUCAUCUGGCCUUACACUGGUUAAUUCACAGGGAGAAAGUACAGUGUUCCUGGUAUGGUUCUUAUAGUUCUGCUGCCUACUAUAGCAGCCAUAAACCUCGUCGCCUGCCUCGUCCUCUGGAUGCGGCGGCGGCCACUGGCAGAAGCAAAGCAGACAUGUAUGUUCUGCAAGAUUUUGCAAAUUUACUGCGUGGAAGACACCUAGGGGCCCAAAGUGACAUAACUGACAAACUCUUGGCGGCAAUGCCAUUGCUAUUUUAACAGAUCCAGGCUAUUCCGCUGAAGCCGAGGACAUUGAAAGUGUAGACUCGAUGCUGAUCGACAUCUCAACUUUGCGAGCUGCAACCGGAGAUUUUGCGGAAAUUAACAAGCUCGGUGAAGGCGGAUUCGGUGCGGUGUACAAGGUACGUACGGAGCAAAGUAUUUCCUUGAGAAAAAAUGAAUAACACAUCGAAAUUUUGUUGAUACCUGAGCUUAAUUUUGGUUCGAUCUGCAUAGGGCAUUCUCCCGGAUGGCGACGAAAUAGCAGUGAAGAGACUGUCGAAGAGCUCAACGCAAGGAGUAGGGGAGCUGAAGAAUGAGCUCGCCUUAGUUGCCAAGCUCAAGCACAAGAACCUUGUCAGGCUUGUCGGCGUCUGCUUGGAGCAGCAGGAGAGGCUGCUUGUCUACGAGUUCGUCCCUAACCGGAGCCUCGACAUUAUCCUUUUCGGUACUAGUCUGAAUGAUGCAUGCUCAGCUCAGUCCUCUCCCCCGUUUCCUCUGCAAAAAUCAUCACACUGAUCGAUGUCUGCUACUCUUCUUUACACGAAAUUAACAGGUGAUACUGAGAAACGCGAGCAACUGGACUGGGGAAAGAGGUACAAGAUCAUAAACGGAAUCGCUCGAGGUCUACAGUACCUCCACGAAGACUCCCAGCUCAAAGUAGUCCAUCGUGAUCUCAAGGCCAGCAACAUCUUGCUUGACACCAACAUGAACCCCAAGAUAUCAGACUUCGGCCUCGCGAGGCUCUUCGAGCGAGACCAGACCCAGGGUGUCACGAACCGUGUCGUCGGAACAUAGUCAGUACAGAACAUAAAUAUUCUACGUAGUCCAUUCAAAUCACCCAUUUUGGUACGAAAAAUUUAACUUGGUGUGUGCCUCACUUACCUUACUGUUCCAGUGGAUACAUGGCGCCGGAGUACGUGAUGCGCGGGAACUACUCCGUGAAAUCGGACGCGUUUAGUUUCGGGGUGAUGGUCCUGGAGAUCGUGACGGGGAGAAAGAACAACGACUGCUACAACUCCAAACAGUCUGAAGAUCUCUUGAACACGGUACGUGCUUUGCUUGCUAUAUAUGUCUGCAUUUUGUAGCUGAUGUCUUUGCGCGGUUUUGCUCACGGUGGCUGCUGCUGCUCUGCAUAUGGCUCAGAUGUGGGAGCAUUGGACGGCCGGAACAGUGCUGGAGACGGUGGACCCGUGCAUGAGAAGCAGCUUCUCGGAGAGCGACGUGCUAAGAUGCAUCCACGUAGGGCUUCUAUGCGUUCAGGGGAACGCCGCGGACCGGCCGGUGAUGUCGUCGGUAGUCAUGAUGCUGGGAAGCGAAACGGCCUCUCUCAGUGCCCCGUCCAAGCCGGCGUUCUAUGCCAGGAACCCCGGUGCCAACCCAGGCAUUGCGUCCGACGUGUCGACCGUGUCAUUGCAGGAUGAGUCCUGAAGAAUCCAUGAGGCCAGGGCUGUAGAGUCCAUUUCUUUUACUCCCUCAAAGGAUGUCUCGACUUUGACUAAAUUUGAAUACAUCUAUAUACUAAUUCAUGUCUAGGUACAUUCAAAUUUCAACAAAUUUGAGAAAUCUUUUGUUGGACGGAGGGAGUAUGAAAGGAGCAUAUUUCCCCCCAGAAGCUGUGGGAAGCAACUACGGACGUGCUUCUCAGUUUCAUGUGUAAACAGGAGAAAUGAUUUUUAGAGGGCUAGAAGCACCAAAAACUGAAGCAGAAGGCCAAACAAACAGGACCUAAAUAUAGUCAAAUUAAGUCAAACUGAAUUCAAAAAUAAAGUUCUAAUGCUGUUACGUCAUUGAAAACUCUUCAUUUGUUUAUCAUGCAAGGGAUUCUAAAGGAGAGGUCCAACGGAAUUGUAAAAAUCCUGCGUUUUCCUUUUGAAAUUGAGAUCACAUGAAAAAAUACUUUUUUUUUUGCCUUUGCUUCAUUACUUUAAAUCAAAUCGAUGAAUAAUGGCACCAAAUAAAAUUUUCCUAUUUCUAUAUUUUUCUUCCACUCUUUCUCCAAAUCAAAGAGGGCGUGAAUAGUGUCACAAAAGAAGAAAUUUAAAUAUGUAAAGUCACUCUAUCCCAUAUUAAGUGUCUCAAAUUUUCCAAAUAUGCAUGUACCUAUACUUAAAAUUAAAAAACGUCUAGAUACAUAUAAUAUUUUGACACUUAAUAAGGAACGGAGGGCCGGUCUUUCUCCAAAUCGAAGAGGGAUAUCCGAACUGCGAAGUGGACCAUUUAACAUGCAGUAAUAGAAUAAGAGCGUGUACAAUCUGGUGACAUCAGUAGGAUAAUGGCUGAUGUGGAGGAGAGAGGGGUGAAGAAAGGCACGAGCCUUCUUUUAGCUAAAUGGUGAUCUCUUCACAAAAAGAAUAAGGCAAAGAAAAUGCAAAGUCCUCGUUGUACUAGAUUUCACAUUUUCUUAACAUUUAUUUAAUUAAUUUUAUUCAUCUAGGCAUUAAUUGUGAGAUUUGUCACUAAGAGAUGACAUAUUGUAUAAUCAGGCUAAUAUAUUAGCAAGGGCAUAAUAGGGCCGCUAACCUUUUUGGGGGCCCAAAAUUUAGUUAAGCAUAUGUAUUAUUUACCAGGCGGGGUAUUAAUUAGGUGAAGAUAGUAUAGCCCACCAAACGCAUGCAGCCCUUUCAAGCUCACGACUAAAGAAAACUAACGCAUAUGCUCCCUAAUCGCUCUUCCUUUUCCUGCCCUAAUCACUUGCUAAAUUAAUCUGAUUUCUUCACGCACAUUGGCCUACACAACUCCCCCAGCCCGAAAAUCAAUUAGCGGACUCAAUCUCUACUCUAGUUCACCGGUGUUUUUUUUUUCUAAUUCCACUUCUAUACUUAGGAUUUUUCAAGACGUGGGGCCUCAUUUUAUGUUUGGCACAGGGGCCUCCAAAUUCUAGAGACGGCCCUGUGUAUAACAUAUUUUGUUGUCUUAUCUAAAUGAUGUGGAACACACAAAGGAAGAUGGUCUUAUCUUAAAUACACAGGUCUAAAAUCGGAUUUGAUCUUACUGAACGCGGCGGUGCCGCUGUGUACGGAUGGGGACGAGGGCAGGAGAUUUUCGAGAGUUUUCUACUCCAACAAGCCUAGCUUUUUUAUCAACAUUGUACGUGCUCUGUAGCCAGCAAAGAAUCUACCCGUUCCUGCAGGCAAAAGCCACGUGAACUUGACAGGUGCAAGCAGCGGGACCCACGUCAUUCAUUCGUUGUUCUGCAGUCAAACAAUUGGUUCUCCAUGCCACGUCGGGAGUCAAACAAUCCUUUCCUGAUUUCUAGUUCCUUCUACUCGCCGCCAUGGUUUCACACGCUCGAUCGCCAGACCGGCUUCCCUGCGAUCUCCAUGGCGACGGGCCACCGCGUCCUCGCCCACCUCACUGCGAUGUUGCUACUCGUACUCGUACCCAUCCUCCUCCUCGUGCCGCUGGCCGCCGCGCAGCCACAGGUGUGCGGCGACAGCGGGAGCUAUGCGCGCAACAGCACCUACCAAUCCAACCUCCGGCGGCUCUCCGCCACCCUCCCCGCGGACGCCUCCUCGUCCACGAAGCUCUUCGCCACCGGCAGCGUCGGCUCCAUUCCGGACAUCGUCUUCGCCCUCGCGCUCUGCCGCGGCGACGUCAACGCCUCCGCCUGCGAGGCCUGCGUCACCACCGCCUUCCAGGACGCGCAGCAGCUCUGCCCCUUCGACAAGGAUGCCUCCAUCUUCUACGACCUCUGCCUCCUCCACUUCUCCAACCAGAACUUCCUGCCCGCCACCGACGGCCACGGCAACCAGUUCUUCUUCCAGUCGGACUCGCGGAAGGUGUCCGCGCCGGCGACGGUGUUCGACGACGCCGUGGGGGUGCUCCUGAACGCCACCGCCGACCACGCGGCGUCGAGCUCGUCGUCCAGGCGGUUUGCCACGGGUGAGGAGAAAUUCGAAGGAGGCGGCAUCUCCGCGAUCUACGCCCUGGUGCAGUGUACGCCGGACUUGGCACCGGCCGCCUGCCGGAGCUGCCUCGGGGAUAUAAUUCAGCAGAUGCCCGAAUUUCUCAGCGGUGGCAAGAGUGGGAGGGCCUUUUGGAUCCGGUGCAACUAUCGGUACGAGCUCUAUCCUUUCUUCUCAGGCAGCCCUCUUUUGCGGCUUCCGGCGCCGGUGUUUGCUGGAACCCCGCCGUCGCCACGGCUUCCAACAUCGUCGCCGGCGAACGUUAGACCGCCGAUGAAUGAAAGAGGUAAUUAUACGGCACAAUAACAGCUUUAGUUGAUUGAAACAAAUCGGACGAAUUUCUUCGGAAAGCUUGGUGAGGUACUUCAACUGUUGCACACCAGGUGUUUGUCGAAUUUCCCCAAUACGAUAGUUCACAUGCUACUCCGGUUGAAUGUCUUUGUUUCAUCUUGACUUUUCUAGUCACGCAGCUAUCACUAGAUUCUUGUUGACGAACCCGGAUUAAGAAAACUAUAAUAGGCCUACAAGAAGUGGAUAAGAUAUUGAGGAUUGACUGAUUCUCUUAGUUAAAUAGUCUUCAUGACUACACGUAUACGAUUAGGGUGUAAAUUGUACUACUAGCUUGUUGCGUGUCUGGAUCAUUUAGAAAUAUUCUUUAGGAGCGCUGAAGUGGAACACUAGCCCUCAGUACAUGGGUCAAAUAUGACCAAACUAGACCAGUUUCUAAAAGGAGUUACAAAAAUAAAAUCUUUUAUUCAGGGUGGAAGAGAAGAUCAGCAGCAAAGAUCUCUGCAUCAGUCGCCUGUACCAUUGGCUUAGUAUUGAUGCUUUCGGCUUCGGCGUUUAUUUUCUUCAAGAAAAGAAAGUCUCAGAAGAAGCAGCCAAGUAAGUACUAACAUUUUGCAGAUCUCAAAAUUUAUGAAUUUACAUUUUAUUGACACUCUUCAUUCUUGCAGCACCAGCAUUUCAGAAUGUUGCGAGAGGAAAAUGUAUGGUCUUUGAUUUAUCUACACUACAAGAGGCAACCGAGAACUUCUCCAAGGAGAAUAAACUUGGCGAGGGUGGUUUUGGUAUUGUGUACAAGGUAAACAAACAAGUUGGUGUGCAAUUUGCACCAUGAUUUUUGGUCUUUUUUAAGGAAGGAGGGUUCUUUACAGGGAGCACUCUCAGAUGGGCAAGAUGUGGCUGUGAAGAAACUUUCACAUAGUACUACUGAGGGACUGAAUCAGUUGCACAAUGAAGUGCAAGUUCUGGCUCAGCUCCAGCAUACAAAACUUGUCAGGUUACUGGGGUAUUGCUCGCAUCAGAAUGAAGUGAUGCUUGUCUAUGAGUACGUAAAGAAUGGGAGCCUCGACAGCUUUCUAUUUGGUAAUUUCCUCCAUAUUUAUUAAUCUAGUGGAGUACCGUGUUGCCAUAAUUAACUUCUUCACCGACUGGAAUCAUUUUCCAAUGUGCACGAGUGAAUUGUUAGUUGCAGUCAAUGACUAGUUGCACAAUGUACCGAAAUAAUGCAUGCUGAGAAACGAGCCCGGAUGUGAUAAGACCAAAAAUAUUAGAGUUGUAUUACCACUUACCAGUCUGCCACUACAUAUUCACUGUAUCAUUUCUGGCAAUAAUUUCAAAAGCUAAGACCAAUAUCAUUUUUCUGUUAUGGAUUAUAUAUGGUGCUAAUGCUUAUGAUUCUUAUGAGAGUUAUUCAUGUAACUUAAGUUCUUCAUUUCAUGGACAAAGAUGAUAGCAGGGCAAGGAAACUAAAUUGGGAUCAACGGUACAAUAUCAUUGUUGGAAUUGCCAAGGGAAUAUUGUAUCUUCAUGAAGACUCGAGCAUAAGAAUCAUUCACCGUGAUCUGAAGUCUAAUAACAUCUUACUGGACGAGAAACUGAAUCCCAAAAUUGCAGACUUCGGGCUGGCAAGGCUGCUAGGAGGAGGUCAUACACAGACAAAGACAGCUAAUGUUGCAGGAACAUAGUAAGCGCACAUGCAUAGUUAAAAUUUGAAACGUCAUAUAUGACAUCGUUAUAUUUAUGUAUACAGUAGGCUUCUAGGCUUAAUUGCUAAUCUUUCACAGUGGGUAUAUGGCACCGGAGUAUGCAAUACUUGGAAGUGUGUCACCCAAGAUUGAUGUUUUCAGCUUCGGUGUUUUGGUCCUCGAGAUUGUAACUGGGAGAAAGAAUAACAGUUCUGAUCAUUCGAAUAGCAUGGUGAAUCUCCUAAGCGAUGUAAGUGAUAGUACUUUCAGCUUACUCUAUAAAUGUGAAUAUAAAAAUAUUUCAUAAUCUUAUUGCAAACCAUACAUUUAUAUGGCAGGUAUACAACUGCUGGACUAAUAAGAUGGCAUUGCAAACAGUUGACCAAUCACUCCGUGCAUAUUCCAAAAGCCAAGUACUACGUUGCAUCCACAUCGGUCUUCUUUGCAUCCAAGAUGAUCCAGAUGGUAGACCAAGGAUAUCAUCAGUUGUUCUAAUGCUAACCAGAGACAGAGUAAAACUACAUCCACCAGGACGACCAGCAUUCUUCUUCCCGAGAGGCUCGACUUCAGUAGUCAAACAUGCCAGACAUGGUAACUACAUAUACGAUAAGUCCGAUGUGACCACGGAGGAUAAUUUCUCGGUGAAUGAUGUCACUAAUACUGAUCCAUAUCCUAGAUAAGCUGAAGCCUGAAAGCUUUUUAAGGAUGCCUGAGUGGACUCUUUUGUGCUGCUCUGCUGUAUAUAGAAUGAAUUUUUAUACAGUUUUGCUAAUUAUCAGACACCUAUAUUGUAGAUGUGCAAAAUUAUUAACUUUUUAGUGUAAUUAACCAAAGGGUUAUAUACGUAGUUACUAAUUCUCUGGGUUAUGUACGUAGUUACUAGGUGAAGAGGAUUGUUGAAUAUUGACCAAAGGGUUAGAAAUGCAAGUGGGACUUGAUGAAUUCCAGAAGAAAUAUCCACUGCCUGAUCAUCAGCACCCGAAGAUUGUCUACAGGCAAUGAAUACAUAGGAGAUAGCAUUGUCUGCAGGCGUUGUUGCUUAGUAUCUGCUCGAAAUUGUUUCAGUAAAUUAAUGAAACGGAACACACCUGAAGAUUAAUUUUCUCUAAAAUUGGUUGAACUUCUCAUGCCCUUCUCCCUACUUCUUUUCUCACUUGUAAUGUCUGAGAAACAAAAAUACUAAAUAGAGAUAUACAGAAAAGUCAAGCUCACGCCAAUCUGGACAAUGCAAGAGCGUGGCAGGGUAGCAUCUAACAUGACCUACUUCUAAUGCUGUUUCUUGUUUUUGUUUUAUUGUAAGCAUUGCUCAUUCUUCACAGCGAACAAUGUACUAGCUUCCUAACAAACAAACUGAAAAUGUUCCCUAUCAGUUACUGCUGCUCUCUACCAUCCUAUGUCGGCCGAAAGGAAGUUGUUAGGCAGGGAAACCUGGCAAUCAGAAAACAGCAGAGUCACUACAUUGCAUCAAAAAUAGCUCAACACAUAUCCUGAAACUCCUUCAUGAAUCUAGACAGCAAACAAGUGAUUACCUUCUCGCCCAACUUGAAUGGUGCGAGGCCUCUGUAUGGGCAAGCACCACACCUGAAGGCGUCGCCCAAACCACACUGCAGUUUUAAUUUCAAAGAGAAUAUCAUCAGGCAGAAACAUAAGUGCAUCCAUAUAGCUAGCAACUAUGGGUCUUCGCAAGAGAUCGCCAGCGGCAUUGUAUGUGUACGACCAAUUAUUCCACUUACACUGCCGCAGGCUGACUGAGGGUUGUCGAUCUGUUCUGCAGUGAGCUCCAGCUUCUCCACCUUCUGCUCAGCCUCAGCCCUGCCACAAGUACAGUUCUUGCAUGCCUUUCUUGCGGCUUUCACCUUACCAUCCCCAACUGGUGAAACAACACUGAACCAUUUAGGAUACAAACCUAAAUAUCUUCGAAACAAUUGAAGAGUCAUAGGGUUUGGUGACUACCAACUGGAAGCUUUGGUUUCUUCAAGUCCUCCUCAGUCAAGAGGACAUUUUCGUCAAUCAGUUCAGUGUCAUCAUCAAUUUGCUUAUUCGGAAUUGCUUUUGUUGCUUUCUUCAGGGAAAAGGAAGAGGCCAUGGCCCAAUAGGGCUUCUUUGCCUUAACCUGCAAAUCAUGCACGCAUGUUAGCGCUAGAGUUCUAGGAAACAAGCCUGCACAGCAGGUCUAACAAAAUGUGACACUCACAGUAACAGAUUGCACAGUGUCCUGUGAGCUUGUAGCAGAAGCUUGUGCUUCAACAAAUCCUCCCAUCAGUAGCUUGCGUGAAGCCUGCACAGCAGCCUUAAUGCAAUGUGACACUAGACCACUCACAGUAACAGAUUGUUCACUAGCCUGCGAGCUUGCAGCAGAAGCUUGCACUUCAACAAAACCACCCAUCAGUAGCUUGCGCUCGAUAUGGUUGUUCAGCUAAUGCAUAGGAAAUUAGAAAAAGAAUAAGUCUCUGCCAGGUUCGUCAAAAAAAGAGAGAGGAAAGAAUCAGUGUAAGCUAAAAUAACGUUACAAGACAAAGGAUAUGUAUGAGAAGAACCAGUUCAGAUAUUCCUCCUUUUGAUUAGAGGAGGGAGUGAUGCUCUGCACCAGUAAAAUUCCUCCAGCUUGGAGCACCCGGUUAAUUUCAGCAACCAAUUGAUCUCCGAAGCUUUCUACGUUUUUUACGACAGAAAGAACAGCACCAACUGACGCAUCAUCAAAAGGCAACUUCCCGCGCCCUGAACCAUGCCAAUGCCAACAAUGAAAGGUUUUCUGGCAAAACAGAUCUAGUCCAAACCAAAAGGGGAAGAGAACGAACUCACCAAGAAGCGAGGCGCAUUGCGUGAUGACCACCACCUCCUCCCGCGAGACCUCGGCGGCGGCUGCCAGAUCCUCCACCGCGCGAAGCGGCAACACCAGCUCGUCCGUCACCGCGAGCGCCGCCGCCAUCGAUCGUUCGGUUGCAGCUGCAAGCGGGAAAGAAAUCGAAUUCGCCAAGGAUGGACGAGAACAAACUGGAUAGGAAUUAAGCGGGGUUUUCAUACCUAGGUUAAACCAGCAGAGGAUGGAAGAGGAACUGGUGGACGUGAUUUGGGGUUUGGGGUUUGGGUCGGUAGCUCGGUGCGCCCUGAGUCGAGUCGUGACUCUCCCGUCGAGAAAGCCUUUUUUUUUUUUGACAGCUCCCGUCGAGAAAGCCUUGUGUUAAAUGUGCUCCCGAGUCCUGAUUGAAUCAACAUUGUAUAAGUAGAAAAACUAACGCCAUGGUUCGCACAUUUAUGUCACUUUGAUGCAAUUUUGGUGUCAAAUUGUUGUCGAUGUGCUAUAUCAUGAGUAUCCACGAAAAUGUGGUGUUGUUUUAAAAAAAAAAGUAAAUACACUCGUGGUCCAAUUAGUUGAGAGGUGCGAGCAAACUAGUCCAACUCUUUUUAAAAACAUCUUAAAUUACGAUCUUUGUCUAUUGUAUUUGAACCGCCACAUUUUCGUUCAACGCAUUGGAGUAAUUCUUACUAAAUUGAAUUUGACUCGGACUCUUAAGUUUUGUCUCUAUACAGAAUAUUCUAUUUUAUGGGCUACGUGGUCGUACAAUUUAGGAUUUUCUUUAUUUUCUUUUUUGUCAAAAAUCACCAUCACCACUAAUAAUAAAAGUAUGAGUCGUUCAACACCAUCCACUGCACAAAUUUUACGCUUCAAAUCAUUCCAAUGACAUGUUGUGUAUGAUGUCAACCUCUGACCCCAUACCGUCUAAGCCCGUGAAUCCGUACUGCAUGUAAAAAUCAGCCAACACCAGCUGCCGCACCUCCUCCGGCGCCACUCGCGGCAAAGCUCUUUUCCAAGCCCGUCCUCUGCCGCCCUCACGCGCUGUGCACGUCCGCCUGCCAAAUACCGCCCUAGCCACCGCUCACCGUGCAGCACAAGAGCCAUUCUCAUCCACGCCCCCUUCUCAUCCAUGACCCUAGUUCUGGCCAGCAUUGCUCCCCUCCAAACAUGCGCAUCACAUCCCUUUUUAUACAAAAAGGACAGGAGUUCUGUGAACAGGAAAACUAUACAAUUUACAAGAUAAAAAUCUGCGCAUCACAUCCCUCAUAUGAAAGCAUUUUUUCUCCUUUGAAUUUUCUUUUGUAUGGAUGUGAAUUCCCUCUAGAAGAAAUUAAUUCGGGAACUGUAUGUGUAUUAGCCCGAAGAUGGUGUAUGUGAAUUUAGCAUGCUUACUAUUUUUUGAAACAACUUCAUGUGUAUUCAUAUUUGGCCCGGAAAAUGUCAAACUAAAUAUGUACACCAAUGGAUCGAUGAGCAAUCACCGAUCGUCAGGGAGGUCUUCCACAUCAAGGAACUUUCAACGAAAGUUGUCAGACUUAUAUUUUCAGAGACAGACUUUUAAUAUUUUGACAAUCAUUCAAACAUCUGAAAUGGACUUCAAUUCUUUUUGGACAAACUUACAAAAUUUUUAGGAUGACACUUCUAUUCUUUUGGGCAAAUUUUCAAAUUUUAUUAGAUGAGCUUCUAUUUUUUUAGCUUUCCAAUUUUCACGGACAGUUUUUGUUUUUUCCGUAAACUUUCAAAUUUCUGAAAUAGACUAAACUGGAUUACAUCGGACUAGGCUUGACUGGAUUGAGCUAGGUUACUUUAUAUUGUGUUGGGCUGCUUGGUUUGACAACACGCCGCUGCACAGACAUGGCGCGAUGCUUCCUCUUAAAAAUGUGAUGUGAUGCUCCAUAGAUGGUAUGACUAUUUGUUUCUUGGUCGUCUAAUUUUUAAGAAAAAUAAUUUAAUUAAGUUGACACAUCAGAACUAUUGGAUUGUGUCAUCUUCACUCCUCCCUCUUCCACGUGUUGUUGUUGAUUUCUUGGAUUAAAAAUUUGACGGCUAAGAAAGGUGGCUGAUCUCUAAUAAAGAACAUGCGACUUCUCGUUGGCAUAGCAGAACAUAUUUACAAAUGGUGAUAUGGAGAAGAGAGAAAAACAAGGAGAAAGCUAAUUCUACUUCAAAAAUUAGGCUCGUAGCUCCAUCUUCUUAGGCUGCAUUGCGAUGGAUUCUUAUAAUUUCUUUGUUCUCACCCAUUUUUCACUAUUUUCGUAUUUGGCUAACCAAUUUUUCUCUACUUUUAUGUGUAUUUUUACGCAUCAAAUUAUAAAAUAAUUUCAAUACAGCACAGAGCCUUUAAUGUCAAUAAAUUGGAUAUCUUUGUUUUAGCAUGUAUCUAACCGUUUGUUUAAAAUAGAUACAUUUAGAUUUUAACAAAUUUGAUACGAUUAAAAUUUAGGAACGGAGCAGCACAUUCGGGCAGUGGCCACGCGCGUCAUUCACGGGAGUCAAACUAAGAUUCUUAAACAGAUUGCGAGUCAAACCAUCUUUCCUUCAAUGAUUUACCUUGCCUCUGCUCUUCUUCUCCGAUCACCACACCUGAGUAGCUGAGCAGUUUUCGGCGACCACCAUGGCCGCGCGGCGCCGCAUCUUCGCCCGCCUCGCCGCCGCGCUCCUCAUUGCCUUCCUCCUCGCGCAGCUCGCCUCCUCCCAGCCGCCGUGGCAGAACUGCGGGGACAGCGGCAAUAAUUACGCGGCGAACAGCACCUACCAAUCCAACCUAGGGCAGCUCUCCGCCACCCUCCCCAAGAAGGCGUCGGCCUCCCGGACGCUCUUCGCCACCGGCAGCGUCGGAUCCGUCCCGGAAAUCGCCUAUGCGCUCGCGCUCUGCCGCGGCGACACCAACGCCUCCGCCUGCGAGGCCUGCGUCGCCACCGCCUUCCAGGACGCGCAGCAGCUCUGCGCCUACAGGAAGGAUGCCGCGGUAUUCUACGACCUCUGCUACCUCCGCUUCUCCAACCAGAACUUCCCCGCCACCAACAGCAACGGGAACCCCAUCGUCCUCAAGAACUCGCAGAAGGUGAGCUCGCCGGUGGAGGUGUUCGAUACCGCCGUCCGCCAACUCCUCAACGCCACCGGAAAUUACGCGGCCGCAAACUCGUCCAGGCGGUUCGCCACGGGGGAGGAGGGUUUCGAUAGUAGCAACCCCACCAUCUACGGGCUGGUGCAGUGCACUCCAGACAUGUCGCCGGCCGAUUGCCGGAGCUGCCUUGGAGGCAUAAUUGCGCUGAUGCCGCGGUAUGUCAGCGGGAUGCUGGGCGGGAGGAUUAUUGGGGUGCGGUGCAAUUUCAGGUACGAGGUGACUCCUUUCUUCUCCGGAGGCCCGAUGCUGCAGCUUCCUGCGCCGGCGCCUCCACCUGUAGCUGCAAACAUCACGCCACCAACGGCGACAGGAGGUGAGUUUGAGACAUUUAAAUCACUUCUUUUCAUCUUUUGUAUUAAUGUGUAUGGAUAUGAAGUACUACAAUAGAUAGUCACAUUGCUGUCAGAGUUGAGCAAUUCGAGAUAAAGUUUGUACCAAACAACGAAAGCAUCUUAAGUAAAUGGAAGUCCAAUGGGAAUUAGUUAGUUUUCAUCACACUCUUGUCAAGAUCACAAUGUCACAUCUCUCUUAACCUUGUCUUGUUUUUUAUUCCUGUUUUGGGGUUGAUCUAGACAUUUCUGAUCUUCUGUAGUCCCAUAGGCCAUAGCUAUCAGUUGCUUGACAAAAUGACAAGCGGACGGUGAAAAGCACACAUGUGUAGAAAAAUCCUCAGAAUUGCAUUUUUUUUAAUGCACACAUUUGCAGGAAUGAUUAUGAAAAACAUUUCCUACUCACUCUGUAACAAAGAAGGUGAUUGUGUGUCUUGAAAUUUAGCCUGGUCAAUUCACACAACUACGAUGUGACACUUCUUGUUGUUAAUUAUGUCUCCAGUAGGCAAUAUUCAUUUUCUCAAAAUUUGUAUGUGAAGUUCAAUGAAAAUGCAAAGAUUGAUGUAUUCUUUAGCUAGGCAUUCUGGCAAUUAGUAUCAGAGAGGAACCACCCAACCCAGGUUUGAGCCCAGGUCAUCGUGACCCUUCAUGAACUAAGCAAUACUGGGUGCUCAGAGUGCCGUUUUCCCAUUCUUUAAUAUGGAAAAGUUCAGCAGAAGAUGAUAUUUGUAUUGUGAAGUGCUGCUUUCUGUGUUUGACAGCAGAACUAAUUAAUUCUUAAAUCCCGAAUAACAUGUUCAGAAGUGCCUGACUGCUGGGAGCUACUGACUCUGGGUUAAUAAUUAGUGAUAGAGUGUAUGGAUCUCUCGGAAAACAAAUAUGACUAAUAAAACAGUUCGCUUGUGAGUGAAACUGUGCCAUGACGAUCAGGUUUAUGUAAACUCUUACUAAGAUGUAUUCUCUCUGAAAGUGGAUUCCUAUUUGCAGGAAGAACGGGAAUUAAGACUGGGAUAGUUCUAGCCAUUGCACUUCCUAUAGUUGCUGCCCUGCUAGCUAUCAUUUUGAUUGGUCUCUGUAUCCGGAGGCAGAGAAGAAGAACAGAAAGAACACGAUUGCCAUUACGUAAGUUCACCUCAAUUUAUAGUUAUAAAUAGAUAACAAGAAAAUGGAUAAAACAAUCAACUAUUUUAUCCAUGGACAGGAAAAAGAAGUGUUUUCUCUAACAGGUUAUCGGGCAGCCCAUAUGUUCCGUUUCUGUGUGAUUUUUGUUAUUUGAAAAUUAAAGAUUGGAGCUAUAUAUUGCAUCAUGACUUGGUUGGCUUCUCUUAACAGAUUCAACUGACACAGAUGACAUUGAAAGCAUAGAUUCACUUAUUCUUGAUCUGUCAACACUACGUGCUGCAACAGAUAACUUUCCUGAGAGCAAUAGGCUUGGUGAAGGAGGGUUUGGUGCUGUUUAUAAGGUGCCAAACCGUACCAUUUUACUUAACAUACCCUUUUCAGCUUCAACAAAUGAAUGUCUGUACUUACCCAGGGUAUCCUUCCUGAUGGUCAAGAAAUAGCUGUAAAGAGGCUCUCCAAGAGUUCAGCACAAGGAAUAGGGGAGCUAAAGAAUGAGCUUGUUUUGGUUGCCAAGCUUCAACACAAGAAUCUUGUCAGGCUUGUUGGUGUUUGCUUGCAGGAAAAUGAGAAACUGCUCGUGUAUGAAUACAUGCCCAAUAGAAGCAUUGACACCAUACUUUUUGGUACUAUUUUCCAUCACCAUUCAUCAAUAGCAUAAGAGUACUAAAACUAAGCAUUACAUCUUUUUUCGAAUGAGUUUAUACCUAGACAAACACUUGGAAGUUGUGGGUUUCAGAUUUGGAGUCUCAUCUUCCAACUAUUAGAAACACAGUUUGGGGUAAAUAUGAACUUUACUAAUUCAAGAUUUCUUGUUCAAAUGUCAGACCGAGAGAAAAGAAAGGAGCUAGGCUGGGGAAAGAGAUUAAAGAUAAUAAAUGGAAUUGCUAGAGGAUUACAAUAUCUUCAUGAGGAUUCUCAGAUGAGAAUAAUUCACCGCGACCUCAAAGCAAGCAAUGUUCUAUUAGACUCUGGUCAUACACCAAAGAUUUCAGACUUCGGCUUGGCAAGGCUAUUUGGAGCGGAUCAAACACGGGACAUCACGAACCGUGUUAUUGGAACAUAGUAAGUAUGAUCCAAAUUCUGUGACUAGAUACAAACUGUGUAUAAAAUGUAGUGACAUUAUGCUCUUAUUGCAGCGGAUAUAUGGCCCCAGAGUAUGCUAUGCGUGGCCACUACUCUGUAAAGUCGGAUGUCUUCAGCUUUGGAAUUUUGAUGCUAGAAAUUGUGACGGGAAGAAGCAGCAGCGGCUCCUUUAACUUUGAUCAAUCUACCGAUCUCUUAAGUCUUGUAAGUCAUUAUGCUACUACCCUUGUUAUCAGGGAGUUAAUUCUUUCUAAAAAUACUAAGACAAGUUACCAAUUUGAUACAGAUAUGGGAACACUGGACCACUGGAACAGUUGCAGAGAUCAUGGAUUCUACUUUGAGAGGUCAUGCUCCAGGAGACCAGAUGCUCAAGCUUUUUCACAUCGGACUACUGUGUGUUCAAGAUAACCCAGCAGAUAGACCAGCGAUGUCGACAGUAAACAUCAUGCUUAGCAGUAAUACUGUUUCUCUCCCGUCUCCAUCCAAGCCAGCAUUUUUCGUUUCCAAUAGCGGCACAUACUCAAGUCCAUACUUGGAGUCAUACCCUACAGCUUCCACUAAAUAUUCACCGUAGCAUUUCAGGCAAGCAAGUUACUGUGGCUAAGACCAGUAUCGCUGUGUUGCAUGGAAUUAGUCUCUCUUUUUUUCCUUCUAGGAAUGUUAUUAUGAUUUUCCUUGCAACUAUUGCAUUUGAAUUUGUAAUUUUAUUGAAAUAGAUGACACGAGCCCAGGAGAAUACGCUGCUGGAUGAAAAUGAAAAAAAAAUCAACAUUGCAAAAAAAAUCUUGAAAGCACAAGUAUAAAUACUACCCAUAUUAGAGCACUGUCUGCACUUAAUUGCAAAACCAUGCAUUAGUGCACCGUGGCAAAAAAACUAAUUUCAGUGCACACAAGGAUGCUCUUUUAGGCACUUAUUCUUAUCCAUCUUGUUCAACCACAAUAUUGAAAGAACAUAACAACUGACGUGUGCCUAUAUUAGAGACUCCAAGAUCAUCAAUAAGUGUGUUUUUGUCUCAGGAGAAUUCAAUACUCCCUCCGAUUCAUAUUAAUUGUCUUAAAUUUGUCCAAAUAUGAAUUUAUUUAUGUUUAAAAAACAUUAGAUACAUGUAAUAUUUUGACAAUUAAUAUGAAUCGGAGCGAGUAUUUCUUUUUUUUUCGACUGUUCAGUACUCCAGUCCGGAGAAACCAGCUGCCUGCGGCCUGCCUGAGGCUGAUAGGAGUAGCUGUGGCCCCAGACAAGGCAUAGUUGACAGUUGACCCCCGCACAGUUCAUUGAAGUCAGUACUACUUCCGGACUCCACUGAACUGAGCGAGGCAGAGUGCUACUAAAACCAACAGCUUAAACUCUUCGCCGAGAUCACUAAUCACAAAUUCAGCACACCCACCUGGCCACCUGACCGAUUCUCCGCGACCACCAUGGCCACGCGUCCCCGCGAAGCCUUCCUCCUCGCCGUCGCCUUUUUCCUCCUCGCGCAGUUGGCCACCGCUCAGCCUCCAUGGCAGCUCUGCGGCGACAGCGGCAGCUACACGGCGAACAGCACAUACCAAUCCAACCUGGGGAAGCUCUCCGCCGCGCUCCCCAAGAACGCCUCCGCGUCCCGGGGGGCCCUUUUCUCCGCCGGCAGCGCCGGCUCCGUCCCGGACAUCGCCUACGCGCUCGCGCUCUGCCGCGGGGACGUCAACGCCUCCGCCUGCGAGCGCUGCGUCGCCACCGCCUUCCAGGACGCGCAGCAGCUCUGCGCCUACAAGAAGGACGCCGCCGUCUUCUACGACGCCUGCUACCUCCGCUUCUCCAACCAGGACUUCCUCGCCACCACCACCGACAACGGCAACCCCAUGAUCCUCCUGAACUCACAGAACGUGAGCUCGCCGGUGGCGGUGUUCGACGCCGCCGUCCGCGCUCUCCUCAACGCCACCAGCGACUACGCGGCCGCGAACAACAACUCCACCAGGCGGCGGUUCGCCACGGGGGAGGAGAGCUUCGACAGCGCGAACCUCACCAUCUACGGGCUCGCGCAGUGCACGCCGGACAUGUCGCCUGCCGACUGCCGGAGCUGCCUCGGGAGCAUAAUCGCCAUGGCGCCGCAGUAUCUCAGCGGGAGCCUGGGAGGGAGGGUUAUUGGGAUGCGCUGCAAUUUCAGGUACGAGGUGUAUUCUUUCUUCUCCGGUGGCCCCAUGCUGCGGCUGUCAGCACCCACCGCGCCGGCGCCGGCACCACCGCCUACGCCUUUCAAUGUGACGCCGACGGCAACCCCAGGAAGUGAGUUAGUUGCAGACACAAAAAUCUCUCAAUUUAAAGUUUUAUCGGACAUCUGGGUAUGGCUUAAACCAUCAACACAAAAAAUAAUCCCUCCAACUUUGUUCUUCCUUCAGGAAAAUUACGUCGUUUGUUCUUUUCUGCACUAAAAAUGUCAGAUUGCUAAGUACUUCAUACUUGUUACAUAGUGUAUAUGUUAGGCUAGGAAUUUACGGAAAGCGACCAAUAACAUCUGAAUAAUUCAUUAUCUAGAAAUUAACCGUCAACACGUUUUGAUAGUGGUGAGGUGUCACAUAGCCGCCGGUGUGUAGACCAGUUUCUUUGGUGAUAGACAUAUCAUGUAGUCCCGUCGCUGUCACUUGCUAGGAGUACUUGUUUGACGGGUUUGCUUUAGCAUGCAAGUCAAACUUACUUUCUGUGAAGCAUAUAUUAAGCAGUCUGAUAUUUCCAAUUGGCGGUGUUAGUCUAUGUCACUAGCAGCGCACUACACAUUGUUAAAUGGACUAUUUUGAGGACGUCCAAAACUCAUAGUACUACUUUAACACCAUGAUUUGCUUUCUUUUUGCUGAAUAGCGUCGUAGCUCAGGCACUACUUGGUACUUUUCCUUAUAUUACCUCCGUCCAACAAAGGAUGUCUCAAGUUUGUCAAAAUUUGAAUGUAUCUAGACAUUCAAAUUAAGUCAAAGUUGAGACAUCCUUUGUUGGACGGAGGGAGUAUAUGUGGACCAAACUGCACUAAGCGUCACAAUUCCUCAGUGGCUUGACUUCAAAGUUGAUUUUCAGGACAAGAGUCCAUAGAUGUGUAUGUAAAGAAAAGAACAACUUGGUUGUAGUGAAAUAUACUACUGCUACUAGCUUUUGUUUUCAAGGGAGGUUUCAUUGCAUGGCUCUGCAUGCCUCUUGGUCAUGCAUAGCGUUUUAUUGCUUUUCCAACCUCUGCGUCAUGCAUCAAGACUAUGCAAAAAGCCAAAACAUAUAUUACGGAAUACUAGCUAGUAGCUACUGAGUGGAGAAUGUGUCAUACUCUUCACACUUUGUUGAACUGUUACAGAGGUAUGCUAAAUACCUCUUUCUGAAGUUGAUGGCAUCUGUUUACAGGGAAAUCAGGAAAUAAGACGGUGGCUGUUCUAGCAAUUGCCCUGCCUAUAUUUGCUGCAGUUUCAGCUAUAACUACGAUUUGUCUCUGUUAUUUGAGGAGUAGAAGAAGACCAGCAAGCAGUGAGCCACCAUCUUGUAUGUUUCUUCAAAACUUGACAUCAUUAACAGCUAGCAAGAAAGUCGAUAAAUCUAUAGACGAUAGAUUAAUUGACACACUGAAGGGAUGUUCAGAUGUAGUGCCUACUCUUCGUACAAUUGAAUUUCCUUGUCUCCUAAAACUAAAACAAAGUGUUUUUAGUUAGAAAAUAUCGAAGUUAUGACCCUCUUCUUUCUGGCAGAUUCAACUAACCAUGAGGACGUUGAAAGCAUUGAGUCACUUAUCAUUGAUCUAUCUACCUUACGUGCUGCGACGAACAACUUUGCUGAGACGAAUAAGCUUGGUGAAGGAGGAUUUGGUGCAGUUUAUAAGGUACCGAUGAAACCAAUUCACUUAAUAUACUCUGUUAGCUUCAACAAGUGAAUGCUUACUCCUUAUGCAGGGAGACCUUCCUGAUGGUCAAGAAAUAGCAGUAAAGAGGCUUUCCAGGAGUUCAGGACAAGGAAUAGGAGAGCUCAAGAAUGAGCUUGUUUUGGUCGCCAAGCUUCAACACAAGAACCUUGUCAGGCUUGUCGGCGUCUGCUUGCAAGAACAUGAGAAACUGCUUGUGUAUGAAUACAUGCCGAAUAGAAGUAUCGACACCAUCCUUUUUGGUAAUAUUUUCUAUCAUGAUUGCAACAAUAGCAUAAAGUCCAUCACCAGUACCAAAACUAGGCAUUGUAUGGUAAAAUCCUAAAGACUUUGGAAGAGAGGGGUGUUUGUUGGUAAAGUUUCAGUAUUUAAUUCAAAUUUGACAUGAAUAGCAAAGUUUACUAAGAAACACCACUUUUCCGAACAGCGCCCAUCUUGGUGGCAAAACACUUGGCAGUUAGGCUACAUAUAUUUGGUGGAAAAACUAAAUUAUUUUCUUUCCUUGUUCAAAUACUAGAUCCAGAGAAAAGUAAGGAGCUAGACUGGGGAAAGAGAUUAAAGAUAAUAAGUGGAGUUGCCCGAGGAUUACAAUAUCUUCAUGAAGAUUCACAACUGAGAAUAAUUCACCGGGACCUCAAAGCAAGUAAUGUCCUAUUAGACUCUGAUUACACUCCUAAGAUAUCCGACUUCGGUUUGGCAAGGCUAUUCGGGGCAGAUCAAACACGGGAGGUCACAAACCGUGUCGUUGGAACAUAGUAAGUAUAGGGCAAAUUAUUGUGAUAAAAAUGGUAAAUCAACUAUAUUACUGUAGUAACAUUUUGCCCUUAUUGCAGUGGAUAUAUGGCCCCUGAGUACGCGAUGCGCGGCCACUAUUCGGUAAAGUCAGACGUGUUUAGCUUUGGCAUUUUGAUCUUGGAAUUUAUGACAGGAAGAAGAAGCAGUGGCUCCUAUACCUUUGAUCAGUCUGUCGAUCUCUUAAGUCUUGUAAGUUCUUAGGCUGCUCCCAAACUCCUUCUGAAACUAAUUUUCUAUAGAAGUACUGAGACGACAUUUUAAUUUGAUACAGAUAUGGGAGCACUGGUCUACGGGAACGAUUGCGGAGAUCAUAGACUCAACUCUGAAAACUCAUGCUCCAGGAGACCAGAUGCUUAAGCUUUUUCACAUCGGACUUAUGUGUGUUCAAGAUAACCCAGCGGAUAGGCCUAUGAUGUCAACAAUAAACAUCAUGCUAAGCAGUAACACCGUGUCGCUCCAGUCUCCAUCCAAGCCAUCAUUUUUCAUCACCAAGAGCAGCACAAACUCAAUGGCGUACUCAGACUCGUACCCUACCGCUUCCCAGUCGACCGGUAAGUCAGGAAUAGUGUCACCAAAUGAAGUCUCAAUCACAGAGCUGGAACCAAGAUGAAAGAAGGAUCGCAGGGACCAUCAAAAUGUAAUCUCGGAAGGAAACAAGAACUUGAUUCAGGGAAAAAAACAUCCCUAGUACUUUGUGCUACUGAAAUUUGUGUAUAUUUCUCCAUUCGUCAAGUAAGCAGUUAACGGCAAUGCUUCAGAUUCUACGUUUGUACCUGUAAAGUCAGAAAUUUUCUGAUACGGGGAAGUUCAGAACAGAAGCAUAACAGUUUUGUUAUUUCUCACGAUAUUUCUCAGUCAUCUCUAAGAACCAUCUGAUUUCGUCAGGUAGUGAGAACAGGCCAGGCUGUCGAUGCCUGACGGCAACGGAGAAACUUUGCAGGCAGCGAAGCAGAGAUGCCAAGCAUAUACACACUUGCAUUGCAAAACGACACAUUGUUCUGAACUUCCAGGAGGACUGGCCCUACACCGAACCCGUGGACGCGCCCGAGCUGGCUCCGCCGCCGCUCCUGGCGUAGGACACGGGCUUGGGCGGGGCCUGGAGCGACACCGUGCCGCUGCCGAGCAUCAUGACCACCGACGACAUCGCCGGCCGGCCCGCCGGAUCCCCCUGCGCGCACAGCAGCCCGAUGUGGACGCACCGCAGCGCGUCCGUCCUGGAGAACCCGUCGCCCAUGCCCGCCGGGUCUACCAGCUCCGACACCGACCCAUCCGCCCAGCGCUCCCACACCUGCAAUAUUCGCCAUUGGGUCCGGUCAAAAACUGCAGGAAAGCGCAGCGCAGCAGGUGUUUAAUUCACAGCACUCACGAGAGCCAACAGAUCUCCGGAUUGCCCGGAGGCGCAGCCGUUGUUCCUCCUCCCCGUCACGAUCUCCAGAACCAUGACGCCGAAGCUGAACACGUCCGAUUUCACGGAGUAGUUCCCUCGCGUCGCGUACUCGGGCGCCAGGUAUCCGCUAAUAAGCAAUCAACCAGGAAACUUAGUCGCCUAUGGGCCGGAAAAGACUAAUCUGCUGCUACAACAUGGAUAGAUAGUAGUAGUACUCACUAUGUCCCAACGACACGGCUGGUGACGCCCUGCGUCUGGUCUGGGCUGAAGAGCUUGGCGAGGCCGAAGUCUGAAAUCUUGGGGUUCAUGUUGGUGUCCAGCAAGACGUUGCUGGCUUUGAGGUCACGGUGGACUACUUUGAGCUGAGAGUCUUCGUGGAGGUAUUGCAGGCCUCGAGCGAUCCCGUGUAUGAUCUUGUGCCUCUUUCCCCAGUCAAGCUGCUCGCUUUUCUCGGUGUCUACGCAACGUUUCAUAUGUAAGUUCAGAAAGUAGGUAGGAGUGGUCAAUUUUAUGGGAUGCGGCGAUCGAUGGUGCUCCAGACUGCUGAGAAAAUACAGAUAUACUAGAAUAUGUUUUUUCACAAACUGAAGUUAGUAUUACUACCGAAGAGGAUCUGGUCGAGGCUCCGGUUGGGGACGAACUCGUAGACGAGCAGCCUCUCCUCCUGCUCGAAACAGACGCCCACAAGCCUGACCAGAUUCUUGUGCUGAAGCUUUGCGACCAAGGCGAGCUCGUUCGUCAGCUCUCCAACUCCUUGUGUCGAACUCUUGGAUAGCCUCUUCACUGCUAUCUCGUCGCCGUCAGGGAGGGUCCCCUGUGAACAUGAAAUAGGUGCCAAAGCUUAAUUAGAGACCAAUGCAUACGAUUUCAUCUUUGUUCUUUCCUUCUUCUUUUUAAGCAAGAUUUUAUUGCCUUCCGAAUUUCUGUUUGUUUAGUAGUACUACUUCAGCAGUACCUUGUACACCGCACCAAACCCGCCUUCGCCAAGCUUGUUGUUCUCUGCGAAACCACCCGUCGCAGCUCGCAGCGUAGAUAAGUCCAUGAGCAUCGAUUCUAGGCUUUCGAUGUUCUUCGGUUCAGUUGAUUGACCGUUGGCAUCUGUUGAACGAUGGAAUGUUUUUUUUUAAUGUUAGUGCAAGGGAACUGAAUUAAUUAUUGUUUCGACCGUAAUGACAUUUGAGAAUAUUUGCCUCUGGUUUGUGGUCUCUUGGUCCUCCUCCAGAUGCAGAGCCAGACAAGAAGGUUGAUCACCAGCAAAGCUCCGAUGGUUGGCAGCAGAAUUACAAGGACCAUGCCUGUAACAGUGUACUUCCUCUCUGAGAAUUGACCAAUGUAGGGUGACAGAUGUCAGCUUAAAGGCUUUUUUGGAUCAAAGGAGUCAAAAAAAAACCAUAAAAAUAAGAAAAAGAGUAAAUUUCACAAAACAACACAUUUGGAGGCAAUCGUCUCAAGCAGCACCCGUUUCGCUAAUUUGCUAACAACGACCGAAGUGACAUUCUUAGGCAAUUUGGCAGUUUUCGUUGCAGAUCGGACCCAAACCAAAUGUAAGGCGACAGACCAACCCGACCCGUUAGCCUGUCUAAGUUCGAUCCCUUCCUCUCUCCCAAAUCAGCGCAGAGUAGAGAGAUGCGUCGGUCCGCGACGGAGUGCGAGGGGAGAUUCGCCGAUCCGCAAUGGCAAUUCCUCGUCUGCGCUCCGGCCAUGUAGCUCCUCCGCUGCCGAGCGCCACCACAUUCCUCCUCGCCCAUCACCGGCGCCAGCCUUCGCUCCCGCUGGCCUCCUCCCGCAUCCGAGCGCGUUAGCGUGAGCGGCGAGGAGAGGAAGAGGCGCGUGGCGGGCGCGAGCGGGCCGAGCAGGGCGUUGAGAUGUGGGGCAGUGGGCCACGAGGAAGCGGCCGUGGUGCGCGCCGUCGAGGAAAGGGUAGAGGUAGGCAGCCGCCGCCGCCAUUGUUGGCGCGCGGUGGCGGGCCGAGGAGGUGGAGCGAGCGCGAGCUCGGGGCCGGCUGCAGCACGGUCACACCCACACCGGCGGUGGGGAUGGGGCCGGGGAGAGGCAGGCGAGCGGGGGGUUGAGGAGGGAUGGCUGGAUGGAGCUGCGCGGUGGAGCGGGUAAGGGGACGAGAGGAGGAGCGAGACGGCGGAGGCCAUGGGAGAAGCUGAUACUCGGGCCAAACGCAGGCUGCGCCUCGAGGGUCGCGGCCUCCUCGUCCUUCGUCGUCGGCGCAGAGCCGCAGAGACGAGGACGACUAUCGGGUCGGGUUUGUCAUACGUGUACUCUUACAUAUGGGCCCGAGCUUUAAGAAAAGUUGUUAGUACACCUAAGUCGGUUACUUUAGGCUUGUUGUUACAGUCGACCGGUAGAUCUGUGGUUUUUCAGGAAAAUUAGUAAAAACAUGGGUGGCGUGAGAAGACUGCUCUAAAAACUAAUUUACUCUAGGAAAAAUGCAGGAUUAGAAUGGCAUGCCAUGGUGAAUACUACAAGAAUAAAAAACACAUGAACUAUUUGAAAUGAAAGAAGUGUUUGGGAAAAACAAAGGAAUUUGGAGAUUAGAUGGUACUUAAUUAGUUGGAGCAAGAGAGGAGAGAGACAGAGACAAGUUGCAUUGAAACUUUCAAAGGAAAAUUUUCAGGAGGUUAGAUUCUUGCAAAAUUCGGAGGAAAAUUUCCUAUCGAGACAUAUAUAUAAACUUCUAAUCUAUAUUGUGCCUGCGCACUCUCUAGCAAUUCUCGGUGCUCAGUUGCUCACUUCUCACCCCUCUGAAGUCUGAACAAUAUCCAUGAAAGCACAGCCACCCAUUCCCCAUCUCCGCACGCCUCCUUCCCCUCGUCUCCUCCGCUUCGCACGCGCCCCAUCCCUGCACGCCUCCUUCCUGCACCGCCGUCGUCGCCCGGGCGCCCCCAGCCCCGGCCUCUCCCUCUGCCGCCGGCGCAGACUUGCCCCCAACCCUGGCCUCUCCCGCUGCCGCCGGCGCAGACCCGCCCCCAACCUUGGCCUCGUGCGCCCUCAUCCCGAGCCUUCCCAGCCCCGCCGGCGCCGAUGCGCCCCACCCCGGCCUCGGGCGCCCCCAUCCCUAGAAUCCCCCGUCGAAUCCCCCGCAGCCUCCCUCGCUACCACCGGCGCUCCCCUAGCUUCCGCCAGCGACACCCGACCCCAACCCUAGCGUCGCUCACCCUCAUCCCGAGCCUCCUCGCCCUCGGUCCCCGCCGGCGCGCCCCCAUCCCGGGAAUCCCCUGCUGCCCGGCGCGUCACGUUACUGCUGGUGCUGGAUUGGGCUCCCCUCCCUUCUUCUUCGACUCUGAGCUCGCUGGCGACGGGAACGGAGACGACCUAGCGGUGAUGGAGACGCUGCGGUCGUGUUCAUGGGCGCCAGCGUGCUCCCGGCAGCAGCGGACAGGGACCACGAGGUGGCCUGCGUGCGCAGGUGCUUCGAGUACUUCGUCGGGCGCAGGGAUCUCAUUUCUUGUUGAAUGCAACUUCAUUUUAGAUGUUACAUUUGACUGAUUUUACAUGUAAAUUUCAGGUAAGAGUUACUUUUAAGUUUGGUAGAUGUAGUUUCAGCUAGUGUCGUUACUUUCAUGAGCUUACGAGAUGUAGUUUUAAUGUUCAAAGUUACUUUUUAAUUUUUAGAUGUAAAUGUGAUGCCUAAAAGUUACAUCUACUUGUGAGAUGUUUAUGGGUAUUUUAACUAGCAGCAUAUGUUUCUGUUUUGAUUUUGAUUUUGAUUUGUGCUUGCCCUAGCCCUAUUUAUCAAGCGGUUAAUAUACCACCUGUGAUAGUCGAGUUUUGAGAAAGAUUCAUGUGCAAUUUUUUCGUGUACAAUAUGGCCCUUUAUUUUUUUUUGUUGAGGGCCAUUGAGAUCCGAAGAAACAUGGGCGGCAGUAGUAGUCUGGUAGAGAAAGAGAAAUGCUGAUGGGGUAAAAGUUGGGGUGACCCAUUCGUGCGUGGUAGGGUAUAAGUGAGGAAGAUGGAUUGUUUAUUUGUCGUCGCGCGUAAUGCGGGGACCACAAUAGGAGGAAAAGAAAUGAAAGGUCACCCUAUUGGUGCAUGGGGACCACAGCGGACAGGUAUCUGGUCGGGAUGCACUUUGUAUGCCAGAUCGUGCGCGCGCACUCCCUAGCUGCCUCCAUAUAUAAAUUAUUCUAGAGCUAGAACCCUCUGUUUUUCAUGAAAAUUCUUUUGGUCCAGAAAAGGCCUAAAUGAGUGUCUCAAAAGCACGAAACACUAGUACAGUGCUAUGCAAGUGGGACCGUUAAUUAAGAUGCAAUCACUGAACCAUGUGCGUGGAUGCUGUGUGAACAAAACCACAGGCGCCGAUCCGUUACAGGAAGAACGAAGACAGUACCCUGCCUGCUCCAUACGUGGCCUUUUAAAGCAAGUGGCAAAAUUAUAUUAGGAGCACGGGAAAAGUACAAGAAAUGUGGCAACCUAUUUCCCUCACCUGCUAGCUAAGAACAUUGUAUCCCUAGAGCUUGUUUGGUAGCAGCACUCAUGAAAUGAAGUCAAAAUUUCGAUAGAAUUUUGUUUGGUUGAAUUGAAUUUCAUAUUCAAAUUUCAUGUUUGUCUACCACAUGGCCGACUUGUAGAAUGGGAGACAAGUCCGAUAAAAUGAUACCUUUUCUAGAGGAGUCGGGGGUUAGAUAUAGGUGUGAUUUCGUGAAAUUUCAGAUUGAAUUCUUGUGUCCAAUUCCAUGCUGCUGAAAUCCAAAAUGAAUUCUAUAAUUUUAGACCUAAAUGAUACAAGCCAAACAAACUUUGAUACCAUUUUAUCUCCAUGGAAUGUCCCUAGUGUAGAUGCAAAAAUACACAAUUACACAUCCCUAGAACGGCAACCUUUGUAAUAACAUAUUGUAUUACAGGUUUGCUAUAAAGUAGUUGCCUGAAUUUUAGUUAAAAAUCAGUCGACUCGUUUGAUCGUUUGAUCUUAAUCAAACGGCAACACCUAAGAGAGGAAGAAAUGGAGAUGGCAUUUAAAUCUUAAUCCAACAAUUCUGGUUGUCAACUAAUUAGAUUUAAGCAUGCGACCGAGAACUAGCCGCACCCAUUGUAUUGCAUAUAGUUACCAUUGUACUUUCUCUGAUCCUAAAUUAUUGAUUCAAAUUUGUUCAAAUAUGGAUGUAUCUAUUAUUUAAAACGUCUAGAUAUAAUAUUCCGAUAAAAAUUUAGGACGGGUGGGAUUACUGUAUAUAACUGGUGCAUGAUUGCUAAACGACUCUCGCCUGCAGGCUACAGCCAAACAGUCCAACUGUCCAAGAGCAGACUUACGUCAGAGAACUGUACUUACAUACGUAUCGUCGUCAUGAGAUAGUGAAUGAUUUAUUUUUUCUAAUCAUGCGACAAUUUUACGAUUAGAUAAACAUGUACACGGACUGACCUCCUCCAUCUACCGUCGACUCUGGAGCCGGAGCCGGAGCCUUGGACCCUCCGGCCGGCGCAGCCAGCCGCACCGUGACAGGGCCGUCGAGGAAGGAGUAUACCUCGUACCGGUAGCUGCACCUGACCCCAAGAACCCUCCCCCCGACGCGGUCCGUGAACAGCCUCGGCAUCUGGGCAAUGAUGCCGGCCAGGCACCCCCGGCACUGCGCCGGCGUCAGGUCCGGCGUGCACUGCGCCCAGCUGUACACCCUGGGGAACUCCCCGCCAUCGAGGUCGGCCACCCCGGACGCGUACCGCCGCCGCGUGGAGUUGUACGCGGCGUAGUCGGCGGUAGCGCCCACGAGCGCGGCCACCUGGCGGUUGAACCCACCGGGGUCCGUCGUGACGUUCCGGAAGUUGAUCCGGUUCGUCAUCGCGAGGCUGUCCGCGGAGGAGAGGAAACCGGCGUCGGAGGAGUAGUAGAGCACGCAGGGGUCGUAGUAGAUGGCGGCGUCCCUGUCGUAGGCGCACAUGUUCUGGACGUCCUGGAAGGCCGUGGCCAGGCAGCCGGAGCAGAGCGUGGCGUUGGUCACGUCGCCGCGGCAGAGCGCGAGCGCCGAGACCGGGUCGUCGUCGGCGCCGACGACGGCCGUGGCGAAGAGGCCCGGGGACGACGAGGUGUUGGUGGGCAGCGCCGCCGCGAGGAGGCCGAGGUUGGCCUGGUACGUGCUGUUGGCCGUGAAGUUGUUGCCUGCCUUGCCGCACACUUGCCACGGGUACGCCGCGGCGCGCGCCGCGAGCAGCAGCAGCACCAGGGCGACGAGGAUGAAAUGGCCAGCCAUUGCGUCGUGUGUGUACCACUUGGGACUUGGGAGCUGGCAGGUGGGUGUUCUUAUUGAGGAAACGCGGGAGAUCAAUGGAGAGAAUGGACUUGACCGUCCGUUGACUUGACAAGGGCGAUCAAAUUGAGUCCGAAAUAACAAUGCCGAUCAAUGCAGGCAGACCGGCGACUUGGCAUACGACCAUUCCGGUUCUGGAAAGGAAAACCUCGUGCGCUUAUCGUCGUGACGCGGACAAGUUGUCUUUAAUUUUCUGAGUUUCUGUCCCGAGAUUCUUUCCCUGAGGCUCCUGGCACGUACAUUGGCUUGUUAAGCUUAUUAAUGAAACCGCAUAGUGUAUAGUUUGGAUCUAGAAGUUCAACAGAUAUAAAAGACGACCAGCAAGUCCUCGUUGAUUGUUUUCUGCCAACCAUGCUCGCCGGCUACCACAUUCCCGCCGUCGCGGUCAUCGUCGCCGUGCUGCUUCCGCUGGCCGCCGUGACCGGCCAGCCGACGCAGUGGCGCUCCUCGAAGUGCGCCAGCGGCGCCUACGCGGCCAACGGCACAUACCAAGCGAACCUCGCCCUCCUCGCCGCGGCGCUCCCCGCCAACGCCUCGGCCGGCUCCGGCUUCGCCACGGCCACCGUCGGCGCGCUGCCUGACCUCAUCUCCGCGCUGGCGCUCUGCCGCGGCGACGUCGUCACGGACGACACCUCGGCCUCGUCCUGCCGCGCGUGCGUCGCGGCCGGGUUCCGCGGCGCGCAGCGCGACUGCCCCGGCAGGAAGGACGCCACCGUGUACCAGGACGCCUGCGUCCUCCGCUUCUCCGACCAGCGGUUCCUGGACUUCGUCGGCGCCAACUCGCCCGACGGCAUGUUCAGCUCGGACAGCUCGGGGGACAUCAUCACGGCCCCGGCGGCCCUGUUCAACGCCGCCGCCGUCGCGCUCAUGAACGCCACGGCGUCCCACGCCGUGACCGCCGACAAGUACUUCGCCACGGGCGAGGAGGACUUCCACGCGUCGAGCCGUUACCCGAAGAUCUACGGGCUCGCGCAGUGCGCGCCGGACAUGACGGCGCCGCAGUGCCGGAGCUGCCUCACUGGAUUCGUCGCGAACAUACCGUGGUUCUUGAACGGGAAUCCCAGGGGCCGAGCCCUUGGGAUUUGGUGCAACCUCAGGUACAGCGUGGACCCGUUCUACACGGGCGGCGCAAUGGUGAAGCUUUCGGCGCCGGCACCGGCAAUCGUGCCUUCAAUUGCUAUUGCAGAGACGGGAACAGGUUGGGUUCGCUUCUCACUUUUUUUUCCUGUGUCCCGCAAGUUUCGCUCGAGAUUUCCGUUUGAUGUAUCGAAUGAUCUCAACUGUCCAAUUCAGGGAGGAAAAGGAGAAUAGCAGGAAUCUCUGCAGGCGUCGGUUGUUUCCUACUCCUGAUAUUGAUUCUUGCAGCUUGUGCUUUCAUUCGCUUCAAGAGAAGGAAGGCUAACAAGAAUGAUCACUGUGAGUAACCUGUGGAUUGUUCAACCGCUGGAUGUUGUAAUUUACUGAUGCCUCUUUUUCAUACAGCAGCGUUGAACGAAAUGGCGAGAGUGAAAUGCACCGUCUACGAUUUCCUUACGCUGCAAGAGGCAACUGAGAACUUCGCAGAGAAGCAUAAGCUCGGAGAAGGCGGUUUUGGUGCUGUGUAUAAGGUUUAGGAAUAAACAAACAAGAGUGCAGGGGAGGGAUUCUCUACUACUAAAGUCUGUUUUUUUUUCCUACUGAAAAGAAAAUAAUAUUUUUCAGGGAAUCCUCCCGGACGGGCACGAAAUAGCAGUGAAAAAGCUUAUCGACAGUACUGGACAUGGACUGGAUCAGAUACGCAACGAAGUGCUGGUAUUGGCGCAGCUCCAGCACAAGAACCUUGUUAGGUUGGAGGGAUUUUGCUUGCAUCAGAACGAGAUACUGCUUGUUUAUGAAUUCAUCAAAAACGGGAGCCUCGACAACUUUCUAUUCGGUAUUUCCCUGAUUUCCUCUCCAUGUACUAAAAACUCCGAACUUCCUCGGAAGUUGCUAAAGGCAAUGGCUUGGACUAGUAGAUACAAUUGAAGGUUGCAUUAGUAAGUUAACCUGAUGGUUCUGUAUUACUUCUCAUCAAGUAAUUGAACCUUUCGUUGCAGUAGAUGCUAGUAGAAGAAACACACUAAAUUGGAAUGAAGAGUACAACAUCGUUCUUGGAAUUGCCAAGGGAAUAAUGUAUCUUCACGAGGACUCGAGCAUAAGGAUCAUCCACCGGGACCUGAAAGCUAAUAACAUUCUGCUUGACGAGGCCAUGGAUCCGAAAAUUGCAGACUUCGGAUUAGCCAGGCUGCAAGUAGGAGGACAUACUCAAACCAAGACAACCAGAGUUGUUGGAACAUUGUAAGCUCAUGCAUACAAUUCAACCUUCUUAUAUUGCAGAUACCAAAAUGUGUGCUUCCGUGCCGAACUAACUGUCAAUCAUCUGCAGCGGUUAUAUGGCGCCAGAGUAUGCAAUACAUGGGAAUGUGUCGCCAAAGAUCGACAUUUUCAGCUUCGGUGUAUUGGUGCUUGAAAUUGUGACCAAGAGGAGGAACUGUGGCUCUUGCGAGGCCGACACGGUGAAUCUCCUAACUGAUGUGAGUGGCUUUGUACAUUACGUUGCAGAAACCAUAUUUCAAGUCUGAAAGUAAAUUCUGAAGUAACAAAGUGAUGGGGAACAGGUAUGGGCAUGUUGGACCAAAGGGACUGUAUCGCAAAUGAUCGACCAGUCCCUCGAAGGACACUCUCGAGUCCAAGCGCUAAGAUGUGUCCACAUUGGGCUGCUGUGCGUUCAAUCGGACCCCCACGACAGGCCUGACAUUCCGUCCGUCAUUUUCAUGUUGAACAGGGCCGACAUGGAGCUUCAGCCACCAGCACAGCCUGCAUUCUUCUUCGGGAGAGACUCGAACUCAGAUUCCCAGCAAUUGGAGCAAGGCACCUACGUGUACAACCGAUCUGAUGUGAUGAUUGAAGAUAUCUCCGUGAAUGGGCUCACUAUCACGUAUCCAUAUCCUAGAUGAGUCUUUUUUGAGUGUAUAUUCUAGGCAGAUUCUCCCGUACCUAAUACUCCAUCCAGCCUCAACGGAGUAUUAGGGAAGGGCAUAUCUGACUUUUCACAUUUUUGCAUUAAUAAAAAGUUAAAAAAAUAUCACUGCUUAAGCAAACAAACUAACCAAGGGAAACUAGGGAAUUUGCAUAGGAUAAAUCUGGUCCGCGCGCUUCUCAAAGUAGAAGACGACACAUGUCCAGCAGUGAGUGUAUUUAUCAAUGUGUACUUUCUUUAGAUAAUGAUUUAUCAAUAUGUAUGAGAUGUAUUUAUGCUAUUUUAUUUUUCUAAAAUGUACAUUUCAACCAUCAGACUGCACGGCUAGACAUAUUGUUUGUUGGGAUAAAAUAAACUAGCGAAAUGGCCCUCGCAGACUGCACGGCUAGACAUAUAUAAUGCAACAUAUGUGUAUUUUUGUUGCAUCUAAAUUUGUAUCAUUUUAGAUAAUAUUUAAAAUUUUCUUUUAAACAUCAAUGAGUUGUGUAGAUUUGUAUUUAUAUUUGUAUUUUUAAUUAUUAUUUAUGUAAGAUGAAGCAAUAAGCAAUUUUUUUUACCCAACCCUGUUUGUAUCUAUUAGGUCCAUUAUUAAAAAAAAUCGUGUUCAUUAUUCAUUUCAUUGGCAUGUCCACCUUUUCUAAAUUUCUUUUAGCUGACAUUCCACACGAAAUCGUCAUGUUGUGGGUUUGGGUGAGUUUAUUGUCAAUCAGUUUCCGGCUGGCUAUCAAUCUUGCAUGGCAGAUCGAUGUAAGAAGGCCAAUAAUAAUUGCUAGCCAUGUCUUUCCAUUCGAUACUGAUAACAUCUAUCAUGUGAGUCGCGCAGUUUCUUUUUGCAUUUUUUCUAAAAAAAUCAAUCCCCUUUGGUUUACCUCCUCUCAUCAGCAAAAUCAUUUAGUGAACACCUUAUAUCAGAUGUGGAUGUGGCAUGGCAGAGGAUGCCAGAAGUACGCUAGAUUGCGAACUGAGCCUAACUCAGGUGGUUGUUUUCUUGUGGUGGAACCAGCCCACUUAGGUUCCAGUCCCAAACUUGGCAUGUGUGCUCGUAUUUUUUGGAUUUAUUCCAAGCUUUAACCGGCGUUGUGCUUUCAGUGGGAGUGACGUACCCGUCAAUUACAAGGCGCCUGCGGUGACUUUUUCAAUCUCAAAAUGAUCUGCAGGCGGUCCAUUCUCUCGGAGGUGCUAAUAUGAGUAGGGUGUGCGUGCGUGCGUUCAUAGGGUGAGUGUGAGUGCUUGCGUCUGUACUGUGUUUCCUAAAAAAAAGUACGCUAGAUUUGCUUGGGUGUGUUUGUAUGGUGUCAAAAGUGUACCUUACCAGUUCUAUGGAGUUUGCACGGUUUGCGAACGUUUGAUUUUGAUAUUUUGCCAUUCAUAAAACGAAGUUCCAUACUUUAUAUAAAGAUAUUAAUGUUUGUGAUGCCAAAAAAUUGUGUGUUGAAAGAACACACACAUAAUAUGCUUUUGGUUGAGAUAAUCUUCUUUUACGGCAUUUUGUCAAGUGACCACACAUUUGAGCGCCUAUAUUUCACCCGUAUUUAUACCGUUUUAGUUGUUGAGAUGGCCUAUAGUUCAGUUUUCUUAAUCAUUAUUUUUCAUGUGAUGUGAUUGACUUGCACAAAUUUCAAUGUAAAAAGAAUAACUGAACUAUUAGCGAUCGGAGCUAUGGAGUAAAUGAUCGAGGUUGGUGCACAAAUUCUCGAAUUCUACAUUUGCCUACUUAAUAACACAUACGGAGUAGACGUUUGCUUUUAGGCAGUCAUUUUAAUCAUAAGCACCCAGACAGAAAAACCCCGAGAACACAACCUGUAGCCAUAUGUGAGCGCCAUCUAGUUUGGCACAAAUAAGCCACGCCCGAGAUGGAUCUCCAUCUCUGUCCAUGCGAGCCAAAACACACGUGAUUUUUCAAAAUCGACUCUUUAGGUACGCUCAGAAUCCUAUGUAUGAACAGUACGGAGAAAGGAAAAUGAGGCCAAUAUAUUUUUCUGUGAGAUGUUGAGGCCAAUCGCAGCCUAUCACUUGAGAAAUACUACUCCUGUACUAUGUAUGAGCUGUAGGGAGAGAAGCCCAUCUGCAGCCGUCCAUCGGAGCACCAUCCAACGGCAGAGCAUGAUAACGGUGUCGUCCGUCACGGACUAACGGGAAGGGAGGACACAACCCGUUUCCCCCGCCUUCUCCGUCAGCCAGGCCCCAUCGCAGCCGUCAGGGAGCCAUCGGACGGUGGGGGGCACCGGGAGGCCGGCUGAUCUCGCCGUUAUAAAUAGACCCACACACGCUCCUUUCCUUCCCUUCCCUUCCCAUCUCCAUUCCCUCCUCUUGCUUGCACACACAGCAGCAAUGGUGCCGCGCUCCCUCAACUCGACCUCGCUUCCCGACGCCGAUACCCCGCCGCCGCCGCCGCCGCCGCCGAUCGACCCGAACGACGACGCGGAGGAGCAGCUUUCGGCUGAGGCCCCUGACCUGGCUGCCCGCCUGGAGGCGCUGGAGCUGGCGGCGUCCGAACGCGCGGCGGAUUUGUCCUCCUCAUCACGCGCGGGGGUGAUACUUGAGGAGCCGGCGGAGCCUUCGUCUUCCAAGCCGUGGUGGUCGCCGCCACGGUACGUCACUUGCCAACCAGCUGCUGCUUGUGUGGGGUUUAAUUUGGGAGGGUUUGUACUAUGGUUCGGCGGCUUCGAUAUCUCCUCUCUUCUGCGUUUUAGUUUGUUUGGUUUCUUUGAGAAUGCAUGUAAGCAGAUCGAACUGAAGCUUCAUGGGAAGAUUUUGGUACCGAUCGACAUAUGAUCGUUGAUCGAUCUCCGUCUGUUGAAAAAAAGCUGCAGUGUACUGUCGAUCACCUCGCUUAAUAACUUCUGUUGUGUUUCCCUUGCGUUGUUGGUAUUCUCGAAGCAACGAUCUGCGUGCGGUGGUGCCAAUCCGUUGAGAUCUCUUGCAAGCUUUUGGUUGGUUUAUACCGCAGUGCAGCGUUGCAGAGAUCGAGGAAGACAUGGAGUUGUUGUUGUUGUUGUGUGUGUCGGUCUUCUUCGUCUUGCUGUACGAUCGAUCUCUACGUCUUGGUUUCUUUGUUUGGUUUGUGAUUAAUUCGUUCGCAUGCAUGUUUUCUGGCUUCAUCUUGGUGUAGCCAAACCAGCCUGCAGCAUGUUAUCUGCUCUGCAUGCAGUUGUGUGUUGCAGAAAGAGAAAGCCAGGCCCUGGCCUGUACUUUUCAGUCUCGUAUUUGAGCCUUUCGUUCUUCUUUACUCCAUUUGAUUUCGAUCGAUCAAAAUCAGCUAGGCUGCACUUUAUCGUCUGCGCUCUAUGUUACUUUGUGGUGUAAAUUCUUGUUACUUCCUAAGUAAUAUACCUUUUCCUCCUGGUUAAUUUAUUUUGAUUUCUUUCUCCUUCUCGUCUGGAAUUAAUUCACUACGGUUCGCGUCUUAUCCUCCAAACCUUUUUGCUUGUUUCUACUCCCCCGGUCCAUAAUAAGUGUCUCACACUUAGUAUAAAUUUGUACUAAAUUGGAGACACUUAUUAUGGAUCGGAGUGAGUACUUCUUUUACGCUUUAAUUGUCUGCCGGAAUACCUAGUAAAUUACCCUCUUUAUUAAUUAACGGCUUACUGCUUGUCUGUCGUGGAUUAGUCUGUUCUUCACUGCUUCUAUUCUAGAAUGCCAUGUUUUGGUUACUCUGCAGUUUCCGGUUCAACAUCAUAAUUGUACCCUAGUUCUCCACUGCUGAUCUAAUUCUAGUUUAUUACAUAUAUAGUACUGGAGAUACAUGAAUGCCAGUUCGUUUACAGCAUGUUGAGUUUCCAAUUUGACACCACUGGUUCUACUGCUUGUUUACUGCAUAUUAGAGAUGCACGCUGCAUUUUAGAUUCUUUUUUAUUUCAGGGAGAUACAUUUUAGAUUUUCAGUUCAUCAUGUAUAAUUACUACAGUUUCAAAAAAAAGUGUGAUCACUAUGCAAUUUCCAAAUAAUUUGAUACCACAGUGUUGCAUUUCUUUAUUGCGCACUUGCAGGGGCUGGAGAGUGGCCUUCAGCACCGCAACUAUCAGUGACACGCUGGAGAGGCUGGACGACAGCAUCGUCCUCAGACUCCGGGGGAGGGCGCUGCACUGCUUCAACAAUGAGGCCUACGACCUCCAAUGUUACCCGAUCAUACACUCCAAUGGGCAAUACCUGUUUAAGGGAUCCCUGUUUCAGUACCUGUUCUUUGAAGACGAGAAGCUGCACGCUGAGGUGAUCCACUUGAUAUCUUAAUUGUCAACUCAACUCAAGCUGAUGUUGGUUUCAGGAUAAUGGCAGCAGAGGCUGACCGUUAAUACACUGCAUGGUUUUGUCUUUGUCAGAUUGCACGGUACAAGUUCAGCUCAUAUGAGACCCCUUUCCUCCCUAGCCUUCUCAUGGAGCCAAUCACUAGAAUUCCCUGGAGUCUACAGGUUCUAUAUUAUUUAGCUUGUUGAUUAUUAUAGACGUAUCGUUCCUGGUAGUUCCUGGUUGUUCGAUGCAUGAUCAUUUAGGAUUCUAGUGUACUCUUAUUUGCUCUGCUUACUUGUUUGGACAAAGGCCACUCCUAAGCUGAUAGUUGGCAUCAGCAUUAGAUAUCAGGUAGUAGGUAACAAGAAGGCCAUUUUAUUUCUACUAGUCAAGAAAAAGUCACUUUGAGACUGGAUCUGAAAUUUUGGUACCAGACUACUUUAUGUAGAAUGGUAUUUUCAAAAGGUGCUUAAUAGAAGAAGAAAAAUUAUAACCUGUUAUGAGAAUGAUAACACAGUUUUGAGGAUUGGUAACACAGUUUUACACUAGCAAAGUUUGAUAUCGUCUGAUAGUGGAACUCAAAAUCAGUUUUCCUGCUUUUAGAAUACUUUUAAGAAUGUUUACUUGCGCUAAACAUGUUAAGGCAGGAAAGCUUUCAUGGGGCCAUACUCUCUUUGGCUGCACCAUAAAUCAUAGUCCUCCGGAUUUAACCCAGCUAAACUUGUCUGCACAGGGUCUGCAUCCAGCUGCUGAAUCUAUCAACAUAAAUGAGAGGGUUUUGAUAAGGUACUUCUAUGAAUUUCUGCCAAUGCUUGUGAACGAAGGAAGUGAUGGUCAACCUGUAUCAAGCUCUCAGUGUGAUGUCAAGAUUUUACAAGUGAGAGACAUAACUUUGUCUGUUAGUUCUUCAUUCGCCAUCUGCCCUUCACCAUAGAUCAGGCCAUGUUGUUGUCUUGCUUGAUUAAUUGUUCCAGAGCUACGAUUUCCUACCGGAAAGUUCUUCACAACUCUUAACGUGUCACUGUCACUAGUUGAUAUACUCCCUCUGUCCCACAUUAAAUGACUUUCUGUUACAUCUAUCUAGACGCUUUUUAGGCAUAGAUACAGCCAUAUUUGGGCAAAUUUGAGUCACUUAAUAUGGAACGGAGGGAGUACUUGUGAAACAUGUUUCUGUGCCAUGAAGAUUCAUGCAGCAUUCUUUUGAAAUACCAGCACUUCACAUCCUUGACAUUGCUUCUGUGCGAACUUUUUCUCUUUUGAUAAAUUGUUCUGCCUGAACUUUGAUCAACUGCUGCAGGCACUCUCCAAUAGGAUCCACUAUGGCAAAUCUGUGGCAGAGUCAAAGUUCCUGGAGGAACCUGAAAAAUAUACGUCUGCAAUCAGAGAACAAGUAAGUGCACUGCAGUCCAUUCCCCCAUUCUUCAUGGAAAUCACAAUAUGUAGCAGACAGUACACCUGAUUGACAAGCUGCUGUUUGUGUCGAACUUUUAUGCAGGACAACGAUAACCUGAUGGAGACACUGACUAACCCUGAUGCUGAGGAGGAGGUUAUUACGCGUGUGAAGAACAAGGCCAUGGUCUAUAGGCAGGAGGUGGACCCUGAGUUGGUCGGCGAGCUAUAUGACAAGUUGGUCAUCCCAAUGACCAAGGAAGUGCAAGUGCAGUACCUCCUCAGGAGGCUCGAUUAGUCUGAGCCCCAUCCUUUUUGCCUAUCUGCCUGAAGACACUGAACUCUAUGGACAUGCAACAGCUUACCCUGAAAUGAUUAGGCCAUUUUUUACUUCUGACAUCAUGCUCUGGUGCAGUUUUCCUUCCAGUAAUUGCAGCUUCAUGUAGUGUAGUUCGGUUUUCUGGGGAACACAAUGUAGUUGCAGAUUCAUUGAAUCAGAAUGAGUGGUUAAGAGUUGAGAUCAUGCUAUCGUUGAGCGAAUGGCUGGACUUGUGUUACUCUGAAUCUUGUACUUGUUGUUUUUUGUGUUUUAUUGUACUUGCUCCGGCAAGAUGUAUUGCCCCUCGGACACGUUUGAACAAUAUAUUCAGGUGGGGAGACUCCCCCCACAACAACCCCCCCACCACCCCCACACCCUUGAUUCCUAAAAAUAAAGAAUUCUGUGAACAGUGUUAAUGUUUCAUCUUUUCCUGAUAGCCCAUCCUCAGAAUUUUCUCUUUGUAUGUAUUUUUCUAAGUGACAACUGACAAGAAUGUUUAGUUAGCUGCUUCUUGAUGGUUAUUUCUCCUGCUAUUAGGCUGAUGUGGGAUACCAUUACAACUAGUAUUGAUUUUAGGACAUCUUACACUUGGUAAGGAAAAAGGUUCUGUUUUCUUGUCCUCCAAAUUUUGCAGCUUCAGAUGUUUGUCGUAGACAUGGUUGGCUGAUAGAUAAGCCAAGAUUAACUAUUCUCAGAGUGUAAGCUUGGUAGUAAUCUGAAGUUGAGAGAUAAGUCCCCUGCGGACGGGGGCCAACCCAUAUGGUUUGAGCCCAAUUCAUGUCUCAUGGGCUCAAACCAAACCUCUCUACCCAUCUGAAGUUCUGAACCCAGUGCAAAACAUCAAACUCAACGGAAAUUCCACAAUUUCGUUCUAGAAAAUAAUAAUCGGAACUUCCGCAUCAAUAAAUCCAGAUGAAACCGCAUCAAUAAAAAUGGCUUAUGCCAGGUAAAUAUCCUUUCACUAUAUUUUUAAAAUUUCACUAUAAAUGUUUAGUCGCCCAAUAAAUAGACAAUCCCAAUACAAUCAACUGGACAACUACUAUUGUAAUCUGCCAUUGAGAUCGUAAAAUAUAUACCAUGCGGGAAAGGGGAUGAGUAAAUAAUACAUAUGAAGAAGGCUCUGCCCCUACAUCAAACUUGAUAAUUUUUGCAAGAUGAUACACACAAUAAACUCCACGAUAAUCUGAAACUUAUCUCGGUUCAAGUUCAGUAAUCGAAACUUCGUUCGGUGACAUAGGCAACCUGUCCGUGGACUGCGAAACUCCUCGGAAUGGCUCCGAGUGCAUGUCUGAAUCUUUGGUGCCCCAAUUUUGGAAGCAAAAUGCUGGCCUAGAUGGAGCUUGGAGUGACACGGUGCUGCUGCUCAGCAUGACAUUCACCACCGACAUCAUCGGUCUAUCUGCCGGGUCUUCUUGAACACAAAGAAGUCCCACGUGAAUGCACUUCAGCAUCUGGUCUCCAGGAGAAUGCUUAGUCAGGGAUGAAUCCAUUGUUUCUAGAAUUGUUCCCAUUGUCCAAUGCUCCCAUACCUGCAUUACGCAAGUUUAGUGCUCCAUAUUAUUAUUACGGAGUAUAAUAAUAAUAAUAAUUAUUAUUAUUACAGGAUGUAACUUUGGGUAAUAACCGAAGUUUGUAAUAGCCAGAUUACUCACAAAACUUAAGAGAUCAACAGAUUGCUCCGAGUCAAAUGAGCCGCUGUUCCUUCUUCCUGUGACGAUUUCUAGUAUUAAAAUACCAAAGCUAAACACAUCGGACUUGAUGGAGUAAUUCCCACGCAUAGCGUACUCCGGAGCCAUGUAUCCACUGCAAUAAGACCAUUAUAUUACAGACAGGCACACAUGCAAAUUUCUUAUAAUGGGGCAAUGUCUCCAGAACUUACUAGGUUCCGACGACACGGUUCGUGACAUCUUGUGAUUGAUCACUUCCGAACAGCCUUGCUAACCCAAAAUCUGAAAUCUUAGGAUUAAAUUCAUUGUCUAACAGAACAUUGCUUGCUUUAAGGUCCCGAUGAAUUAUUUUGAGCUGAGAAUCUUCAUGGAGAUAUUGUAAGCCUCGAGCAAUCCCAUUGACAAUCCUAAAUCUCUUUCCCCAAUCUAGCUGACUGCUUCUAUCAGGAUCUGUCACACGGAAGGAAAAAAAAAGUCAGAACUGUACACAAGAAAUUUCAGUUGUUUCACUGUUGCAAAAUGGGGAUGAGUUACUCUACCAAAAAGAAUGGUGUCAAUGCUUUUGUUGGGCAUGUAUUCAUACACAAGUAAUUUUUCAUUUUCUUCCAAGCAAACACCGAGAAGUCUCACUAAAUUCUUGUGUUGAAGCUUAGCAACCAAAACAAGCUCAUUUUUUAGCUCCUCUAUCCCUUGUCGAGAACUUUGUGAGAGUCUUUUAACUGCUAUUUCCUCAUCGCCAGCAAGGACUCCCUGUAAAAAUGAAGAUGUUACUCACUAGAAGUUUACAGAACAGAGACUAGAAGGAUACAGUGGAAUGAUAUGAUUACCACCUUAUAAACUGCACCAAACCCUCCUUCGCCAAGUUUAUUGCUUUCAUCAAAGUUAUCUGUUGCGACUCGUAGAGUUGAUAGGUCAAGAAUGAGUGAAUCGAUAGUCUGUAUGUCCUCUGGAUUGGUUGGAUCUAUCAUAAGACAAAGCACAUUCAAAAUAGUGCAAGGCAUUACUGUAAUUCCAGUUUUCAUGUGAGAAUGAUGUCAAAAUAGAACGUUAUUAGGUGCAUCUGUAUAGAACGUUGAAAAUAAUACCAUAUUGGCCAGAAUCUUAAUAUGAAACAGUGCAAUUGGAAAAUAACUGAAAAGACUUACAAGCUAGUGAUUGCUUUCGUGCCGGUUUCCUCUUCCUCAUCCACAGACAAAGGCAAAACAUGACAGCAGCCAUAAUUGCAGCGGCUAUAGGCAGGGCAAUCGCUAAAAUCCUACCAGCACUGUUCGUUGUUCCACCUUUAAAUAAAAGGAAUGAUUAAUAAAAUACAAACAGAAUAUAGUUCUAAAAUAUUCCGAAGAAGAUGAUGCAUCUGCCUUGUUGUGAUGCAACUUUUACUUGAUGAAGCUAUCAACACCUUUGAUGUGUAUAGUGCCCAAAGUUUUAUAUCUUUCUGCUUUGAAUUAAUACAUGGACAGGAGUGUUUCUUACAAGAGCCUGUGUGAAUACGACAAGUAAGAAGGAAAAACGUGCAAUUAUGUAGUAACUGAAUACCAGAUGAGAAGGAGAUACUUGUUUCAAGAAUUUUAUUUCUACUUAGACCAAAUUAUAGAAGGACGAUCUAAUUUCAAAAUGCACUCUUCACAUGAGAUUUUUUAUGGCUAGCAUUCAGCCAGAAUGCAACACUGACCAGGCAGCCAGGGGCUUCUAUGAUGUUCCCUGUUCUCCAGUCAAUCAACUGAUAGCUACGGGACUGCAAGGAAGUCACAAAUACAGAAAAAGGAGAAAGCCAAGUGCUUCUUGAAAAUGAUCUCUGACUCUUUUUCGUUGUUUGCUACUCCUUUUUAAUACAAUUAAAACAACCAAGUGCUUCAGAAUUCCUUUUUAAUAAAUUAAAACAACCAAUAGAAAAACACCUGAUUGGCGGUGACACUACAUAUUACUAGUAUAAUUUGGAAUCGGAUCAAAUUGGGCAACCUGUUAGAAUUAUGUUGUGUAAAUGGACUCGACGCAAUUCACCUUGAGUUUCUUCAGAGAUCGAAUUCUCCCUGAAUCGCGCAAUUGCUUCUAGUAUAAAGACGAGUCGUGCACGCGAAUGCAAAUGAGAUGGAAGUUAUUUCUCCAGGCUCACCUCCUCCGGUUUCCGGUGGCGUCGCGUUCGCCGGCGCCGGCUCUGGAGCUGCCCCCAAGGAAGGCGCCGGGAGCUGCAGCAGCGAAGGCCCGAAGAAGAACGGAUACUGCUCAUACCUGUAGAAGCACUGAAUUCCAAUAAUCCUACCACCCUGCUUCCCGCUGAAGAAUUUGGGCAUGUCCCUGAUGAUAUUCGCGAGGCAGCUCCGGCAAUCGGCCGAUGCCAUGUCCGGCCUGCACUGCGCAAGCCCGUAAAUCUUCGGGUACCCCUUGUCGACCGUCUCGAACCCGGCCUCCCCUGUGCCGAACCGCCUGGAGGAGUUCGCGGCCGCGUAAUCCGCGGUGGCGUUAAGCAGCACGCCCACGGCGUCGUCGAACAGCUUCACCGGCGCGGUCACGUUCUGCGUGUUCAUCAGGGCGAUGGAGUUGCCGUUGUCGCCGCUGGUGUCGGACACGAAGUUCUGGUCGGAGAAGCGGAGGAAGCAAGGGUCGUAGAAGACGGAGGCGUCCCUGUCGUAGGCGCAGAGCUGCUGCGCGUCCUGGAAGGCGGUGGCGACGCAGGCGCCGCAGGCGGAGGCGCUGGUGUCGCCGCGGCAGAGGGCGAGCGCGUAGACGAUGUCCGGCAGGGCGCCGACUCUUCCGGUCGCGAAGAGCGUCCGCGACGAGUUGGCGCUCUUGGGUAGGGUUAGGGAGAGGGCCCGGAUGUUGGCCUGGUAGGUGCUGUUGGCGGUGUAGUUGCUGUUCUUGCCGCAGAGCGGCGUCAGGGCGGCGGCCGGCGGCGCGAGGAGGAAGGCGAGGAGUAGGGCCGCGGCGGGGGCGAGGUGGGAGGGGAGGUGGUGGUGCUGGUGGUGCGAGGCCAUUGGAAUCGGUGGAGAAAACCCGGAGACGGUGGUGAGGUGAAGCACAGCGAGGAGUAUAUGCAGUAGGCAUUUCCUUUAAAAAAAAAAGGGAAGAAGAAGACGAAGAGGGUACCGGUGGUGGGGCCAGGGGCCCUGUGAGUUUGACAUCACUAGAUUGAAAGUCUGACAUGGUUGGCGCCAUCCAUAAAUACACGCGGGCCUGGGCGUGGGCCAUGGCCGGGCCGGACAACAGCGGCGGCGAAAGUGGGUCAAGUGCUUCGUUUCGUUUCCACGCCAAGUCUUCGUGAUGUAGAACUGUACUGUGCUGAGAUGCUCUUCAGACGAUUCCAGCACGGCGUCUAACGGUUGAGUCUACACGUAUACAGCGUAGGUUCCCGUCACCUUGAUGGCUUCACAGGCCUUUUGUUUUUGGACUGGGAUAAAACUCUGAGGGCAAUAGAAUAGAAAGAGUGCAAUUAACUGGAGGAUAGGAUCUGGUGGAUUCCUUCUCCCGAAGGGCAGUUCACUGUAAGCUCUUUCCGUAGAAAAUUAAAAUGGCAGUAAGUUGAUCUCCCAAAAUAUUUUCCGUGGAGAAUGAAUAUUUCUUUGAAAAUUAGUAUCUUUCUGUGGCUGAUUGCCCAUAAGAGUACACUUACUAAGGAUGUAUUGUUGCUCAGGCGAUGGAAGGGGAUCCUAGAUGCCAAUUUUGUGGGGCGAAUGAGACUAUUGAUCAUUUGUUCCUACAUUGCCUCCUUGCGCGUUUUCUGUGGAAUGUAAUUAAAUGUGAUUUUGCUCUUUCUGUUUUCACUGACACGGUCUUUGAUAUCUGGACAAAAUGGCUGCCCCUAAUUAGUGGCAGGUCAAAAAACUUGGUGAUGGUGGGGAUCGCUGGGGUUUUCAUGGUAUUAUGGAAUACUAGAAACAAUGACUGCUUCAAAAAUAUAAAACCUGCUUCUCCUUCUGGGGUUGUGAGAUUAUUAUGCUUUUGGCUUAACCUGUGGUCGAUUCUUCAGAAAAAGUAGACAUAUCAAAACCUCAUGCGGUGGGGAACUAGGCUUGCGGAACAAGUUGCCAAAGAAGUGUUGAAAGCUGCCUGUGGAUGGCAUCCUCUACAUCAGCCAACUGCGCAAUGAGAAGAAAAGUGGUGUUGUUUGAAGUUUGACCCUUUGGUGUCUUGGUCUACUGAAUUGCUGCGGUUCUUAGUUCUGUGUUUUGGUGGUGGCACAUGACAGAGGACUGAUUCAGCUAUGUGAGCUCCUUUUAGUUUACUGUAGCUUUUUGGAGAUCUCUAUCUGUGUUGUGCACUGUAAUGUGUCGUUUUUUUUUUCCUUUUUCUUUUUUCUCGGACCUGAACCUGUAGAACAUGUUGGUUUCUUAUAAUAGAAAUCGGAGAGGGCGAGCCUCUCUUUUUCAAAAAAAAAUACUACCUCCGUUCCAUAAUUCUUGUCGAAAUCUUACAUGUAUCUAGACACUUUUUAGAAAUAUAUACAUCCAUUUUUGAGCAAAUUUAAAACAAGAAUUAUGGAACAUAGGGAGUAAAAAUAAGAAUAAGCAUAAGGGUCGGGUGAUUGGACGCAGAAUCCCAACACUAUGUACCGUGGGCCGGGUCUCACUUAUUAUUUUUUAUGAAAGAAUGUGCAUAAUGUUAUCUGCGGACCAAUAUCCGAUCUCCUUGGAUAAAAUGGAUUAAUAUCUUAUCAUAUGUAUAUGAUUUUCUCCAUGCACUUUAGACUUUGACUUCAUUUGUGUCUAUUUUACCAUUUGGCUAACUAACUUUUUUUCUUCUAUUUUGGCUAUUUUCUCCAAUACAUUAUAAACUAAUUCAAUCAAACAUAUGUGAGCUAGUACAAAUAUUUUAAAAUGUUGUCAACUUUGUCUAACAAGAACUACUACAGAAUCACUUAUUUCUGACGCGUCGGAAAACCUCUAAGCUGACGCAAAACGGACGCGUCUGUAAUCAAGUCUCAGAAAUAACCAAAAUAGUACACGUCGAGACGCGUCAAAGAGAAGGAUUACGUUCUGACGCUUCUUACGAGCGAAUUUUCAUAACUGAACAAGUGCGAGCCAGCGGGUACUUGUAGAGGUCACUCUUCUGACACUUGCUCAUCGGCAAAGCGUUAGAGAAGACUUUUCCUCUUACACAUAUUGACUACGGAUGAGUCAGACAGCUUUCUCCGCUGGCACCUUAUUUGCUAAGAUGCGUCAGAGAACGUUUGUGCGGUUUCAAAAAAAAUUGCGCGCACUGACGAUUUUUCUUCACGUCGUCAGCAGCCAGUUUUGCAAAAACAUAAUUAAAUUAAUUGCACAGAACUAGCCACUAAAUCAAAUGCAGGGUCAAAGAUUAUCAUUGCAUAGAUCUAGACAUACAUUGCAUUACAUGCAAGAUCCAAAUUAACAUACAUUGCAUAUUGCACAAGAUCUAACACUAAGAAAUUGAAACAUCUAACACAACCGUGUCACAGACGGUGAUGAUGGGGAUGCUGCAUUGGUGAUGGUUACCGUGCUGCAUGUCGUCGGAGGAGGACACACUGAAGUAGAGACAGUAACAGUGAACGGUAGCACAAUGACAAAGGGCAGCAACGUGGAUGAUGAGAAGGGAGAGACGGAGUACAAGAAUGGUGGAGGAGGCGAUGGCGAUGGGCACGGUAACGGUGGUGGACAGAAGUGAAGCGCCUUGGGGCACGUCAAGGCCGGCGUCGUUGCCGCAUCCUUUCAUCCACAGCGUCAUCACGGGUCCGGAUAGGGAGACUUGACAGGCGUAGCUUGCUCUUCACCGUUUCGCUCUCCGAAGACGCCGUGCAGAUGAUGGCGCCGACCUCAGAAGAGCCAUGAGGGGUGUCCGAGUCGGAGGAGAGUGCGAUGUAGUCAUCCGUCGAUAAAUGCACCGGUAGCAGAGGUGUAGCUGGCGGACGAAGCGGAGGCGCCAUCGGAUGCCGCACCAUCGGCCGGACCGGCGGCCUCGCCAACGACGACAGAGCAGCCGUCGUCAGAGCAGCAACCAUAGAUCAGUCGGACGAAGCGGAUCUACAAACCCUACCAAGACAAACCCUUUUGGGCGAACCAUGGCGAGGUGGAUGGAGGUAAGAUAUAUGAGGAGCUCGUGGUGCAUCGUCUUCCUCCGUUUGAGGGUAUUUAUAGGCGGGGGUGAGGCCGGGAAACGGACUGGAGGCGGAGGCGAUGGACCAGAAGAGGAGGCCAUGGACUGGAUAAAUAGAUGUAUGUGCAUACUCCCGAGGCGGGUCGCCGGGAGCGCCAUGGCUAUAGGCUCAUACUCCACUCGAUUCCUGAAAUACACUACAUCUCCGCAACGAGGGGCAAACCCGUGAACCUUUAUAAGAUUCGAAAACUCCUCUGAUGCUUCCAAAAGACACUUCACUGACGUUUGUUUGUGUGCCACGCGUCAGAGGUGUGGUUGAGCUUGCCGCGUGCCCUUUGGCCUUCAUCUUUCGCCUUCCCAUGCAAACUCAAUGCCUUCAUCGUUUUGAAUUCCUAAGCAAUAACUCGAUCUAUAUAUGCCUAUAUACAUUCCGGCAUGUGCAUCCUGCAAAGAUCAGUCCGGCGGCCUUGUGUGAUUGAGUUCGAUCGUUCGCUAGCUUUAGAUCAUCGAGAAAAUGGCCUCCUUCUACAUGCAGACGUGGUGUGGGGACUCGUUCCAGUCCUCCUCCAUUGAGGCGGAGAAGAGGGAGUUAGACGGCGAAAGCCCUUACCGGAGGCGGCCGGAGCCGGUCUCAUCGGACGAUGAGGAGGUUCGUCGGAGGAAGCGGCGCCAGAAGAACCGUCGCUGGUCUGUACACGGCGAACUGUGAUGCCACCCCCCCCCCCCCCGGCUCCCGAACCAAUGGCGGCCGCAAAAGGCACCGGGAUGACCCGCCUCCACUGAUGCCUCCGCCACCUCCCCAGACCCAUCGCCGACGCCACCGACGCCGACGCCUCCGAUAACACUGUCGGCAUCAAGCACCGCAACGACCCGCCUCCUCCGCCACCAACGCCUGCAUCUCUUCCCGCUCCGUCUUCGCCUGGAGCUCAGGCUUCAGUACCGCCGCCUUCAUCUCCUCCAGCACCACCUCCGGGAUUUCCAACUGUUCCGGUAUCACUUCAAGCGCUCCGAUCAUUGAUCGGCGCCCUUGAGAAGUGCACCGAGGCAUUGGGGAAGAUAACCAGAAGAGCGCAAGAAUAUUUUUUUUUGUCUUUAUUUGUAUUAUUUUUAUAUUUUUAUAUGUAAUGAUGGAGAUGAACUAUAUUAUAUAUGAUCAAUAUGUAUAUGUAUUUUCAAUUUUCGAUCCAUUCGAGUUUUCUUUAAUUAAAUUAAUUUCGAUCAAUUCGUACAGGACUGACCCGCAAGUAUCAGAAGAGAGAUUUAAAUUUGUAAAAGGUGAAAAAAAAACAUCACAAAUAAUAAUGCAAGACGUACAUCAAGGUUGGAAACAAGCUAGCCUGACGCGUGAUGAACAUGGUCAGAAAAACGCCUAAGAAACACUGACGCUUUACUGCUACUCGAAUGUCAAAGAUUGUGCCGCCCAUGUCUUUGACACGUUCUAAGAAGAAAGCAUCAGGGGAGCUUUACACUCCCCUGACGCUUUACUGCUACUCGAAUGUCAAAUAAUUAGCUUGCAGGAAAAUUAUUUGGGUAUGCUCUUGUCCAUUAAGACCAGAAGAGAAAUUUUGUAAAAGUUAUUGCCAUACAAGUUUAAUCUUGCUCUAUGUUUUGCAAAAACAAUAUAAGCUUUUAAUUAAAGCCUAUCUUUGUUUCUUGCAUGAUAAUUAUCUUUUGUUUAUGUUAUAAUCUGUCCAAAUCUUUUGUAAAACUCUUCAAAACAGAAACUAAACAAGUUGCAAUUAGAAGUAACCAAGUGUGCAUCAUCAUGGCAUAUGCAUCAUAGCAUGUUUUUGUAUUGAAUGUUGUGCUUAUGGUGUGUAUGCUUUCUUUUAUUUUAGAUUGUGUGGAUUGUGAACCUUGUUGUUGUGAAGAGUGAGAGAACUACCACAACCUUGGACAAUGCAACUUCACUUUGAUCAUUUUCCCAAAUAUUUUACUAUGCACUAGUUGUUUUAUUAGAUGCAUUAGGAAUAUUACUCGUACCUUUAUGCUAACUAUAAGUCCCAGGUAGUAUAGUUUACCUUUGCCAUUACCUUGCUACCAAAUUGCCAUAGAUUGUAGUUGAAUGCUAGGCUAUGGUAGUAUCGUGGGGAAAAUUACUACAUUGUGAUAUUGUUAUGCCUUUGGCGAUAUGAAAUGUUUUGAUAGAUUAAGGAAAAACAAUUAAUUCAAUGAACCGUCCUGGGUGGGCUGCUUUGAGGAUUUUGAGGAUUAGCGGCGUCAGAUCCAUUUCUAUGGGUCCCUCUGAGUCGACUUCCCGUGGAUUCGGGAAGGGAUCGUCCAUGGACGUCUCACCCGUGGAUUUCGGGAGUGCCUACGUUGCAACUGUGGAAUGCCACCUGGGGUAACCAAGACUGGACUAGUUUCCUAUUUAGCAGCUUCCAGUACAACCACAAUGCUAUAUGGGCUCUGGCGAGACAAGAGUAAGUUGUAUGAACCUAGACCCGAGAAAUUGUACUGAGGUAGAAUGUGUAGGGGGAGCGUGUUUCUCUCGUGGUUUAGGAAAUUAUUUCUGAAAAUCUCGUAAUCGAUGCCGUUGCUACUCUACCCUGAGGACAGCAAGGGUUUAACCCGUCGGUUUCUUGUGGGGAAUGUGUACAAACUCUCGAGAGCGUCAAAACUACUUAGCCGUGUCCCCGGCAAUGAACAAUUUGAGCAACUAGAUGUGGAGCUGUAAGGAAGGUCUCACUCAUUCUAAUUUCUUAAUAAAAUGAAUGGUUUGAACUUGGGUUUAGGAGCAUUGAUGUGUCUACUCAAUGUCCUUAGUUUAAUAGGAACAUGGGUGUGUCUACCCCAUGUCCAAUAGUGAUAAAAUUCUAUUUGAUUAAAAGAUAGGAUUAAACAACUAAGCUUUUAUGCAAAUUUUCUUGAACCCCACUUUGCCACAUUAUGCAUAUACUUGGUAGGUUCUGAUAUAACUUCUGGUGAAUCUUGCCAAUACAUUCAAUGUAUUGACCCUACUGGCUGCAUCGUUUAAUGAUGCAGGAAGCUCCGACGACGAGUAAGAGUACGUUCUGCUUGUAUUGGUUACAGGCCUAUAUUCCAACACGCUCUCACCGUGGUGUUGAUGUAGCCCUUGUAUCUUUCGUUUUCCGUUGCUAAACAGUUAUUUUAUUUCCAGCUAACCCAUGGGGUUAUGCGAGUUGUAAGUAUUUUUUUUUAAUUCUGGAUGAUGCGUUGUAAUAUUGAGACCUUUGUUCUAUGAUAUUACAUCUUGAAACUGUGUGCGCUAGUGAGUCGAUCCAGGGACUAGCACUAAAACACAGAGAUCGAACCCGUGUACGGAGGCGGUCGCUUCAACAAUGUAGAAUGAUCAAACGAUUCAAAGUUUGGUUGUACAAAUGGUGGUUUCAUAACCAAAUCAUUUUAUUUUGAGUAAAUUUCACAAAACCACACUUUUGGGGGGCAGCUGUGUCGUGGAGCCAAAGUUAACAAAAAACCGUCCGUAAAACCACAAUUUUUGAGUUAAGUUGUCUUAGUAAGCCCAAAACCGCUUAUCCAAAAGGAACUCGAGGUUUUGGUGCGAUCGCUCGGGAAUUGAGACUUAUGAAUUUCACUAAAAGACUCUUGGUGGUUUGGCUCGAAUCCUUGCAGGUGGGGCCCACGUGUCGGUCGCCACAUUAGCCCCAGCCCAAACCCGACCCAUUAGCUACCCAAAAUUAGGCACAAUCUGAUUUGGCUAAUUAGUAACUUUCAUACUUCUAGGUGUUGUGAGACUGAUUAAUUGUUUGUUUCUAGAUGUAUUGGUUUGAUUAUUUUGCCUUUCUAAUGAUCAAUCGUGCAAAUAAUAUGAAAAUACAUAUCUAUUUGAGCCAAAACAUUAAGAGUAUAUUUUGCAAAAUCACAGUUUUUGGGGUAGUCGUGUCGCUGAACCACAGUUAACGAAAAACCAUUCGCAAAACCACACAUUUUGAGUCAAGUUGUCUCAGUCAGCCCGAAACCGGGUGGUUUGGCAGUUUUGCUUGAUUUUUUUAACGUGGGGCCCACCUGUUGGACUCCACGUCGGCCCCGAAAACUUGCAGGAGUGAGAAGGGGGCUGGGGGUUUAAUCGAAGGCUAACGGGUCAGGUCGGGUUGGGGCCGAUGUGGGUCCAUCUGUAAGAAAUCAAGCAAAAUCGUCAAACCACUCGCUUUCGGGCUGACCGAGACAAAUUGACUCAAAGUGUGUGGUUCGGCCAACGUUUUUCGUUAACUGUGGUUCUGCGACAUGACUGCCACAAAAAUUAUGGUUUGCGAAAUUUACUCAAACAUAAAGAUAGAUGAUUAGAAUGUUUUUCAUGUAAUUACACCGGACACCAUGCUAGUUAAGAAUAUGAGCCAAAACACAACGAUAGCCCAAGAUUUUUUUUCUCGCAAUUGUGUCUGACACCAUGCUACACCCCUCCAUUCCUUUAUACAAUCCAUGUAGAUUAUUUUUUUCAUUUUCUCCCUAAUAUGGCUCAUUUGCUUAGCUUUUUGGCUCCCACAUCCGACCAAUAACUGGUUAUGCACAUGUGUUUCUAAACCAUGAAUGGUCACAUUAUAAUUGUUUUGAUACAAGAGGAAAAAAAUCUAUCUGAGCUAUACAAAGGAAUGGACGGAGUAGCUAGCAAAGCAAAAGUCUUGCCGUGAGAAGAUUUUUUUUCUUUUCUUUGGUGUGAAUUUAACAAAGAAUUCGGUUUUGACCUAUUUCCCGAAUAUUGGAUAUUUUUGUUUGACUUAAAUUAGUUUUUUGAUAGUUUUUUUAUAUCUUUUUUCGAUAAAGAGUUUUUAUCCUAUGGUAUAUGAAAUGCAUCAGUGCAUCUGUCUCACGGCAGCCGGGAGGCGACAAAGGCCAUGUUUGUUUGGUCUUCUGGUUCAGUUUUUGGUGCUUCUAACUCUCUAAAAAGCAUUUCUCCCGUUUACACAUGAAGCUGAGAAGCACGUCGGGAGGUAUUUUCCUCCAGAAGCUGCCGGAAGCACCUUCGACGUGCUUCUCAGCUUCAUGUGUAAACGAAAGAAGUGCUUUUUAGAGGGCUAGAAGCAGCAAAAACUGAAGCAGAAACCCAAACAAACAUGUCAAAUCUCCCUCAAAGAGUUCUGCAAAAACAAACCUUUUUCCCUUUAGAAGACACCACAUCAGCAACCGAGAUUCUUUUAUUAAAGCAAAUCUCAUACAGAGGUGGAUAUUGAAGUUUAAAAGGUUUGUCCCCAUACCACCAAUCCUCCCAGAAACAUGUGUCCCCCUACCUUGCCCAAUUAAGAAUUUACACAAGCUCAGGAACUGGUCCUUAAUGCGCACAACUGCCAAAUCCAUUUUCCCAUCAGAGCCUUAUUCAUGAUCGCAAGAUCUAAAAUGCCCAAACCACCCAUCUCUUUCAAUUGGCAUACCUUUUUCCAGGCAACUAAAUGGUAUUUUUUUUAUCUUUUCAUCACCCAGUCACAGCAUGCGGGCUCUGUAGUAGUCAAUUAUUUUUCUGACCCCAACUAGGAGUUCAUAGAAAGAGAUCAUGUACAAGGGAAUACUACUAACGCAGGAGUUGAUGAAAACAUUCCUCCCUCCUAUUGAGAUUAACUUCCCCUGCCAACAACUCAUUCUAUUUUCAAUUUUAUUCUCCACCCUCUUCCAAUGCUUAUUCCUUAUCCUAACUGCAUCAACAGGUAUCCCCAGAUAGGUAAGUGGCAGCUCACCCCUCUUACAGGUAAGAAUACUGCUGAAAAGAUGUUCUCUGUUAAUAGCCUCCCCAAAGCAGUACAAAUCACUUUUAUGAAAAUUUAUUUUGAGGCCUGACAUUUGUUCGAAAGCACUCAAAACAAAUUCAGAUUCUUAGCACUAUCUAGGCCAUCUUGCAUCAAAAAGAUAGUAUCAUCAGCGUACUGCAAUAUAUUAAACACCCCCCCCCCCCCCCCUCCUCCACUAAUUCACAAGCAACUCUUUUAAUGAAGCCAACUUUACUAGCAUUGCAAAGAAGCAUUGCCAAUGCAUCACCUCACCCCCGCCCCUCAUAAUUUCCAUCAUCCAGUCACACCAUUGGUCAGGGAAUCCUUUCAUUUGUAGCAUUUGGUAUACAAAAGAUCAUUUAAUUUUGUCGUAGGCUUUUUCAUAAUCUACCUUAAAUAAGAUUGCAGAUUUCUUUUUUUUUGUGAAUAUGAUUCUUAUUGUACGAUAUUGCAUUAUAAAUGUUUAGUAACCCAAUAAAUAGACAAUCCAGAUACAACCAACUAGGCAACAACUAUUGUAAUCUGCCAUUGAAAUCAUAAAAUAUCUACCAAAGGGGAUGAGUAAAUAAAUACACAUGAAGUAGGGUCUUUCCCUACAUCAAACCUCAUUAUUUUUUGCAAAAUGGUACACACAAAGGACUCCACAAUAAUCUGGGGCUUAUCUCGGCUCAAGUUCAGUAAUAGAAACUUCGUUUGGUGACAUAGGUGACCUGCUGGUGGACUGCGAAACUCCUCGGUAUGGCUCCGAGUGUAUGUCUGAGUCUUUGGUACCCCACUUUUGGAUGCAGAAUGCUGGCCUAGAUGGAGCUUGGAGAGAGACGGUGCUGCUGCUCAGCAUGACAUUCACCACCGACAUCAUCGGUCUAUCUGCUGGGUCCUCUUGAACACAAAGAAGUCCAACGUGAAUGCACUUCAGGAUCUGGUCUCCAGGAGAAUGGUUAGUCAUGGAUGAAUCCAUGAUCUCUAGAAUUGUUCCCAGUGUCCAGUGCUCCCAUACCUGGAUUAAGUAGGUUUAUUGUUCCAACAUUAUUAUUUAUUAUUAUUAUUACAAGACGUAACUUUGGGUGAUAACCAAAGUUUCUAAUAGCAAGAGUACUCACCAAACUUAAGAGGUCAACAGAUUGCUCUGACUCAGAGCCACUGUUUCUUCUUCCUGUGACAAUUUCUAGUAUCAACACACCAAAGCUAAAAACAUCUGACUUGAUGGAGUAAUUCCCACGCAUAGCGUACUCUGGGGCCAUGUAUCCACUGCAAUAAAAACAUUAUAUUACAGAGAGGCACACUACCACAUAUCUUAUAAGGGCAAUGUCUUUAGAACUUACUAGGUUCCGACGACACGGUUCGUGACAUCUUGUGAUUGAUCACUUCCGAAUAGCCUUGCUAACCCAAAAUCUGAAAUCUUAGGAUUAAAUUCAUUGUCUAACAGAACAUUGCUUGCUUUAAGGUCCCGAUGAAUUAUUUUGAGCUGAGAAUCUUCAUGGAGAUAUUGUAAGCCUCGAGCAAUCCCAUUGAUAAUCCUAAAUCUUUUCCCCCAAUCUAGCUGACUGCUUCUUUCAGAAUCUGUCACACAGAAGGAAAAAAGUAGUCAGCACUGUACACAAUAAAUUUCAGUUGUUUCACUGUUGCAAAUGGGGAUGAGUUACUCUACCAAAAAGAAUGGUGUCGAUGCUUUUGUUGGGCAUGUAUUCAUACACAAGUAAUUUUUCAUGUUCUUCCAAGCAAACACCCACAAGUCUCACUAAAUUCUUGUGUUGAAGCUUAGCAACCAAGACAAGCUCAUUUUUCAGCUCCUCUAUUCCUUGUCGAGAACUUUGUGAGAGUCUUUUAACUGCUAUUUCCUCAUCGCCAGCAAGGAUUCCCUGUAAAAAUGAUGAUAUUUAAUCACCUGAAAUUUAAAAAGCAGAGACUAGACGGAUACAGUGGAAUGAUAUAAUUACCACCUUAUAAACCGCACCAAACCCUCCUUCACCAAGUUUAUUGCUUUCGUCAAAGUUAUCUGUUGCGACUCGUAGAGUUGCUAGAUCAAGAAUGAGUGAAUCGAUAGUUUGUAUGUCCUCUGGAUUGGUUGAAUCUAUCAUAAGAGAAAAUACAUUCAAAAUGGCGCAAGGCAUUACUGUAAUUCCAGUUUUCAUGUGAGAAUGAUGUCACUCCCGGACAAAAACUUAGGUACAUCUUUAUAGAACGUUAAAAAGAAUACCAUUUUGUCUGAAAAGACUUACAAGGUAGUGAUUGCUUUCGUGCCGGUUUCCUCUUCCUCCUCCACAGACAAAGACAAAAUAUUACAGCAGCCAAAAUUGCAGCGACUAUAGGCAGUGCGAUUGCUAAAAUCCUGCCAGUACUGUUUGUUGUUCCUGCUGUAAAUGAAAGGCAAGAAUUUUUAUAAUACAGAUUGAAGAACGUUUUACAAAAUUCCAAAGAAGAUGAUGCAUCUGCCUUGUUGACUUGUAUUGUAACCCAACUUUUACUUGAUGAAGCUCUCAACAUUUUUGAUGUUUAUAGUGUGCAAACCUUUAUAUCUUUCUGCUUUGAAUUAAUACAUGGACAGGAGUGAUUCUUAGGACAAAAGCCUAUGUGGAACGACAAGUAAAAAGGAAAAAUGUGCAAUUAUGUAACCGGAAAGAAAAAAGAAACCUGAUGAGAAUAAGUCAAUAAGAUACUUGUUUCAAGAAUGUAUUCCUACUUAGAUGAAAUCAUGGAAGAACGCUCUAAAUUCCAAAAUGCACCCUUAGAGUUCAUAGCUAUUCUGCCAGAAUGCACAACUGACCAGGUCGUCAGGACUCCUAUAAGAGACUUCCCUGUUCUCCAGUCAAUCAACUGAUAGGUACGGGACUGCAGAGAAGUCACUAAUAAACAAAAAGGAGAAAGUCAUGUGCUUCUUGAAAAUGAUAUCUGACUCUUCGUUGUUUGCUAGUUUUCCCACUAUUUUUUAUGUCGACUGUCGUACAAAUCAAGUGCUUCAGAGUUCCUUCUUGAUACAAAUGAAAGAUGCAAUAGAAAAAAGAAACACCAGAUGUUAAUAUGAAUUGAAAUCGAAUCAAAUUGGGCAAACUGUUAGAAUUAUGUGGUGUAAAUGGACUCAAUGCAGUCCACCUUGAGUUUCUUCAGAGAUCGGACCUCACUAUUUUCUCCCCGAAUUGCUCAACUACUUCAGGUUUAAAGAAUGACCAGUGCACGAGAAGAGCAAAUAAGCUGAAGUUAUUUCUCCAGGCUCACCUCCUCCGGCCACCGGUAGCGUUGGAUUCCCCGGCGCUGGCUCUGGAGCUGCCCCCAAGGAAGGCGCCGGGAGCUGUAGCAGCGAAGGACCGGUGAAGAAUGGAUACUGCUCGUACCUGUAGUUGCACUGAAUUCCAAGAAUCCUACCGCCCUGCUUCCCGCUCAUGUAUUGGAGUAUGUACGGGAUGAUAUUUGCGAGGCAGCUCCGGCAAUCGUUGGAUGCCAUGUCAGGCCUGCACUGCGCCAGCCCGUAAAUCUUUGGUUUUCCCUUGUCGACCGUCUCGAAUCCCUCCUCUCCUGUGGCGAACCGCUUGGAGGAGUUCCUGGCCGCGUAAUCCGCGGUGGCGUUCAUGAGCACGCCCACAGCAUCGUUAAACACCUUCACCGGCGCGGUCACGUUCUGUGUGUUCGUCAGGAUGAGGGGGUUGCCGUUGUCGCCGCCGGUAGAGGAGAGGAAAUUCUGGUUGGAAAAGCGGAGGAAGCAGGGGUCGUAAUAGACGGUGGCGUCCUUGUCGUAGGCGCAGAGCUGCUGCGCGUCCUGGAAGGCAGUGGCGACGCAGUCGCCGCAGGCGGAGGCGUUGGUGUCGCCGCGGCAGAGAGCGAGCGCGUAGACGAUGUCCGGCAGGGUCCCUACGCUUUCGGUCGCGAAGAGCGUCCGCGACGAGGAGGUGUUCUUGGGUAGGGUGGUGGAGAGGAGCCGGAUGUUGGCCUGGUAGGUGCUGUUCAAGGUGUAGUUGCUGCUCCCGCCGCAGGACUUCCAUGGCGUUUGGGCGGAGGCUAGCGGCGCUAGGAGGAAGGCGAUGAGUAGGGCCGCGGCGGGGGCGAGGAAGGAGGAGGGGAGGUGGCGGCGCUGGUAGGGCGAGGCCAUUGGAAUUGGGAGGGGCCGAGCCGUAGUCUGUAGACCGGCGGAGGUCUGGAGGAGAAGUGGAGAACCCCGAGAGACGAUGAAAUAAGGCGAAGAAGAUCGAGUCGGAGGACGAGGGGGUGCCGGGUGAUGCCGGGUGAUGGGGCCCUGUGAGUUUGACUUGACUAGAUUAGCAGUCUUGACAGUGGGGCCGUCUCUAAAUGCGCGCGGGGCUCACACACAUGUUCGUGUUGGGUCAACACAGGCCUGUCUGUCGGCCUUGAUGGCUUGAUAGGCUUGUGUCGACCGUCGCCGUGACCGUGAGGGUAGAUGCACCGACGCAUGCCAGAAGGCUUUAUUCCUGCGUGGAGUUUGCUACGCUUGGUAUUGCUCUAUCAAAAUUUUCUUUGCUUAAUUCUUUUCAACGCGGUCUGAAGACUUCCAAAAAUAAUGAAGUCCAGUAAUAUUGUCCAAUUAGUCAUGGAAAAAAAUCGACCCAAACCAAAUUCUUUAAGUUUGACGCCAUAGAAAAGAAACCAAUUCUUCUAUUUUGCGGGCCAUAUGGGGGACGCCGGUGCAAAAGAAAAUUUGGGGGUCUGGCACGUCCUAACCGGGCCCCGCUACUAAAUUCGAAACAAAUUUAAUUUUGGUAUAUUUCAUUAAAUUAGGUGACAUGUCAUAAAGUUUAGCGACAUAUUCAAACUUGCAAUAAUUUAGAUAAUUAAAAUUAAAAAAGACAAAAAAACUAGUCGUCUAGGCGGUUGAUCCAGGACGCGCCGGAGUCGCCGUUGUCGUCGUUGUCGAAGUUGAAGCCGUUGCCGUUGUCAUCGGAGUCGAGGACGAUAACGCCCUGCUCCUGCUUCACCGGCGCCAGGGCCGGCUUCUUCUUCGCCGCCUCCUCGGCCCGCCACGCCUGGACUUCGUCCUCGGUGGCCGUGUAGCCGAGGAGGCGGAGCCGGCAUUGUUCCUCGUCGCUGGCGUGCUCGGUGGCACAUUGACCCGGAAAUUCCUCCGGGUCAUCGUCGCCGCGGUACUGCAUGGCGGCGCUCUCGUACUCCGCCGGAGGCGUCCACUCCGGCUUCAGCCGGACGACGUGGAGUUGGCCGCGCGGCGGCAAUGCAGCUUGCCGUGCUCCGGAGGCGGCGAGCGGAAGGGUGCGCGCCGCCGAGGAAGAAAAGGAGGAGCCGGAGCCACCGCCAAGGUAGUGGUGGCGUCCGGCCGGUGGUGGAGGUGGGGGAGCGCCGCCGUCGAGCCUCGGCUCGUUGCCGACGGCGAUGUGCGCCAAGAUGGUCUAGAGGGACCGCCCCAGCUGCUGCCAGAAGGUGCGCCGGCGCGCGAUAUUGUUCCGCACUGUCGGAUGCGACAUAUCGCGGACGGCGCGCUGGUGCUCCUCCUCGAAGAAGCCAGCCCAGGCGCUGCCGGUGUGGCGGUCCCACUCCGGCAUCACCUGCUGCUGCGGCGUCAGCACACCGUAGUAGUGGACGACGAUGCGUUCCUAGCGACGAGGACCCACCGGCGAGGCUCAACUGCCAGUUGUGGGGGAGGCGGCAGUCUGGCGGCACGGGGUAGCCGACACACGCCAUCGCCUCGGCCUCAUCGAGGCAGAGUCAGCGACGGUCUUGCUAGUUACCGGCCAUGACAUCGAGGAGCAGAAUGGGGUGAGAGGAGGUCGAGGGGGCAGGUCAGCGAGGGAGGAGAAGGGCGAGCAGGAGAAUGGCGAGCUCUCCGGACGGCGUUGCCUUUUAUAGGCGCCGAAGCUAAACCGCGGGGAGUGUGAACGUAGCGAGAACGGCGUUGAGAAUACACGGGGGCGCACCGCGUGGAAGCCGACGAGGAUGGGCGGUGGUUUGACCCGGCACCGCCAUAACUCGCUUGGGAAGCUGAGGCGAAGCCGGUGAGGGCAAGUAAUGCCGAAGCCGGUGAGGGCGAUAAAUGGCGAUGACAAGGUGGGCCCGCGCCAUAAAACGCUUUGCCGGCGCCCCCGCUCGCCUCCUCGUGGGUUGGGUUCGGCCUGGGGGGCGCCGGAUAAAAUUGAGAAUAAAGGGCUGGACUGGGUGGGUUUUUAGGUGCCGGCGCUGCCAUUUGGCGUUUGGGGGGGCGGCUGGAGAUGCUCUAAGUAUGAUAAUGUUGGCCUCCCUCCCUCCUUUCUCUUUUAGCUUGCCUGUAAUUUUCUACUCCUGUUCUCCGUUUUGAACAUUCCAACUCUUUUAAUGGAAUCGCGUCGUAUUCGUCAAAAAAGGAAGUUGCAGGAAUCGGCCACGACCUGGAAAGCAAAUCUAAUCUGAAUCUUUUGUCUCUUCUCAAAAAACGAAUAUGUAAUAUCUCUCCCCGCCAUCAAGGCCAUGGCUCUUCUCCUCCUUCGUCUGCCACUCUGGCGGCAAGAGGGGUGGGGAAAUCUUAUUUGCCUUGCAACGCAAUAGACAGGUCUCUUAGAGUUAUGAUUUAGUUCCUCGGCAACGACAUUAUGGUGAAUAUAGCGUCUGCCGCAGGUAUAGGAAUAGGAUUUCCCUAACUCCUGAUUGAUCUACCUCAUCGGUGCGUAGAGAAGGACGGCGGAUAGUCCAGUCGCUGCUCUUCUAGAGUAGUGAAUUGUCUUUGUGUUUUGUGGAUGGCCUUCGUGCCUUGUGCUUCUCCUCCGAUUGGCGAUGUUUUGCUAACUUUGGCUUCAUCGCCGAGUUAGUGAGGUUAGAUCUUUUCGGAUCUGUCUCGCUUGAUCCGGGUGGUCAUGCAAUCUUCUUUGUCACCUUCUCCGAGGCGGCGGUCCGAUUCUCAUAUCAUCGUUAUGGCUACCAACAACUUCCUUGUUGCUACGUCAACAUUUUCCUGGCUCCGAUGUGGUUCAGAGGUCCAAAGGCAGCAUUGAAUGUCGCUCACGGCGUCGCCGGUGAUUGAAGGGGGGAAAACGUCGUCGGUUUUCUUGAAAAACGUGUGUUAAUUUUUUUUAUGUAAAGAUAGUCAUGUUAUCUGAAAGGGAAACCUUGCCCCUGUAUGGGUUUUGAUGAAUGAUGACAGCAUGGUUGAGGAACUAAUGAGUUACACUGAGUGUUUCAGGUUUUAGUUCCUCAGAAGAGUUGGUUUAACCAGCAUCGACGACCCCUUAAAAUUGAAGUACAGGUACCGGCGUGAAGUAUGAAGAACUCAGUGAAGAACGGUGAAGAACGUCAAGUAUAGCAUUCUUCAUAGGUCUUUCUGUAGCUUUUUCUCACUUGAGUAUAGGAACGCCGUACUAUUAAGGGGGGUUUGAAGUGUGGAGCUGGUUUAGGUGAAACCUUAUUCUUCAUGUUCAGCUUAGGCGAAAACCAUUAUGUGUGUGUUUUUCGUCGGAGUGAAGAAUGAAGCAUUUCAGGCUUCUCAGAAACUUCCGCGUGAAGUCUUCACUCUGAGUUCAAAUGUGUUUGAAAUUCUGUCGCUUUCGUGCUUGACUACCUAAUCUAACCGUUGUGAGACGAAGUGAUAAAGUGUGAGCUGGAGGCUCAAAGUUCACUUUAUCCAAUGGGUCACAACGGCUAGAUCAGCCGUGGCCAAGGCUAUAUAAGACGACCCACCCUGAAGGAAUUCGGUGGUGAUCCCGAGUGAGUUGUUUUGAAGAACACCUGAUAAAAUCCUUAGAGCUGAACUGAGCGUGAAGAAUGGGAUCCCCUCUCUAGCCGAGCACUUGAAGCUUGUUACUCUUGGUGAUUUGCAUCACCUAGACGGCUAGGAGUCAGUGUUGAAGAGCAAUCGAAGAUUGUGAUUUGCCAUCAACCAGUCUGUGAAGGUCCGAAGAUCACCUCAAGAUCUACCACGAGUAACUGGGCGAGACUUCGGUCUUAGCUCAGAAGGAUUGGGUGGACUUGUGUGUCCGCGAGUCUUGUGUGACUCAGCCGCCUCAACGGAGAUGUAGGAUUGUGCCAACAAUCUGAACUUCGGAAACAAAUCCCUGUGUCUUCAGUCUUGGUGAUUUCGUUCCUCAACUUUUACUCUCUAAAGUAUUUACUGAUUCAUUGUGUUGUCCUCAUUGCUGCUGCUAAAUCUAUUCAUCUUUCUUCUUUCCACUGCAACUCUAAAAUUGGUGUAAUUUAAAUCGUUGAAGUACUGUGACUGUUUUCAGUCUUCAGUCUUCAUUUUGAAGAAAGAAUUAAAACUGGUCACAUUCACUCCCCCUCUGUGACAUACUCGAUCUUUCAUUAUCGCAGAAGAAAAAACAAUGCUCUCUUGUUAUUUUGAGGCGCCCAAUUAUUCUAAGAGAAAUACUUUGUCGAUUGACCUGAACUCAUGACACAUUCCUUGAGAUAUUGUGCUUAGAUGUUAUUUUCUUCAGUAGGUUUGACCCUCGAGACAAUAUCUCUCACCUCAUUAAUUGGGCUUUUACAGUUUUGUUAUAGACUCUCGUUUUGUUCUCAAGCCCACUCACGUUGCCACAAUUUAAUCUACGUUAAAGGCAACUGAAAUUUGAAUAAGUAAUUUUUGUAAAUUUCAAAUGUUUUGCACAUAGACUGAGAACGUUUAAUUUUUGUGCAUGUUGGGUGCUACGAAAUUUUCGGGAAAGAAGUUUUGUGGAUUCUACUAAAAUAAAACUAUUAAAAUCUACUAAGGUCACCCGUCGUGAAACCAUUGCAUCUUGGGCCAUCCGAACUUUGCAUCCGAACUUCCGAAGGCUAAACAAUUACUCAUCCGAUUCUCAAAAAAAAACAUUUACUCAUCCGGUUGUUCUGGCCCAGUUCAACAGAAACACAGAAAUGAGGCGACGAGCGGCCUGAGCAGCAGCCCCCCUGGCAGCGUGGCCCCUCCCCCUCCCCCGCCGAUCAUGCAGCCUGCCCCGAAGUACGUCAUAAUUCUAGCGAUUUGUUUUAGUUUGCGCUCAGUAAUGUUUAGUAACGUUUCUGGAUUUGUGUUUGAUUUUGUAAUAUGGCAUGAUUCAUUAUCAGAUUUGGUAGAUUUUACGCUUAUUUAUGGAGUGUUCGAUGUAGCAUCUGAAAACUUUUAGACGGAGUAUAAUGUUCAGAAAAUGCACUCAAAAUCCAGAUACUUCAGAAAUUAGCUAGACAAAUCCUUGAAUUUCUGAAUAUACAAUUGCUAGCGGUUAGUCACGCAUUUGAAAAAAUAUCCUUGCAGACGAACGUUCUGCUUGAGUUCACUGCUUUAGAGCUGAGCAGAAUGCACAUUUCCCCCGAGCUGGAGUUACACGCAUAUCCGGUGGUACGGACAACAAAUCAUUAGUCAGUUAAAUAACAACUGAAGUGGAUAACUGCGAAUUUGUAGGCAAUUUUCCAACAAUUCAAAAACCUUAUUAUAGGCAAUUUCAUGACUUAACUAUGGGUUUAGCCGAUUCAUUGAAGCCGGAUAAAUUUUCCGGGAUGUACUUCAAGAGAUGGCAAUUAAAAGGCCUGCUCUGGUUGCAGACUCUGAAAGUAUCCUGGGUGACAGACGGCAAACCAGAGGAAGAUUUAUCUGAGGAAGUUCAGAAAAAUUUCCAGUAGGCGUUAAAGCCAUAUGAGGAGUUCUUGGCCUGCAUGGCUGCGAGGCGGUGGAGGCUCGCAAGGUCACAUCGCAAGAUGGCCGCACGCAGGGGCGAAGGUAGGAAAAAAAUAUAGGGAGGGCCAGAAUAGAAGGGAUAAUUUAUUAGGGGGGCCAAAGCAUAAAAAUAUGAAGCUUACAUGAUUAAAUUGCAAUGAUUAUACAGGGGCUUAACUAGAAAUUGCAAUUCUUGGGGGGGGGGGGGGGGGCAAGGCCCAGGUUGGCCUGGGAUGUCCCUCCACCACUGGCCGCACGUUGAUCACAGCAAUGCAAUGCCGAUGAUGAACAUGCUGAAAGAUCGGUAUGGUCGAAUAGAGGGGUGAAUAGGCGACUAACAAAUUUUACUUUUUCCUUUUCUUUUCUAGAAAGAUACAAACACUUAAUUUAGGGUUUACUAGAUUCUCUAAAGGUAAUGCAACUGUCGCACCAGUGGCCCACGGGGUUCCAUUGAUGCUGGACGCGUGGGUCGCAACGGCUGAGAUCCCGCAAGGUCGGCUUCCCGCGAAGGGCGAACCCGGGAAGCUUCCCCCCGCAAGGUCAGCUAACAGGCCUUACGAGAAGACACUCACUGGAAGGACCAUCACACCGGAGGUUGAUAGUUCUGACACCAUUGACAACGUCAAAGCCGACAUCCAGAGUAGGAAGAAUAUCCUCCUGCAACGGCAGCCCGGGAAGCGUCGUCCUGGCAAGGUCAAGACGUGCUGCCCCCGCAACGUCCCUGGCACAAGUGCUGGAGCGCCCCCCGGCAACGCGUGCCCGGGCCUACAGGUGGGGUCAGCGGAAUAGUGAAGACAGAGCAUUAAAUGCUCUGACAGAGGCUAUAGCGGCGAGUCUAGUCUUGCACGGCAAGGCUACGAUGGUUACCCUAUGGAUCAUUUUAUUCACCGUGAGCAAUGACCUGGGCAUUGCAUGAAGCCCAGCACGGAUCAACAGUGGAGUACUAAUUGUUGCAUUGAUACGCGUUUAGCUAACGUGUCGCGUUGUAAACAAAGGCACAUGUGGUGUCCCCUUGGCUAUAAAAGGAGGACCAAUGCCACCGGUAAAAGGGUUCAUCAUCCGACCAAGUAAACAGAUCCCUAGAGAGACAAGUAGCUAAGCCCGGGAACUCCCCGACAACCUGUAAUCCUCGUACAAAUUGAAUGCAAAGCCAAAAUCAGGACGUAGGGUGUUACACCUCAGGGUGGCCUGAACCUUGGUAAAAUCUACUUUCCAACACAUCGUGUCUUUGGCCACGCCGGUGAUCGCCGGAGCGAUCCCUUUCGCCCUCCACCAAACCAAAAAGGGGGUGUCCAGCAUCCCCGAUGCCAGAGUUUCGGGCUCCGACAACAAUCCUAGUAUGAAGUGCAAUAGCCAAAGCAACAAGAUAACAAGUAAGCUUACAAGAAUGUAAAAGGUAAGAAUGGAUACCACAAGGAAGACGAAGAUUUGACCGGAGUUCCACCUUUUGGGGUAGGUGUAUGUUUCCGUUUGGAGGAGUGCUCUUCCACAAAGGUACAGGCGCCACAAAGGCUCAUUCUAUUCUCCUCUCACAACACCACAAAGGCGAGGUGGGCUCCACUAAUGGCUUCCUUGAGGGCAAAGUCCGGACCCUUACAAACUUGACCGGGGCUUGCUCCACAACUUAAUUGGAGGCUCCAAAUCCGAUCCCCGAGCUCCUCAACACCAUGGGAGAGCUCAAGGCAACUGCUUCCUUCUGGGGUUCCCAACGACCCAAGAGAAAUAAAAUUCACAAAGCAAACAAGGGGAAUCAAAUUUUUGACUUGGUGAAACCCUAGAUCUCGAUCUUCUGCUCCAAAUCUCAAAGUAUUGGCUUGGGGGAUCAAAUAUGGAGAGAGAUCGAGGGAAAUGAAGUUCUUGUGUUCUUGAGGAGAGAGAUGGGUUGUUCUUGGCUAAAGCUUGGGCAAAAGACCCGUUGGGGACGAAGGGGUAUUUAUAUGUGGUUCCCAAAAUCGAGCCGUUAUGCACUGCGCAGACACAGGCCGGAACUUCCGGCAUAUUCCUCCGAUCCUAACAGAGAGCGACUGGAAGUCGUGGCGGAAGUUCCGGCCGGACUGUAGUCAGAACACAACAUGGCGAAUUUUGUUCCUUCUCUCUCACCUUUUGCGGUAGGCUUUUUAGUGGGUGCAAUUUGUGUAGUUGUGUACGUGAAAUUGAUUCACUCAUUACCUUCCCUUGUGGAUUCCCUCUUAAUAGUACGGAUGUCCUACGACUCAAAUCAAAUCAAAAGCCGUUAACACCGCUACGCUUCUUAGCAUCUUGAGGGUCCACUUCGUUGUCUUGUGCCAACUUCUUUAUAAAAUCUGAAAUACUUGACACAUGAUUAGACACACAGCAUGUUGUCAUCGUCACCAAAACCAGUUAGGAGAGAAAUGCCCUUUCACAUGCUAGCUUUGCUGAUGGCUCUGAUAUUGAAUAAGAUCGGUUGGCUAAUCCUGGCGCUGCAAACAAUGUCAAAAUAAGUUCACUAGUAGCAACACGAGAAUUCGCCAAUAUUUCUUUGGUGCUGGUCCUAGUAAGAAGGCACAAAUCUCAUUUUGUCUUAACAAGUAAUCGUCAGAAGUAUAUGAAAAGUGUUGAGUUUGUGUCGAAUAAUAAUUGUACUAGGUAGGUUAUGUGGACUUGGUGUUGUAAUUGUGGUAUAGGGUGGAGUCCUUGUCAGACUCCAGGUACCCGGAUCCUAUAUAAUCAGGGGACAACCACACGAUAUAACCAUGACAACAUAAUAGCAAUAGGCUCGCAGGGGGAGCCGGCGCCCAGGGUGGCCAGUGUUGCGGUAUUAUGGGGGGAGGAGCGCUCGUAGUCAUGCCCCGGGGAUGUAGGCUUUGGCCGAAUCUCGUUAACAAAUAUCGUGCCUCGGUGUCAUCCUUGAUCGUGCAUCUGCCGGAUUUUGUAACAAGUGGUAUCAGAGCAAGGUGGAGGGAUGCGGAAGAUCUUGACGGAGGUGCGAGGAUCAUGCUUGACGAGCGCCGUGGAACGUCCAAUGCGGUACAAGGUGGAGCAUGGCGGCGAUCGGAAUUCCGAUCGGUGGAGUCGGACACUUCAGGCAGGCGGCCUGAACCGUUCGAUGGGCUGCAGUUGGCAAGUAUCGACCAGGCAUGGUGAUCGGGCCGACACGGUGGCCGGAAAGACGUCGCAGCCCGGACGACGGCUUCGGCUCGCGAUCAGACCGGCGACCAGAUGCAGGGCGACCGGAUAAAUCGGAGCGGGAUGCAUCACGGUGUAGCGGUGGAUCGGUGUAGCAGAAGGCGACAUUGUGACACGAUUAACGAGUUGUGUUAACAGUCUAGGUGGCAAGGUGCGACACGGGUUUGUGCAUAGAAUUUGCGAGGCCGUGGUGGAUGGAUUAUGAACUGGUGUCGGACGCAGUGCAGCAGACGAGAAGAAAAAACAUGCAAGGCAAUGCUAUCACGUAGGAGCCAGGUUUCCAUGUUGAUUUCUGAAAAGGAGUAGUGCUGUUGUUUUCCACGCAAAGAAAGAAGUGCUAGUAGCCUAGUGCUAGCCGGAUUCAACGAAAAAGAAAAGCAAAGGAAGCAAGUGCUCUGGUCGGAUUCAACUAGAAGAAGGAAAGGGCCUUGCAGCACAUGGGAUGGGACAGCUAGUCAGAGAGCUGUCGGUUUCAUCAAAAAAAAAGAAAAAAAAAGGUGGUGCGUUGCAUGAGCGUUGGACUCGGUUUCUAGCUCGCUUUGGCAGUGGAAACGAACGCGUGAUGCGCUGGCUUCCAGCGGCCGACGGCACGAGCGGUGCAGCAGUCCGAUUAGGACACAAAAACGAAGGGCAGGAGGACUCGUAGUCAGGCUAAUCCAGGACCUAUAAAAGCAGCGUCCGGUGGCAAAUCACAGGCACAAACAAAAAUCGAGAACACAAGUUCAGAACAGCGGCGUGAGGCAGCUCUGAGAAGGUGUUGUCGGGGCUGAGGAUUUUCAGUCGAUAGGUCAGAUCGUCGUGCUCGGGCGAUCGGAUCGGCGCAGCAGACGGCUGCGGAAGGCAUCACUAUGAAAAGUCCAGGCACGAGCUUGGAGGAGGCGGUGAGUUCGGGCGACGAGUACUGCGCAAGCGAUCUGCCAGACGACGACAGCAGGGCCGGAAACGAGGGCGAGGUCAUCGCGGAGGUUGAUUCGGAAGAAGAAGCAGUCGAGGAAGCAGCAGAGGCGGGUGACUCGGAGCAAUCAGAUCGGUCUCCACCACCGGUGAGAUAGCUGUGGUUGUCUGAGAUGGCGACCAAUCUCAGGUUGGAGGUGACGAAGUUUGAUGGCAGUGGCAACUUCGGAUUGUGGCAAGUCAGAGUCAAAGAUUUCUUGACGCAACAAGGUACUUUGAAGGGUUUGAAGGAGGAGAAGCCAGCCAAGCUUGAUGAUGAUCAAUGGGAAGAGAUGCAAGCACGGGCAGCCGCUGCUAUACGGUUGUGCUUGUCAGAUGAUGUCAUGAAUCACAUCAUGGAGGAAACUUUGCCUAAGGAAAUUUGGGAUAAAUUAGCCAGUCGUUAUAUGUCCAAGACUCUUACCAACAAAUUGUUUGUGAAGCAGAAGUUUUACAAACUAAAGAUGGCGGAGGGGUCAGAUCUUGCGGAGCACGUGAAUGUCUUCAAUCAAAUUGUGGCUGAUCUAACACGUCUAGAUGUCAAGGUUAAUGAUGAAGACAAGGCAAUAGUUCUUUUAUGUUCGUUGCCAGAGUCCUAUGAGCAUUUAUCUACCACUUUGACAUAUGGCAAAGAAAUCAUCAAGGUUGAGGAUAUUACUGCAGCGUUACUUGCACAUGAUUUGAAAAAGAAAAAUAGGAAAGCCGAUGCAGUUGGAAAUUCUCAUGGUGAAGGUUUGGUUGUCAGUUUUGCCUUGUCUCACCAAGAACAUGGAGAUAAACAUGGUGGACCUGGAGAACAAUCUCAACGACGAGAUGGUUCGGGCCGACAUAGCUGAGGAGCAUGUGGGCCAACUUCUGGGGGACAAGGCAGUACUGCAAGACACCGUUCUCAACAUGGGCACCGUCAUCGAGCACCUGCACUACGAGAAGAAUCUGAUCCAGUUCUCCUUCGACCAGCUCAAGGCAUUCCUGGUCAACGCCGCCGCAGCUGCACCAGCCCCUCCACCGGCACCAACUCAGAUUCCGAUGGAGCCCUAGGGGGAGGAGCCAAUAGAGGAGGAACCUGAGGAGGUGGACACCCCUGCCACGAACACCCGCUCCAGGAAGAGGGCGGAUGGAGCCACCACCUUUGCCGCACUCCCUUAGUCCGAGAUCAGAGACCACCAGACUUUAUAUUUUAUCAUAUCUAUCGUUCGCGUGUUAGUCAUUGACCAUACAGACUUUGUUGUAUGGCAAUGGGCAGUGUGCCAUCAAGAACAAGUUUGAUAUUUGCUGGAUUUUCAAAAAAAUUAAUGAAUGUUUGGUUGUGUGAUUGUGAUAUGCUUGUAUUUAUGUCUGCUUGUGGGGUUUAGAUAUCCUUAGUCUUUGUCUAUAUUUCUCAUCUAUGCUAUCCUAAAUAGAUGCCGCCAAGACGCCAGCCCAACAACAACGCUGACAACAACGAAAUGCGGACGGAAACGCAGCCAUGAUGCAACAGUUGUUGGCAACCCAAACACAGUUCUUUCAGAUGAUCACGCAACAGAUGGCCAACAACAACCAGCAUAACAACCAGAGACUGGACUAGUUUUCUGUUUAGUAGCUUCCAGUACAACCACAUGGUAAUAUGGGCUCUGCCAAGAUUGAGUAAGUCGUAUGAACCUAGAUCCGAGGUGACAUCGGUAUGUAGUCGUAUAGGAGGGGGCGCGUCCCUCAGGUGGUCUGGGGGAUUAUGUUCUGAAAGUCUUGUAAUCGAUGCCGUUGAUACUCUACCUUGAGGACAGUAAGGGAUUAACACGUCGGUUUCUUGUGGAUAAAGUAUACCACCUCUCGAGAGUGUCAAACUAAGUACUUAGCCGUGUCCCUGGUUACGGACAAUUAUGAGCAACUAGAUUUGGGAGCUGUAAGGAAUGUCUCACUUCUUCUAAUCUCUUAAGAAAAUGAAUGGUUUAAACUUGGGAUAGGAGCAUUGGUGUGUCUACCCAAUGUCUAAUAGUUUUAAUAGGAACAUCGAUGUGUCUACCCGGUGUCCAAUAGUUAACAUUAUUGUAACAUCCUUUUGUAGUAUGGUAAAAUUAUAUUCUGCUUCCACGCAAAAAGUUUGAACUCCAGCUUUCCAUAUACUGCAUGUACAUUGUUAGGUCUGUUAUAACUCUUUGGUGAUUUGCCAAUACAUUCCAUGUAUUGACCACGUAGUGGCUGCAACUAAAUGAUGCAGGUGGAUCAGACGACGAAUAAGAUUACGUUUUGUUUGGGGUUGCGAGCCUACAUUCCAACAUGAUUCCUCUGUGGUGUUGAUGUGGCUCCUGAAUGUUUAUCAUUUUCCGCUGCCAAACUCUAUUUUAUUUUCGAGCUAAUCCGAGUGGUUAUGCAACUUUUUAAGUACUAUGAGUUCUGGAUCAAGACGUUGUAAAAAUUCAUUUGACCUUUGCAUCUUGAUACUUCAUCUUGAAACUGUGUGUGCUAGUGAGUCGAUUCAGGGACUAGCACUGUAAGCACAGAGAUCGAACCCUACCCGGGGUUGGCCGCUUCAAGUAUUUUGAUGUGUGUCAAAUUUGUUAUAUAGCUUUAAUGCUUGGCUCCUUUAUUUUGCAUAGUAUACCCAAAGUGUCUUUGUUAUUUCAAAAUGAUAGACAAAUAUAUAUAUAUAUAUAUAUAUAUAUAUAUAUAUAUAUAUAUAUAUAUAUAUAUAGACACACAGACCAUUAAUAAAUUUCAUAGCCUCGAAUAGUCAUGGGCCGAUUUUUGUCCUUUCUAGUGCCUUUUCCAGGGUUGAGAAAAUCGGUGAAGCCAUUGCAAAAUAUAUGUUUAUUUAUGGUGCCUUUGCCCAGAAAGGACAAAGAUCGAGCCACGACUACUCGAGAAAAUGACAUUUAUUAAUGGUAUAUUGUUUUUAUAAUUUUCCAUCCGUUAGAAACAAUGGAGACACACCAUGGGUAUACUAUAUAAAAGAAAGGAGCCAAGCAUUAAAGCUACAUGACAAAUUUGACAAACAUCAUAAUAUCAAGUUAGUAGAACUAUAUAAUGAUGGAGGCUUACCAUGUUUUUCUAAUUGGUGCUAACUUAUUCUCCACCGUUCUUUUGGAUGGGUUAAAAGGUAGUUUCGGCCUUAUGAAGGAGGGUUGUAUCCCUUCGGUGCUUUUGAAAAUACCGUUGACUUCUCAACACAGUGGAGGGACUUCCAUUAGUUGUAAGGAACAUAAUAUUUUUUUUCUCAUCUACAUUUUCCCUUUCCACAUGAGCAAAACAUCCACUAAUGCACCAACAUUGUUCUUUGUAGAUUGUGAGUUUGAAACUGACUUUUUGAGCUUGUUAAUCAUGUUGAGAAAUCAAAUUAAGAGAAGAUCUGCAUAAGUGCUGAUAGAUAUGUCGUUGUUUGCUGAUUUUAAAUGUGGGAUACCUUUUCAUAUAUUUUAGAUGAUCAUUUGUUAAGACAGUGCAUCGCGAGAUUUGUGCCUUUUUACAUGGACCAUCACCAAAGAAGUGUUGUCCAAUUUUUGUGUAUCUACUAGUGAACUUCUUUUGAUAGUGUGUUGCAGCGCUAAGUUUCCGAAGAUUUUUUCCCAUUAGGUGUAGGGAUUGGAAUUAUUUCAUCAAAGGGUUUAGCAGAUUUUGCAGUACCAAGCUAGGCCGGUUUGAUCUUCUUCAGCAAAGCCGUCAUCAGCGCUAGGGUGUUCAUCACCGACAUUGGUGAGAUCAACGUCCGCGUCAGCCUCCUCGACUUCAUUCCGAUCUACUAGCCUAGCCCUACGGCUCACUGAACCGAACACCAUAGCAAUCUCUAAAUUUUACCAAUAAUCAAGACUUAACAAGUUGAUAGAUAUUUUACGCAGAAAAAUUGUAACCAACUAGCAAUAUUUUGUUUAUAAUAAGGACAUGGUGUACGUCAGUACGUGUACGGCGUACCUGAUAACCUGAAUUUGAACUGAAAGUUGAUGAUUGAAGUACGAACUCUCUCUUUUUGACCAAAUGAUUGAAGUACGAACUCUGAAGUCUGAAGUUUGAAGUCCUGGAUCAAUCAAUCUUGCGCCGUGGUCUCGUUCGUACAGUCGUGCUCGCGUUUCUCGUGGGAGAGAAAAAAAUGGGCUUUAUAGACGGCGCUGCGGCCCGUACGGCGUUGUCAAUGGCAUCGAUUCAUUUAUUUGGAAGGCAAUCGAUUCAUAUCUCUAGUUGCCUAAUUACAUGGCUGAAUUCUAGCUACAAUUACGGAACAAUCAUUUAUGUACGUUAGCCAUAUAUAGAAUUUUCUGCAAAAAGAGAGAGGCUAUACAUGGAAUUACUUGUUUUUGUUAGGACAGGAGUUAUUUGUUUUUCAGUAUUGUGAUUACUCGUGCCAUCGGUUCAAUUUUCAUAACUACGUUGCGCGUAAGUAUGUGUCACGUAUUUGCCAUUACUUGUCCAGUUCAGCAGCACGUGUACAAAUAUGUUGGAAUUUAUUUGUAAUGACCGAAGCGGAAACGAUUCAGGCUGCAGCGUCGUUCGCGUAAAAUACAUCAAGUCAAAUCAUCAUUCAGUUAAUCAUGUGUGCAUUGACUGUAGCGCCUGACAUAAUUUUUCUUCUUCUUGGGAUUAGGUUGAUGCCCAAAAGCAUGAGUGCAUGACCAAGUUGAUCAGACGUUGAUCUCCUGAUCUUCAGAUGGAACAGAGCUGUAACGCCUGCAGCAUGUAAGUGUUACGAAAAUUAAAUUUAUGCAGUUCCAACUUCCAAGUCAGAAAGGAGGAAAAACUACUCUUCUGUUUCAUAAUUCUUGUCUCAAAUUUGUCAAAAAUAGAUGUAUCUAUUCAUAAAAAGUGAAUGGAUACAUGUAAUAUUUCGACAAAAAUUAUGAAACGAAGUGAGUACAUAAGAAAUGCGCGCGAGGAGAAAGAAGUGUACUGAAAACUCAUUCUUAUUCAGAUCAUCAGGUGUAUCUAUUCGUUUGAAUUCGAUUCCGUAGAAUAUAACGUCAUAAAGCUGUAUCUUUUUAACAAAAGAAGGAGAAAUUAAACAUUUGGAUACUUAUUCCAAUUGGAGUUUAUUCAUAAAGUAACAGUUUCGCAAGCUAACUCGUAUUGGUAUCCUACGUUCAAAAAAAAAAACUCGUAUUGGUAUCCCAUCUUAGAGUUAAGACGGAUACUUCUAGACUACAAACUUACAUCAUAGAUCUUCUUCUCUUAUCACGCCAUUCCUGAAGAAGCAAGAAGAAAAGCCAUGCAAAUCCAAUUGCUUGAAGUAUCAAUCCCGGACCCAAGAGCUCAAACCAACUGCUCUGGCCUGUGAAAUGAAAUGAAGAGAACUUCAAUUUGAGCAUAACUGAUCAUUAUGUAGCUUCCUCAGGACAGGUUUUGAGGGGAAUCAUUAGAAUGUGAGGUUAUGGUUUUUUUAGGAAAAUGUGAGGUUUUGCUAUUCCUGAGGCUUAGUUCUAAGUCGAUGCUAAUAACCAUCUAAUUUGAUUAAUGAGAUUUAUAGAAGUACAAAAACAUAAGAAGAUUUUCAUAAUUGUCGACGGAGAAAUAACUAUUUCUUAAUCUACUGAUAAAUAGUGCUGCCUAAAAUGUCAGCACAUAAUCAGGGACGGACCAACGCCCAAGACAGCCUGGGCUAUAGGCUUGCGCUUGGAACCAAAUUUCUUUGUAUACGUAUUGAAAAAAAAAUCAAAAAUCUCUACGAAUUUAACACAUGAUACACUGUUUAGCCUAGGCUUGGGUGCUCAGUCUUGGCCUCAAGGCAAACCAUGGUCCGUCACUGCACAUAACAAUAAAUUCGCAACAUGGUGAAAGAAAGCAAGCAGAAUCGUAGCAUAAUAUAUACACGAAUACCAAUAAUAUUGUAAAUUUGUACUUUCUCUGUUUCAAAAUAAGCGACGUAUUAUGUGAAACCAUGGUGAAAUUUGCUAACGUUUGGAUGCACUUGACUAAGUUUCAUGAACCAGCUGCAGAACAGAGCCGAACCAGUCUAUCUGCUUAAUUAGCUUCCCCAAGUAGGUGAUGAUCAGAUAAUUCAGUUCAAUCAUCGCUGGCCCAAGCUACUAAAUGCGUAAGACCAAUGCGCACCCUAAAUCAGCAGAUGCAAGGGAAGGAUGGAAAAUCUCUCACCGAAGACGACAGCGCUAGGGAAACCGGCGAGGCUGAGGCGGCAGGAGUGACCGAAGACGACCGCCUUCUUGCCGUAAGGGCACGCCCUCUCCGCUUCCCGGAAGGCGCCGGCGAUACAGGCGGCGCAGGAGGAAGCGGAGGGGGAGCUGACGGUCCCGUUGCUGUUAAUAAUCAUGUAGCAGUGCGAGGCGGCACGCGGCCGGUUGGGCCAGGACCCGACGCCACGGAACGCAAAGAGGAUAUUGGAGGAGGAGAUCUCGGCCGGGACGAUGGCGGCCAGGCGGCGGAGGUUGGCUUCGUAGGUGCUGUUGGCCUUGUAUGUGCCGCCGCCAUCGAUGCAGUCGACGGUGUACGCGCCGGUGGCGAGAGGCGAGACGGCGACGGCGAGGAGGAAGAGCCAGGAUUGCUGCAUAGCGGCGGUUGGUGACUGGCCGGCGGUGAUGGAUAGGGGAGAAGACUUUUAUGUGCAUCCUACGGAAAGUGAAACAUGUGGGGAGGAUCAGAGGAUUCGGGCAGAUCAGCAGUAUAGCGUGGACCGUGGACGACGACUUUGACCCUGUGCCGGGUCGCCCUCGACGGCCGGGCUCGCCCAAUUGUUGCAAACAGAGCAUAAACAGUAACUACACUAGCACUAGCAGAGCAGUUCCCCGCAGCUCAAUGCACAAUGUCAGCAGUUCUUCGUUCUACAUGACCUCAUUUCAGAUUUUUCAGGCCAACAAGGCUUAUCUGGCUACAAGCUCCGUGAGCGAGACCUCGUUGAGUGACAUCACCGCCGCCGGCCUGCCUGCACCACCAUGCGAGGCUCCCGCUCCCUGACGUGGUUCCGGGUGAGCGCUACUCCCCCGGAUACAGAACGCCGGCUUGGACGGAGCAUGAAGCGCGACGGUGUCGCUGUUAAGGAUCGCAUUCACGGCCGACAUGGUCGGCCUAUCUGCGGGGCUCUCCUGCACGCACAGCAGCCCGAUGUGGACGCACGCCACCAUCUCAUCUUCCGGAAUGCUGCUGCUGCUGGUGGUAAUAAGGGACGGGUCAGCUAUCUCAGAGAUCGUUCCCCUGGUCCAGUUCUCCCAUAUCUGCACCAUGUUUAUGGUUUCUUCACGAAUUUAUAAUUGCAAGGGGUAACAGACUUACAGAAGUAGUCAAGGUAUAAAACUCAUAGAAAAUGUAGUACGUAUAUAGCUACUACUUACAAGAGUUAAGAGGUCAACAGACUGCUCGGAGUUGUAGGAUCCACAGUUUCUUCUUCCUGUUAUGAUCUCUAAAAUCAGAAUGCCGAAGCUAAACACGUCUGAUUUGGUCGAGUAGUGUCCGCGGACGACGUAUUCUGGUGCCAUGUAUCCACUGCCACAAGAGCAUAUGAUCAACUAGGUGAUUUCCCGCACGUUACCGCGGAAAAUUCUAUAUGCACGUCUGGAUAUGAUGUUAGGAACAAAUAAUAAUAAUAUGAUUCAAUGCGAAAGAAAUAUGAAUAUUGCAGGACACCAAAACAAUUAAACAAUAGAAGUAAUUUUGAUGUACAUGAACAUUAACAACUUCAGAAAAACCGAAAAGUGAAACUUCGUCAACCUAAUAUUUGCACAUCUUAGAAACGUACUUGAUGAACGACUUAAUGUGAAAGUGAAAAAUCCUAAGUUUCAAAAUAUUAAAUCGUCGAAUGUACCACCAAAAUGGAUUCCUAGUGAUCUACAACAAAUGAGAUGGAUGGUGAUGUGUACAAUUUGCAUGUCCAUGAUGUGCAUGAUGUGGAUGGUGAUGUGGACACCUUGCAUGUGAAGCUAGCAAAUAUUAAUUGCAAUUAGUGGGCAUCAACUUUAUAAAUUAUAUAGAUAUAGAUUAGUGGUCCGAAAGAAAAUGGCACCAUUACUUAUUUCUACAGUCCAUGGUGGAGUAUAUUACUGUAUUUAUCAGGGCAAGGUUGACUUCACUUACAACGUCCCAACAACUCUGUUUGUGACAUCCUUUGAUUGAUCGCCUUGGCACAGCCUUGCCAGACCAAAGUCUGAAAUCUUCGGAUUCAAAUCUGAAUCCAAAAGAACAUUGCUCGCUUUGAGGUCUCGGUGGAUUAUUUUCAGCUGAGAAUCUUCAUGGACGUACUGUAAACCUCGCGCAAUCCCAUUAAUUAUCUUGAGCCUCUUCCCCCAAUCAAGAUCCUUGCUCUUCUCAGGAUCUGUUAUUGACACAAGGGGUUAGUUAGGCUGGGAGUGCAUUUUCACCAUGGCAUAUAGUUUAAAGAACACAAAGGACUGAGGUGGAAGUUUACCAAAGAGGAUCGUGUCAAGGCUUCUAUUGGGCAUGUAUUCGUAGAUAACAAGCUUCUCGUGCUCUUCCAAGCAAACUCCUAUAAGCCUCACAAGAUUCUUGUGCUGAAGCUUAGCAACCAAAAUGAGCUCUGUUUUCAGUUCUCCUAUUCCUUGCGCUGAACCCUGUGAGAGUCUCUUCACAGCUAUCUCUUGGCCAUCAGGAAGGGCUCCCUGUCCAAGUUCAUAUAAUAAUUAAUUGAUGAACGAAAUUUAAUGUUAAAAGAACCUCUAAGGUCCUAUUUGGAUUGGACGUUUUUCCGCUAAGAAUUUUGAAGUGUAUGAGAUCCCCUUGCACUCUGAGUUUCUCCUUUCGUCUGUACAGUAAUUCUCCUUUUUCCUCCUUCGCGCGACAGUGCUGGUGUAAAUCCCAACUCUUAAUUAAUUGAAUCUGCACUGCCAUUUUGUAAAAAAAAAAAGGCCUGGUGAUUGUAUGAAUAUACCUUGUAAACUGCACCGAAUCCACCUUCCCCAAGCUUAUUUCUUUCUGCAAAAUUUUCUGUUGCAAUUUCCAAUGUCGACAGACCAAGAAAGGAUAAAUUGAUGCUUGGAGCGCUCUCCCAAUUGCGGGAAUCUGUCAAAAUAAAACAGCCACUGUAUAAGUUGGAAGUUUCUGAAACAAAGCAAAAACCUUAUGUGCAUCUCUGAAAGUUCCGACUCAAAACUUGUCGGUGGUUUAAACUCACACAUGAACUUUCUGAGCCAAGGAUCCUUAUUUUCCUUUCUUUUUAGGACCAUCAACCAUAAUUCUUAUAUCCUUUUUAUGGGACCAAUCUGAUGAUAAACACUUACAAAUCCCUUGGCGUAAUUGUCAAGAAUUAGCCAAAACCCACUAUAUAGGGAUGAACGAUGCACUUUCAAUGUGAUCAUAAUCAUGUGUUGCAUGCUCUUUAGGGUUAAUUCACACGUGCGCGUGGAUAAGAGACACACACUCGUGUUUGUGGCGGUGUCAUUGUAGUAUGGUGUAUGAUUCUACCUUGUAUGCUCUAAAAACAUUGUCCAGAGAAGUAUUAUUCUUCCGCUUGCAUAGACACUAAGAAAGUCACCGGUGGUUGUAGUUUUCAAAUAAUAUUUUUUGUAGUUAUUAAACUAAAAGAACUCAAAAGAUCAUUCAUGCUAGAGUAAAGUUACUAGUUUCGUUAAUGUAAUGAGUUGGGAUUUAUAGUGUGGACGACUUACAUGGUAGUGACGACAAUCGUUGGUGUCUUCUACUACUCCAUACACCAAAGCAAACUAAAGUGAAAGCCAAUGCUGAAGAAACUACAACCAGUGCAGCGAUUAGGAUGAUAGUUGAUUUAUUUCUCCUUCCUCCUUCAAAAUGACACUAGAGUUAGAAGCACUUAUAUGUACAAGUAAUAUGAGCUUAACUAGUUUUCUUUCAAGUAAGAAAACUUUUAUUUACAUCAUUGGGUUGUUGAGGUAAACGCUGAUUGGCUACUUUAUCAAUCAACAAAGAUGUUUACAUCUGUAACUAGGAUAUUACAAAUGAAGUCCAAAGGAUCUUCCUGCCAAACAGUAAGAUGAUCGACAAUUGCGUUAACCACUAGUGCAUGUGCUACACUGUUGCUUAAUUUGUCUCCAACAAUAUUCGAAGACCACAUGGUUGAAUCCGCGCGACAAAAACGAACAUUAAUUCUUCAUAGGUAGCUGCUUCUUGUUUGGCUAUUCGGUUGUGCCAUGAUGAUGCGACUUCAUCCAAACAAGGUUUUGCUCAGUUGUGCAAGAUUUUGACCCCCUUAUUUCACGGUACUAGAUUAUAAUAGCUAGUACAAAAUAUCAUAAGAGUAUCAUACAUGAACAAUAAGUCUAGGCACGUAAACAAUGUGAGCCACUCCAAAACAUUUGAAGGACAACAAAACAACAACCCAACCCCAUUCAAACUCACAUGACCAUUCAUUUGGGGUUUAAGAGUAAAUGGACGUGAGCAGUUAUUGGCCGAGUAAGAAAACAAUGAAUUAUAUUAGGAAUAAAUAAAAAAACAUUUAUAGGAGGAGAUGUAUUAUGAAAUGAAGGGAGCAAUAGAUUAAUGUGUAAACAUAUGUUGUACGUUUGAUUGAUGAGAGGCGGGAUUUCCUCCUUUUCAUGGAAGAAAAAAAGAAUCAAUCGCCAUCAUCCGAGCCCCCUUUAAAAGGGUUUACUUUUCUCUAGUUUGGUUGAAACCUGCAGCUCACCUCCAUCCGUCGUUGGUGUCUCACCCGAGGCCGGCGCUGGAAGAUGCAAAAGCGGAGCACCGGAGAAGGGAGGAUACAGUUCGAACCGGUAGUUGCAGCGUAACCCCAGGAUCCUCCCGCCCUGCCGCCUGCUGAAAUGCUUCGGCAUCACCUUCACGAUUCCCUCGAGGCAUCUCCGGCAGUCGGCCGGCGCCAUGUCCGGCGUGCACUGCGCCAGCGCGUAGAUCCUCGGGACGUCGUUCUCAUCAUCAAAGUCCUCCACUCCCGUGCCGUAAUACCGCGAGGAGGAAGAGUCGUUCAGCGCCGCGUAGUCGGCGACAGCGGCGAGGAGCACGCCCACGGCGGCAUCGAACGUCGCAGCCAGGGCGGUCACGUUCUCCCCGUUGGGCAUGAUGUGCCGCUUGGUGUUGUCGAUGGAGGUUAGGAAGUUCUGGUUGGAGAAGCGGAGGUAGCAAGGGUCGUAGUAGACGGCCACGUCCAUGUUGUAGGCGCACACCUGCUGCGCGUCCCGGAAGGCGUUGGACACGCAGACGUUGCAGGCGGAGGCGUUGUUGGUGUCGCCGCGGCAGAGCGUGAGCGCGUACACGGUGUCCGGGAUGGCGCCGACGGCUGCCGUGGCGAAGAGCGUGGCAGAUGAGGAGGCCUCCGUGGGGAGGGUGGUGGAGAGCUGCUUUAGGUUUGAUUGGAAGGGGCUGUUGGCUGUGUAGUUCUGGCUGCUAUCGCAUUCUUGCCACAGCACGUCGCUGGCGGCGAGCCGCGCUAGGAAGGGGACGACGACGACGAUGAUGGAGGCGUAGCACGAGAGUUUGUGAGAGAUCAUGGUGAUAACCAUGGUUGCCCCUGGUGGUGAUGUGCGUUAACUUGGGGACAAAAGAAGAUGUGGUGGCCAGCUGGGUGUAGCUAGCUAGUAGAGAAAACGAGUGGUUCUGGCUUUUUAGGUUGGCUUCGCGUUAGAUCAAGUCACAGUUUGAUUUCCACAAAGGAAAUCCCUGUUUACGUCACGUCCCAAAACAACAAAAAAUUAAUCAAGAGAUGUGCGUGCUCCUGAGAAAGUAUGCAUGGGGGACAUUUUGAAAGGAGAUGAAAUCUUGUCAUAGGUGCCAGCUUAGCUAUAUAUAUAUAUCCACAUCGGCGAAUCGGAGUUAAAGCGGGGCUUGGAUUCUCUGACCCUUUCUGCUCCGCGAAUGUCAUUCAUCAAAUUAAGAUCUGUGUUAACUUAUGGAGGAAGAGUGUUGACUGUUGAUGUACCAAACUGAACGAGUCCUUCUUGCCACGACCAUUUCUUGCGACUUGGGAGCUUUCUUCUUCCAGCUGUUUCGAAUGGGAUAGAGCUAUAACUCUUCCACAUGUUGGAGAAAGGUUUACUCUCAAAUUUUCCGUUGUCAACAUGCCAUCAGAAAUUGCUAUACUAAGCUAGUAGGCCUGCGGUCCAUAUCCUACUGCUGCUCUUUUAAUCGGUUUCGUACAACGUUGAGAAUCAGUAAUACGUCCUUAUAAAAAAAGUGUAUUCCCUCCGUUCCAUAUUAAAUGACGCAAGUUUGUUCAAAUAUGAAUGUAUAUAGGCCUAAAAAGCGUCUAUAUACAUGUAAUAGAAAGUAAUUUAAUAUGGGAUGGAGGGAGUAUUUUUUUAGACAAAAAGCAUUAUGUCAAACUUUAAAUGUAAAUCCCCAAAUGGUGAAAGGGGUACCAAGAUGUCGAAGAAAAAGAACAAGAACAAACAAAUUUGUUUAAACAGGCAAAUAAAAAUGAGACAUGCCGCUCAAAGGUCCUCCAAUACCGAAACAAUUGUUGAUUGACGGUGAGACAAAAUGCAGAAUCUUGACGGGGAACAGGCGAACCAUUAAAGGAUAUACUUUUACUAUAAACUUCGUCAAACUUUAAGAAGUUUGAGUUAGAACAUCCUUUAUUUAAGACAAAAGUACUUUUUUCGUCCCUCAAUUUUUAAAACCGGACACUUUUAGUCCCUUGGUCCAUCCAGAGUGGUUUUUCUAGCCACGUGUCUGCUUUUUGCAUAGUUUUUCACUUAUUUUUUUUCCAAUCAAGAUAUGGAUGAUGCAGGUGGAGGAGAAGUACAACCAGUGCUUGGACGAGAUCCAGAGCACGACGACGACCAAUUUCAACAGCCUCGACGGUCACGGGAUUAAAUGCAAACCGGACACGUGGCUAGACAAACCGCUUCAAAUAGCCUUAAGGACUAGAAGUGUCCGGUUUUGAAAGUUGAGAGAUGAAAAAAGUAUGAAUUGUUUUUGAGAGACCAGAAAUGAAUUUUCCGACAAGUUGAGGGACGAAAAAAGUACUUUUCUCUUUAUUUAAAAGCGGACAGAGUAUUUGUUUACCACUAAAUUACAUCGCGCAGCGUCUUCUUGCCACGCCAUUCCUGGAUCAGCAAGAACAGAAGACAAGCGAACCCAAUGACUUGGAACUGUAGCAUCAAAAUGACAGCUUGGACUGAACCAUUAUACAUCCAAAAUGAUUUCCAAAAUGACAUAUCUGAAAAGAACAUUAACUUGAAGUUAUGAAAACUUAAGAUUACAUAUCACUGAACUCUUACUUUUGGACAUUUGCUUUAAGAAACCCACAACUUCUGUAAAUGUUAUCAUUUAACCAGAUAUAUUAUACUAACCAGUUUCUGGAAAUCCAGAAUAUGACAAUUAAGCAUGUUAACCGCAGAUCUCACUAGUGAGGCCACAUAUCAGCCUCUAUAGCUGAAAUGAGAUGGGAUUUUACUUGCGCGGUCCAGGCCCAUACGUGGCUCCUGUAACUAGAGAAAACUGGUGUGAUAUAGAUCCAUCAAUAUUCACUAAGCAACCAAGCAAAGAGGACGAAAAACAAAAGAAAGAGCAAGAAUGAGAAGGCCAAUAACACUUGUAAGGAAAGGAUUGGCCACAAUAACUUGUUCAGGCUGUUAUCUUCAAGGGCACAAGUUCACUCACUGGUCUAGAGCUGCGCCAGACCUAGCUAUUAGGAAGCAAAAUGAUACGGUAACAUACAUUGGCAUUUAUCAUUCCGUUUUAUUUCAGUUAUCUCGCCAUUUUCCUCGGGUUACAAGAGCCAGGUGCGGGCUUGAACUGGGCAAGCAAAAACUUGAACUGGGCAAGCAAAAACAAAUCCCACUUCUGCGAUAAAGGUUGGUGUGUGGUGUGGAUCCCACCAGUCAGAUAGCGGUUAACAUGCUUGAUUGUAAAAUUAUGAGUUUUUCUCCAAACCAAUUAGUAUAAUGGUUGCAGGUUUUGAAGAAAAGGAAUUGGACACACUGCCUCCGCAUCUAUCGAUGCACACGAUCACUAUAUUGUUAAAGUGAUAAAAUUUCAACAAGUUACGAUUUUCUGGUAACAAUUGUCCAACAAAAACAAGGGUUACGUGAUAUUUACUCAAAACUUAAUUGUACCAAUAAAGCAGAUAAAAUUCUACGGAGAGACAAUACUACAAUACUCAUAUCCAGAGAUACAGUUUAGUGAGAAUUUGAGAUCACUCACGUCUGUUGUUAUCCACCAUAUCUUCCUGCUCCCUGAGUUGCGCAUCAUGGAAGGCGAUUUGGCAUUCGCCACGCUGUACCAUGGCUUCCCUGUGGUACGGGCACAGCCGCCGCGCGUCCAGGAAGGCCAAGGCGAUGCAGGCGACGCAGGUGUCCGACGCAUUGGCGACGUCCGGACGCCGGCGGCAGUAGGCGUACGCGGCGACUUGAUCGGCAUUGGCAUGGGCGGAAGUGGGGCAGGGGCAUAGUUCUGAGGAUGCAUUUACAAGCUCGGCGGCGAGCUUAGCCGCAAGCAACCGUAGCUUGGCCUCGUAGGUGCCGUCGGGAGCGUAGCGGCUUUGCGUCCCGCAGAAGUGGCGGCUGGGCAUGCUGUGGUUGGUUUCCUCGGCCGUGCAGGCCAGCGGCGCGAACACGGCGAGGACGAGUAGGACUGUGGCUUGAGGCAUGGCGGAGAAAGAAUCAAAGAAAUGAAUUUUGGUUGAAUACGGUGUGCCAUGUGCCUGCUGGCUGCUGCACAUUAGCACGUAUAUGAAACUCCCUGCAACAACUUUCUUUGAACUUGAUCGUUGACAAUGUGACCAUGUGAUUAUCUGGUGGCAUGAUGUUGGAGAUUCCAUCUGAUUCGAACUCAGCCUUAAGCCAGUGUUUACAAGAAACGAAACAUCGGUCAGUAUAGUACUAGCACCUUAACCCAGGAAGAAAAUGCUAAGGAAACUAACAUCUCGUUUGGCACCCAUCAUUUGGGCCUACAAUUCUAAAAUUCAUUUGAAUUGUAGAAACCAAAUUGUUUGGUUGGUAGUGAAUUGGUCACGAGAAUUCAAUCUCAAAUUCUAUGAAAUCACACUAUAACUAACUCCAAUUUCUUUCUAAAAGCCAUUAUUUCUAUGAAAUUGUCUCUCACUCUACAAAUCCAUGUGGUAGACAAACAUGAUUUUUGAAUCCGGAAUUCAAAUUCAACCAAAUGAAAUCUUAUGAAAAAUUGGAUUAUACCAAAUGAAAUGAAUGGAUGGAUGCCAAACGAGCCGUAAAAGAAAUUCAGCGGAGUCAACCAUGAGUCCAUGACUGAUAUGGACUACCUCCUCGGUCCUCACAAUGUUCUGCAAAUUAAUUCAAGUUGGAAAGACGUUCAUAUGUUAACAAAUACUAACGAUGUGGUAAAGUUACAACUAAAGAAAUUCAGCGGAGUCAACCAUGACUGAUAUGGACUACCUCCUCGGUCCUCACAAUGUUCUGCAAAUUAAUUCAAGUUGGAAAGACGUUCAUAUGCUAACAAAUAACGAUGUGGUAAAGUUACAACUAUUACAAAGUUCCACUAUCUACCAUCCGGAGGUGAACCAGUUACAAGGUUUACACUUUGUGGUUCCUCUAGCUCAAAUGGAUAUUCUCCUCUGUUCCUAAAAUAAGCCGGCUGCUUUGGGUCAGGCAAGCUUGUGCUCUCAUUCAUAAGCAGUGAGAUAGCAUCCGAGAUCGCAGGCCGAUCAACAGCGUUGUCUUGAACACACAUUAACCCGACAUUAAUGAAUCUCAUAAUGUCCAUAUUUGGAUGCUUAACAUCUAAGCAAGGGUCAAUGAGCUCACACCAAUUUUCCCUUUUCCAUAAUAGCCAAGCCUGAAAAGUGGUAAUGAUUAUGAACUUAACUAAAUCAAACUUCUAGGUUUCCAAGAGUGCCAACCACUAAACACUAAUCAUAGCAGAAAAAAAUGUUUGCAAACUAAUGCAGCCCUGCUGAAAAAGUUUCUUGAUUAUUUGGACAAGAUGCAUAACUAAAGUGGUAACAAAUGUACCUAGUAAAGGGACCAUAUAUAUGUUACUCACAUAUCCAAGAAGAUUGCCAUAAUUCCCGGUUUGGUGGAACCCGUUGUUUCUUUUGCCACUUAUAAUCUCCAGGAGCAGCACACCGAAGCUGAAGACGUCUGACUUGAUCGAGAACUGUCCCUCUGAAGCAUAUUCAGGAGCCAUAUAACCACUGAAUAGAUAAAAUGGUUACAAAUUAGUCGAAUUCAUAACUUACAAAAAGUAACAAUUUAUAUAUUCAUUUUGCAUUUGAGUAUUGCAAUUGAGGUGUGAUCUUACUGUGUUCCCAUAACUCUGCUUGUAUUAGCGUGGGUUUCAUUCGACCCAAAUAUUCGAGCUAGACCAAAAUCCGAUAUCUUCGGGUUCAUAUUAUCGUCUAAGAGAAUAUUGCUCGCUUUUAAAUCCCUGUGUAUAACCCGCCAACGCGAGUGCUUGUGGAGAUAGAGUAGUCCUUGAGCUAUCCCUUCAAUUAUGUGGCGCCUCCUGUUCCAGUUUAAUAGUGAUCUUCUUGUCGUAUCUACAUAUAUAUGAGAAGCACAAAUAUUUUCAGAUGUAGUAAUUAAAAGUAGAGUGACGUUAGUACUAUUCAUAUCGAAAGAUUAUGGAUAACUUGCCAAAUAUGAAGAAGUCCAAGCUUUUGUUUAACAUGUAUUCAUAUAUAAGAAUCUUCUCUUCUCCCUGAAUGCAGCAUCCCAAGAGUCUCACCAAGUUGGUAUGCUGAAGCUUGGCAAUAAGCUGAAUCUCAGUCUUGAACUCAUUCAGACCUUGCCCUGAAUGUUGAGCUAGUCUCUUAACUGCUAUCUCAAGACCAUUUGGCAGUUGUCCCUUCAAUUGUCCAUCAGUCAAAGGGUUAAACCCAAAAAAGAAAGAAAAGAGCUUAGUUUUAUGCCAAAAACAUAGAUGCAUGAUUAAGUAUGUAUAAUUAACUAGGAAUGAAAUUGGAUUGGGGGUUGGACUGACACUUACUCCAUCCUAGUUUGCUGGUUGAUAUUUUUCAUAAUGCCCCGGCUUAUGAUUUGGUUGUCUGUUGACCAAGGGUAAAAUCGGCCUUGUGGACACUCUAUCUAAUCAUUUGGGCAACUUAUGGGCUAAUUUGAAAAGCAAGGUAUUUUCGGUUUUCGGCCCAGUUUUCCUUAUAAACCAGGCCACUUCUUCCGCGGUCGAAUUCUUUUCGACCGUUCUUUGGCAAUAAAUAACCCACUGAAGGUUGUUUCAUCAAAAAAAAAAGCAAGGUAUUUAUGAACAUCUCCAUGGUCCAGCGGUAAUCUACCUUAUUAGCAAUUUAUUUAUAGUAAGUAAAACACAAGGUACUUACUUGGUUGUCCAUUGUAUUUAUAAAUUGUCCUUCCUAUUUUCCGAAAAAUAGUGUGUGGUCCAAGAAACAGUUAUAACUUUCAUUCUUAGGCGGACGUACAUUUUUAUUUUUUUACUUUUUUCCCUUACAUAAUGGUCUCUCUGUUGCAAUGUAUAUAUAAGUCGUAUUUCAUUUCCUACGACCGAGCCUGUGAGCAAUAAUUAGUCUAUCUAUGUAACAUUUGUGAAAUAAAAUUGAUAUCGUUGUAUUCCUAUCACUUAAGUCACAUGUUGAUCAGUAAUUCUUGGUCAAAGGAAAUUGAAUACGCCUGAUACUUUGAAACGGAUGAAGAGUAUGAAGUCAAAAUACUUCAUAAUUUGAUUUUUAUUUCUGUUUUGGUUAGUGAUAUAUUGUUGAUCUACUCUGGCAUGACAAAAUUUGCAAAAUACUUCACCUUGUAUACACGACCAAAACCACCUUCUCCAAGUUUAUUUAUUUCUGAAAAGUUGUUUGUGGCAUCUACUAUCUGAGAGAACUCGAACGUCGAGAAUUCAGAGUGACCCUCUUCCAUCCUCCAGAUCAUUAUAGCCUCCUCUGUGCUAGGCGGAGCAACUUGCAAUUGCGAGUUUGUGUUUCCUAGUCAUCAAUAAGAAAUUGCAAGAGAUGCUUAAUUAUGAAAGAGUAUACAUCACAAAAGGUUCUUUAUUCAAGUUUCUUUUUGGAAGAAUGUACAUUAACUUGGGUACAUAAUUUCUCUCUACAGAACAUAUUACUCCAAUAUACAAGGAGAUCAUUUAUAUAAUCAUUUAUUUUCCUAGAGAAAAUAAUUCCUUACUCUUAUCUCUUUGUCUUGACCGAGUCCACAUAAAGGCAAAAAGGAUGGAAAAUAACAGAAGUGCGAGAGACGCACUCACGGCUAUUAUCCAGAUCUUAUUCUUGAUUCCUGCAUAGAAAUCAAACCAUACACAUCAAUGUGUAAUUACAAACAUGUCAGAGAUACGCCAAGUUUACCAUAUCUCCAAUUUGACACAUCCUUCAACAAGUUUCAUCAAAAGAUUUCAUGCGAGUUUUAACACGGUUUCCCCCUGGGACCAUUGGCUGAAGAAAAGAUGUGCGGAGAACAAGGAAGGGAGAUAGAACGAUGAAUGGAAAAGAAAGACUUUGUAUGCAUAAUGUGAGCUCAUUAUAUGCGUCAACAAGGAUGUACGUGAUGUUCCAGUAGUUCAUAUGAAGUGUUCUAGUAGUUCAUAUGCCGUCUUUCAACAAUCUGCAGGAAAUGUUCCAGUAGUUCUAGCCAAAUCAAUGUGCAAUUUAGUUUUGGGGGAUUUGUUAAAUCUCAGUUGGUUGAGAUUUAAUUACGGCUCAAUCGAUUCUACAGCCAAUCCGAUUUUUUGUAUGGUUUAUUUGUCAUGUUGUCCGUGGUCUAUUUGGUGUGCUCGCAACCCCUGCGUUUGGGCUUCCUAGGCUGUUUGCCCGUGCAUGGUCAUGUCUAGGUUUUGGAAAAAAAUUCCCGUGCAUGGCCCGUGUAUAUGUUUGGGCUUGCUAAUUCUAAGUCUCCUCGUUGUUUCUUAGAGCUCAGUUGAUUACCUGGCCGUCCAAUCAGUCAUUCGUUAAGAUUUGUGUGCCUCAUGCUGGUGCUCAUUUUUGAAUGACAGAAGGCUCGAUGUGAUCCUUUUCUCUGAGGUGGUGUGAUCAUUGUUCCAUGUUCUCUUUUAAUGUGUGCACACUUGAGUUUUUGCACAACACCCGUCCUCGUGUGUAAUCAAGUUUUUUGGGUCAAUUGACCAUCUCUCGUAUUGAAGUGCAAUUGAGUUUUUUUUUAAAUGUGAGUUGCACAUUAAGACCUUUGUUGUGCAACCGUUGCUGAUUCACAUCAACUCUCUUCAUGUGUAGUUGAGUUUUUUUGAAAUGGUGAGUUGCACAUAAAGAUCUUUGAUGUGCAAUUGAGUUUUUUCGGUGAGUUGCACAUCUUCUCUCUUGAUGUGCAAUUUAGUUUUUUAGAGAGAGUUGCACAUUAAGAAAUUUGACCAUUUGAGUUUUUUUGGUGAGUUGCACAUCAUCUCUUUUGAUGUGCAGUUUAGUUAUUUUAGGGUGACUUGCACAUUAAGACUUUUGAUGUGCAAUUUGAGUUUUUUCAUUAUUUCACAUCAUCUCUCGUGAUGUGCAAUUUAAUUUUUAUGUGGGUUGCACAUUAAGACUCUUAAUAUACAGUUUAGUUAUUUUUAAGAUGAGUUGCACAUUAAGUCUCUUGAUGUGCAAUUAAGUUUUCUCUUGUGGGUUUGAGAUUUAAGAGAUUUUUAUUUUCAGACACCUACCCUAGCCUAGAGACUAAUUCAGUAAUCAAGGCCCAGUAAGCACGACAACAAAUACGACUCCAUGUCCGCUAUGCGUACCAGCUAUAUGUGUUAUUGGGGUAUCUAAGUUUUGAAUUUGAUGGUGCGCUCAAUGGACAUAUUUGCUCAAAAGACCAAACAAACAAAGCCCAACCUACAAAGUCAAGCUCAGCUUAAAAAAAAAAAGACCAGACCACGUAUGGUGAAUAUAAAAAUACGAGAUUGGCUAUCGUCGGAAUCGAUUCUUAUUUCUUAGUUGCCUUCUGUAUAGACAGACCCAUUUCAAUUUUGUUCAUAACUUUUAAACAUCGCUUUUAUUUUCAGUUUUCACAUUCAUGGUUCAUCUGAAGUCUCGAACCCCCAGACCGAAAUUCAGUUUGCGGAGAAUAUGUUCCAGUCUCCAGCAAUACAUGCAUAGUCAAUGUUCAACUAAUUCUACCUGCAAAAAAAAGUUUUCAACUAAUUCUAGGAAGUUCAGUAUCUCAUGGAAGCGGUACACCACGAAUUCAUGUUAUCAUUUCAUUUCCCGCCGAUGCAUGUACUCAUGUACUAAUUCUAGGAAGUUUCAGAUUUUGUAAUAGCACAAAUUUGUACUCUCUCCGUUCCAAAAUAAAUGAAGUAGAGUCAGUUAUUUUUCAGGGAACACUGUACAUCUAAUCAAACGGAAAUCAUUUGAAGAUUGGAAGAAUACAUACCUCCUUUGUUCGGUGAACUAACAGGGGUCACCACUUCACGAGGCGUGGGCGGCGGACUCGACGGAAAGGGCGCAGGUGACGGCGCCAGCGUGGUUCCUUCAAUUCUUACCAUCGCCUCGCCAACAUAGAACGGAUACACCUCGAAUCGCACGUUGCACCUCACGCCAGACACUCUCUCCCCUAGAGCCCCACGAAUCCUAAGAGCCAGUUUGUCCAUCAGAUGCGCGAGGCAAUCGCGGCACCACGCGGUCGCCAUGUCCGGCGUGCACUGCGCCAGGCUGUACACCUUCGUUUCCGGCGAAGGAUCACCCGCGCUGAACACGGCCUCGCCGGUGGCCAUCUUCUUCUUGCCUGCAUCAGCUGCUGCAGCCGCAUGCUCUGCUGUCCUGUUCAAGAGCGUAUCCACGAGAACGUCGAAGCUGCCGGCCACAGCGGCGGGCAUCGCCAUUUCCGUGUUGUUGAGGAUGACUACCGGCUCGUUGUCCUUGGAGGAGAGGAAGUCCUGGUCGGAGAAGCGCAUGAUGCAACCGUCGUAGAAGAAAGUGGCGUCCUUGUCGUACGGACAGAUUAUAGAGUUUGAUGCUGCUUCGGAGGCCGUGGAAAGCCACUGGUAGCAGUUGACAUUAUCGGGGGUGUCGCCGCGGCAUAUCCCGAGGCCGUGAACGGUGUCAGGGCCGGCACCGAUGGUCGUCGUUGCGAAGCCGUUGCCUCCACUGAAGGAGGCUUCGUUGGCGAUGUAUUCGGUGACGGACCGGACGUUGUCUUGGUAGGUGCUGUUGGCCUUGUACUUGCCGGUUUUGCCGCAGACAGUGGCGUAGGUGUUACCUGUGGCUAAAGGUGGCUGCAGGUAGGAGAUGAGUAGGAGGAGGAUGGGGACGACGAGACGCCUGGGUAAAGAUUUCAUGGUACUCGAGUGAAGGUGUGGAUUAGCUUAUAGGCAGAGUAGGAGGGUUGUUUGUGCAUGCAGGCUGAUAGCUAUAUAUACCGUACUGACAUAUCUGGUCUUCUCUGAUCGAUCGGUGACUUUCAAUUGACUUGCAUUUUGCCCUUAUACGCAGUACUAGUGUCCCAAUCAAACAGAAGAUCAUGAACAAUGGCUUACAACUUAAAUUUGAGAGAGACAUGUGUCCCGCCGCUCACGGCUAAUCUCGUGGCCCGUCGUGCACGUCUGGACUGGACCGGAUCCAGAAAGCAUUGACCAGCAAAACCGAUCAGUACGUUAGCAUGGAUGCAGGGAUGACUUGGACUUUGAAAGCUAUAUAUAGCAUGCACCUGACCGGCCAAGAGUCCAGUCUACAUGCAUACAAGACAAAGGGCGCAUUGGUGCAAUCACAUACACUCUCCCUUCCUCUCGUAUUAAGUGUUGAAAUAUUACAUGUAUGUAUCUAAACAUAUUUUAAUAUAUAUAAAUAUGUACAUACAUUUUACAUAAAUUUGAGUCACUUGAUAUGAAACGGAGUGGGUCCAGAGUUAGGCGCAGCCUCCCCUCGGCUACCGCAUCGCCACGUCGCGCUCUUUAACGGAGGGGUCAUUGACGUUCGGUCACCUUGCCCGGCUCACUGAUUGAUGCAAUCCGUGAGAUGCACAAAACUUGGGACAGGGUUGAAAUACUUGUGCAUAGUGUUGGUUAGCAAGGCGAAAGAACAGAAAGAAACUGUAUGCUCGCAGCGACUACCUUGACCGAAGCAAAGACAUUCAAUAUGAAUCACACCUGCAUGUGCACACGUUGCUAGCUAAACAUGCAUACGCGUGUACUAUACGGGCCGGGUUGGUACGUACUCGAUUGGGCCCUGUGCUGCACCGGUGCACACGAAAAAAAGAUAAUGACAGUUAUAGUCGUACGGAACCAGAAAUCAGUAGGCCGAGCGGCCCGAUGCAGCACGCAACGUCCUGGGCUGCUAUCCUGUUGAAUUUUAGCACCACAACGAAAACAGUGUGAAAAUCAUGGGCCCAACAAGUCGUCCAAAGUAGUUUCCCCUGUUAGGCUGUUGGACCGGCCUCAACGAGAACAGUGUGAAAAUCAUGGGCCCAACCGGGGAAACAAAUUUGGCGGUUUGUAAACGUGCGUCGGCUCGGGCCAAAUCCUGACUCACCGCAUGUCAGCACUUCCCGUGGCCCAUCUGUCGUCGCUUCCCGUGGCUCAUCCGUCAGAACCAAACGGUCAAAAGGGCUUGACCGUUAGCAGGUGCUCCGUGAGGGUAUCUGUGAGAAAUCACGAAAUGAACGUGUAACAGCGAGCACUAUUUCUGACGUCAAGUAUAACUGAGUACGGUUAAAGAAAGAGAGGCACAGAAAUAAAACGAGAAGAAAAAUCAGAGCCAAAGACACGGUCAUCAGCUUCGCAUUUGCUCGGUUUGAAUAGUCGCCGGCGCGCGUACCGCACCUAUCCUCACACCUGUGCCUGUCAAGAGCAAAACCCUUGCAUCCUGUCUUUUCUUUUCAUUUUCCCGUUUGUCAAAGCACUGCCACAGCCGUACUAGCUCUUCUUACAUGCUCCUGCGUGCGGUCCUACAAUAGACCGUCUGUACAAAACCACAUAGCUGCUGUCACACGUCAAUGACUAUGUCAAUCAGCAGCCAGAAAGCCCCGAAAACAUCCCAAACCCAAACAAUCCGUCUGCAUAUCCACAGUUCCAACACACGGGUAUUAAACGACCACCUGGUUGGCGGUUGCCAUUGCUGCUAGCUACCUUCCUUCCUGGAUGGUGCUGAUGGUCACCUCGUUGGUGCUGCGCGAUCCGGUGAAGUGCGACCGCGUCCGUCGCACCACACCCGGCCCGGCAUCGUCUUCUUCCUCGUCGUCGCUGGUGACCCGCAGGUCGAAGUGCGGCGGCCGCCUCGGGUCCGGCAGCGGCACCCCGUCGUUGCCCAGCAUCGCCGUCACCUCCGUCAUCGUCGGCCGGUCCGUCGCGUUGUCCUGCACGCACAGCAGCGCCACCUUGAUGCACCGCAUCAUGCUCGUACCCGCCUCGCUGCCGUCGCCCGGCGUCUGGUCAACCAGCUCCAACCAUCUCCCUUCCCUCCACAUCUUCCAUGCCUGUCACAAGUCAGAAACCAACCCAAGCACAUUAGUUAAUACCAGUAUAAUAAUAUAACGGUAUCUAUGUCAUUUCUGUUUCAAAAAAAAAAAACUCGGUCAGUAGUUACGUAUAUGUUGCCAAAUGUAAACGCUAGAAGCGAAAAUCUUGACUGAUAGUGGACAAGCCGGCGACCGUUUUGUACUAGUUAGUUUUGGGAUUCGUUGAUGAAGCGAUUUAAGAAAUGUGAAGAUCAUAAUCAGCGUGUGUCGUGUUCUUGUUAGCUAGCUCUUGGCAUUAAAAAUAUCAGACGAGAAGAAUCUUACGUAGCCGAGGAGGUUGACAAAGUCCCCAUAGUGUUGAUGACCGCUGUUCCUUUUGCCGCUCACGAUCUCAAGCAGCAACACUCCAAAGCUGAACACGUCAGACUUUACCGAGAAGAUGCCCUCGGAAGCGUACUCAGGGGCCAUAUAACCGCUGUACGGUAACAUCACGAAAACAAAAUGUGGAGCAAUAUUAGUGGUCAAUCAGCACGCUGCAUUUAUCGAUCGAUUGAGCAGUGUUGACUGUUCAGCAUUGUAAGAAAUUGAUAGGUGUUUAAUUUUGUCUUACUAGGUGCCGACGACCCUGUUGGUGUUGGCCUCCGUCAUGUUGGAGCCGAAGAUCCUUGCCAUGCCGAAAUCCGAUAUCUUGGGGUUCAGAUCUCUGUCCAGCAAAAUGUUGCUGGCCUUGAGAUCCCGGUGGAUGAUGCGCACGCGCGAGUGCUUGUGCAGGUACAGCAGCCCCUGUGCGAUCCCUUCGAUUAUGUGCCGCCGUUUCUUCCAAUCCAGCGACGGUCCUCUCUCUUGGUCUACAUGCCAGACACGCCACUCAGAUUAUCAGUAAGAACAAUCACAGAAGAGCUAACUAAAAUGAGACUAUUGGGAUUACUAGCAUGAAUUAAUUUAAUUUUACCGAAGAUGAAGAAGUCUAGGCUUCUGUUGGGCAAGUACUCGUACACCAGCAUCUUCUCCUCCUCCUGCACGCAGCACCCCAGGAGCUUCACCAGGUUCGUGUGCUGCAGCUUGGCGAUCAGCUGGAUCUCGUUCUUGAACUCCACCAGCCCUUGCCCGGACUGCGCCGACAGCCUCUUCACCGCCACCUCGGUUCCAUCAGGCAACGUACCCUGAAAACGGAAAACAGGAAAAUGGGAUCGGUAAACGUAGAGGUUAGCGUUUGAUCUAUCAUCUAUUCAUCCGGCGCAUUUUAUGCCACAUUGUUCGCUGGUAAUGGAUUAUCGCUUGCCUUGUAAACCGGCCCGAAGCCGCCUCUUCCGAGCCUGUUGUCUUCGGAGAAGUCGUCGGUGGCGACAGCCAGCUCGUUGAAGUCAUACAGCGUGAACUCUGAGCUGCUCUCCUCGAUCUUCCACAGCUUCAGGGCUUCCUCUGUUUUCGAGCUGCUUCUGGAAUGGGGUGGUAGAUGGGGCAAUUUCGUCUUCCCUGGAUUGGAAAUUCGUAGCUAUUUAGACAACUUUUGGUAAGCAAAUUCAAGGUGUGGAGAAAAUAACACAUGCUUUUGUGGCAUCGUGGCGUCGUCUUUUACCUCCUCCUUUUCUUUGUCUUCUGAUCAGCAGGAGGCACCCGACUAACAUAGCACAGAACACCGUAAUCGACAAGCAUAGAACGAUAAUUAAGGUCUUCUUCUGAUUGCUUCCUGUAGGUGAAGAUGGGGCGAAUCCGAUCCUGACAACCGGGGAACCGCCGAAGAACUGGUAGCCCUCAUAGCGGAAGUUGCAGCGGACGCCGAGGAUGCGGCCGCCCUCGCGGCCGUCGUACCACUGGCGGAUCAGCUCCUUGAGGCCCUGGAAGCAGCGCAAGCACUGGGCCGGGGAGAGCGCCGGCGUGCACUGCGCGAGCCCGUACACCGUCGGCAGCGUCGGGUUGAUGUACAUGGCGGCGCUGGCGAAGCGGCGGGCCGGGGAGUUGUAGGACCCGUAUAUGGACAUCUCCGAGAACAGGGUGUCCACCCGCGACAGGAAGAGGCUCUGGGACGUGGCGUUGCGGCUGUCCCAAUCGGCGUACGUCGAACUGUUGGCGUCCAUGGCGUUGAUCACGGGGCUGUUGUCGUCGGGGCGGGCCAGGAAGUCGUCGCCGGAGUAGCGGAGCGUGCAGAGGUCGUGGUAGAACGUGGCGUCCCUGACGCCGGCGCAGAGGCCCCGCAGCUUUCGGAACGCGUCGUCGAGGCAGCCGGAGCACGCCCUGGCGUCCGUGAUGUCGCCGCGGCAGAGCGCGAGGCCGUAGACUGUGUCAGGGCCGGUGCCGAUGGUGGCCGAGGCGAAGAGCGAUGGUGCGGCGGAGGCGUCUGCGGGGAGCGCCGCGGUGAGGCGCUCGAGGUUGGCCCCGAAGGCGUCGUUCGCCGUGUAGUUGCCGGUGGUGCCAUUGCAGGAGUACUCCGAGAAGGCGGCGUCGGCGGCGGCGGCGGCGGCGAGCGGGCUGGAUAGGAAAAGAAGGAGGAGGAGGAAGCAGGGCAGGACGACAACCAUGCUGAUGCCGGCCUCUUUCAUCGUGAAAACUAGAGAAGAGUUUGGCCCUUUUUGUUCCAUGGUUGUUGCUCUAGUUUCCUAUUUUAAACACAUCGGCGAAGUCAAAGGCUACGAAGUGGUGGUUGCUUGGGUUGGUUGCUACUAUGAUUUUUCUUCUCUUAGGCAUUUCCAUCCUUCUUCCUUUUCUGCCAAAGUUUCUUUCAGCCAUAUUAUCCAUGUUGACAGUUGACCAGUAGGAGUAGAUUGCCACCAGCGAAGUAGAACUUUCUUUUGUUAGUGUUGCAACAAAAGCAAGAAUUACCCUGACGCGCAAGAAUUUGAUAUCGUAGAUAAUAACCACGAAAGCAGAGCAGAGCAGGAGAUUUCAUUUUUGGAUUAAAAAGGCAGAAUAUGGCAUACACGAAACACGACGACGAGAAGUCAUUUUUAACCCCGCACAUGUGAAUACCAAAGCACUGCGUGCCGGAACCGUCAUUCUCAGUGUCCCAGUCUCGGUAUCAAACUAUCAAUCAAUGGUGUGGUGUGGCCGGUUGAUGUUGACCAAAACAUUGGCGAGGUUAUUGUCCAUUGACGGCUUGGAUGGACACAUCACAGUAAUUAUGUAUACCAGACUGCAUAGUUAGUAGCAUAGGCGGAGGGACUUUGACACGUUCACAAUCCUUGUCCACUCGAGAAUCUGGAAGGAACGCAAUGCAAGAAUCUUUCAGCACGCCGCUAGUUCCGUCGAGAGCGUGUUUGAAUUAAUUCUGGAAGACCUUCAGUCCUGGAGAUCAGCCGGAUGUGUUACUUUGCUCUGGAUUUUCUUUGUUGUUGUCGUUGUAGCUUUUCCAUCUGGUGUGGAGAGAGCUCUGGUUGUCUAGAUGUUAGAAGGUGGCCUUGUUGUGAUCUGUGGCUCUUUUUAGCGGUGUCUUUUUUUUUUGAGGGAUCUUUUUAGCGGUGUCUUUGUUGCAGGCUGGACCUGCUUCCUUGUAUCUCCUUGUAAUUGUUCUCCUUCUUAAUAAAGAUCGGCCGCUGGCCCUUCGAGUUAGUAGCAUACGCGGAGACAAUGGCCUGGUCUUGAGACUUUUUUCCUUUGAUAAAUUACACUGAUUUUAAGUUUGGCCUGGAGCUUCUCUUCCUUAAUUAUACCCUCUUAACUCUGGUACACUAUAAUGGUCCUAUGCAAAUUAAUUUUCUGAAUCCGCCACUGGUUAGUACUCCCUCCAUCUCAUAUGAAGUGACUUUCUAUUACAUGUAUCUGGACACCUUUUAGACAUAAAUACAUUCAUAUUUGGCAAAUUUGAAACACUUAAUAUGAGAUGGAGGAAGUGUAGUACAUGACUUUGAGGCCGUUGCUACUGCUGCCCUUGAGUCGUCGAUCAGCUUUCCCACAACGUUGUAAUCUCAUACUCCCACCAUCCCAAAAUAAAUGACGUGGACUUGUAUAAAUUCUUGUACAAAUUCACAUCAGUUAUUUCGGGACGAAUAGAGUACUAUUUUUUGUGACCUAAUUAAUCUGUGGUUUUUACAAUUUGAACGCCAUUUUUCAGGAGACGAAGUGAGUAGAUCAAUAUACUCCACCAUAACACCAAACUGAACGCUGUUCUUCAGUUCAGCCCCUAUCCGGGCCGCGCGUGCGAUGCUGCUCGUAGCUCUAAUAUUUCUCCUCUCCUUGCCGGCGCCAUCGGCCGGCGGGAACCGGUCGUUCUGCACCGAUGCCGACGGCACGCACAAGCCAAACAGCACCUACAGGUCUAACCUGCGAUCCCUCGCCGAUGAGCUUAUCGCCAGAGCCACCAAGUCUCACUCGGCCACUGGCAUGUCCGGCGGCGCGAGCUCCGACAAGGCCUACGGCGCCGUGCUUUGCCGAGGUGACUCCACCGGCGCCGACUGCGGCAGGCUCCUCCGGGAGGCCUUCGAGAGCACCAUCAACGCCGUAUGCGCGCUCCACAGGGACGUGGCAUUCUACUCCGAGCUGUACCAGCUUCGGUUCUCCGACAAGGACUUCCUCUCCACCUUCAGCAACGCGCCGGAGUGGGUCGACGGCACCAACCUGAACCUCGUGCCAGACGCCGAGGCCGGCCAGUUCGACGAGGUAGUCGCCGAGCUCACGAGAACGCUGGCGGAGGCCGCUGCGGAGCAGCCGGACAGGUACAAAACGGCAGAUGCGCCAUGGCCGUCACGGGAAAGGGAGCGGAGGGUCUACGGGCUUGCGCAGUGCACGCAGGACAUGCCGCCGGACCGCUGCCGCGUUUGCCUGUAUGCCAUCGCCGCGGAGAUCCGACGGAAGAUCGGCAGUGGCAAGAUGGGCGGGGCCAUUCAUGGCGCCCAGUGCACGCUCCGGUACGAGACGGACACCCAGUUCUUUGCCACCACAGGCAAGUUCUUGCUGCUGAGCACGCUCUAAUUAAACGUACCUUAUGUCAGAUCCUUGUAGCUAACUGAGAAAAUUGAGAUCUCUUAUCCAUUUCUCACAAACCCUGUAACUUUGCUCUUCAUUCUCUUCAGCAUCAUAAAUAUUGAAUCUUAAUUAGUUAGGAACACAUUUACUAGUUCUAGUAAAAUUUUGCUAAGUACAAUAUUCACAAAGAAAAAAUAAUUUAAGUGCUUUCCACAUAAAUCACUGAAAUGCCAAAUGCAACAUAAAAACAUUCAUUUUCUUUCUUUCUUCGAAGUAGCUUAUGAAAUAAGUAGAAAACAGAAAACUACAUACCACAGCUAGAUAUGUUUUGAAACCAAGCUAAGUGACAACGAGUAACUUCUGCAUAGUUACAACGACUCAGUUUGCCAGAACAAAUUCGAUGCACAAAAACCAGAAGGUGCAGUUAUACAAAGUUCACGAACCUGACUAUCUGAGAGACCGCUUGACGUUCCUGUUAAAAAGAAUAUCAAGGGCUGAAAUCUUGAGUCACUAAUAGUAUCAUCCUUCAUUCCCUAAUAUAAAUCAUCAAACCUUGUGUUCAGGGCAACGGGAGGACCAUGCACUCUUGAUCAUUGGUACAGUUUACUCGCUUUCGGUCAUCUGUACACGCUUACUUUUCUGGCUCCUGUGUAUCAUCAGAAGACGAAGAAAAGGAGGCAAGCAAUUCAAUAAUACCCAUGCUUUAGUUGUGAUAGUGGCAAACUGGCAAUUGAUCUAAUUUCAUGUAAAAACUGAUGGGGAGAUGUACGUUUAGGGGAAACGAACUCAAUGGAGCAGCGCGAGAACAUGGAUGAAGUACUGAGGCUUUGGAAGAGCGAAGAUACCAAUUCUGAGUUCUCCUUGUAUGAUUUCGCACAAAUUGCAGAUGCUACAGACAACUUCUCAUCCAGCCAAAUAUUAGGAGAGGGUGGGUUUGGACCAGUUUACAAGGUAUGUUUCUUGGUUUUCAUAUGGUAAAGUCACACGUAUCAUUAUGAUAUGAUGGGAUUCCUCAGUAACAACAGAAUAUGAUGGCCCUAUAUAAAUUAUAAAGGAUGAUCAGUGAAUUUUACAGGGUGUUUUUCCUGGCGGACAGGAAGUAGCAAUAAAAAGACUCGCCGCACGGUCAAGACAAGGUCUAGUGGAAUUCAAAAAUGAGAUCCAACUGGUGGCAAAACUUCAGCACAGACACCUCGUUAGGCUGCUUGGUUGUUGCGUCCAUAAUGAAGAGAAGAUAUUGAUUUAUGAAUACAUGACAAACAAAAGCUUGGACUACUUCAUUUUUGGUAUAUUUUGUUCUAAUUUGAUAGGUUCAAUUGUAUGCCUUCUCUCAUCUGUAGUAUCAACACUUAGCCCUGCGUAACAUUGCUUGUAGAUCCAAUCAGAAGGACAUCACUAAACUGGAAGAUACGGAUGAAAAUAGUUGAAGGAAUAGCCCAAGGGCUUUUAUACCUUCACGAGCAUUCAAGACUGCGUAUCAUCCAUAGGGAUUUGAAAGCAGGCAAUAUUCUGUUGGACGUCGAGUUAAUUCCUAAGAUUUCUGAUUUUGGCAUGGCAAGGAUAUUCCCAUCAGAUGCCACUCAAACAAAAGCAAGCAGACUUGUUGGAACGUAGUAAGUAUAGCAAACUGGUUAAUUACUCCCUUCUUUUCAUAUUAUAGGACGCCCUCAUAUUUUGAGAUUUAACUUGACAAUCAAUUUUACCAAUAAACUGUGGGUUAUGUGCCACAAAAUUAUACUGCUGAAUUCAUAUUCGAAAGAAGUUUCAAUGGUAUAACUUUUAUGGCAAAUAACUCAUCUAUUAAUUGUCUAGUUGACGGUAGAAGUUAAAUCUCAAAAUGUGUGCGCUCCCUAUAAUUUGGAAAGGAAGGAAUACCUAUUAAUAUCUCAACCAAGCAUUUGCUUUCUGACUACUGCAUACCAUCUUCCCUAGUGGUUACAUGGCUCCUGAAUAUGCAUUUGAGGGCCUUCUAUCUAUCAAGUCAGAUGUUUUCAGUUUUGGGGUACUGCUUCUUGAGAUUAUAAGUGGAAGGAGGAGUGCAGGCUUCCAGCACUACGGAGAAUUUCAAAAUCUUCUUCAAUAUGUAAGCAAGUUAAAAUCUGUAAAAUUGGUGCAUUGUGCAAUUUUAUUUCCCAUGAAUUGUAGGGGCAUUUUUCAUCCUUCCUCUGUUUUAUUACCUAUAUGUCUGUAUUCAAAUUAAAUUGCAGAAAGAUACAUCUAUUUUCAGGCAUGGCAAAUGUGGAAAGACAAGAGAUGGAAUGAAUUCAGUGAUCAAUCAUUUGGCGAUGAAUGCAAACCAGGAGAUAUGAUGAAAUAUCUCACUUUGGCACUAAUGUGUGUCCAAGUGAAAGCAAUAGACCGUCCCACUAUGUCCAAUGUUGUUACAAUGCUUAACAGCGAUGAAAUUUCCAUACCAGAGCCGAGGCAACCAGCUUAUUCCUAUAUCAGAGCAGAUGUGUCAGUAAACGUCAAUGUAUCAUGUAGCAGAAAUGAUGUAACCCUCACCACUGUUGAUGGUAGAUAAAUGAUCAUUCAUUCAUUAGCAAACUGUGUGACUACUUUCUAUUGGCAUUGGGUUUUCUUGCGUUAACUAAUUAGGCAGGAUAUAGUUUAUAUUCCAUUGUUGCCAUAAGAAAUUCGCCCACUUGUCUGUCACUGCAUAUGAAUAACAUGAUUUUUCAUGUCCCUUAUAUGUAAUCAGACUACAAUGAUAACUCUAUUAAUAUGUGUUUUUACAUACAUAAAAUUUAUAUCAAUAAAUUCGUCUUUAAAAGUUCUUUCUAAUAAUCAUGAUUUUGUAUCACAUAAGUUACAUAUUAAUAGAGUAAUUCUUGGUCAAAGCCUUGUAUUGACGAAACAAAAUACGCCAACCUUUGUGAAAUGGAGGGAGUAUGUAGCACUAGAAGUAGCACAUAUCCUGUGUGCUGCUGGGCAGACAAUUCUACAUGUGCGCUUAGCAGUUUUAGAGAGAAAAAGAAGAAAAGACUCACUUUCACGGAGAUAUAUUUGCCAGAUUGUGCAAGUGUGAACUCAGAUCACGGAGUUGAAAAGUAUGACAGUACCUGUGUGGCAGGGGUCCACUGCUUCCAAUUGGUCUACAUUAAAUGUCAAGAACUCAGGUUUAGUAGGCAUGUUUAUCCACCCUGCUUUCUGGAAUAUAUGGUGAUGCUCAGUCAUCCUGUCAAUUCAAAGAGAAAUGUCAUCUUAGACCAGUUUAGUCUCAACAGUCAUUUUCGUAAGAACGUUGAAUUCCUUUACCUCUUGGUAGACAAAACGAAGAUGGUAUUUGGCACUCCUCCAUUGCAGGUAGAUGAGUACUUCUACAAUACAAAUAGAUCAAAGACCACUAUUCUGUAGUAAAUAGGGAUGAUGCCACAAUCAUCUCUCUUAGUCCUCUUCAUCUUCUUCUCAACCAGCCAGGCACUCUGCAGUGACAAUAAUGGAGGCAUGUACAUGCCAAACAAUACCUACAAAUUAAACCUUAUCACCCUUGCUCAGAUACUAUUUGCCAACGCCACGGAAGUACACUCAGCUACUGGCAUGGCUGGCAUAGGCCCAGACAAGGUCUACGGCGCGGUGCUUUGCCGAGGUGAUUCUGAUGGCUCCGACUGUCAUAAGCGCCUAACUAAGGCCCUUGAUGAAGCAAUCAACAGCGAAGCUGGCUACUCUAACUCCCUCCAGAGCAACAGGAAUGUGACUUACUACUACGACCAAUACCAGGCACAGAUAAGCUUCUCCGACCAGGACUUCAUUUCCAGCUUCAGCAACGUGCCAGGGUGCACCAUGAAUACUAACCUGAACUCCAUGACGGCUACUGUAGUGAAGCCUUUUGAGGAUCUUGUCACCAAGCUGUUGCGUGCUCUUGCUGAUGCUGUGGUGAGCCGAGCAGAGAAAUAUGCAGUCGGCAAAGCUUGGUUUGAAGAGACAGGACAGACGGUGUAUGGUCUGACACAGUGCAUACAGGAUGUGCCAUAUGAGCAUUGUGCGGCCUGCCUGGAUGGCAUCAUCUCAGACAGGCAGAGUAAGAUUGCUUCUGGACAGAUGGGAGUGGUGAUUCUUGGGUUGUGGUGCACACUGCGGUAUGAGACCGAAACACAGUUCUUUACCGAUACCAAGAUGUUGUCGCUAAAUGCGGUCACAAGAAGUAGGUUUCAUUGGAUCAUUCCAUUAUUCGCACAACAGUAUUUUAUUAGAAAAUUUGAGUUUCUAGAUUUCAAACAUGAGAGAGGUUUCUUCUGAAAUUUGGGAAGGGUUAGAAACAAAUACUCCUUUAUCGAGACAUGUGCUGAAGUACAUAGCUAGAAACUAAAUAACCUACUACAUUUCACUGGUUAAGAUAGGAACCAACACCUCCCUCCAGAAUCCAGACUCCAAUUUGUUUCUGAGAUCAGUCUUCUCUGCUCUGAACCUGAUACCAGAGACCAGGAUGGCAAUAAAGAUGAAAAAAUAUUUCUUAGUUUCUUUAAAAUUCAUGCUUUUUUUUAUUAAGAGUAAAGAAGCUUUGCCGUUAGUUGCAAGUGUUCCAUCAAUUAUGCAUGGCAUUAGAAUCUCAUAGCAAAAACAUGAAAUUUCUAUAUAUAUAAUAUUGUAUAUCAACAUAACUUCUCGUUGGCUUAUCAAAGUAGAUUUCAUUAUACUGUCAGGGCCUCUCCUGCAGUUUUCCCCUUAAAAUAACCUAGAUUUCAUUGGGUUAUAUGUAAAUGUACAGGUAAAACACAUAUCUUUCAAUGGAACAAUUCGGUCUUGGUUAGCGUUGGAGGUUUCCUGCUAGUACUAUCUAUUUCUUGCAUGGCUUUUCAUAUAUGGAUCAGAACACAACAACAAAGAGGUACAUAACUCACCACUGCAUAAGAUAAUCUUUGCAUUUUUUUUGUUUUCGUCAGUACAUGUUUCAAGAACAUGCCAUUUCAUUUUAUUUUAUUUUACAGAAAAAACAGUUUUUAAGCUACGACAGCUCUACUUGGCAAUACAAAUUGCAAUAAAUCUUUGGAGGAUGGGAGGAACCAACCCAGAAUUUUCUCUGUAUGAUUUCUCCCAGAUAAAUGAGGCCACAAAUAACUUCUCGAUUGAUAAUCAACUGGGACAAGGUGGCUUCGGUCCUGUAUAUAAGGUGAAAGAAUAUGUACUUGCAUUGUAAAUGUAAUCUUACUCAAAAUGCAGUAAACAUUCACUUGUUUGACUGCCUUUAUCUUAAUAUAAUACUUCUUUUUCCAUUGCAUUUCUUCACCAAUGUAACAGAGAUGUUUUCACAAAGAAUGGCGGCCCCACAUUUCAAGGUCAAAUUUUGACCAACGAUUAGACCAAUAAUAUGUACAUUAUGUGUUACAAAUUUUAUAACGUUGGAAACAUUUUUGAAAUACGAAUCCAAUGAUAUAAUUUUUGCAGCACGUAACCCUCAAAUCAUUAGUCUAAUUGUUGGUCAAAGUAAAAUCUCGAAAUGUGUGCGUGUCAUUCUUUGUGAAAAGGAGGGAGUGGAAUUUAAUGGGUUUUCCCUUUGGUUAACAACAUGCAUGUAACACUAGAUUUUCUAGCAUUGCAGUAAAACCAGUUAUCAAGUAUUGAAAAAUACAAUGGUCUUGCAUUAAAAAAAAAUUAAGUAGCUUUUCUUUUUUUUUGCGCUGGAAAUUAAGUAGCUUUUCCUUUCCUCAAUCUCAGGGGAGAUUGAGCAAUGGACUUAAAAUAGCAGUCAAGAGACUGGAAACGAGUUCUCUACAAGGUUUAAUGGAGUUCCAAAACGAAAUUCAACUUAUAGCAAAGCUUCAACACAAUAAUCUUGUGAAACUGCUGGGAUGUUGCACUCGAGGAGAUCGAGAAAAGAUGCUUGUAUAUGAAUACAUGGAAAACAAAAGCCUUGACUACUUCAUCUUUGGUAACACCUUCUUCUUUUGAUGUGCUAGAAGCCUAGACCAAGAUAUUAUUUAUAAUUUGUUGACAUGCUUUGUUUAAUUAUACAUGUUUUGCAGAUAUUGCUAAAGGAGCACGGUUAAACUGGUCAAAACGUCUACAUAUAAUUAAUGGGAUUGCUCAAGGUCUUCUUUAUCUUCACAACUACUCACGAUUAUGUGUUGUUCAUAGGGAUUUGAAAGCGAGUAACAUACUAUUGGAUAGUGUAAUGAAUCCCAAGAUAUCUGAUUUUGGGAUGGCCAGAAUAUUCCGCUCAAAUAUGGCAGAGUCAAAUACCACUAGAAUAGUGGGCACGCAGUAAGAACAUACAACACAUUUGUUUUUAGUAAAUAAUAAGGUGAAAAAAAAAGGAAAGAAGCAUUGAAUGACCAACUGAACUGAAACCACCUUUUGCAAUGCUGGCAUUUAACAAUUUUACUUCCAUCACUCAGUGGCUACAUACCUCCAGAGUAUGUUUGUGAGGGAGUUUGCUCUAUCAAGACAGAUGUAUUUAGCUUCGGCGUGUUGAUUUUGGAAAUAAUAAGUGGAAAAAGGACAGCAGAAUUCUAUCAUUACGAUGGAAAUCUAUACAAUCUCAUUGCAUACGUGAGUGAAGAUACCCUAAACACCACUUUGCACUUAUAUAUACAAUUUGACAAUGUAGUAUAUGUACUGUUUGUUUCAAAGUUUGACAAAAUACAUUAUUUUUGUAAUAGGCUUGGCAACUUUGGAGAGAUGGAAAGUUAGGUGAGUUUACUUAUCGUCCACCAGGGAACGAAAAUCAAGAGAUAGAAAGGUGCAUUCAUCUGGCACUUUUAUGUGUUCAAGAAAGUGCAGAGGAUCGACCUGCUAUGGAGCAUGUUGUCACAAUGCUAAACACCAAGAAUGUGAGCUUACCUAUGCCUAUGCAACCUGCUUACUUCAAUGUAAAUCGAAGUGAGCGAGACGCUUUGUCAUGCAACACUACUAUGAGCAUCACGUUAGAAAGGUAGCACCACAUAGUCAUUAAUGCUAAGAAAGAUACUAGUGAUAUUAAUUAAGUUUAUCUGUAUCCAGAGGGAAUUAUUGGCAUUAAUAUAGUGGUAUCAAUGUUUUUAAUGUUUACGCACAUCACUUUAUCUCUUUUUUUAUCAAAAAACAUGGUACACCUCUUUUUUGUUUGAAGGUGAAAUCUUUAUUUGACUUCUUUUAUUUUGACUGGAGAUAAACGCGUAUUGAAUACUUAUAUCACCGGUUGCAAGUUGCAACAAUGAACAAAGUAAAACGGAAAGGGUAAUGUUUUGUGAUGUUUUAGAGUCAUGCAUUCCUAAAGUAAAUCGCAUAAAACAAUUAGUACUUCAGAAACUGAGGAGCACGAAUUCAAAUGGGCUCAUAUGUUAUUCAAGUAAAGAAAAAAAGGAAGAGAAGCACACAGUGGAAGAAUAUCCGUCUCAUACGGAGUAUUAAGUGACUCAAAUUUGUAUCUAUACCCAAAAAGCGUUUAGAUACACAUGUAAUAUUUAGUCACUUAAUAUGGGACGGAGGGAGUACCUACUAGCAUCGUAGUCCACUUGAUAAUUUGACUAUUCGAGUACCGCACAAAAUGAAAUCGCCAAUCCUAGAGAACUGGCACAGAAAGGAAUUCCAGAUAAUCGCAAAGGUACAUUCCGGCAGGCAUACAGAAGUACAGAACUACUCCGUAUAAUUUUUAGCAAUUAUUCCACCUCGCUCCGAUCCUCAUUCACGUUGGGAGCAGGUUGAAUACAGCAUCCUCAUGAACGAAUUUGGAAGUGGAACUGCGGCGGCGAUUGUUUAAUCCGAAACUGGAACGAGGAUGGGGUUGUAGAGACGAACCUGGCCUCCCCUUUGCUCCAGGUAGGCGCGGUUAGGUCAUCGCGCGGGGUCCGGAAGCCGGGAAGGGUCGAUGCACGCCGCCGCCGCCCUCGCAAUCACAGGUAGGGUGCCCCGGCUGACGGCACCCCCGCGGCAGUUGCUGGCGCAAGCGCAGCUUACCGUGGGCCCAACUAUCAUUGGAAAGGGCCUGUAGCGCACAACUGGGCUGGAAUUCAUUGGGCUGACGAGCGUUGAGGUCAUUCAGGUCUCACGACAAUAGCAGAGCAGCAGGACUGCAGGAGGUACCCCUCAAAAAAGAAAUAGCAGCAGGAGGUUCUAAAAAAAAAGACAGUAGCAGCAGGAGUUGAUUUUCCCUUGAGAAAAAAAGUUGUGCGGCAAGAAAAAAGUUGUGCCGUAGUAAUUUGUUUCGAAAAAAGAACACCUACUUUCUCCGUCCAACAAAAGAUGUCUCAACUUUGACUAAAUUUAAAUGCAUCUAUACACUGAGUUAUGUCUAGAUAUAUCUAAAUUUUGACAAAUUUGCCUCGUUCAACAAAAGAUGUCUCAACUUUGACUAAAUUUAAAUGCGUCUAUACGCUGAGUUAUGUUUAGAUAUAUCUAAAUUUUGACAAAUUUGAGACAUCUUUUAGCUUUUGCUGGACGGAGGGAAUAUAUGACUUUGGUUGCAUCCAGGACUCGGUGAUUUAAUAAAUUCCAUGGUUCACGUUGAGGUUCUAAACGACCGUACGAUGUAUAGCCGCAGCUACAUGUGAUGAUAUAGGUACACCCCCGUACGAUGUUUAGCCGUAUAGGUUUAAGCCUGGAAAACUAGGAUAUACUUCCUCCGAUUCUAAAUUGUUGUCGAAAUAUUACAUGUAUCUAGACACCUUUUAAGAAUAGAUACAUCCAUAUUUAGACAAAUAUGAGACAAAAAUUUAGAAUCGGAGGGAGUAGCUAGAUAGACCGCAGGAAGCACUUUGUAAUAAGCAUAUCCAUUUCCUUGCUAUCGUGGCAAAUAUUUUUUUCAUAUUCAUGUUGAAAUUAAACUACCUUUUAAACUUUGCAUAAUAUUUAUUUUUCCUAACCGUGUUGACCUGUUGAUUUGGUCAAUGGAAAGUUGCAUAGGGCAAAUCAUGUUGAAAAACGGUCUCGCAGCUGACAGAUGCGUAUGUGUGUUGUUCCUUUCCCGUUCAUGUGUGGUAGCGUCACGGCAGAUAUCAGAGGGGAGCUAAGCGAUUUAGCUCCAACACCGAUGGCACAUGAUCAGGCUAUCCAAAAAACGGUCGCACUAGGAGGUCAUAUGUUUGCCCCAUGUUCAAUGAUGGGAGAGGCAGAGGAGAAAUUGAGCCUCAUAAAUAUACCUUACACCAAUGAGGUAAGAGUAACGAAGAUGGUUUUCAUAUUUCUUAUGUAACUAAAAGUACCUAUUUGCAAAUCGCCACUAUGAAACCGUCAUGUUUAAACAUAAGAUUCGUUCAAUCGCCCCAUGUCCAAUGAUGGAAUAGACAAAGGAGAAAUUGGGCCUCAUAAAUAUACCUUACAUAAGAGUAAUAAAGAUUAUUUUUCCGAAAAGGGAGGGCUCCCAGCCCUGCAUAAGAGUGACAAAAAUGGUUUUGAUAUUUCUUAUGUGAUUAAAAAUAACUAUUUAUAAAUCACCCCUAAGAAACCAUUCUAUUUAAACAUAAGAGUCGUUCAAUCAACCACAAAAGAGACGAGAAGAUCUGGAUUGGACGGCUAUCAAUAUCAACCGAAAAAUUACUAUUUCAAGUCAAUUGGUCUACAUUGAACUUUCGAAUGAAGAUUACUAACCAUGUCAUUCCAUAUUAGAAUGCAAUAACAAUAUUCAAACCAAAGAAUAUACUUUUUCUUGCUUCUAAAGGUCAAGUAAAAGAGCGAGUGAUGUCGCCAUUCAUGGCACUCGAGCAUAUAGCCAUAUACUGCUUUGCGUUUUGUGAUCAACUAAAUCUAUAAGAGCAGCUAGACUGUCUCUUUCGACAUGAUGACUCUACGUUGUUAUAUGUACACUUGUGUGUAAAAGGUUGGUAACAUUAGAGAACAGAUUUUCGCUAUACACGAGGUCUCACCAUACAAAUUAUGAAUCUGUUGAAAAGAAUGAUCCCGAGUUCAGGAUUCCGGGACAAACUUUCUAACCACCCUCUGUUCUUUGACCUGCUAGCAGGUUACGCUACUGACGCAUAUGUACACUUUGAGGCGAAAUUGCUAGACAUUUAUCCACAUCAAGAUUCGGUUGCCGAUUGUUUUGUUUACUCCUGCGUAACCAAUAUGCAUGUGUAUCUGAUUCGUCGCCGGCCUCGUUCCCAGAACUAUAAUAUUCACCGAGGCGCCUUGCAAUGGCAUGUAUGCAGUUUAUAAAAAAUACUGGGAGUAGCUACAGUUUGGCGGAAGAUGUCGCGUAUACGGCUUCACGGCGUAGUACAAAUGUACAAUACUACCAGAAAGGUUUGCCAGAACGAACUGUUUCUGAAAGAAAAACUGCAUGCCCCUUGCGUGCAUGAUUAAACAUUGGUCUGGAAUUAUAUAUGCAUAUUAAAAGGCAAAUCCCAAUCUCUGCUCAUUGAUACGUGGGCCUCGCAUAUCAAUAAGACAAUACAGUAACUACUGGUUUAAUUGUAGAUCUAAUAGCUUUUGUACCAACUCCAGCACAACACAGUCUCAUGGUGCCCAGUUGUCAAACCCAAAAUCUACAUAAUAUAGAGUUGGCAACAGCCGUUCCGUCAAAAAUAUGAAUUACGGUACCGACCCAGAUGAUGUGAUCGAGUAAAGGGAAAUAUGCAUGAGUCGUUUUAAAUCGUUUCUUGUAGCCCUGAAUUUAGUCUCAUCAUUGCCGCCCAUCACUCAAUGUGAAAUAGCAGAAAAUUUGGCGGGACAACUUUUCUUCAAGUGUAAGUAACACGUUUGGUUAAUUUUCUACAAACAGAGGUUAAUUUUCUAUAAGCAAGCACAUGAACCGAUGCCUGGAACUUAGUUUCGUCGAACGAAGUUAUUUAACCAAGGUGCUGAAAAUGUCAAACAACGAGAGCAAUAAAAAUAUAACACCAUGGUCAAUUAAAAUUCAGUGCCGAGCUUUUUCAGAAAUAGCAGAUAAGCCUCCCGCUUUUUCCUAGUUGAUCACCAGCUUUGUACUCCCUCCGUCCGGAAAUAAGUGACGCGGAUUUGUAUCUAUACACAAAUCCAUGUCACUUAUUUUGAGACGGAGGGAGUAUGUAUCAUUUGAGAGUAAAUUUACAAAACCACACUCCUUAGGGUUAGAAUUUCAUCCGGUCACAGUUAUUUUUUAGGAAAAUAUGUACAAGGCUAUCUAAAAACUCCGACAACAGUUAUCACUAAUAGUCUGCUAGAACAACAGUUUUUGGAGUUGUAUUUCUCACAAAAUCCAAAUCGGUUAAAUUAGGCCGUUUGAUGGUAUUUUUGACAGAUGAAACCCACCCAUCAUGUGUCACGUCAGACGGGCUGACCCGUUUCGUUGUCACGUCAGUUCCCGGACCCGACCCAACUCGACACAAAUUGAAGACUGGGUCGUCAACUCCCAUAUGUGUUCGUGUCACAAACUAAUGAAUAGCUAGAGCAUCACAGACUAAUGAUUUCAUCUAAUUAAGUACCGGCCGUCAGGUUGCAUCUGAACUGCAAAUUAAAGAACACAAUACAAGCUCAUUGGCUCAACAGUGUAGGGAUUUCAAACCGGGUCUCGCUUUUGUUCCGCUAUUAGGCCAUUAGGGACUUGCUAAUUCAUCUUUUUCUUUCAAAUUUUGACUUGGAGAUUUAAAGAUUGAUUUAGAAGUCGGACAUAUGCGGGAUCCCGAUUGUAUCUCUACGGCAAUGGCUCUCCAAAAAGAGGUUUUUGUUUUUGACAUCUGCUUUCCGAAAAGAGAUAUUUGGGAAUCGUGGUUCUAACUUUAGAUAGUCGGCUGUGUCUCUGUGACCACCUAAAUAACCACUGCUACAGUUACCAAUUAUAUGUGAUGUAGUCUAUAUCGAUUAAAUGUAAAGUUUAAGUAUCUACUAUAAUUCACAAGAAACUGCUUUUAUCCAUCAAUUUAUAGUGCACGUUACGUUGUUAAUUACCCCAAAUCUAGCUGCAGAUCAUGAAUGCGGCCAAUGAUUGAUGCACCUGCAUAUGCACCGGAUACUCACUAAUCAGUGGGGUCAGCGAGACAUUACAAAUUGAUUAUCUGUUACCCAAGUGGCCUUAAACUGCAGGAGCUAAUACUAAAUUGUCUGCUUUCAUUUUUGCAGAAAAAUCCUAAAUUUCAGAUCCAAGGUACGGGCAAGUACGGACGAGUUCAACUGUCAAUAUCGGUUUCUAUAAAGAAGCUGGGAGCGGGCGAUGAGCUCCUGAGAAACCGGACAACAUUCUAGAACCCUUUUUUAGAAACAUUUUUAGAUUGCAAAAUCGGUUGACAACCUAACCUCAAUUUUCUGUUUCUCUUGCAAGAGAACCUGUCUAUUUCUGGAGCCUGUCCCUGCCAUUUUUGUUCUGAUUCAAAUUUCUACGGUCACUAAAGCUGACCCCUCGGAGGCGAAACUUGCUGCUGAGGCUCCAGCUCAACAGCUCGUCCUCCAAUGAACGGCCCUACCAAUCCAUUUUCUAAACAGAUUGGCAAAAGAUGUCAUUGGCUUGAUUUGCAACUCUGCAAUGAUCGAUCAUUCGCCCUAGUUUCAUUAUUGGGCGAACCAGUGAAAGAAACAUGGCUCUAAAAUGUUACCUGAACAUCCAGAGGACUGAACCAGAUCUGGCGAGCUUCGGGGCCCCACUUACUCCUAAACAACUGAGAGACACGUCAUUCUCACCCAUCCAUAUAGCAUCUUCCUGUAAAAAACCCGGAAAAGACAGAGGCAUCAGCACAGUCCAAGGAAUUACGUACCGAAUUCCUCUUUUUUCAUCAUCCAAUCUCGAUCAACGAUCACGCCAGCCGGGUACUCCAAGUCAACCCUCCCCAGCGAAAAUCAGCGCACUCUCAAUGUCAUAGCUCAGGCCACCCCCGAGCGCCCUUCUUCUGUAUGCAUAAAAAAUGUUCUCGUUAGUUCAGCACGGAUUGAUGCCUAUUAAUACAACCAGAUAACUAGGGAGUGCCGAGCAAUGCCAACGAGCCUUUGCACAGGCAGCACAGCAGAACCCCCAAAGUGUCCUCACUCAACACCUACUACAAUGCUUGUCCUCUUCCUCCUCCUCGUCGCCACCUCGGUUUCAUUACCGGCGCCGGCGGCCGGCGUCGACGAAGGAGCCCUGCCGGUGACCAACGACUUCUCCCGCUCCUGUGGCUCCACGAGCAACCCACGGUUCUACGAGCCCAACAGCACGUUCGCGGCCAACUUGAAACUCAUGUUCGCGGCGCUCCCGAAGAACGCCUCGGCGUCCGGCGGCGGCUUCUCCGCGGGCGCGUUCGGCCGCGCCCCGGACACGGCGUACGGGCUGGCGCUCUGCCGCGGGGACUACACGGGCGACGCCUGCGCCUCGUGCCUGGCCAGGGAGUUCAAGGACGCCGGGAGCCUCUGCGGCUACAGCAAGGACGUGACCGUCUACCACGACCAGUGCCACGUCCGGUUCCACGACAGGGACUUCCUGGCCGGCGCCGGCAACGCGCCCGAGAUAUUCGCCCCGAACAUGAACAACGUGUCCCGAGGGAACGUGGCCGCGUUCGACAUCCUGGUGGCCCGGCUGGUGAACGCCGUGGCCGACAGGGCGAGCGCGGCGAGAAGCAGGUACGCCACGGGCCAGGCCGGCUUCGACGUAACGCCGGACAAGGUGAACGUGUACGGCCAGGCGCAGUGCACGCCGGACCUGGCGCCGGCUCAGUGCCGGGGCUGCCUGGCCGGCAUCAUCGGGCAGAUGCCGAGGUUGCUGAGCGGGAGGCUGGGCGGGAGGAUUCUUGGGGUGCGGUGCCAUUUCAGGUACGAGAAGGAGAUCUUCUUCUCCACCGGGGAUGGGAACAUGGUGACGGUCACGCCGCUGGUGAGCUCCUCCACAGGUGAGUACGUCUGAAUCUAGCUUGCUCUAGUUUUUUCCUUUUGAAAAAUCCAUUCUUUGUUCUAAUCCAGUCGCAGUACUACUUUCUCCAUUUUUAUGCAUCGUACGUUCCUAGUGUGUUAGCUUGUGGCCUUGGGCGUUGGAGUAUAAGCUUCCCCAAAGAGCUUCCUUCAUGCUAGCUAGUGUUAGGUUUGCCUUUCCUUUGAGUUUGAUAUGCAUGAUUCGACGAAUAAUAUAUGCCUUAGUUAGUUAUCAACGCACGUUACUGAGAACUUCUAGGAGUAGUGUAUGCGCACUUGCAUUUUCUCAAAUAUUCGAAGAUUUGGUAAGUGAAAAUUUGUCUACAUCAGUCAAAACCUUUUUAUUGGGAUUUUUUAGUAAGACACUUUCUCCCAAUAAACUUGUUUUUGUUUUAGCAGGGUCAGUAGAAUUAAUGAUAGAAAAGAUUGUCUUAAUUAUCAUACGAGCCUUCAUGCCAUUCAAAAAAGAUAAUUUAACAUAGGUAGCGUGACUUUUAAGCAAAAUGACUUAAAUCUUAGUUGACGACGUAUCACAACCAUUGGAUUAUAAUUUGAGGGCCAUCCACACUCUCCACUCUACCGCGUGCUAUUGUUGGACUAGGAUCCAACGGCCAAGCACGUCGACUGAUCUCUAACUAAAAAACAAAUGACUUCUUAAUAAAAAAAUCUUUUAACAUGUAAUAUACGGAGAGACUCAGUAUAUCUCUUAACGCCAUCUUUUGUUAGAAAAAUGCUCAUAUGUAUAUAAAAAUUUAUUAUAAUGACGAUAAUUAUAGAAAAAUGUGUGACAAAAAGAUGUAACCUAGUACAAUAGGAGUGGAUGUCUUAUCUUCCGCGUACGUAAAGAAAAGUUAAGAGAAGAUAAAUAUGUUUUUGUCUAUUCCCGUCUUUCUCUUACUAUUAUCGUCCAUAAUACAAUUCAUAUAAUUUGUGUCCAUUUCAACCAAAACAGCCCUUGUUUCUAGUGUGUGGGCAACCAAAUUGGUUUAAGAGGAUAUAGCAUAUGGGAGUUAUUUGCUUACGGCGGGAAUCAAUGAGCAAAUGAGCUAUAUUAUGGAGUAAAUAGAAGAGAAAAAAAGUCUAUACGAGAUAUAUACGGGAAUGGAGGGAGUAGAAGACAAGAAUUAUUCUAUGUGUCCACUUCAAAAUGAAUUAUUCUAUGUGGCAACGUGACAAUCGAUACAAAAAAUACUUUGUUUGUGAUCCCACUAGCAUGUUCACAACCAGUUUGUUUGCAAAAUUUAGUUUCAUUCAAAAUACCAAUGCUGGAUAAGCUACUUCAAUCCAUGUUGGAGCUACAUCGUCUAUUUUUAUUAGAAUGAACUGUAUUAUUUUUAUUUUUUCUUCUAGAGAUUGUGUUCUUGGAACCAAAAUUAGAAGCGACUUCAACAAUUUUGAGUUGUUCCAUCAUAUAUGGUGCGGCAAGUAUAACUUUGAUAGUAUUAUUUUUAUAUGUAAGACUUAUAUUCAGUUAAUUUGUGGCUCUAGCUAAAACGGUUCUUUAAUUUCGGAGUAAUUUUCAACCCAAGCAUGUUUUUUCAGUAUGUAAUUACCCCAAUAAUUAGAACAUAUACCUUGGAAAAUGUGGAUUUCCAAGAUUUAUCACAAUUGCAAUUUCCAGAAAAAUCUGAAAGUAGGACCCGCUUGCAUGACUUUGGUGCGUGCCCAUAUAUAUAAGAGUACGAAUCUGGCUAAAGUAUUUUUACAAGAUCUAUCAUUCCUGCAAAUAAAAAAGAAAGAUGAUGAUGAUAUUCGAUCUAAGUAUUUUGUCAGUCCAAAUCCUUUUUUUCUCUCUUGAGAAAAAUAUUAGAACCAAAUCCGGUCAUUUGGUCGGGCCCUUUCGGUCCCCUCCUUUGAAAACUGUAGAGCCUUUUCUCAAAAAUAAAAUCCUUCUUGAAAGCGUUCGUGCAUGCGAUGGAAUCAACGGCACCAACUUGGCAUUAUAUAAAAUAAAUUGAAAAUCUAGUGCAAAUCUAAUCCGGCCAUCUCAAUCAUAUGAUUGAAACAUCGAACAUGCAAUGUCCUAUUGCAUCUCGAACCAGGAACGAGUGCACUGCAUAUUGAAUUUUCCUAACCGGCAUGCACGCACACGUUCAUCCCCUUUUUAUGUAGUACGUACUCUGUCGUUCUUUGCACAAAACGGAGAAGGUACAGAAGUAAUCCUACUUACUCCUACAAAUUACAAUCAUCGAUGGAGUACUGUUUCCGUACGGGUACAGGCUGGCGCUACGAGUUGUGGAGAGAGGGAGCUGUUUUGACCACCGCUCGAUCUGUUUCCUUUUCCACACUGCCCACACGCCUUUGUGCAGUUUAUCUAGCAGGCAAGUCCACAGCCGGAUCCACGUGCACCACGAGGCGCUAGCUUUGGCCUGAGACGGGUUCCACCAUAUCCUGGCUAUUGAUUAGUUCCGGCGGUUCCCCCUAGAUCGAGAAGUUCUGGAGAUCUAGCCUUUUCCUUCCUCCUCUUUGUUCCCCUCCUUCCUUUGAACAGCCAUGGCCGGCCGGGCCACCUUGCCUCCUUUUAUAAUCUGUUCUCGCAGAGCCGCGCACUCCCAUGCAUAAAGAAUCCGGGUGCACACAUGUGUGCAUGUCAUGCACGUAUAUAUCCGACAAAAUUAAGCAUUUGAUUAUGGACAAGGAGUCGGUACGUUCGCUGCUUUGCUUCGUUGGGGAUUGGAUGUUCACAUCAUGUCGGCCCCACGGCGGCGACCGGCAGGCCGGGAGACCCCGAUGUUUGACUCUGCUUGGGUCGUCUUUGAUCGCCCGAUUGGUACGUGUGAGUAUUUGAUCGAGUACAAGACUUUUGUCGCGAGAUCAGCGGACCCGCCAUGCUUGCUUGUCUCAGUUAGCAACUUCCGGGUGGCCCCGUGAAGACGACGGAUUCAUUCUCUAGUCUGUAAUUCUGAUUGUCACGAUCCUAUAUAUGGAGUAUGCAUAUAGUCGCCAAUAGUAAUGACUAAGGAGGAGACCGAUUACGUACGAGCUGGUUUGAUCUGGCCAAAACGUUUCUACUUUCAUCGGCCAUGCAUGGCGAAUUCUGCCCCUCCAACUUGAACCUUUUAAUCUCCACGCCAAAAAGAAUUGGAACCUUUUAAUCCAACAAUAGAUGUUCUUUUCGUACAGGGAGCAGGAGCAGCAGCAGCAGCACACUUUGGAUCGUCGCGAUAGUGGUCCCUCUAACCGUGCUCCUCUGCGGCUUCUCGGCGUGUUUCCUGUGGAUGAGGCAGCGGAGGAGAAGAGGUACCUGCGACAAGUUCCAGCCAGUGAAAUUAAAAUGCUGUGUUCCGAUCGUAAUUAACUUACGGAAUGUGCAUGUGCAAUCAGCGACCAAUCUGUCAUCAGGGAGGGUGGGCAUGGCAAGCAUGUCCAUGGAGAUGGAGCAGGUGCUCAAGCUGUGGAAGAACGAGGAGAGCGACUCCGAGUUCUCGCUCUACGAUUUCGACCAGAUUGCAGACGCCACUCGUAACUUCUCCAACGACUACAAGCUCGGCCAGGGUGGCUUUGGCCCUGUUUACAAGGUAACUAAAAUUUUCACACUCAAAAGGAAGGGCAAGCCUCCGGAUACUGAAUUAGUUUUUUUCUUUCUUUUCGGAAAGGGAUACUGAAUUACUGAUACAGCUAUAGGGUUUUUUAAGAUCGUCAGUGCAUUUGCUUUGCUUGCUGCAAAUAUAAGCUAAGCUACGUGUUGUCGUAUUUGUGUUCCAGGGCGAACUGAGUGGCGGGCUUGAGAUUGCGAUCAAGAGGCUGUCUUCGUGCUCGGUGCAGGGGUUGAUGGAGUUCAAGACCGAGAUCCAGCUGAUCGCAAAGCUCCAGCACACUAACCUCGUCAGGCUCCUGGGCUGCUGCGUCCAGGCCGAGGAGAAGAUGCUCAUAUACGAGUACAUGCACAAUAAGAGCUUGGACUGCUUCAUCUUUGGUACGCAUUCUCCGUUCGUCGAUUUUACCUCGGCGAAAUCCUCCUUUUGUUGUGUUUUAACUGUUGCUAUUCACAGACAGUGCCAAGGGGGCGAUACUGAACUGGGAGCGGCGAUUCAGAAUAAUCGACGGCAUCGCGCAGGGCCUUCUUUACAUGCACAAGCACUCGCGCCUGCGGGUUAUACACAGGGACCUUAAAGCAAGCAACAUUCUCUUGGACCGCGACAUGAACCCCAAGAUCUCCGACUUCGGUUUGGCGAGGAUAUUCUGCUCCAACGUGACGGAGGCCAACACGACCAGGGUCGUCGGCACACAGUAAGUACUUGAAUUCAUUCAGCCAUACCUAGUCCCAAUUGGAAUGGUUGUCUUCAGCGUCCAUACAUAGCCUGGAUGACACUGAAUGUUUUGUGCAUUACUUAUGAUCAGUGGUUACAUCGCUCCGGAGUACGCUUCCGAGGGUCUCUUCUCAACGAAAUCCGACGUUUUCAGCUUCGGCGUCCUGCUUCUGGAGAUCAUAAGCGGGAAGAGGACUGCAGGCUUCUACCAGUACGGCAAAUUCUUCAACCUUACCGGAUACGUAAGUCGAUGCAAAAUUGCUCAAGAACCCCUUAUCUGCAACAAACAGUCACUUAUAUGUGAUUCUUUUUUCAGGCGUACCAGCUGUGGCAAGAGGCGAAAUGGCACGAGAUGGUCGACCCGGUGCUCGGGGAGGACUACCCGGUGGCGGCGGUGAUGAAGUGCGUGCAGGUGGCGCUGCUGUGCGUCCAGGACAGCGCCGACGACCGCCCCAACAUGUGGGACGUCGUCGCCAUGCUCGGCAGCGAGGGGCUGACGCUGCCGGAGCCCAGGCAGCCGGCCUACUUCAACGUCAGGAUCUCCAGCUUCCCGGAGUCCACGAGUUCCUUUGGCGAGAUGUCGUACAUUAGCAGCGUCACCUUGACGGAUGAGGACGGCAGGUAGUGCAGGAGGGAGUUAAUCUCGCGUGGUUAAGUAAUUUAUACAAGCUUGGUAACUGUAUAGGAGUAUGUCAUGAUCAGAUUUACCAAAAGGAGGGAACAUAAUAAUAGGCUGACAUGUUAAUUUACGGGACUUUGUAUAUGACAAUGAGAUCUCUAUGACAAUCGACUGAAAAUUGAAAUCUCUGCUUGCUCGUCUUGGGGAAAAAAAUGGCUCCGUGCUUUGCGGCUGUUGUUCUCGGCUCUUGCUAUUUCUCUGCUUGAGGCCCAAGCCCAGGCCUACCAGCUCUUGCUAUUUCUCUGCUUGAGACUCAAGCCCAGGCCUACCGUUAAGUUUUUUUUUGUGAGGCAGCUCCUCAUUAAGCUUCCUUGCGAGGCAGCUCGUUUAGCAAUUUUUUUUUUUAAAAAGAAGAAGCAAAUUUGUUGAGCUGGUGCAUGGCCGACAUCUGCCGACGUCUGGUCGUAGCAGAGGACUUAUUCUUUUCUUUUUUUAGACUUUGAGUCAUCCUAUUUCGUCUAUCAGUUUUGCUAGCGCAUUGCCAAAAAAAACUUUACUCUUUUUAAUCACGUAGAUACGUAUUGUUAUACUAUGUUAAAGGAUGUGUGUUAUUUAUACGUAAUAUUAUAUCAGUAUAAAAUAUUAAAACUCAGGCCAUUGUAAACCGUUUGUAAGAAUUACGCUUGACGUGAUACUAGAGUAAUACAUUCAAUGAAAUUCAGAUCACGAGCAUCAUAUAUUGAUCGCUAGAAAUGUAUAAAUAAUCAAUCUAAGCCAUAUCUAAAAAAGUAGGCACCAUGCCUAGAAAUAUGGGAGUAUAUCAUGUUUUGAACAUGUGACAAUGUUUUAUUAUAAUUUGGUUUUAGAUUGUAAUCCACGGUUAAUGUGUAGAACAUGAGCUAGCAGGUCGUUUAACGUUUGCAUCUGCAGAUUGAUUAUUUGAGAUAAUAUUAUCUAUGUAUAUAGAACUUAAGUUCAGAUCACCUUUCACCUUUCAGCCACGGAUCUUUAGUUGAGACGCUAACCAUACGUGAUAUUUAAUCACAAUUAUACACAAAAUUAUAGUUGACAUAUUGAAUUGAACACAUGUACACACAUUAUAUUAGUAGGUAAUAUUUUUAUGAUACUUCCUCUGGCCGGAAUUACUUGUCACUGAUGUAGUACAACAUUGUACUAAAUUUAGGAAGUAAUAUGGGUCGGAGGUAGUAGUAAAUUAUAAUGUGAAAUAAAAAUUCUAUGUGAUUAUUCUAUUGAUGCUCGAAUUAAAGUUUAUACAUGAGCAAAUUGUUUUUUUAAGUGUUUUGUUCGCCAGCAAGUCAUCCGGACAUACAUGGUGUAACUAGCAGUCAGAUCGAGUUAAAUGUGGGAUCACGUGUUAGAAUGUAGAAUAAUAACUCAUGGAUGUCAAAAGAUAGAUUAUUGUGAAUGGAGCUAAGCUUAAUACUUAUAAAGUGCAUAGGAAAAGAGACUUCACAAAUUUCGUUACUUAUCUGUAUCAAUGUACAGAAGACAUUCGAAUCCAAGGCAUAUGUGCUCUAACGACUGAAUCAUAUCUGAUCUAGUAUACAUUCGAAUCUAGUGCUAAUUACGAAUCUUGCCUGGAUAUAACCGAUCUGUGCAUCUUGUUGCCUUUUACGGUGACGACUCUGCAGAAAACCAAACAGAGUUCAGAACACAGAACGUAAUGAGCACAAACACAAUCAAAUUCGAUAGUGUGGGAGAAGAAGAAUUGAUUACUUGGAGAUGGAGGUGCCGCAGGAGCAGGAGCCCUCAACGGCGGUACAUUUGGCGCUGUCAGAUUCAUACAUUAAAAAGGAGUCAAUAAGGUUCUGACAAAAAAAAAACAGUGGAUGGGAACAAGGAGUUGGCUGAAAAAACUUACAUGAGCACUGGGCAAGCGCCUGCAGCGGGAGCGGGACGUUGCAGUCGCCCGGGAGGGACAUCAUGCGCAUGGAGUCCAUGGGCGCGGGCAUGAGCGUGUUGAUGUCGCCGUUGAGGCCGUGGCAGAGGCAGAUGGGGGCGGUGUCGACGAGCGACUUGAAGCCGUCGCAGCACGCCGUCGGAGGCGACGACACGCUGGUGUUGGUGAGGUAGCCCAUGCACGGAUUCAGCCCCAUCAACGACGGCAGGCACUCCUUCGGUUGCGAUGGCGACGGCGAUGACGGAGGCGGGGUUGACACAGCUGGGGGAGGCGUCAAUGGCGUCGUCGGUGGUGGUGGGAUUGACACAGGGGGAGGCGUCAAUGGGGUCGAUGGCGGUGGGAUUGCAACUGGAGUUGGGGGAGGAGGGGAUUGAGGCGGCGGAUUGACGGCUGGGAUUGGGAGGCCGGGGAUCGGAGGCACUGGGAGGCCCGGGAUCGGAGGCAGGGGUGGACAGCCGGGGUGUGGCGGCAAUGGCGGCAGCGGCGGGAAGCCCGGGAUGUUGGGGAAGCCGGGCCAUGUCAAUGGAUGUGCGACGUCGGCGUUGGUGCUGGAGGCUUGUUGAUCAUCUGCUGCGGGGUUGAGGACUCCUUGGGCCCUGAUGGCUUCCGAUGGCUGCAGCGCGGCCGCGAGGAGGGCCAAGGCGAGGAACAAAGCCACGGUGAGCUGCUUGGGUGGCUCCAUCUCCAUGUUUGUUUGCUUGCGUGAUCGAGGCCGGGGGUUUAUCUGUCGCGUUUGCGUUUUGUGGUACGACGAUGCAUUGGGCCUGCUGAUCAAUUUAUAGGAUGCCUUGGCACGUUAACUUGAUAAACUUUAGAUAAGGCAGUUUGAAAACCGAUUGCAUGGGACUCUUUAACGCAUCGAUCAUUCUACCUGUCGGGAGUGGACUCUCUGUGGUUCUUUAAUCUGUGCCUUUUAGUUAGGACAUCGAUCUAUAUCCACUCUUAAAUUAAACCAAGACCAAACUGUUUUCUCCAAAAAACAAAAAAGAGAGAGACCAAACUGCUACCGUAUUACGGGAUAAACUCGAAUCUAUGCUAGGUACCUUCUAGUUAUCGAUCCACACAUCUCUGACAUUGCAAUGUUAUGUCCAUAAUGAGCACUUUUUUUAGCCGAUAAGUAAUCCAUAGGUUAGAGCUAUCUUAUCCCAAUUCUUAUACGUACUGUAGUAUCAUUGUUGAUUAGCUAGAGAUAGAAGCUUACAAACUCUGCUGGAAGUCCAAGUCUCCAAGGACGAGGAUCAUUGAGUCUUGAAUGAAUUACUAGAUUUUAUUAUUAGAUUAUCAUAGUCCAAUGUCGACAGUACUAAGUUAAAUUCAAAUUAUCAUGUAGUGGGACCAAGUUUGAUAACCAGGAGCCUCAUUCAUGUAUAGUGUGCAAGUCUAUGAUCAGUAAGCUAACACACACCAAUCAAUUGGUAACACAUAACAAACAUUCCAAAACUAAACAAAUACUUAUAUAUGAAUGUACCAUGAAGUCGAGUUCUUGGCACUACUACAGAACAGUUAAUCUCGCCUUCUAAACCAUCUACUCCGACAAAAAGGGGAACUGCCAGUAACUAUGUGUCAAUGGUGACAGUGUCACUUCCUGAAGCGUUAGCGAACACCAUUGACGGGUCAUCCAUAAUGAGCUUUAGAGGUCUCCUUUUCUUGGACCACCAGCGGUGCGCCAGGAGGUGGCACAUACCGUUUUCUCUAACGCGUCUCUUGUGGACGUGUCAGAGAUGACUUGUCUACAUGGCUUAUGGAAUAUUGUCCAUGUAGCUAUGACCAUUUAGUUUGACGCUUCGUCGAUGUGUGUCGGUGGUGGUCGUGCAGGGUGACAAGUUUUAUAGUAGUGACCCUAAGGAUGCCUUCAUGCCUAGGGGUCACAAACCCACCAUAGACACGGUUCGAUAAGUGUUUUGAUACACCUUUUUCAAAUAUUUAUGAUUUUUUUAUGCAGAUCAGUGGUCAAGAUAAAAAAAGGGGUCCUUCGAAUGUUGACAUAUCCAGAUCCACUCUUCCCAUCUUGACGUUCUUCCAUGUAGUUCAGUAUGAACCUAUAUGAUAUACCAUGUUUAUGCAAACUUGGACCAACCUUAGAAGUUUUAAAAACCACAUAAGCUAUUCUCACCUCGAAAGUCCGAAACCUUAGACUGUUGAACACACAGUAGUGUCCGGCUCUGAAAGCACUGCUUUUUUGGUUGACGCGGAUAAACACUAAAUGUACAAAAGGACAAACCGUGAGAACAACUACUACAUAGAGUAGGUCGUGAUACCCCACACAAUGACGAAGAUAAAGUCGAAACGUUAUUUCGGACGAUGCCUCUUAUCAUCAAGACAUCACUACCAAGGACACACCCAGCCCAACUUUUUUUCAAAAAAAAAAAACACCCAGCCCAACAAAGGUUCUGAAACUGAAUGUGAUUCCCCUCGUCUCUUGAUGUCAGAUCGGGUGUUAGAGACAAGACGGCGAACGAUUCACACAAAGCAGCACCCAGGGUUUGGUUACGUUGCCUUCUUAUUUGAAACCCAAUUCUAUUUUAUUUAUUUUUUAAAGGUAAACCCAAUUUUGUUGUGCAUGAGGGUAUCUUGACAUUGAAGCUGAAAUUCGUUGUGAUGUGUUCAUAGAGCAUGAAUGUCUCAGAGUUGUCAGUAUAUUCUAUUGCCGUUAGAAAUUGCCUUUUUUCGAAAAAAGGUGGAAGCCCCAUCUUCUUCUGCAGCAAUCGAUGCACACAACCAAUUUCAUUGCAAAGUUAUAAAAAGUAGGUCUUACCGAUCAUCGGUUUGCGAUCGUGGAUACAAUAAUAAGCCAUCAAAAAACAUCAAUCAUAACGAAAUUAUAAUUAAAGGUGUCUAGUACACCGUCAGCCAGCCCGAGAUACCAUCUCCAGCCGGCUGCAUCCAAUAGCCUGCAUAGUGGAGCUUAUACUUAACCUUUUAAAAUGGAUUCUUUUCGAAGUCUGGUUGAGAUUAUUUACUGUGAAAAAGUUACAUCGCCUUGAUGAAUGGAAUACACUAUUGAAUCAGAUUAUACUAUCGCGUACCCUUACAUUUCAUUUUUAGCGUCCCUUCGAACUAACAUUGUACUCCUUCCGUCCCAUAUUAAGUGACUCAAAUUUGUCCAAAUAUGAAUGUAUCUAUACCAAAAAAACGUCGAUAUAUAUAAUAUUUCGUCACUUAAUAUGGGACGGAGGUAGUACUAAAUUGCGGCACUUAUUAUGGAUCGGAGGGAGCAAUUGUGUUGGUACAUGGGUUUAGCAACGAGCUUAGCUUUCAAAUUUUGAGAAUUGAGAGACCAGUCUAUAAAUACCGUCAUGGAGUACUGUUCUUUCGAUGUGAGAAAUCUCCAGACACACAUAGAGCGGUUUUGGUGGGAGCAGACAAGUGGCUUGUGAGAAUGUCAAAUGGCCUGAGCUAUCUGAUCGCGAGCAGCAUCGCAUCUGUUUCCCGGUGGAGUUCAUUGAUUUUCUCCUAGAUUGAAACAAUCACAAGAUCAACGUCUCCACAGCUGAAAAACAGCCAGGCAACUGUAAUACGGGCCUCAAAGUCAAUGUGCUAACCAUGCAUUCUGGUAGACAUGAUUAGUGUGAUGUGUCCAUCCAAGCCGUCAUCGGACAAUAACCUCGCUACUGUUUUGGUCGACAUCAGCCGGCCACGACGAUUGAUUGAUGCCUAAACCGAGAAACGCUGAGAAUGACAUUCACUCUCAACUCUCAACUCAGCCCGGCGGUUCCGGCACGCAGCUAGUGCUUUGGUUUUCACAUGUGCAUGGUAAAAAAAAAGACUUCUCCUCGUGUAUGCCCUGCUCUGCUUUUUUAAUCCAAAAAUAAAUUGUCCUGCUCUGCUCUGCUUUCGUGGUUAUCUACGAGAUCAAUUUCUUGCCCGUCCUGGUACUUCCGUAAUUCUUGAUUUUGUUGCAGCACAAUGACUAACGAAAGAAAGUUCUCGACCGAAAGAACCCCUCGCAAAAAAGAAGAAGAACGGGGCAUGGCCAGAGGAAAAAAAAAUCAGAUAGCAACCACCAUUUUGUAUCCUUUGACUUUGCCAAUGCGUUUAAAAUUGGGAAAGUAGAGCAAUAACCAUGGAAAUGAAGUGCCAGACACUUCUCUAGUUUUCAGUUUUUCACGAUGAAAGAGGCCGGCAUCGGCAUGGUUGUCGUCCUCCUCCUCCUCCUUUUCCUAUCCAGGCCGCUCGCGGCCGACGACGCCUACUCGGAGUACUCCUGCAAUGGCACCAGCGGACACUACACGGCGCGCGACGCCUUCGGGGCCAACCUCGAGCGCCUCACCGCGGCGCUCCCCGCAGACGCCUCCGCCGCACCGUCGCUCUUCGCGUCCGCGACCGUCGGCACCGGCCCUGACACCGUCUUCGGCCUCGCGCUCUGCCGCGGCGACAUCACGGACGCCAGGGCAUGCUCCGGCUGCCUCGAUGACGCCUUCAGGAAGCUGCGGGGCCUCUGCGCUGGCAUCAGGGACGCCACGUUCUACCAAGACCUCUGCACGCUCCGCUACUCGGGCGAGGACUUCCCGGCGCGUCCCGACGACAACGGUCCCGUGAUCAACGCCAUGGACGUGAACGGGUCGACGUACGCCGGGUGGGACAGCCGCAACGCCACGUCCCGGAGCACCUUCCUGUCGCUGGUGGGCACCCUGUUCUCGGAGAUGUCCAUGUACGGCGCCUACAACUCCACGGCGCGCCGGUUCGCCACCGCCGCCAUGUACGUCAACCCGACGCUGCCGACGGUGUACGGGCUCGCGCAGUGCACGCCGGCGCUCUCCCCGGCCCAGUGCUGGCACUGCUUCCAGGGCCUCGAGGCGCUGAACCGCCAGUGGUACGACGGCCGCGAGGGCGGCCGCAUCCUCGGCGUCCGCUGCAACUUCCGCUACGAGGCCUACCAGUUCUUCGCCGGUUCCCCGGUUGUCAAGAUUGGCUUCUCUGAUGCUCCCCAAUCUUCGCCUACAGCUAAAGGAAGCAACGGUAAGGGAGAAUGUGCAGUAUGGAGCGACUUUAAUUUGUUAAACUUUUUUUCAGGUGUGCUAGACUGCUGAUAUGGCUUAAUUAUGUUUUCUUCUGCGUCAUGCAGGAAGCAAUCACAAGAUGAUCUUAAUAAUUGUUCUAUGCGUGUCGAUUUCGGUGCUCUGUUCUCUCUUAGUCGGGUGCCUUCUGCUGAUCAUCAGAAGAGUAAGAAAAGGAGGAGGUAAAAGACGACGACACGAUGCGAGAAAAUCAUGUAUUCUUUUCUCCCAGCUGUCUAAAUAGUUGGCGAAUUUCCAAUCCAGGGAAGACGAAAUUACCCCAUCUACAACCACAUUCCAGAAGCAGCUCGAAAACAGAGGAAGCGCUGAAGCUGUGGAAGAUCGAGGAGAGCAGCUCAGAGUUCACGCUGUACGACUUCCCCAAGCUGGCUGCCGCCACGGAUGACUUCUCCGAAGACAACCGGCUCGGAAGAGGCGGCUUCGGGCCUGUUUACAAGGCAAGCUAUAAUCCAUUACCAGCGAACAAUGUUGCAUAAAAUGCGCCGGAUGAAUAGAUGAUAGAUCAAACGCUAACCUCUACGUUUACCGAUCCCAUUUUCCUGUUUUCCGUUUUCAGGGUACGUUGCCUGAUGGAACCGAGGUGGCGGUGAAGAGGCUGUCGGCGCAGUCCGGGCAAGGGCUGGUAGAGUUCAAGAACGAGAUCCAGCUGAUCGCCAAGCUGCAGCACACGAACCUGGUGAAGCUCCUGGGGUGCUGCGUGCAGGAGGAGGAGAAGAUGCUGGUGUACGAGUACUUGCCCAACAGAAGCCUAGACUUCUUCAUCUUCGGUAAAAUUAAAUUAAUUCAUGCUAGUAAUCCCAAUAGUCUCAUUUUGGUUAGUUCUUCUGUGAUUGUUCUUACUGAUAAUCUGAGUGGCGUGUCUGGCAUGUAGACCAAGAGAGAGGGCCGUCGCUGGGUUGGAAGAAACGGCGGCACAUAAUCGAAGGGAUCGCGCAGGGGCUGCUGUACCUGCACAAGCACUCCCGCGUGCGCAUCAUCCACCGGGACCUCAAGGCCAGCAACAUUUUGCUGGACGGAGAUCUGAACCCCAAGAUCUCCGACUUCGGCAUGGCCAGGAUCUUCGGCUCCAACAUGACGGAGGCCAACACCAACAGGGUCGUCGGCACCUAGUAAGACAAAAUUAAACAUCCAAUUUCUCACAAUGCUCAACAGGCAACAGCAGUGCUCCAUCCAUCGAUUAAAGGAGCGUGCGGAUUGACCACUAAUGAUGCUCCAAAUCUUGUUUUUGGGAUGUACUCCUGUACAGCGGUUAUAUGGCCCCUGAGUACGCUUCCGAGGGCAUCUUCUCGGUGAAGUCUGACGUGUUCAGCUUUGGUGUGCUGCUGCUUGAGAUCGUGAGCGGCAAAAGGAACAGCGGCCACCAACACUACGGGGAAUUCGUCAACCUCCUUGGCUACGUAAGCUUCUUCUCAUCCGAGAAUUUUUAAUUAACCCCAAGAACUUAACAAGAACACGACACGUCCUAAUUGCGACCUUCACAUUUCUUAAAUCCUUUCACAAUCUCAUUCCAAAACUAACUACAAAACGAUCGCCGCCGGCCUUGUCGACUAUCAGUCAAGAUUUUUCUCUCCUAGCGUUUACAUUGGCAACAUACGUCAACCGACAGAGAUUUAUAUAUUACAGACUGGAACCUUAGUAGUAGUAGAAUAUUAACUAGUGAUGCGUACGUGUUAAUUUGGGUUGGGUGUGAGUGCAGGCAUGGCAGAUGUGGAUGGAAGGGAGAGGGUUGGAGCUUGUGGAGCCGACGCUGGGGGAAUGCGGCGAGGUGGCGAGCAUAAUGCGGUGUAUCAAGGUGGCGCUGCUGUGCGUUCAGGACAGCGCGACGGACCGGCCGACGAUGACGGAGGCGACGGCGAUGCUGGGCAACCACGGGGUGCCGCUGCCGGACCCGAGGCGGCCGCCGCACUUCGACCUGCGGGUCAACAGCGGCGACGACGACGAUGACGACGAGGAGGAGGGCGGGUCGGGUCAGGAUGUGGUGCGGGCGGGGUCGCACUUCACCGGAUCGUGCAGCACCAACGACGUGACCAUCAGCACCAUCCAAGAAGGAAGGUAGUAGCGAGCAGCAACGGCAUCCGUUGAUCGUUAAUGGAGUACCCGUGUUUUCUCCUCCUCUUCGUUUGGGUUUGAGAUGUUUCUGGCUGCUACCUGACAUGUACUCACUACAUUGUACGUGUACCAAAGCAUCUGCGGUCUGGCAGUGCUUUUGACAAACGGAUAGAGAAAAGAAAAGGAGUAGUACCAAAACUGUACAUUGAUCUGGACAGAAUGCAACAGAGUCGCAUGGUUUGCUCUUGACAGGCGCAGGUGUGAAGAUUGGUGUGGUCAGCCGGCGAGUAUUCAAGCCGUGCAAAUGCGAACCUAAUGAUGGCGUCUUUGACUUCGCACGGUGGGGAACCACUCUUAGAAAACUUCCAGGAUCAUUACCUAGUCUAACAGCACAUAAAACACCAAAGCGUGAAACUAUUUGAAAGCAAAGUCUGCUCGUUUAGCGCCAAUUCGUCAACGGAUGAUGUAUCAGGUCAAAAUGAGCAUCUUCUCAAUAAAAAAUUUAAAACUUUGCAAAACAAAUUGAGCAUCUUCUCUGCCGGUCACUCGUGCUUGCAUUUUUUUUAAUGCGGUAAGGUUUCUUUCGAGAGACUUCAUAGCACAGUUUCUCUGAGGGCGGGCGUCCAUCGCGUUUCUGCUUGUCAUUCUCAGUGGAUGCAUCAGCAACUAGCAAUGUAAUUGCCAUUGAUGAUACCUCCACAGGCGCACCCUGCUUCCAGCUUGCUUUUGAAAGGAGGCAGUACUCCUGUACAAAACCACUCUAUAGUCAGCGUGCAUAAAAAUAGGUUAUAGAGCAGUACCAUAGGUAAAAGCAGAUUAUGGAUGUUGAUACCUAUUGUGCUGGUUAGGGACGGAGACAAGCCCAGGCAGUCGGGGCCGCGGCCCGGGGCGCAGAAACUUUUUCCUUUGGUAAUUUUGGUGAUUUCACGAUUUGGCAUGGGCUUACUUGCUAAUUCCAGUGAUUUGGAGCAACGGUCUUGGUCUUGGUCUUGACAGUAGGAUUCACCGCAUACAGAUAACAUAUGAGAUGUGCACAUGGCUGAGAACCUCUCGUCUUUGCUGCAAUCGACUUCAGUAAGUUUGUCCUCAACAUAAAUCUCUUUACCCUUCUUGCCCUUUUUGUUCUUCCAUUUUAAGUUAUAACCGUUUACACCAUUAGUUGCAUUUGGUCAGCACCAACCAAGAGCUCCGACUCUUCUUUAGUUGCUUCUCGCUCAAAGCGUUCCUCUAGAAGCUUGUCCUUUCCUUUCCCUUUAUCUCUGGCCUUCACCUUCUAUUUAUUGAUUCGCUUUACUUCGUCACCAGACUUUUCAUUGUGUACAGAAAGCAUAGAUGGAAUUUUCUUCAAAUGAGAGAUUACAUCGUACUUGACUAGAAUCAUUUGAGACUGCCUCAUUCUCUUCAUUUUUUGGAAGAUGAUGGGGGUCAGCUAAUUGACGACCAGAUCUAAGCUGAACCUAAUGGACUUCUAACGGUUCCUCUUGAAGGAAGUAAAAAGACUCAUCCUCUUCCUUUAACACACCAAUAAUGAGAACAUUGAAUUCUUCACUAGAGACGUCCAUGCACUUUGCCAAGUGUGGAUAUAUCUUCAGAGCGAAGCGCGGGAGAGAGAUUGAUUCCAUCACUCGGGAUGGUGCACGACAUUUUGGCCGUUGUUGCCACUGGCCAUGGGAUAUUCGAGGAACCGAUGGAUUGGGUCUUGUAUUGUGGUUGCAGGGAAUAUAAGCCUCUCCUUUAUGUUGAUCUUGUGACUUGGCAAAGCCUUCAAUGAUCAUAGGAGUGGAUUUAUAUUCUGAAAUCAGUAUUUAAUUUUCAUCACAAGUUGGCCUCAUAUUUGAAUUCAACGAAUCAUCUCAAAGGAUGAUGACAUUUGUUGUAACCAUCUUCUCUGCAUUCCUUAUGCUUUUGGGGAGACCCGCAUCAAUAGUCCACUCAUCAAUCAUUUUCUGGAUGAUAUUCUUUAUAACAAAGCAAUCUAUGAGCUUACGACCCAAACUGCGAUGGUGAGAACUAAAAAUUGGCUCAGUGAACUUGGAAGCUUCUUUUGGCCUUUUAGACUUGAGCUCUCUAUUUUGACGCUCACCAAGAGUCUUAUUUAUUUUUUAUAUCCGUAACAGAGAUAAAUCUUAUAAAUCUUCUUAAGCCUAAAAGGGCAGAAGAAGUUCAAUGAGUCAAAUUUAUGUCCUUACCAUCGCAUAUUAGGUCAUACACUCAAAGACUGCUCUGUUAUAAAGAAUAUCAUCUAGAAAACUCGUGAUGAGUGAACUGCUGAUGCAAAUCUCCUUAAAAGCAUAUAAAAUGAAAAGAAGAUGGUUGCAACAAAUGUCUUCACCCUUCGAAAUGAUUCGAUGAGUUGUGCAUCUUCAAAUAUGAGGCCAACUUGCGAUGAUGCAACGGUGAUCCCAAAAUAUAAAUUCACUCCUAUGAUCAUUUCAGGUUUUGCCAAGUCGCAAGAUCAGCAUAAAGGAGAGGCCUAUAUUCCCUUCAGCCACGAUACACGACCUGGUUCAUUAGAUCCUCCAAGGUCCCAAGACUAGGGGCAACAUCAGGAAAACGACGUGUACUACCUUGAGUGAUUGAUGCAAUCUCUCCUUCCGCUUUGUUCUGAAGAUAUAUCAGCACAUGCCAAAGCGCAUGAAGAUCUCUAGUGAAGAAUUCAACAUUCUCACUAUUGGUGUGCUUGGGGAUGAUGAUGAGUUUCUUUACUUCCCUGAAGAACCAUUAGAAGUUGACCAGGUUCAACUUAGAUCAGGUCAGGAAUUAGCUAACCAUCAUUCUCUCCUUAAAAGGACUCAAAAAGGAAGGAGCCGAUCCCAAACGGGUCGAUGGAAUCUACCUCUAGGGUUCGAGUCAAGUACGAUGUGAUCUCUCGUAUGAAGAAAACAUUGGUCUAUGUGGAAAGUCUAUGUGAAAAAUCACCAUUGUGUUAUGAAAAUAAUAAUAGUGGCAUGGAUCAAGAGGUAAGAAACUUACAAACUACUUAAUGAGUGUCAUAUAGAAGGCAAGGACGAAAGAUGGUCCAAUACACAACUAACAUAUCAAUAACUAUGACAUGUGCAAAAAUGGAGUGUCCAAACUAAUUAGGGGUUCACAAACCAAGACGAGAAAACAAUAGGUUACCUGUGGGGCAGAGUAAACUUCGCUGCAAGACAAGGAUAGGUGGUAUGAAUUGAUGUGGGCAACCAUGUAGCUUACGGGCAUUGUGAUUAUAGUAAUUAUGUUGCAGCUUAAAGAAAACAGUUCAUUUCCACAUCUUUCAAAUAAUUCAUUUACAUUCAAUUUAUAUUAAUCUUUGCAUCUAAUUGUAUCAGUUUUACCCUCUGUUUUAAGCCAAAUAAUUAAGACACUGCCAAUGGGAGGCCUCUCUGUUGGAACUCAGCGUUGUGCAGCACCCUGAGAUGAAAAUCUAUCAUUAGGGAUUAGGCUAUCAAGCAGCAGCUUAAUGCUCCUUUCCAUAUGGAAAUUGCCAUGCUAAUAUGCUGGAGUAUCUGGAGAACUCGUAAUGAUCACAUCUUCAAUGGGGUGAAUCCCUCUCUCUAUAGGUGCAGAAAGAUCUUUAAGGAGGAGCUCAACCUUGUGUUCCAUGGGGUAAAAAGAAAGAAGCGGGGCAGAUUUAGAGACUGGAUUCAGAAUUUUAGAUAGACUCUUGUUAACACCUUUGUUAGCAUUUUGUACAUACAUUUACAUUUUUAAUAUAUUUGCAGUAGAUCAUUGAUCUACUGUUUUACUUUUUCCUAAAAAAGAAUCUAUCAUCACAGCAACCAGAAAGGAAAUGUACGUCAACGAAAACAAUUUUGUCAAAAAUACUACAUACUACAACAGGUGCAGAAACCACAACACUUUUAAUAUCAAUAUCGUCAAUACUUUCAUCUUGCUUCAUUUUGUAAGAUUGUGCAGAACAAAUAUCACCUUUUCAUGUGCUGGAUGCUAAUAGUUAAUCAGUAAGCACCCAGCUUACAAAAUUAACACAUCAGACUAAUUCGGCUAUUAAAUAAACUAUCAUGCAUUGUUCUAGCUAAAUGCACACUGACCCUUUGUUUUGGCACAAAUGCUGAGAGAUCCAUGAGAAGCUAAGUGCCUCUUGAUAAACCAUAUCAAAACAAUCUACAAUUCAAUGGACAAAAAGUAUUCACUUUGCUAUGAACUUGAGGACAAUAAUUUCAGCCACAUACAUAAUGUGAAGCUAGAGUUUGAACAAGACUCAUUCAGUUCUAAAAUUGUAGAUUCAGGUAUAUUCCCAGUCUAUCAUGAGAAAACCUGAAGUAAUAGCUCCUACAAAGGGUCAGAUAUGGUGGUAAUUGGUUGGAUACGCAGCGCUAUAUGCCGUGAGAAUUGGACUAGAGAUGGAGGCCCUGCACUGCACAGGUGAACGACGCCUGUAAUAAGUGGACAAAACGGGGGCACGCCAGCAUCACCUCUGCCACGCCAAGGGUUUGGUGAAUUGAACAAGAAGCCGGCUAGAUAGGUUUGCGGAGGAGCGACCCAGCGACACCCGUGAAAAAUCCGGAUAGGCAGGCCAGUGGCCGAACACGAAGACAUUGCGAUGGCAGGUGAAGACGAGGAUCGUGAGAGCGGGCGCGACCGGUGAGUGGUGACUGGGGAGCGAGCCAGCCGGCGUCGUUGGCCACACCGGCAGGACUGUUGGGGAAAAACUUUUUUCCGGAAAGGGAGAAAAAGAGAGUCCAGGAGAUGAAGCGGUCAAGCAGGGGUCGUUGAGAAAAAAACGCGCCUCGUUUUUCUUUAAAAAAAAUGCAUCGAUGCUUAGCUAAAAAAAGUUAUCAUUAGAAUUGGUUGUAUAAUUUUCAAAUUGAGUGUGGUUAUAUCUCAAUCGUCUGAUUUUUAAGCAAAAGAUUUAAAUUUAAGUUGACGAAUUAUAACUGUUGUAUCAGUAUCUAGAUGUUAUUUUAGUUUUCUUUUUCCAUCGUUCGUUUCGAAUCUUAAAAGACAAGCCAUAUUCAAUUGAAUAUGACUGAGUAAUCAAAUUAUUUCUAAAUAAAAAUCAGACGAUUUAGAUAUAACAAAACCGUUUCAAAUUUAUUACACUCAGGAAUUUUCAGGCGCUGGGGCUAGCUCUACCUGUACGGGGUCCUUUCUUGUGUGAUUGGAUUCAUUCAGUCAGUUCAUCCAUCUUACUUACUUUUGGACCAUGACGGCUUUGACAAACACAAGUCUCGUCCAAUUUAGAAGGCAAAGUUUGCAUUCUUAUCUUAUUCCCUGCACGCCGAACAAAUACCUCACCUAAUCUCAUAAAAAUUUAGCUUCCACAUAAGCGUAUAUCUCACUCUCUUGGUGUGACCCGACAAGAAUCAACGGAUAAAUUUUUUGCAGUUCUCUCCAGGAAGCAUACCAAAAAGACCAGCACAACACAUGGCGUGCUUGACCCAGUACGAAGAAAGAAGCAUCACAGCACGGCGCAAAAUAUUUGCAACAUAUAUAUAACCCAAACCAUUUCAAUGCCCUAUUGCCAUUCUUGUAUGUAUACUGCAGCUAAGCUAGACAUCGAUCGAGCAUACGUACAAAUCAUCAAUGGCGUCAUUCUCCGUGCUUCUCAUACUCGCCUGUACAAUUCUGGCCUCCGAUGCCGCCGCCGCCGUCCGGGUCGGGCUGACGCGCAUCCACGCCGACCCCGAAGUCACCGCGUCCGAGUUCGUGCGCGGCGCCCUACGCCGCGACAUGCAUCGGCACGCGCGGUUCGCCCGGGAGCAGCUCGCGCCGUCAUCGGCGGCCGCGGCGGGCCUGACAGUCGGCGCGCCAACCCAGAAGGACCUGCGGAACGGCGGCGAGUACAUCAUGACGCUUUCCAUCGGCACGCCGCCGCUGUCCUACCGUGCCAUCGCCGACACGGGCAGCGACCUCAUCUGGACGCAGUGCGCGCCCUGCGGCGACACUGUCACUGACACCGACAACCAGUGCUUCAAGCAGUCCGGGUGUCUGUACAACCCGUCCAGCUCGACCACGUUCGGCGUGCUCCCCUGCAACAGCCCGCUGAGCAUGUGCGCCGCAAUGGCCGGGCCGAGCCCGCCGCCCGGGUGCGCGUGCAUGUACAACCAGACCUACGGCACCGGGUGGACGGCGGGGGUCCAGAGCGUGGAGACGUUCACCUUCGGCUCCUCCUCGACGCCGCCGGCUGUCCGUGUCCCCAACAUCGCCUUCGGCUGCAGCAACGCGAGCAGCAACGACUGGAACGGCUCGGCGGGGCUCGUCGGGCUGGGUAGGGGGAGCAUGUCGCUCGUCUCGCAGCUCGGCGCCGGGGCGUUCUCCUACUGCCUCACGCCGUUCCAGGACGCCAACAGCACGAGCACGCUCCUCCUCGGCCCAUCAGCGGCGGCGGCCCUCAAGGGCACCGGCCCGGUCCGUUCGACGCCGUUCGUCGCCGGCCCAUCCAAGGCGCCCAUGAGCACCUACUACUACCUGAACCUGACGGGCAUAUCGGUCGGCGAGACGGCGCUGGCCAUCCCUCCCGACGCGUUCUCCCUGCGGGCCGACGGCACCGGCGGGCUCAUCAUCGACUCCGGCACGACGAUCACCACGCUGGUGGACUCGGCCUACCAGCAGGUGCGGGCCGCGGUCCGGUCCCUGCUGGUGACGCGGCUGCCGCUGGCCCACGGGCCGGAUCACUCCACGGGCCUCGACCUCUGUUUCGCGCUAAAGGCGUCGACGCCGCCGCCGGCAAUGCCGAGCAUGACGCUGCACUUCGAAGGCGGCGCGGACAUGGUGCUGCCGGUGGAGAACUACAUGAUCUUGGGCUCCGGCGUGUGGUGCCUGGCGAUGCGGAACCAGACGGUUGGGGCCAUGAGCAUGGUCGGCAACUACCAGCAGCAGAACAUUCACGUACUCUAUGACGUUCGGAAGGAGACGCUGUCGUUUGCUCCAGCCGUGUGCAGCUCGCUCUGACGACAAAUGCACAGAUAUCCGUGUACAUACAUGCGUACCUGGCUUCUUUAGGUGUUUUUUUUUCGGUAUAGUGCUGUCGAUCAGAUUUUGUAAAGUUUUGUCGAGUUCACCGGCCGUAGUUUUUUUCUUUUCUACACGGCAGUGAGCGGCCGACAAAUGUACAGAUUUUGUGAUGUUUCGGGCGUGUACGUGCUGACAGCAGUGAGCGGCCCGCCGUUCGACUUUGAUCUCUGCUUCGAGUUCGAGGCUCUGGGCGACGUUGACGACGUCCGCGUCGUCCUCGUGCCACGCCCGGGACUGCAUGCGGUUUGCGGGCGGGGCGCGGAGUACGCCGUGCCGCGGCGGAGGGAGCUACUUCGACGCGGUGGACGAGCUAGGCAACGUGAGCAAACUCCAGCCAUCCAGCGGGACGACGCGUUUGGACCGGCGCGGUCCGUUCCGGCAAAAGGGGCGAAACCACAGUCCAGCGGGACGACGUAUUUUCGUUCCAAAUUUGGCGGGUUUGCGUCGACCCGGACCAUGCACGGAGCGCCGUCUCAUCCGCCGCCCUAGCUUUAUAGUGACCCGUGAUCAGAACAAAGUCGCCCCUUCCCCCCAUUCCCAUUACUUCAGACCCCAACUCCUGCCCCCAUCGCCGCCGACCAGUCUCUCCGCCGCCCCGCCCCCGAGUUGUCCCGGUGCGGACUGUGGACGCCCAUCGCCGCCGCCGCCGUCCCCGAGUUUGCGCUGUAAACUGCUGCAAACCGUUACAAUGGAGUCAACAGAUGCAUCAUUAUUGCCAAACUACGAUGAAAGAAUACAGAGCCAAAAUUGGAAGUGAAUUACUAACAGACAUAAAUGCAUCAGAGGCGGCUCGAUCUUGCUUCAUCCAUUUUGAUGUUCUGAAGAGGAAUCAAAAUAAGCUCGUCGUUUGCUAAUGUGGCCACAGAAUCGUUUGAUUGGAUGCAAACUGUGCAGGGUGAAAACUUCUACUCCAUCCGAUCCAAAAUAAGUGUCACAGUUUUGAAAUAGUUCAAAACCUUAAGCUCAUGAGUUUUGGAUCGGAGGUACUUCGUCCGUUCAACAAAGGAUGUCUCAACUUUGACUAAAUUUGAAUGCAUCUAUACACUAAGCCAUGCCUAGAUACAUCCAAAUUUUGACAAACUUGAGACAUCUUUUGUUGGAUGGAUGGAGUAGUAUUGUUUAGCAUUAGAUCAGUAGACAACGACCAAGAUCAAAGCGUCACACGUUUUGGAGGAAAUGAGGCGGGGCUGGUCAUUAAGAGAUAUUUUUGAUAAAAGUACGCUCAGAUGAUUAUAAGUUAGCAAGUUGCACAAUAGAGUUUCCACUUUUCAUUGGAUAAUAUAUACUCCCUCCGUCCUGAAUUAAGUGACGUGGAUUUGUAUAAGGUUGGUCAUAAUGGGGAGUAACAUAAGCCAGUAACAUGCAUAUGUUACUAGUCUAACAUAUUUAUGAUAACAUAGAAGUCUCAUUUAUUAGCUUUAUAGACUCAUUAUAUCUUGGGAAGUGUGAUGUCAUGGUAACAUAUCUAGUUACCCAAACCAUUUCUUUCCUCAUUAAUAACAUGACACAUCACCCAAAUUGCUUAGUUGACACUUUAGUUACUACCUUUGUUAUUCCCACUAUGACCAGUCUAAGAUGCUAUACAAAUCCACGCCAGUUAAUUUUGGACAGAGGGAGUAUAUCCGUGUGUGCGCUCACGCGCCUUGCGAUCGAGAGGUAUGCAUUUCAACUUGCCCGAUUUUUCUCUUUUUUGUGCAUGCCAAUUCAACCAAUAAAAUUCAAUGGAUGUUUAAACAAUAUGCAUGUUUAUAGAACCCGCAUAAAGAUGAACACAUGAAUACACAAACCUUUAAGCUUCACAGAGCCUAAACCCUGCUUGUCAAAUAACGGGGAAUCCAAUGUCUGUUCAUUGAGAGACAUUACAUCAAAACUGCAUCAGGGGCACACAGAACUCUACUCUAUCUAUCGGUCACCAGCACUUGCAUUCUUAAAUGCAGUAAGGUUCCUUUUGAGAGACUUGACAGCAGACAGCAUCUGCAGUUUCUCCGUGGAGGCCCCAUCACGUUUCUGCUUAGCGUUCUUCGGAGAUGCAUCAUCAGGUGCCAAAGUACUUCCCAGAGACGAGUCCUCAACAGGUGGUUCAGUAUCCAAUCUGCCUGCAUGUGCCCCUUGCUUCCCAGCUUGCUUUCGCAAGAAGGCAGCACUCCUGUACAAAAACCAUUCAACAGUCAGCAUGGCUAACACUAUGUAGGCGAAACAGAUUGUACAAGAGUAGUAUAGGGGGAAAUAUGAUAAUGGAUGGUGGUACCUCUUGUAUUGGGGAUCGGUAGGAUCAAUCGCAUACAGAUGAGAUGUGAACAUGUCUGAGAACCUCUCAUCUUUGCUAAGAUCAAUUUCAGGGACUUUAUCCUCGACAGAAACCUCUUUACCCUUCUUGCCCUUUUUGCUCUUGCGUUUUAAGUUAUAACCCUUUGCACCAUUAGCUGCAUCCUCAUCAGCAGCAACCAAGAGUUCCAACUCUUCUUUAGUUGCUUCUGGCUCAAAAUGUUCCUCUGGAAGCUUGUCCUUUCCUUUCCCUUUGCCUUUAUCUUUGGGCUUCACCUUCUGUUUCUUGCUUGGCUUUACUUCAUCAUCGGACUUUUCGUCAUCGUCGAAGAAAUCAUCGUCUUCAUCAGGGCCAUCUUCGCUGCUAUAGUCAUCAUCAUCCUUCGACACUCUCUUCCUAGCUUUCCGUUUCUCUUUCAUUUUUUCUUGGUGCUUCUCCCAGACAGUCUUCUUCUCGGUGCUCUUUCUCUCAAUGAUACGUUUGCUGAGGUCCUCUAGCUCUGUGUUGAAUGUUAUCUCCAUGUCCUGGUCAUCAGUUUGUUCCUCAUCAGAUUUAUCUCCUUGCAGUAAAAGAGCGACACGCUCCUUAUUUGUUAACUUUCUUUUCACCACAGCACCUGAUAGAGACUCAUCACCAUGGGCAUCUACAUCAUCAUCGGAUGAACUGUCAUCACUUGCUAAGAAAACACCAAGGUCAUCUAACUGCAACAGAAAAUUUAUAAACAUUAAAGAUGUAAAACCGGAGUAAAUCAAAGGAAUGUAAAACCGAAGUAAAUCAAAGGACAAGGAGCAAUAACCAAGAAUAAAAUUUUCAUGAGAAAACAAAGCUAAAAAGUGUCGUUAAUAAAUAAAAUGAUGCCCUUUACCUUAAAAAAAGCUAAAAAAAGCAUCGCAUCAUUAUGAAAUCAUGUCUUGAAAGAGCAGCAAGUAUAUAACUCACAGCUGUUCCGAGAAGAUUUAAAGAAAAUACAAGAGAUGCCUUGCAAAAUAUGAUUACAAUGCUGAAUGCCUAAUAUGACACUGUAAAUCACCCCCCUUCACAUUCAUAAUGUUAAUAAGCAACUGAAUGUUUUAGUGUUAGCAAAUAAAACAAUUUAUUAAGAUAACACUGCUAACCUGAUCAUCAUUGAACUUCCGCCUCAAGAUCUUCUUGCGCUCUGGUUCGUCAUCAUCCCAGGUGAGCUUAACUUUGCUAUGUUGCAAAGCACGAGUCUCAAAAUCAGGCUCCUUGUAACUCGGAGGUGCCUGCGUGAAUCAAACAAGUUAUGAACCAAAAAGGGUUCUGCUAGCAGAACGGAAAGGCAAGUUGUGCUUAGCAUAGUAUCAUAACUUAUGAAAAGCGAGAGACAAAGAAGCAUAAUUAUCAGCCACUUUUGGAAAAAGAGUAACUUGAUGCUGCCAACUGCCAUUACAUCGAUAUAAUUACCAACAGAAAUGACUGCAGACACAAUUCUAUUAAAGAUACCUCUGUGGCUACAUCACGAGCAGGAUGUUUGAACUCCAUAGAGUCAGGAAUAAACUGCAAAUCAAACACAUUUGCCGUUUUCAAGAACUCAGUACGAUCAAGAGUCGUGUAUAGGUGAUUUGCAGUAGCACUGGAAUCACACACAACAACUGCAUAGUAGUACCUGCAGCAAGAAUCACAAGAGAACAAAUUGAGAAACCUAUGGCAAGUAGUAAAAUUUUCAUAUGUAAGACGAUGCAUAGACAAAGGCUCUUUGGACAUAUGCAGACAAUCCCAAACAUGACAAUCAGAAGCCACAAUAAGUACAAUUACACAUAGCCUGUGGAGAUUAUGGACUAUGGUUAAAAAAAUGCAUUCAUACUUAUUUCAGUUAGUUCUAACAAAAAGAUAGAAAAAGGAUAAUAGUCAGCAAAAAGUUCUGUCCAUUUUGAUGCUAACCUCAGUCUGUUAAGCUCAUAAGUACGCAACUUGUUGUUCUCAGUCUCAGAGUCAGGUUCACUGUUGUCUUCAUCAUCGCCGUCCUCAUCGUCAUCGCCCUCAUCAUCAUCAACAUCUUCAUCCUCCUCCUUGUUGUCAUCACCAUCACCAUCGGCACCAACGAGAGCAGAUGGGCCUUGAGUUGUCUCAAUUUCCAAGCACUUCCGCCCAAAUUCUGAUGGAUAGAUUGACACUGAUAGAACUUGCCCACCUUUUGGAAUGCAAGAUGUCAUCACCAUAUACAGGUCAACCGCCUGUUCAAAGAGAGAAAAGAAAGGAAUAAAAACAUUUAACCCAAAUAGCCAAACAGAAGUUGAUAGGAGAAACAUCGAAAUGCUAAGGUGUUUGCUUGGAUCUUCAGUUUUAGCAAAAACAGGAUUUCAUUAAGUUAAAUUUGGACCCAUCAACUGACACAACAUUGGGUUGGAUUGCUGUAAACCAAUAUAACACCACAGGAAGUUCUUCAAUAAUCAAGGACGACAAAAUGCACACAUCAAAAUGCAAAUACAAUGAAGCACCUCCUCUUGGUUGACACUUGGCAAUUAGCACAUAAGACACAAGUGAAGAUACUUGUGGCAAUUCGAUUUAGAUAAGGUUAUUUUUAACUGUCUAAUUAUCAUCAGCAAGCGAUUUAGAUAAGUUUUCUUUUUCCUUGGGUCAUGUGGCUCAUGCCUUCUUGUGGUGUUGUCAACUCACUAUCCUAAUGAUAUACAUGCAGCUCUCCUGAGUGGUCUUGAAAAACAUAAUCUAUAAUAACUGCAUUCAGUACAAUUAUCUCCAAAGUUGUGAGGUUUACGGAUGGAAAUUUCACCUACUUUAAAUUAAACAAAUCAUAAAGAACAGAAACUAAAAUAACUUUAAGCAAAACAGCAUGACCGAUAGGUGCUACUUCAACCUAACAAACAAGCAAAACAAAGCAUUUUUUCUUCAAAAGUCCUAGCUAAAAAUGUUUUGCCAAAAUUGAUUUACAAAAACUUCCUUGAGUUUUUAUUAGAAGUCUAAAUGAAUUUACGAAGGCAAAAACAGCAACGGAAUACAUGUUAGCCGCACAGAAAAUAAAUACAAGUUAGCCCCAAACAUACUCUCAAGGUGAUUCUCAAGCAACCAAAAUAACAAAUUGUGUUUGAGCAUUGCUGGAAAUUGUUUAGGCAAAGAGGAUUACUUCCCAACAUAAAAGUAACUGUUGAUUAGCACACGCACCUUAAUAUGAUCCCAGUCCAUAUUAACAACAGCAAGCCUGUGAGUUUCCUUGUCAAUCAUAGGUGUAUCAUCAUGCUGGGCCAUCAGAUAAUGAGCAAUGUCACUGCCAACAGAGUACUGCAGAAAAAAAGAGUGCCAAUUAGAAGUAGCGAGAAAAAUGUAGUAACGCACUGUUCCUCUCUUUUCUCAAGAAACUGGCAGGAGCACCGCCUUGUCAAUAAGAGAAUCAUUCCUUUCUCUUGAAGACAAGAAAAAUAUAACCACCAAGAAGUGUUCCAUCAAGAUAAUUUAGCGACUCCUACACAUCUCAUAUUAGCAAACCUAACUACACAUAAGUUACUGAAAAACAAAAAACAAAAAUAAGGCCAAUAGUUGUAGUUGGAAAUCAUUUUCCUAGUCACAUAUUGAAAUGUGCAGUUGCAGAAACAUACACAUCUAUUUCUACAUACCAUGCAUUGCUCAAUAAACUUCAUGCUUUACAAGAAAAAUAACGCGACGCCAAGUCACCAAGAGCAAACAUAGGGCAGAAUAACGGAAAUUUGAAGUUUGGCCAAGAGGGGUAAAAACAUGGAUCUUUGCUAUCCACAUGUAAGAUCAUCUCAUAGCGAAUCAUUAGAAAUAACCAACCAGAACAUAUAUUAUUAUUUCACAUGUUAUGAUAUUAACAUACCGGAGUCCUCCCAUGCUCCCAAGAAUUGGAAAACACAAUUUCUAAAGCAAACCUAUGCUAUGUGAAAAUGCCAGCUUCACUAGAGCAAGCAUAGAGAACGUUGCAAUCUAUAUAUCGGAGGAAGCAAAUCAAGCGAAAGUGAAACGUCACAUAACGGGAAGGGUAAUAUCACCUGAUCAUCAUCUUCUUCCUCCUCUUCCUCGUCAUCACUACUGGAGCUAUCUUCCUCAUCUUGUUGAUCCUCUUCUUCCAUCUCACCAUCCUCUUCUCCAAUCAACUUCUCUUUCUCCUUUUUCUUGUCCUUUUCAUCCCCUUCCUCUUGGUUGAGAUAGUAAUGCAGCAUGGGGUUCUCCUUGGCGCCCUUUUUGCGGCGCCUGCCGCGCUUGUCCACCGGCGCCUCCGACGAAUCGAACAUCGGGUCCGUCAGCAUGCUGCUGAACCUCGGGUCCAGGGCCACCUUGGACUCCUUCCGCCGGAUCGGCCGGAACCUCGGGUCGGUCCGCGCCGCCGCGAACCGCUCGUCCUCCAUCGCGCGCCGCAUUUUGUCGUUUCCCCGCUUUGCCUCAUCCGCCCCUGCUCCAGCUGCCUCAGCCUCCGCCUUCUUCUCAUUCUUGAACUUCUUCCCGUGCUCCUUCUCCUCCUGCCCGUCCUUGUGCUUGCGCUUGGCGCCAUGGCGUUGCGGGGCUUCGUCGGCCGUGGGACGCUCAUGCUUAUUCUUCUUGAGCUUUUUCUCGUCCUUGGAGCUGGAUUUCUUGGCCUUCUUGGAACCCUUGAGGUUGGCCGGCGGCGCCAUGGCGGCUGCGGCUAGGGUGCAGUGGCGGCGAGGAGGGUAUCGACACUAUCGAGUAAACCAUAGAUCACCUCGCCUUUAUGGAUCAUAUAAGCCGAGAUGGGCCACAUCGGCCCGUGGGCAAAUCGAUCCGGCCCAUAACUUACCUGCGCUUUGGCCCAUGUUUGCAAACCGGACCCACCUGUCAGUAAGCUAAUGGGUGUCUUACCUUACCUGUUAGGGCGGCCCCACUUGUUUAUGAGCCGUCCCUCUCGCUGUAUGUAUGAUCCACACAUUUGCUAGACGUACACGCCUCAUCAUUACGCCCAAUCUCACCUGCUAGUCCCCCUUCUUCCCCGCCUCGGCGUCGUCGCCGCCGGCGUCUACCGCUGGGAGGAGAUGGCGUCGUCGCUCGACGCGCCGAACCUUGAUGAUUACCUCCCCACGGACUCGCUCCCGCAGGAACCCCCCAGGAGCCUCAAUCUGUAAUAGCCCUAACCCUGUCUGUGCGUCUUGCUUGCUUAUUAAUCUCGUAACCCUAGUGUGAAUUAAUUCUCGAUUUCAGUGAGUCUUCUGAGGCGUUUGUUGCCCUUUUCUGCACUUAUGCAGGCGCGAUCUGCUGGACAUCUCGCCAGUGCUCACUGAAGCGGCGGGCGCCAUCGUGGAUGUGAGUGGCUCCUCUUUCGUAUGCAUUUUCGGGUUAGUUGAUGCUGUCCUAGUGUCCUUAUGAGGACGUACGAGCUCAGAAGUCGUUUCUAGGCUUAUGAUCUCCGAGGUUUAACAGUAGGGGAAAACCGAGCCUACUUUGGCUCUGUAUUUGGUCCAAUCAGAGAGCGCUGGCAGGGGCCGAAGUGCUGCAAGGACGAUUCCUUGAAUGUUUCUUGGAUUCCUUGACUGCAUUAUAGAUCACAGAAGUUGUUGGCAUUGCGAAAUUCAACUUACUUUUUUUAUUGAAUGGACUGUUUGUUGCUAGUCCAAGCAUACUGUUGGAAGAAACAACAACAGCUAUCAGUUGUUGAUCCUUUUGUUUUACGUAAUGCAGUCACAUUGAUUAACUAAUUGAAAUGCGUAGUCGAUAUUAAUUAGUAAGCUCUGCAGGCAAUUCUCCCAUAAUUUAGGUGUAAAAUAGAUAUUAAAUAUUUGUACUAUAAUCUGAUUCCUGUCCCGCAAGGAUAUAAACUUGAGCAUCUUUUGUGUACAUACAUGCACAUUGUCAGGAAAUGAUUACAACGUAAAUUACCGGUUGUCUGAGGUGCACAUAAUUUGAGCGUGUGGCUGUUUUGUCUUCAGGACUUAUUAUCCGCCGUAUAUUUUGUUAUGUCUUAUGUAAGGCUAGACAUAUAAGUGUCAUGGCUGCAGCCGGCAUCAUUGCCCAAGUCCAUGAGCUGUGGCAGUGCAGGAGGAGCCCAAACUUGCUUAGAGUCCAACUGGAUUUCUGAAUUAGGAAGUACGGCAUAUUUGAGCUGUAAUGCCUAUUGAUAGGAGAGUUACUACUAUCAAGGUCUAUUAUGUAUUCUAAUAAAUUAAAGAGUUAUGUGCGAUUUCAGUUUGUGUCUCGCUUGUAAGGCAGCCCUUGACAUAAUAAAGGAGCCACCCGUGAUAUGAGACCAGCAAAGAACUAGAAGGAAAUUUUUCCUUUUAUGUGCAGUCCUUUCCACCUGCCUACAAGCCAUAGAUGCACGACCUUUCCAUGACCAUGGUCUAAUCUGUUAUUCUGAAAGUCCAAGCUUUAACAUCUUUAUGACAUGUCUCAUGGUCAUGGACUACUGUAUAUGUGUCUUUUGUUGGGUAUGGGAUAUACAGUGCAGUCACCAUUAUUAUAUUGUCUAUCUGUUUGUAGGUGUCUAUUUUUUCAUUCUUGUGUGUGCAUCUACGCAGGAUUCGUUCACACGCUGCUUUAAGUCAAAUUCUCCAGAGCCAUGGAACUGGAACAUUUAUUUGUUCCCGUUAUGGUGCUUCGGAGUAGUCGUAAGAUACGGACUACUGUUUCCACUCAGGUACUUGAGGAUUCAAAACUUCAUAUCGAGCUUUGGGUUGCUAAGUCUUAUCCUAAAUGUUUACAUUAUUAUUCCUCUUUUAUUUUGAUAUGGGCAGUUUUGUUAUUCUUCCCUGUUGAUUUGUUGUCGAUGCAGAUUGGGAAGUCCUUGAAUGUGUUGCCAGAAAAGGACAGCACACCUUUUGAAGUACACGUUUUGCAAAUUACUGACAUCUCAAUCUCAAUUUAGUUUUAGUGCAACUCAGUUUCAGUUUUUCAAUAGCGUGACGAUGAGGCGCUCUUUCCAUGACCAUCUUCAACACUAUGAGAAACCUAAAAACGUGAACUUUAGUGUAAUGCAGUAGAAGAAACCAGGUUUACAGGCUAUAGCUUCAAAAAAAUUUAGAUCUUUCAAAAGAUGCUUUGGGGUCUGCCUUUUGUUUCCGGGGUGUGUUUGUGGGUAUCCAUAUAUAGAAACUACUUCACCAAGGAUUUACACAUUUUUAUCCCUGGUACAAGUAUUAUUUCAUCCAUCACAAUCCCCUUGGUCUAUUAAUCAUUGCCUUGUGUGUGUGGUUACAUUUCUUUGUGACCCCCCUGUGCCUGUUUCCCUUGGUUUAGGCAGAUUUGACUAAGUUACCACCAUGCUGGCAAUGCCACGCUGUCAAAUGAGCCGAACACUUCUUACCCCACUCAUGCCUGACUGCUCUCUCUCCUCUGGCUUUCUCUUCUCCUCUUGCAUUCUUCUCCGGCAAACCUGAUGGAACCCUAGCUCGUCACCGCCGCACUGCCGGCAGUGGAAUCUGUUCCGCCGGCCAGCCUGCUGGUCAACUCUGUCGCACUUGGUCCUCAUUUCUCCCCCCUACAUCGACCCCGAAGCUCCCAGCGCCGGCAUCCAGUCAUUGCCGUCACUACCGCUGGAGCUGCCUCUCAUCGGGAAGAAGAGGGGGUCGAGGGCGUCGAGUGGCGCAGGGAGCAGCUCGCUCUCCCCUCUCAUUACCCAAUCGAAGGAAGCUGCCAGGACCCACCGCCAUCACUGCCUCUCGUCAGGAAGAGAGAGAUGCUCUCCCUGUUAUUCCCCAAUUGAAGGAGGGCGUCGAGCGGGAUAGGGAGCAGCUGCUGGCACAGAUCGAGCGCCCCGGAGAAGCACUUGUUGCAGAGAUGGUGAACUCUCCAGCGCCAGCUCGGGCUCAGUGGUGACUGCAGCCCCCUGCUGCGGUGCCCACCCCUCAGGGUCAAACUCCACUGCUGCCGUCCGAAUGAAGCCGGCAGAGGCAGGAGGCGGCCUUGCCGCCGCGAGGAGCAGCCCAACUGCCGUGCAGGCCUCCACUAGGUUUCCACCGGAGAAGAAAGAUUGCGGAAAAAAAGAGAAUACAAGGGGAGAGAGAGGGAGGGAGUCAUGCGCAGGGAGGGGGGUUGUUUCACUUGCCACCAUGGCAGUCAACCAGGUCAAAACCACCUUGAACUCGAAGAAAACAGCCAGGCAUUGGUGUGUCUGGUUUUGACAGUUCGGGGGGGGGGGGGGUUUAUGCCCGGUUUCAUAGUUCAGGGUGUCUUUUGAACUUUAUGAUAAGUCCAGGGGGGUAAAAUGGACUUACUUCUUACAAGUACUUAAAUACUCUGAUUACAAGUUAUUUCUUGAAGAUCUUAAUUUGAUUCUAUGCAAAACAAAAAUCAGAGAAACUUACCCAGUGAAUCUCCUGACUUCAUUGAUUUCUUUUGUUGAACUUUGAAUUGGAAAUCAUCAUCAUCUGAUAACUCAAUUAUGUAUCAGGGUAUUAACGCUUGGAUUAGGAUGGAUGGUAUUCUUUGCUGCCUUUUUUCCCGUGCAUUUCCUAUUGAAAGGGCAAAAUAAACUGAGAAGUAAAAUAGAGGUGAGCUAUUAUAUGUUCAUGCAUUUAAAUCAUCUCUGAUUGUGGAUGUGUGCAUACCUCAGUGUAAAUUACCUCAUGACAGUUCUGAGACGAAACUUAACUGGAGUCUUGGACUCUUGGUUAAGAUGACAACUGCUUGUUUCAGAUGGCGCAUGAUUCCAUGGAUAGUUUCAUUCAGUGUCAUGAUACAGAACAUAGCUGCCACUAGGCACUUUAUUAGGUUGCAAUUGGUUCCGACUUCUGACCAACUUUAAUAUAAUGCGGUUAUAAAAAUGCUUCUGCGCAACACUGAGCCUGUGAACCUUCUACAGCAGAAAGGAUUCAUCUGCUCCAGUAUGAGGAUUGAGGAGUUCACUUGUCCUGCUCCGCAAAUUUUGCCCUCUGUUGGGACUAUUUCUGUUUGAGGCUCUGAGCAUCUCAUGUGUGCGCGUGUGCAUGUGGUAGUGUUUGAGCAUUCAUGUCCUUGCUUAGGGGUUUUGGGUAGAUGAAUAUGGUAAAUCACUGCCAUCUUAAUGAUGUGGUGAUGAGCUAAUAACAUGCUAUCGCAAAGAUGUUUUCCAGCUUUUGGCGAAUGCUGAUAUGGGUCUUGGAUCUUGAUGCUGAACUUUAGGUAUAGAGAUCAUUACUUAGUGCAUGCUUAAGUUUUAUUAUUAUUAUUAGCACUCCAUCAGUUAAUCCUUUUGUCAACUCUUUAAGGGGGUUUGUGUUUAAGGGGGCGUGCCCUGGGCCAAUAAUCUGCAGUAUAAAAAGCCGCUCCUAAAAGCAACAAAAAGGUUCUGUUUUAUGCUUAUACUGUAAGUAACCUUAUUGUGGUUAGACUACUCUUGGUUUUGUCUUUGAAGCCUAGUGAGCUAGCUUUGUUAAAUGACCCUUCAAAGUUUUUUGAGUUAAUUGGGCUUAUCCACUCACAUCUACUUUCGUGCAGCUGUUUGGCCGUACCACCAUUAUUUUUUGUGGCGCUGUGUAGCUUUAAAUUUUAAUAAUCUAUUCAGGUUUUUCAAGUACCCUAAUUGGUUGUUUGGCCCAUUAUCCUUACAAUAGUGUGAGGUUUCUAGAAACUUCGUGAGUUCUUAGUGAGUUACAUUAAUUCGUUUUGAACUUUGUGCAGAGAAAGCUCGUUGAAAUGAUGUGCAGUGUUUUUGUUGCUUCUUGGACUGGAGUAAUCAAGUACCAUGGACCACGCCCAAGCUCACGGCCUUAUCAGGUUGUCUUUUUUCUUGUUCUGUUCACUCAUGUCCGAGCGAUUUGCACCCUUGUGCGAUCAGUAGAGAGGGAAGGAGGGAACAUAUCCAAGAUCUGUGCCUUAUUUGUCGUCUUGAAAUUUAACUUCAGAUCAUCAGAUGUUUGUAGUUCCAUUGUAUACGCCAAAGCUUAUCCCUGUCUGUGGACCCAUGCUUUCCUUAUGCAUAAGUACUUAUCUUUCUAGAAAAUUCUGAAUAGGACUGAUACCUUUCAUCCAACAGGUAUUUGUUGCAAACCAUACAUCAAUGAUAGAUUUCAUUAUUCUGGAGCAGAUGACAGCAUUUGCUGUCAUUAUGCAAAAGCAUCCUGGAUGGGUUGGUUAGUUUCUCAUUCUUCAAAAACUUAUCUUUUAGUUUUAGUUUAGUUUUCAAUGCUAGAAUCUUGAAUUGUUCUUAUCUUAUUAUUUUUCUCUCUUCCCCUUGCAGGAUUUAUUCAGAAGACUAUUUUGGAAAGUGUGGGUUGCAUCUGGUUUAAUCGUAAUGAUCUUAAGGAUCGUGAAGUAGUUGGCAGAAAGUAAGUUUGUGCCUUUGCAAAUGUAUCUGUUAAAAAGUUCAUUUCAUUCAGAGAUUUUGUCUUGCCAGGUUACGUGAUCAUGUUCAACGUCCAGACAACAACCCUCUCUUGAUUUUCCCAGAAGGAACUUGUGUUAACAACCAGUACACUGUAAUGUUCAAGAAGGUAAAAUGGUUAACCACUUGACCCAAUUUUUUUCCUUAAUGGCCAUAUAAAUGACUUUGAAUACACUACAUUAUUCGAGAGAGAAUUCAGAGUUCAAUUCUUUGUGGGAUUCUAAACAAAACUAUCCAGAUCUUUGGUCAUGCAAUGUGGUAUUGGUAUCAAUAAACCGUCAGGUUUUCUAAGCUGUAUAUUUAGAUCAUAUAUCGGAGUUCCUUGCAUGCAAAGCAAACAUAAAGACUUUCUGAGUUUAGAAAAGAAAGAAAAACAUGUCGCUCAUAGACAAGAUUGGUUUGAGGCUUCAAGCAGAUGCUGGAAAUCAGUCAGCUUCUUCUUGAGCAAAAAAUCACUCUUCUCGUUUUUUCUUGAGCAAAAACCACUCUUUUCCAUUGCGUAUAUUGAGACAUUUGAUGUUGUUGAUCAUGAUCACACAUAUAUUUAUAUUAAGCAUGAGUUGGAAAUUUUUUUUGUAUUUUUCAGGGUGCUUUUGAGCUUGGGUGUGCUGUAUGUCCGAUAGCUAUCAAGUAUAAUAAAAUAUUUGUUGAUGCCUUCUGGAAUAGUAAGAAGUAAGGAGUACACAUAACUACAUGAAUUUACUUUGGUCACACUUUUAUAUUCUGUUUUUUCAUGUAUUGCUUCACUUGGAAUGUUUACCAGGCAAUCUUUCACAAUGCACUUGGGUCGGCUUAUGACAUCAUGGGCUGUAGUGUGUGAUGUUUGGUUCUUGGAACCUCAAUAUCUCAGGGAAGGAGAGACAUCGAUUGCAUUUACUGAAAGGUAGCCUAAAUUUGGAUUCUAUUUCUUUCUUAAGAAAAAUACCAAGGGUCAGGAAAUCUUUUGAUUCUUCGUGAAAUGCUUUGUACAGAGUAAGGGACAUGAUAGCUGCUCGAGCCGGUCUUAAGAAGGUUCUGUGGGAUGGGUAUCUGAAGCAUAACCGUCCUAGCCCCAAACACACUGAGGAGAAGUGCGUCAACUCCCUCCCUUCCUUCUCUCUAGUAUGUUAACCAUUUUAAGUUGACAUGAUAUCCAAUGAGCUUUUCAAUUUUUCAGGCAGCGCAUAUUUGCAGAAUCGGUGUUGAAGAGACUAGAGGAAAGCUAAAAAGGUGUUGGUCAACUCUUCCGCUCCUGGACUCCUGGUUAAUAGAGGCAUUUACCCUUUAGCCACAUGUGUUAUCCCUUAAUUGUCCUAAGUGAGUAUGGGAUACGUGGAAAUGACCGCCGCAGUUUUGCUGUAAAUUUGUUUGCAGUUUGACAGAAUCAGUAGCAUGUGCUUCGCAAGAACAAUUGCAUGUAAGCUUGGCUAUAGAUUUAUACAAUACUUUAUGAUCCGUUAAUGUUAACACAUAAUAACAAACAUUGGCUGCUCCAGUAGGAGUCUUGUCAUUUUUAUAUCGUUACACAUGUGAUUAUUCAUUCGAUUUAUUUUGUUUCUUAAGCAAGAGGUAUAAUUAGACUACAACUCCAAAGUAGUACUCCUACAUGGUGCAAGAGAUGUUAAGGCAGUAUUGGCAGUCUUGCCCGUUUCAGUUUAUGGAUAUUGAAAUCAUAGCCUUCUUUUUAUGAGAUAUUCUGUAGAUAUUAGUACAAGAAUUACAAAGUGGUCUGUAUGAAAUGUAGAGUCACCGGUACAUGUAAUAUCAACAGCAGUAAGAUAAAAGAAUCGCCCAAUACUACCCCAAAUCCAAAUAAAUCGAGGAAAGGAAAAAGGAAAGAAAAUAGCUGCUAGCAUAGCAUGAUGACGAUCCAGUACUAGAAGUAGACGUCGCAGGGCGAAUUCUUCUUCAGGAGUGUGCCGUCCCCGCCGAGCUUGAACCCGCAGUCCACCUUCAUGUGGUGCUCCCUGGUGUCCCACAGCUUCACCUUGAAGCGCACCGUGGAGUUGAGCACCAGCCUCAUCUCGACGCUCCCGGCGCCGACCUCGCUGGCAAACCGCUGCCACGACGGGUCGGUCGGCGUCGGCCCGGAGGCGGUGAGCUCGCCCUGCACCGGCAGGUCGCCCUUGGGCGGCUGGUAGAACGGGUAAGCCACCGGCCCGGACGCGAUGAGCUCGUUGUUGUCGUAGUACACCGAUCCGUAGACGGCGUCGAAGUAGAUGCCGAUCUUCUGGUUCGGGUUGUGCUCGUUGACGGUGAACUUCACGGGCAGGUUGGCGGCGCCGGUCUGGCGGUUGAUGUUGGGGAUGGCGAAGUCGGCGAGUGCGAACUUUGGCCGGUGCGGGCGCAGGCUGAGCCAGAGCACGAAGAAGAUGAUGCCGGCGAUGAAGACAAUCGUGAGCAGCACCGCGCAGAGGAAGUUGAGGCACCGGAUCGCCGGGCUCUGCCGGUGGUACAUCGGCAGCCGGUAGUUCCGCGGCAUGAUGGCUGUCUGUGAAGGCUGAGUCGAUCGGCCGGUGCCUGUGCUCUGUUUGUUCGAACGCCGGUGCUGUAUACAUACUGCGUGUGAGAUUUUAUACUAGGUGCAUAUGAUGCGAUAUGCAUGUAGCGGUGUAGAAGGCAGUAAUAUUCUUUGCCUCGCGCCAACGUGAGAGAUGCUAGCCAACACGCAAAUAAUAUUGAGGAGCAUACUGGCCGUUGAUUCCCAUGAGACGAGAGUCCCUGCUGAUAGAGUUGGAUUGUGCUGGAAAGCGAAACCGAAUGUGUGUAAGCUGAUCGAUGAUCCUUGGUCUCCCAAACUAUAUUCGUAUUCUUCGAUCUUUUUGCUUGUUUAAGGAUGUGUUUCUCUUUCACGGUAUGAUUCUCCGCGUCAUUUCUCUGUGAACGCGUGAUCUAUUAUGUUGUAAAGGUAGUCCCGCUGCCUGUUAAAAGGCGGUACGUAUUUUAUACAGAGAGAAGCAAGUGUUGUUCCGAGGUUCUGAUGUUCCUGACUAGUUUGUUUUUUAAUUCUUUGAUUAUACCUUAUAGUGUCCUUGCCGAUAUGGGGGAAACAAUUGCCGAAACUUCGCCCUUGGGCAAACGCAAAGGCAAAUGCAUGCUGCAGACGACAAAUCAUCCUUUGGAUUCGUCAUUAAUUUUUUAGGUAACUAAUAUGGGCUUUUGGCCAGCUUGGACCAAAUUUUAGGAAUAGAUACAUUCAUAUUUGAGCAAAUUUGAGAUAAGAAUUAUGAAACGGAGGGAGUACUUGCCACGGAGUAUUUACAAAAGGGGGAAGCACAAUAUACAAGUGAAACAGAUUACAAAGAAGCAGCUAGCUGGGAAACCAUUACACCCCAGUCUUGAAGAAGAGAUUUCCGAAACAGCAGAAUUAAGUUGUGAAAUGCGGUUUGCAUCCAAAAUGUUUCCGCCCGUCAAGUUUACGUGUAUAAAUGCAAUGUUUCUAAGUUGUUAGACUAAAAUGUUUCCACCCGUUAAGUUAAUGGACCGUAAGUGCGAUUUCCUUUUCUAAAUUACAUCACUGAAAACAGUUCAACCCUCGUACUGAUUCCUAAAAAACACUCUCAUGCUUUCGUUUUGGGCUUAUACUUGGUGUCUCUCCUUUUGUAUUACCUACUUGGGCCCAUGUAGGCCCAAAACAAUCUCAGUUCUCUUGUGCUGGGCUGGAUCAUAAUUAAGGAGUGCAAAAAUGAAUUAGGGAGAAAAAAUAGCAUACUCAACAACACACACAAAAUUCUUUGAAUGGAUUUUUCUGAACUUGCACAUCGAAGUGACUUGUAUUGCACAUGAGUUGGAUGUGCAACUUUCUAAAAAAAUACAUCGCACAAACAUUUGCUCAUUCAUUAAAGAAAAAUCUAGAGAAGUUCACUUGCAUAUUAUUGUUCUCUGAGUUUCACAUAUGCAGAUUGUGCAAUUUUAAUACCAGCAAAUGUGCAACUUAAUUAGUAAAAUAAAAAAGGGUCAUUAAAAAGAAAGUACGAAUAGUUUUUUAGAUGAAAGGACACUAGUUAAGUGCACAUUGUUGACAUGUGAAUUGCACAUGAGGUGGAUGUGCAACUUUAGAACAAAUGAAACAGUAAGCGCCCCGAACAAUUGUAAUUGAAGGCAUAAAAACAAAUCUUAAAAGACACAAGUUGCAUACUGCUGGUUUCCAAAUUGUAAACAAAAAGGCCCAGAUCCAAAGAGAUACAACAAAAGAACAUCUGAAAAGCCCGAAAACAGAAAUGAAAAGCAGGAUUAGAAAAACAAAACUGAGAAAACUCCCCUUGCCAGCCCACCUGUACGGCUUGCUGGAACUUCUCAAGGCCGACAAACAGCCUAGCCAGCUGAAAUUCCCAAGCACAAACAAAUUUGGGAGUGCGCGGAUCCCCGCACAUAAAUUGACGGCUAAGCAUCAGCUUAUAAAUUACUAUACGUACUUUCUUCGUUCCAUAUUAAAUGUAGACACUUUAAGUCAUUUAAUAUGAGUAGGUAUGAGUAGGAGGAAGUACUAUUUCUCAUAUCACUGUGCCAACAGCAGAUCCAUAUAUAUUAAGCAGCUAUUACAAUCUCUUUGCAUUUGAAGCCACUUUCCUUGCGUUGGGUAUGCGGGCAAAGUGGGUAUAUAUUAAGCAGCUAUUACAAUCUCUUUUCGGACUGAACAAACCGUACUAAAAAAGAGAGGAGAUAAAAGCAGCAAACACUACUAGGAGCAUUACCAAUCAGCAAACACUGCAGCUGCCCAUGCCCAAGUGCUCUAGUACUGCUCUAGGCCGGUCUGAACAUUCCAUUUGGCAUACGUUGUUGAAACGACCACUUGCAUGAAAGGCCCUUUUGAGUUUUGCCCAUACGACAAAGACAGCGGAGCGCGUGCGUAUUCGAUCAUCAGUGGCAAUUAUCGUCGAUCGUGCUGCAGGAAAACAGAAAAGCACCAAGUUGGCACUUGGCAGUGGUUUAUCGGUAGACCAGCAAUUGCAGAUUCUCUAAACCUUUCUGGCCGGCUCGCAUUCUCCAGAUUACUGGCCGAUGCAUCGGGCAAGAGGCAGAGAUAUGUGGAGAUCGACGGGGAGAAGAGAUCCGGCCGAGGGAGGUCAAAGCUCUGUCCACUCUGCGACUAUAGUACUCGGCCACAAGCUUUGGGUGUGUGCGCCGCGACGCGACGAGAUUGCUCGCGCAUGCAUGUGCGCCGCCCCGAAUGGAACAUGGGACAGUUCCUUAGUAUUAUUCUACUCCAUGGAUCGCAACACAUUGCUAGCUAGAUCCAGAUUACUUUAUCAUCAGGAUAAGUGAUAACCCAUGGAUAUAUGCAGUGAUUGAGGCGUUGUCUGUGCCAUCUCUUCUGUUCCUGCAAACUACAGUUGUAAAGCACACGCCCGUGAUCGAUUCAUUUGGCUUGCGUUGGGUGUCACUUCCCGUGAUGAGUGAUGAGUGGCGCAUCUCGCAAGGUGUGUGUUGAAUAAAUUGUUGUUUUUCUUAAACUAGAACUAGAACUUGGAGAUGUAGGGCUUGCUAGCCAGCUAGCGGUGCCCGCGCAGCGUACGUCCGGUCUACGCGAACCAAGUCUUCGAUCGUAUACUCAAAUACUAAUGUGCAUGCGCAUAUUGCGACUCGAUCUUCGGUCAAUCGAUCGCCACUAAGCAAGCAUGCGUGUUUCCCGUGAAGUAAUACUACAGUUAUUACAUUUGCGUAUUUUUUUUGGUACUCUUCCUUUGUUCUUCAACAAAAGUUACAAAACGUACUGCCAAGUUAUACAGUCUAGAGAGGUUCAGACCGUGGCCAGCAGAUUUCCUUCUGAAAAAGAGAGAAAAAAAUACUUGAUGAAAAAUGAGAUUGGCCUCCGGUGUCGUGUCAUCAUUUCGCCCUCGGAAAGGCCACCGAGCUCGAGUGCUAGACGAAAUGACUCGAAAUACAUAUCGGAUUAUACUACAAACACGGUCCCAGCAAAUCAAUCGGUGCAGUGCAUAUAUCUGAUAUAUCUGCAGUUCUGCGCAUUCUUGCGCUCUUGAUUCGAAGGAAGUCGCUGAAUCGAUCGGUGGAUCGGUCUAACGAGGAUUGCAUCCACGGACCACGGCCAUCUCGGCGUAGCAUAUAAUUAGCAUGUCACCGAUUCUAUCAUCCUAUGGAUCAUUUAACACACCUGCUAUUGGUCCCCAUAAAAAACACCUGCUAUCGGAAAGAUGAUGGCCUGGCUGCUGGCAUGGCUUCAUCUAGUGCGUAGAAUCACAAAAUCGUCCGUCUCAGUCACAACUUACAACCUGUUUGCUAUUUUUAAGUUGUCUAAUAAAUAGUUAUUUUCUUUCUCUGUUUCUUUUUAAAGACAUUUUGGCAAGCCAAAUCAACUUGCCAAAAUGUCUUACAAAAAAAGGGGAACGGAGCAGUACUUCUAGUUAAGUUGAUCAAGUUCUAUUAAAUUACUGUUCAAAAAGAAAAUCCGCUUGCUUGAGUUUUUGUGAGAGGGCACAAUAGAGUUACAGAAUUUAUGUGUGGUUUCAGGUAUACUAAUUACACAUAAUAGAGGUUAAAGCUACAUAAUAGAAAAGUUCAGUGGAUCUAGAAAAAGACGCUUCCCAAUUGUGCACCGCUCAAUUGUACACCGAGUGAUUGAUGCACAAUGUUGUAUAUUUGGGACCAUGCUACCUUUUUUAGUGGACAUGAGUUGUGUUACGCCAAAACAUAAUUAACAAUUUUACUCAUUCUUGGUUGCUCGAAAUUGUAGUCUCAAAUCGGAUAGUGUGUAAUUUUAGCAACAUAUAUUUAUCGUUAGGAAAUGUGUGUCUCAAACAGCAUAACUUACAGUGUACUCCCUCCGAUCCAAUAAAAAUAUCGCCCACUUAGUACAAAAUUUGUAUUAAGUUAGUACAAAAUGGGCGACAUUUUUUAUGAAUCGGAGAGAGUCCUAUUUGAGAGACAUAUCUAGUGUACGGAGUAUUUUGUAACGCCGACGGUUGAGUGCAUAUUUACUAAAAGGCUGCGAAAUGGGAAUCACAAUCAAACUAUUGUAGUGUCUUAAAAGGAUACUCCUACAGAGAUAAAAUAAUCCACACUAAAUCGCAUCAAAGCUAGUAAAUUCUCUAAGGUCACGCAUCUCGAAUUCAACAGCUGAUCAUUACCGUUAAUCAACGCUAUUCUGAUUGAGAUCUGUGCAUCACCUUGUCUUUCUAGGACCGAAUGCUUCACUCCUCGUUUUGGCAAAAAGCGACACGGUGAAAGGGGGGAAUUGGUGGAGUUGGGGGAAAUACAACCACACGCACGCUCGCUGGAGGAAAAGGGAAGGCAGGGAAAGUGGCAGCGCGAUCAAGUGCCUCAGGAUAUCCCGCCUGCCAAAUCGAAAAAGACCUCGUAUGAAUAUACAAUUGGAACCUUUUCACCCUUUCUAUGCUUCCAUGGGUAACAUUCUUUCUAAAGGAUCCCCAGCUAACAUUGUAAUUUGCAGACCUGAAGCAAUUUCUUCUAACGAGUAGGGUCUAAGAAAUAUUUGACAAGUAUCGCCAUAUUUGAACACAGAAAUAUAUAUACUUCAUCAAGCAUUUAAAUUUAUAGGAUUUUUAAACAGAAAAUUGUCACAAGAAACAAGUAAAACUUCAUAUAUAAGGCCAUGAACAUUUAUUUAGGAGCCUAAGUGAACUAACUGCAUUGAUUCACAUUUGAAUCUAUGUCGGUUUCUUGGAUUCCAAGAGAAUUUUGGUUCCCUAAUUUUGGGUACCUGAUAACUUUCGUCCUAAUUGCGUUAUUUGUAAGUCAAACCAUGUUUUUGCAUGGACGUGUCUAGUUUUGGUGGGUUGUUUUCGCCACGCCACGCUAAAAUUGGGGUCUAUCCGUCCCCCGUUUCUCAUUCUCUCUACUCAUGCUUACCUCGCAGCCAGUGGAACAUGUGAGUUCUUAGUCACCUAUUGGCGGUGGACACAAUGAAGCAAAGGUGGCUGGCGGUGCAUACAGAACGCCACGUAUUUGAUGUGAUAGAAAACAUCCGCACCCUAUGUGGUGAAAACCGAGUUUGGAAUACCGCUAUCAGGUGCAAAAGUUAACUUGUAGGAGUAUUAGAAGUUUAGGGUGAAGUUUAGACACACAAAAAAGUUAAGGGAUGAAACCUACACUAUAGCAAUAGUUGAGGGACGAAAAAUACACUUAUCUCUUUGUAGAAUUCAAGUCCUAAGAAAAAAUUACUUGCUCCUUUGGAAUAAACAAAUGAUCCCCAAAUUUCCUAAGAAAAAUCACCUCUUUUGUACAUUUGAAGGACACUAAAUGUGUUUGAACUAUUUUGGUUCCUAACAUUGACCGAAGGUUAAUCUAAGCUUAGUCCCCACUUGAAAGAAAGUGAAAAUGUAGAAAUCUUGUAGAACUUAAGCUAUAUAGAAAAAUUUGCGUGCUCAUUUGGAACAAAGGAUCAAUCCCAAAGUUCCUAUAAAUAUGCCCUCUUUUCUACAUUUGAAGGGAAUAUAAGUGUUAAAACAUCGUGAAAAAGAUUCUGGACUCCUAAAAAUUCAAGGCAAUGUCUCCUCAAUUGAAGUCUUCUUCCAAAAUCCUCCUCUUUUUCCUAAGUCGUAUUUUUAUAUUUUUCUGCGUUUUUAAUUGCCAAGCAACUCCAAUUCUCAUUCUUAUUUCUAUAUUUUUCUUUUUCUUGUCUUGUACUCCCUCCGUAUUAAUUGGCGCGGAUUUAGUACCAAGACACUACCUUCCUGAAAGGAAUUUUAAGCAUCACAUCAAUUGGAAACUUGGAUCUCUUGAUGCUAGAAGUCGAGAGCACUUUUUGAAAAAAGAAAACUUUAAAGAAUAAAAAGCUUACAGAAAAUCUAUUUACAUUCUUCUAAUACCAAUAUUAGGAUAUUGCAUUUAAAGAAAACCAAAAAAUAUUGAAGACUAUUACUCUUGUGUCAUUGGAAUCAUUUAUUGAAAAGAAAUCUAUUUAUAUCCUUCUAAUACCAAAAUAUAUUAGGAGUAGGGUGGAACCAUUUAUGAGCUCUGACUUCUAGAAGAUCCAUGCAAAAAAAUUAGAUGAUCAGAUACAUGCAAAUGCAUCUUUUCAUUAACUCACCCGGUUUUAUUUUCGGCAGGAUUUAACAAACCAAGAUUUAUCCUCCUGAAUUAUUUUCUAUUUCCGCAUUUGUUUCUCUAUUUUACUGGCUGAGCCAGAGUGGGGUCCAAGUCUUGCUGGCAGCAGGAAGAUCACUGUAAUUUCCAAGCAAUUCCGUGGGUCCCUAUGAAAAAUCCUGCAAUAUAUAAGAGACACCGUACUGUGACCAUCAUAUCUUCUCUCCACACGCUCAUCAAGCGCAGAGCGAGGAAUCUUUGGCCCCUCAACAACAAAAAGAGCAAAGUGCCGGCUCUUUCCCUCCGGUUCCUCGUUUUGGUAGUAUUCCCCCCUCAAUUCAAUUCUCCUCCUCCUUCUCCAAGGAACAAGGCGUAAACUCGGAUACAACAAAAGAGAAGGAACAAGAAGCACUUCGUACACGCCGAAGGCGAACGUCACCGAGGCAUGGGGGACGCCACCUCCAACCAUCCCGUAAGCCUCAUCAUCAUCAUCUCUCUUUCGAUUUUCUGCCAAGUCAAUCGGCUCUAGUCGCGACGCGCUGUUCAUGUGUUUUCGGCGGUUGGGAGGAAUUGGGUUUUCGGCAGCGGCGACGCCUGAAAUCGCUUUCUUUUUUUAAGGCUAUAUGAAUAUUCUCUGUUGUUCUCUCUGGUCACCUCGGUUUCAUCGAUCUCGCCUAGCGGCAGAGAUAGCUAACACUUUGGUUCUUUAGGUUCUUGCACCAGCAAGUGGUCUGGGGCAAUCGAACUCAGACGCCGGCGGGUUCAUCGCCCUCGACGUCGGCGCCCUGUCGUCGCUCGCCGGCGACGGCCCGGACACGACGACGACAGCGGCAGCGGCGGCGACUCCGCGGACACCGGUAAGUCGAGUAACACGACGGCCGGCGGCCGCCGGCAGAUUCCUUUAGCUCGUCGUGAUAGAGUUCGAUAUGGUGUCAUAAUUAAUUGUGCUGUGAACAGAGAGUGGUGCGGUCGCUCUCGAGGAAGGGGUCAGAACGGAAGCAGGCCGACGGCGAUACCAAUGGCACUGCAGGUUAGCCCUCCUCAAUUGAUCCUCAACUGUCUUCUUCGAGUAACCCCCAAUUCGAUUCUAUCUCGAAUAAAUAUUACCAAAUUUUACUUUUUUUUUGUUUCCUUCUUCUCAUGUCGACAUCUCCUUGGAAAUUUAUCUAUGGACUUCGAUAGAUCAGUUUACCUUGUAACUUAAGCUAGUCACAAGUGACCAACUGACCAAAGACCAGUAACAAUUACGCUAGCUGCACGUCUCUGACGGCGAAUGGGAAGGGGCAGCUUGCUUGAGGUGUAACCUUGCCGUCAAAUCCCCGGAGGAUCGCAGUUGCUGACUUUGAUUUGAUCCGUCCAUGUGCAGGAGGUGGCGGCGGCGCAGGGACAGGCAGCGAGAGGCCCCCGCUGUCCCCGCUCUUCGUCCACGUGGCAGCCGCCGACGAUGGGCUCCGGCUCGCGCACACGCCGGGGGCCGUCGGCACGCCGGGAGGCAAGUCCCGGCGGCUCGGGCGGCGACCGGCGCCGUGGCUCGAUCCCCGGAGGGUGGUCUUCCUCUUCGCUACGCUGUAAGAACAUCUUAAAAUCCCCCCCCCCCCCCCCCCCGGUUUUAAUUACUGGAGUAAUUGUUAAUUAGAUCCGAUCACGGAACCAGCUAUGCAGCAGCAGAGCGUCAACUAGGAGGCAGCUAGUGUCACUUGUUUGCUGGUAGCUGCUCAUGUUAGGUAACUUAGGUGGCGUAGCCAGAAGGAGUACGAGCUCUCCUCAUCUGUCAUUUCUGCUAAUGACUCCUCCAAGAACCCGUGGUACUUGGAGCCAUUCAUGAACCGCACGAACCAUUAGGCAGAACAUUCAAGCGGGCGUGCCUAACGUGACACCAGUAAAUGAGAAAUCCCCCUCUUGAUGCGAUGAGUGCUCAACUGCAGGUGCAGGGCACUGUUCAGGAUCGUUAAGAAGAAGAAUUUGCUUUCCUUGUGACCCGGCGAUCGAAUGCCAAACAGGACCGGCCGUGGUUUUUGUUGGCAAGUCCCCGUUUCAGAACUAGUUGCCAGUUUUGCCUUGCCUACAGCAAUAGGAGAGUAAAACGAUGGCGAUUGGUGAACCACCGGUCUUGUUUAUCACUAGGGAAGAUCCUUGUUCGUGCAUUUGAGGAGGAUUUCUUGUAAAAAUGCUAAUUUUAACCGUGGACUAAUAGUCUACUAGUACGGCACUGUGGAUUCAACAAGUUGGAUUUGUUGUUUCUGAACUGAUUGUCGAUUCAUCUACGUGUAGUAUCCAUAUAUCAAAUGGGUUAAUCAACAAGUUGCAUUAAAAAAACAGAUUUGAUUCUGAAUCAAAUCUUCAUCUUCAUCUAGGAGUAGUAACCUUACGAAAUGAUUGUCAGGGUUAAUGCUCAGCAAGGUGUUCUUCUCCAAAGAAAAACUCUGAACAUCUUUCACUGUUUUUAUUAUGCAGGUCCAGCGUGGGAACGUUGAUCCUGCUCUACUUCACCCUUUCCAUGAGCAAGAUGGACAGCGCUGGAAGCGGCACGGGCGCUGCUGACAGCGAUGCGCGGUGAAACACCGGCCUUGGAGCCCAAAGAGAUUUUCGUGUGCAGCGGAGAGUUUUGAACCUACAAUUUGCAGAGAUUGUGAUUGGAGGGACUGAUAUUACCCGUAUUCCGGCACAAAAUGGGUGGUCAUAUGAAAAGGAUACAUAGUAAAUCGCAGAGAAGAGAUUAGGCUCGUUGGGGGUCUGAUGGAGAAGUUUGUGAUGUAUGUCCUCUCUUUCCUGUGCUGGUUUUUUCUGUUUCUCUUUCCUGUGAUGGAGAAGAGAUUACCCUUAUUUUUUCUCUGGCAGCUGAAAAGAAUACAUGUCGCUUUGGAGCGAUGAUACUAGAUUUUUCUUCCUUACAGAUAUAGCAAUAUAAUCAUACAAAAAUUACACACUCAUUUAUUCCGAAAUAAUUGUCUUUGUCUGGAACAUUUCUAGAAGAGGCUGUACAUGAUUGCAUGGCUACACAAAGAAAACGAAAAAUAAACGACGAAGAAAGAACAUGGAACAACACAUUUGGGACCUCUAUGCACAACGACGCUAAUCUAAUCAGGGAGGCCGGACAGGUGAAAAAUGCCAGAUACAGUAGGUCCUAGAAUUUCUGGUUCGCUUCAGUGCCGCAGAAUAGACUUAUAGGUCCCUAGCCAGAACCUUUUCAGGCUCAACAGGAGGGCUAACCAUCUCUGACAGAUAAUCGUAUACUCUAAUUGGAGCAACCCUGCAAGAACAGAAACAUAUUUCUUAAGUUGUUAAUUUCAAUGCAGACAAAUUCAGGACCUCGGCUAAGCAUCAUACUUGCAAUACAAUGGAAACAUCAUGGAUCAUAUCCAGGAUAUUUCAGAGAGAAACCAUGUAACUGGAGUUGACAGCUACAGCUGCCGUGAGCUUGAAACCUCUUUUGCAGGAUACAUAGAGCACAUAUAGGCAAUUUGUGGAUUGAAAAUAUCAACUUUCAAAUUUAUGUUCACUUUGUAUAAAAUUGAAACAAAAUAUCAAGUACUUCCUCCGUUCCAUAAUUCUUGUCGAAAUCUUACAUGUAUCUAGACACUUUUUAGGAAUAGAUACAUCCAAUUUUGGACAAAUUUGAGACAAGAAUUAUGGAACGGAGGGAGUACCAACCAAGGAUUAUCUUUUUUUUACCAGUCCAACCAAGGAUUAUCUAAUGAGCCCUUAUAUCAGCCCUUUAGCUGCUGCUGCUGCUGCUGCUGCUGCUGCAGUUUCCAUAUAACCAAGUUCUGAUCAGCUCAAUCAGACUUCAGGGACCUUUUUUUUUGGCGAGGAGGCCAAGAGACUUCAGGGACCUGAGGUUUGGUUCAGGGUGCCCUUACCCUACAUUUUUGUUGACGCACGUAUGACCAGAAAUCUAUUGCGGUCUUCUCCACAUGGUAAGAUGCAUAGUUCAAACAUAACCGUAAAAUUGAAAGAAUUAUAGUUCCAAGCAACAAGGUUUGUGAAAUUUGAAUAGCACUCGUUAAGUAAAUGAAAUCAAUAACAAAUAAACAAAAGAACGAAGAAACAAAAGGAAAGAGUGAAAAUAACGCAAGUUAGUGCAUGGUGUUCUUAUGAUUGAAACUACUUUCAGAAGGCCUCCUAAACUAGGAGUGAACAAUCCUUAUAACAGUGAACAUAUCCUGGUGCAAAUGAUCUUAGUGGUCAAUCCUAGGAGCACGAAAUCGUAGUGACUUCCCGUGGACACCGUCUUAGUAGCGCUGGUUCAGGAGGAUAAAGGAGGACACCAAACUUUUACUGAGAGGAAUAUAUCACUGAUUUUUAACAGAUUUCAGAAAUCCAGUUGAACUUAAUUUUUCUCGAGCAUGCACCUAAAUGUGUGUCGUUUUGUAACUAACUAAAAAUACUCCAAUAAAAAAACAAUUUAGCUAGUGAAAACUCAGAGCAUGCAUUAUACAUUAUUAUUUCCUGCUGCACUAUACUGCGAACCCAUAUAUUUUAUAUACAUAAACCACCUAGAAGGUGGUUAGUGGUCACACAAAGUAAGAGCUAUCAAAGGCUGGGGUACUGUUGACACGGCGCUUAUCAAAGCACACAUACUUUACAAGGCACAGUAGAAGAGAUAGAACAUGGUGCUAGUACCGUUUUGAUAUGCGUGGCAUGGAGCACUUCUGUUUCCUGUCAUGGUAUAUCCUAACAAUGACAGCAGCUGUUUCUUCUAUAGCUUUUCCAGUAACCUCUGUACGAGAAAAGUAAUAUUGUUAUAACAUGAGAAACAACAAAAUGGAGUCUCCAACUCUCCAUAAAGACAAUGGAAGUGGUCUUACGAAUGACUGGCCAUAUUGGAUGCCGAGCAAAAAUUUGAUUUGCAUGGUCUAACUCCUGCCUCACAUGCUCCAUUUCAGCAUAGUUGCUAUUUUGUGCAUGAAACCCCAGAGUGUUGGCUCUUGCCUUUCUAAUUGCCUGAAGAACCACUGGGUUUAUUGUUAAUCCAAAAAUCUUAUCCGGGUCAAUCUCAAAAAGAGCCUUCGGAAGAUCAAUUCCCAUCACAAUUGGGACGUUUGCCACUUUGUAUCCUUUUUGUGCUAGAUAAAUUGACAGUGGUGUUUUCCCAGUACGUGAAACACCAACAAGCACAAUGUGUGCACGGGCAAGGUUCUUUGGCUGAGCACCAUCAUCUUGUUUGAUGGUGAAAUCAAUCGCUUCAAUUCUUUCAAAGUAAUCCUCAGAAAGUUGACCUUUUCGGCUAGCAGAACUUCGGGGAAUCCCAGAUGGAGCAACACCGAUGUGAGAAGCUAUGGCUUCAAUAGUAGGACGAAGAACAUCAGUGGAUGGAACACCCCAAAGAUCACAAGCCUUCUUAGUUGCCUCAGCCAUUGAAGGAUCAGCAAGUGUAUAUAGAAGCAGUGCCCCUUCUUUUGCUGCUUGCUUUACUAUCUCAAUAAGGUUAUCGAUUUCAUCAACCUAAAGCAAAUUAGCAGCAACUUGUAAGACACAACAUUGGUAAUCAACUUGUAAGACACAUGAUUGGUACUGAGAAGUGAUAUGCAGUUAACUUUAGCUCAUAGCCUAUGCUUGUUGAAUACUACCCAAUAAAUAAUUUAUAAACCAAGAUGGCAAGACCAAAAGCCAAUAAUAUGAUCCAAACAAACAGAUAAAAGAAAAACUAGCCGUGACCAAUUGGCAACAAGCAUCCCCAUUUUUUUCUCUGAAUAUCCCAACCACCUCAUGUGUGAACUGUGAAGCAGUCAAUACCAUUUUGUACCAAGAAAACACAUAUUCGGCCUUACUCAACUACAUGAUUCACACAGAUUCAUAUUACUUUUUUACUUUUUAAAAUGUUAAUCAGCACAAUUCAUUCAAACUUUAAUGUGGGGAGAAUUUUUCCUCUGUUCUAACUUUGAGCAUAUUUCACAGCUAUAACCCACUAAUUGCGACUAGUAAAAUAUAUUUUUUCUCUCGUAUAACUAGUAAAAUGGAUAUCGUAGCUUUCAUUCACAUAACAGUUGAUGAGUUUCAACUUAAAGUCUUGAGAAAUAGAUUGUAGUGCUUGAAGGCCAAAACUUAAAGAUAAUGACGAACUGAAGUACCCCAAUUAACCCCCUCUGACAUUGCACAUCAAGCCAAAGGGGAAUUGCAGCCACAGGCAUCACGGUAAUCAGUCUAAUAAGAGAUCAUAUCUGUGUAUAAAUUAACCCGAAAGCAAAAUUGCAGGGUUGCCCUUCUAUGGCCAUAAAAUGAUAAAUUUCAUCUCUAAACUUGAUUUUCAUUGAUUUUAAAUAUCUUUGAUUUUCUUUUUGUCCCUUGUCUUGAUAUCGCAUGAUGCACAACCCAAUUAUUUACUGUACUUUCGAAUUACCAUAUCGGAAAUUUACUGCUACAGUCCAAACAUUCACAUCCCCCUAGUUUGAUGGGAAAGUAGAACAUUUGCCAAAGUGACUACUGAAAAUGGCGCAGUGGUAAUUUUCUACUAGCAAGAGCCGACACUAAAUAGCAGAGAACAACAACAUUUCGUGCAAACCAGACAUCGCACUGGAGAGCGGAGCGGUGGCCGGAAUCCGAAGUGAAGAAUUAAGGAUUUAAGGUACUCCUAUAAAGUGCAGCGACGAAGAUGGUUCUUUACCCCGGAGAAGAGGUGGGUGUUCGUGGCGCAGCGGCGGUCUACGAGGCAGUGCUCGAAUUGCCCGAGCACGGCGUUCACCGAGUGCUCCAACGUCCAACCCGUCCCGUCCGACACCAUGUAAAUCGUGUUCGCCCCAGCCGCAACCGCCUCGUCGCCAUCACCGUCCUCCUCCGCCGUCACCGUCUUCGCCGCGACCUCCUCCUGGGAGUAGGAGGAGGAGGACGGCGGCGGUGACUUGGUCGGCACAGAAACCGCCGCGCUCCCCCGUACCAGACGCCGACCGGACCGGAGCGCGCGCGCGCGCGACCACCGGCUCAGCUGCGAGCUCGCGCGCUGCGGGGCGGAAGUGGGACGCGGCGGGGAGGAGACCGUCCCCGUCCCGGCAUCCUCUUGCUCCACCGGGCCAGAGCGCUGUUGGUCCGUGCCCGCGGUCAGUGGCGGGCCGGUGCCGGUGUCGGGGAGGCAUGAGGCGGCCGUGGGGGAGAGGCGGCUGCCGCGGAGGCGAGGAGAGGGCGGGAGGAGCGGCGUCGGCGUCGCGCUUAUCAUGGGGUCGGGCUGGGAGGAGCACGAUCUGCUGCUGUGCCGUGUGAGAACGGAGUCGUGUGACCGUUUUUAGGCGAAUUCGGGUCGUUCUUUGCAACCUUUUCGCGCGGCGCGGUGGCGUUUUCCGUUGACAUGGCGUGCCUUGGUUCCCUGACGCCAUGUUGCCGCCGACGGAUUUGGACCAGAGAAGGCUCAACUCUCAAGUCUCGACUCUUGCUUCCGUUCCGUGCUGCAGCGUUGUCGCCGUUGGUAACUGGAAGCCUUGUGUGUUGUUUGGUCUUCGUCUCUUCCGUGUUAUCCUGGGCUCGGUGCUACUACCCUCGAGUAGACGCAAAUUUUACUGUCUCUCCUAACUAAGAUCAAACGCUCAGUCAAGGCAGCCAUCAGAGUCAGCUCGAAGCCUAUGAGCAUAUAUGCAAAGGUAUACAAUUGCAUCUUGUUGGGAAAAAGAAGGGCACAGUUACAUAAACAGAGGAAGGAACCAUGAAGAAGACCCAUUAGUAAGAAUCAAGAUCAGAGCUAAUGCCCCACGUCAUUAGUUCAUACCAAAGCUGAGCAUACCAUCUCUACUGGUACUGAUUUCUGCAAUGAUGUCUCUAGAGUAAGGCCUAAGGGAGGUCCUUGCCAUGAGAAGAAAAGGGAAUGAUAAUGGCACCGAGUGAUUGUGCCAUGGGACAGUAACUGGUACUGAUUUCUUUCCCUAAAAAAACAAGCAAUAUAUGUGACUGGCAUAUAACACCAGGAGUACUAUGAUAAACAAGCCUACUUCUUAGAGCUGAAAUAUGUCAUAAUAAGAGCUCCUUGUGUAGUAUAUACAGAAUAAAACAUCUUUUCACAACAAGUAUAUCAACCAGAUAACCUCAAAUCUCAAGUGAAAAGGUAACAGUGAAGGCACAACUACAAAUGAUGAGAGAGGACUGAGGCUAAGAAACAACAUUACUCCAAAAUCCCCUCAUGUCGAAUAGAUCUUAGAUACAGUGGUCCAGGUUUCCUCGGUUAUCCUGGUGGCAGCAUAAUUUCAUGCAGAUCUUUAGUACUCCCUCCAACCCAUAUUACUUGUCCUAGAUUUAGUACAUAGUUGUACUAAAUUAGUGACAAGCAAUUCCGGCCGGAGGGAGUAGCAUAAGGCAUCACAGAUCCAAAAUGAAAGCAAAACAUAUUGGCACCACAUAUCAAUUUCAAAGUGGUAAUUCAGAUUUCAUAAUCUACAAGGGACCUAUCCAUACUACUACAUAAGCUACAGAUCCUCAACGUCCUGCUUAGAUGAUGUGGGGCGACCUUCAUACUCCAUUUUUGCUCCUAAACUUGCCGUGAUAACCCUGAAUUUCAGCCUUAUCUUCUCCAUCAUGUCUUGCACUUGCUCAUUCUCUGGAUCAGACAAAGGAUAUUUGCUCAGCAGUACAGCUAGCUGCUCCAUGUUCUUCCUGACCCGAGCUGAGAAUGCACCUUCCUCAAGGCGAAUUACUGACAUCCACACAUCCAAACAACCCUGAUAGAAUCCCAGUUCUUCACCUACCUGGAAACCCAUCUUUAAACCAACCUGCCUUCCCUCUUCCUUUCCAGAUACCAAGCCAUCAUCAUAACCAUUUUUAUAACCCUCUUGAUAGUGUGUCUCAUCUAACAGUAUCGAUGGUUCAAGAAAAUCAACAUCAUCUUUGGGUUGUUGAUCCAUGAUACGAACUAAAGUCUAAAUUGUUGAGCAAUAUGCAGUUUCCCAAAAAUAUGUAAAAUUCCAAGAAAUCUGCUAAAAGAAAAGGCUGCACAAUAAGUAACUAGAUGAAUACAAUGAUCAAGGAAAAGAGAAAAAUCAGAUAUUCCUCCGUCCAACAAAGGAUGUCUCAACUUUGACUAAAUUUGAACGCAUAUAUACACUAAGUCAUGUCUAGAUACAUCCAAAUUUUGACAAAUUUGAGACAUCUUUUGUUGGACGGAGGGAGUAAUAACUUUGCAAUAAGUUACCUACAUGUUGCUGCACACGAAAUGAAGCAAAUACAAUGGUUCAUUAAAACUUAGACAAUCAGACUUCACAGAACUUUGAAAACACCAUAUACAAAAAUGAAGGGGUCACAACAUAGUUCAACUCCUUCACUAGUCAACCCGACAGGCGACAUCGUGGAACAGUAUUGACUUUGACAAAGAAGAGAGGUAGCAUCUGUUCGAAUAACUAUGGCUCUAUAUUUCUGCAGUUUAUAUGAUACCAGGGCCCAUGAAUCACAAAUCGAAAAACAAUAAUGAUUACAUCCAUGUCAUAUCAUAAUUCUUUCAUCAUACAACCCUCUUGUUAGAUUAACCUAAUGAUUCGAAAGAAGAUUGUAUUCAAGUACUGAAUUGAACAAAUGUUAAAGCAAGCUCGGAUGACUCUAUCUAACUAGAUGUCAAAGGACUAGAAGAAUAGUACGAUGUCAAACCCUAGAUUCUUAAUCCCAUCAUCAGCACGAUUUCCCCUAGUUUGGUAUUUAUUUAUUCAACCGUGCCCGAGUUCAAGGAACACCCGAAAUCCCUAAAUGUUCUCACGGGACCAGCAAUCCUAAAUUCAAACAAACUUCUAGAUUAAAUCCAUCGCUGCAGCUACCAGAGAAACCGGAAGAAAUCAUGAUCUAGGUAGGGCGUAAUAACAGGAAUAUCAUAAGAAACAGAUAAUUGCUAGUACAAACUGUUGGGAAGAAAAUUAGGGGAGGGAGUUUAUCGCUAUGGAUACGCACCUUCCAGUUCCCAAGCGACAGCCGCAGGCUGCUCCAAACGGAAGAUGGAACAACACCCUUGUUUCACCGGACUGUCCAUGGGAAAGAGGAUAACUAUAUAAAGACCCUGUAUUGCAAGGUUUUGUUUUGUUCUUAACCCUCAACGGGGUUACAUCUAAUAAUAUAUAUUUCCCAGGGGUAAAUUGAAAACCUUACACGUGCGCCGCCCCCUUCGUCUUCACCAUUAUUUUCUGUUGGUUCGCCUCUCUUUCUCCUGUGAGUCCUGAUGUUGUCUUGUAGGGUUUAGGGUUGGAAGGAGUCAAAACUCCCCUCCGAAACCUCCCCCAUGGCGUCGUCCUCUCGAGUAAGUUUACCCCCUCCUUCGUUUUGGAGUCGUUAUUGCGGUGGAGGGCGUGAUUGGAAUGGGAUCAAACUUCAGUCCAGCGAUUUCUCUCCUAAUUACCGUUUUCCUGUGCAUUGGGAUUUGAUGAUUCUGGUUGCUCAUUUCGCGUUACUGAUGUGUACAUUCUGUUCGACCGGUGUGUGGCGUGUUGGUUCUGUUCUGUAUGUAGGUAAGGGUUGGGACUCUGGUUCCCUUUGGUGAAGGCAAAGCUGGGUCCUUGGGUGCCUCGCUGCCAAGCAUUCCCAUCUUUGAGGGCUCCAAUGUCGUUGGCAGGAGUAAUUUGGUGGUUGUUGACAAGAGAGUCAGUCGCAAGCACCUGAGUCUGCGCGUCUCAGCUGAUGGCUCCAUCGAAGUAGUUGUGGUGAGUAUGCAAGAUGCCAAGGAUAGUUGAUGAUGAUGCCAAAUAAUUGUGUUCUGAUGGCUUUUAAUUAAAAAAAAAGAGCUGUUGUAGUUAAAUGUCAAUGGGUUUUCAGGAAGGGCCAAAUCCUAUUGUUGUACAAUCAGAGGGGCAGAGGAGAAGGGUUUGUGCUAAAGAGAGAGCGAAGAUUAUCCAUGAUGAUGUCUUGGAGCUCAUUCCUGGUGAUUAUUUUGUGAAGUAUGUGAAUAUGGGCGAUGAGCAUAAAAGUUCCACACCGGUGGAUUCAAAUGACUUGAAGAAGGGGAAGCGGCAUAGGGAGGAAGAAUGCGUGGUUGCCAAAAGGAAUCGACAGAUUGUGGAAGAUGAGGCUUUGGCAAGAACAUUACAGGUCAGUUGACCCUAUUUGUUGUGCAUCCAUUGUUUAAUUAUCAUGAUCUCUAUGAGAAUUUUGUCUAGGCAAUCUUUGUGAAAAUUAUAUUUGUGUGACUCCAUAGUUAUUAGCUGCCUCUGCAGAACACCAUGCUGUUCAAUCUGGAUAAUGCUUGAGUACGAAAACACUAAAACCAAUCCAAGUGACUUGCAUUGCAAAUUAAAAAAGAACAAUCUUUUCAAUGCUUAGGUAAUCUUAACGCCUUAAUACUAGUAUGAUACAAUCAAGUAAAUUAGGCCAGGACUGUUGGUUUACAUGCAGAUGUAGGUCACCAACCAUACAAAGGAAGUGUUUCUUAAUCUUUUGCAUUUUCUUAACGAGCCUCUAUUUCUUUAUAUUUUCUCUUGUUGUUAUUUCAACGAUCACUCAGUUGUAGAAAAUAUCAAAAUAAUAUUCAAAAUUGUUGUAAUUUUCAUAUUGGUAAUAUUAAAACUUAGUGAUGGUAUAUCAAAGAUGUAGUAAUACUAGCCGACAACAACACUAUGGUGAUAUUGCUAUCGUUCUUUUAAUUUAUAAGUUUUAUGAGAAAUCUAUCUAUCCUUGACUCCUUGUACAUAAAAGACUUCAUAUAUUACUUUUCAUGUUCUUCAAAUGCCAAUGAUUGUGGUCUAUUCCACCACGGCAGAAAAGUUUUCUCUUGUGUGCACUUUAUGACAAUAUUUCAGCACUUACCCUAUAAAUGAUGAGGAAGCAGAAAAACAAAACGAUCAAAAAGUUUCUUGAACUAAGUGUUUGUACUUUAUACCCAUAAUCACCCCCUUGUAUAUGUGAAUGGUGAUCCUUCUGCUGUUGUACAGUAAAUAAUUCUUUGUGUGAAAAAUUGUGUUUAGAGUUUGAAUUGCAUGAAAGGAUUAGUGUUGAAUGUUGAUCCUUUGCUGAACAUUAAUCAGGAAAGCUUUGCAGAAGAAACUAUGUCUGCUACUGGCAUGGCUUGUGUUCAAGUAUCAAGUUCACUUGAUAGUGCUGGUUCUUCUGAGAGAAAUAACGAGAGAAUGCAUUCUGCCGGUUCUUUGAAAGAUGUACUUCCAUUGACUUUUCGACUCAUGCGUGUCCAAGGUCUUCCAUCAUGGACUAAUACUUCAGCAGUUACCAUUCAGGAUGUCAUACAGGUAGUGCACAUUCAAUAUGAACUCUUUGGUUGAAGUUACACGAGCAGCAGUUAAUUAUGUUCAUCAUGCCCUCGUUCCCACGGUAAUUCAGAUCCCAUGAGCCCUUUAUGACUGAUCAGUGAUCACUUGGCUUUAUACUCGUCUAGACUGUUGAUGAAUUGGCUCCUUUUAUUGGUAGUUAAAAGGGCUCAUAGCUGUAUGUUCAAUUCCCCACCCCAAAUGAACCCUAUAUAGUAAAAAUGUUAAAAGCAAUCUAUACACACAAAGUUCUGCUUUAUACUUAGUGAACCUUUCUUCUAUGUUUGUUCACAAUCACAAAAAGAUACUCAAAUAAACGGCUUGUUAUUUUCACUCUCUAUUCCUACAUUGUCAGAUUGGACUGAGAAGUACACUAGUUCUUACAUGAUGAAUAAAUUCUUAGGGUGAAGUGCUCCUUGCUGUACUCUCAAAUUAUAUGGUGGACAUGGAUUGGUUGCUUACGGGUAAGUUAUUUAUUACAAAAGUAAGGUUGUGGAUUGUCAUCCUUUCGUAGCUUAUUUCUGUUAAACAUGAAGUUUUGAUUAUAUAUUUAUUUAUGAGUGAAAUGCACCCGAGGUCUCUGAACUAUGUUGGUAAUAACACUUAGGUCCCUAAACUAUUAAACAUAGCACUUAGGCCCCGAUACUUUUAUAAGUGAUUCACUAACGUCCUUUUUUCGUCUGACCAUGCCACUGUGACCUUUGACCGGCUCCACGUCAGACCAGAAGUGUUGACGCCAGCAUCGGUCGGGCAUUUUAUAGAUUACACCCGUGAAACUAUAUAAGGGCCCACAUGUCUCUUCUUCCCCAUUCGUCCCCUCCCUCUCCCUCUAUCUUCUUACUCCAGCUACCAGGAGCCAUGAAUCUGAGCACUGUCUCUGUCUCUCUCUCUCUCUCAAUGAACCAGGCUAAGGCCAAGCUCCCACUCGUGGAGUGCCCUGUGCUCCUGACUGCUCCUAGAGGACAAUGCUUCUGACUCGUUUCAAAGUGAAAGAAGAACCCCAACAAAUGUGCUUCAAAUGCCUAAAUCACUGGGCAAGUUGCAGCUUUUAGAGCGUGCUCUUAGCUGGUUUCAGGCAGAUUUUGGAGCUAUGAAGUGUGAAUCACCUCUGCCGCCACAUGUCGUGUGAAAAGUAGAGGAAUAGAUGAGGGCUGAGUGGGACUCUAUUCUCCACAGGACACAGAGACCUGGAAGAAAAUAUUCCAGUUGGUUUGGUUGGUCUAUGGCCAGCAUUGCGCCAGUCAAAGGUCACAGUGGCACGGUCAGACCACAAAAGGACGCAAGUGAAUCACUUAUUGAAGUACUGGGACCUAAGUAUUACGUUUCAUAGUUCAAGGACCUAAUUGUUACUUCUGACAAAGUUUAGUGACAGUACAUUGGUACUGAGUAGAGUACUACUAGUAACCUAACUCAUUUGGCGCCUUCUAUUAUUCAGACAGCUAGAGUGGUCACGUUUGUUGGUUUCUUGAGUCAUGUGUAUUGUUGGGUCAUUGCCUUAUGGCCUUGCCUAAGUUCUUUCCAUGCAUGAGUGUUGAAUGUUUUGAUGUUGAGCUACUGCCACUGCUGAUAUUUAAGAGUAAAGCUUAUAUGUGUUGAUGCAUGUGAAUACAGUGGACAGUGGUAAUGUAGGGCUACACAAAUGAAUGAGGCACUUGCCUUGGACCCACCCUUAUGAUAAUUAGAUUAUGACUCUGAUUUGUCUUCUUUCCCAAUAUUGCAUCUUAGCAUGCUACUCCCUCCGUACCGAGAUUGUUGUCGCAGCCUCUUCAGGAAAUACAUUUUACAAUAACAUCCUCAGAGUUACAAAAAUUACAAGAACAUUCAAAUUCAUAUCACACUCCAGGUCGCCUCCGCCAUUCCUCUGCAGGUCGCUUCCGUCUCGAGGUCGCCUCCCCUCUCCAGCCCUCCCUCUCCAGGUCGCCUCCCCUGGAGAGAGAGAAAAACCAUCAAUCUGCCGCCGUCGCCGCCGCAGCAGUAGCUAGCCAAUCGAACACAGAAACAGAGUAAAAACCUCACCUGAGUAGCUGCUCCUCGUCGCGCCGCCAUGAGUAGCUGCUGCUGCUCCUCCUCUUUCGCUGCUGAUGCUCCUCCUCGGGCUGCGGCAGCGGUGACGACAGUGGGCCACCGGAUCCGGCCUCGCAGCCCCUGAAUCCACCGGACCAAUAGUGCCUCCUUUUUUGUCAGAGCAACCAUCUUGGCGCGCGGCGGUGGAGAAGAGAGGGGAAGGUGGAGGGGAGCGUGGCGGAGGCGGCCGGAGCGCGGCGGGGGCGAGAGGGAGAGCGGCGGCGAGGAGAAGGGGGCGGAGAUGGGGGACGAGUGCAGAAAGAGACGUAAAUAAAGAAGAGGACAUCGGAGCAAGGCUGUAGAAAGCGGAGGGGGAUUUUUACAAAAAUGUCGUCGUGACAAUAAUUUCGGUACGGAGGGAGUAUUAGUUAGCAAUUUGUUUUACAAUAUAUUCUGAGAUUGUUGUGUUGCUAUAUGGUAAAAUACAAUUGUGCCUUUUGUUCUCAUUAUCUACAUUAUCUUUUAAUGCAUCAUUGUAAGUAGCUAUUCCAUGUUGCAGCAUGUCCAAGUCUAAGGAAAGUUCCACAUGUCCUAGUUUUACAUGGAGAAGAUGGUGCUUCAUUGGAGCAUUUGAAGGUGGCAAAUUUGCCUAAAGUUUUUGAUAUCUUGUUUAUUGAUACUUUUUUCUCAUUUCACAUCAUGCUUGUGUGAUAUAGAAAUCGAAACCAGCAAAUUGGAUCCUUCACAAGCCUCCACUUCCAAUUACAUUUGGAACACAUCAUUCAAAGGCCAUGCUACUUGUUUAUCCUCAAGGGAUUCGUGUUGUGGUGCACACUGCAAAUUUGAUACAUGUUGAUUGGAAUAACAAGAGUCAGGGACUAUGGACACAAGAUUUUCCCUGGAAAGAUACAAAGGAUAUGAAUAAAAACAUUUCUUUUGAGAGCGACCUGGUUGAUUAUCUCAGUGCACUUAAGGUAUCAGGGUAUCCUCUCUUUGCUUCUAGUAUAAAACUAAAAAUAUAUAAUCCACUGUUCUUUCAGUUCACAUACUGUUGUUUAAUAAUUGUUGUUUGCUAUCUCUGUCUUAAAUUUUAAAAUUACUAUCACCAUUUUGAAAGAACAUCAGCCACUCGAACUUGUCAGCAAAAGAAUGGAGCAAGCAGUUAUGUGCAUUUUUUCAAAUUAUCUUUUUUUUUGACAAGUUUUCAAAUAAUCGUUCAUACAUUCAUAAUUAACAAUUGAAGCAUGAUCUGAUUUUCCAUAGAACUUUGUUCUGUAGCAAGUUUUAUCCUGUUAUCAGAUCAGUUCUAGUGUACUUUAGUAUCUUGGAAGUACCUAGCCUUCAUAAACAUCAUAUGCAUAGUUCAUCUUGGAACGAUCUAGCUUUUAGCCUUUUGGGAACCCCUCCUUAUAUGUUAGAGCAUGUGGACCGAAAGGGGCACCUGUGGCCAGGCGGCGCUAUAGGGCCAACAAGGAUUCAGUGAGGAACCGUUGUGUUCAGAGCACAUCAGAAGAUAAUGGGGGCAGAGAGAAUAGAGAUUAGUGCAAAGAUUUCUUAUUGAUAGCGUAAACAACCAUACAGCUUGGAGGGCCUUGUAUAGGCAACUUGAGGCUAGCUAAUCUCGGCAACUAGAACUCUAGAAAGUAGAACAUCUGUGUCUCUUUCCUAACUAGAAGCCUCUUCCCUAACGCAGCAAUCCGGUCUUAGCUUAAGGUAUGGCUGUUGUAGGAACACUCCUUUGGUAGGUAAUUUCCCACAUUACAUUAUAGUUCACUCUGGUUGCUACUAUUGUAUUAGUUUGUUUCAUCGGCAGUUAAAUUUUUGCUAAAAGUCUAUCUCAUCUACGCUGUGUCAUGAACUGAAUUGUUCUCUUCCUGACAAUGCAGUGGCCAGAGUUCAGGAUAAAACUCCCGGUUGCUGGUGAUGUCAACAUCAAUGCAGCAUUCUUUAGAAAAUUUGAUUAUAGUAGCUCAACGGUUAGUAUAUUUGUUUAAUCUCAAGUUACUUUAAGCUUUAUGAGCCGCACUGAAUCAUCAAUAUGUUUUUUCUUAAAUUUAUGGCCUGUCAUAAAAUGAAAAGGAAAGUACAAGAAGAGAGACCAUUGUCUGGGCACAUUUGGAUUAGAGGUAACGUACUAUGAGGAGCAACGAACUGCCUACGUGCCCUUAUUCCCAAGCGUCAGUACCUAGCCCCGCCUCCACGCGCCGCCCAGCGUCGAAACUACUGUACGUGCCCUUAAGUAUUCCCAAGCGUCAGUUCCUAUCCCCGCCUCCUCGCGCUCAGUUGCUAGCAUCGCCUCCCACCGCCAUGGCUUCCUCCUGGCGCUCCUGUGACUCCUGGCCGGACAAGCGAAACGCGGCCAAGCACCUCGACGAAGGGACUAUGGGGAUCACCACCGCCGCUCUCGACAUCCUCAGCACCUGCAGGUUGGCUCGCGCCCUUCCUCAUUGCCGUACCGCGAUCCGGGACGACCCCAACCGCCACCCGUUCGGCGUGCUAGGCCUGCUACACCGUGACCCCAACUUAUUGCCGGAUGGAGACCACGAAAAACAUGUAAAGAUCACAUUCCUGCUUGAUUCAUUUAUUCAUCAUUUCAUCUUGAUAGAGAAAGAUUGCAGAUGGUUUUUUUCAUCAUCAACUGCAAGUCAAUUCUCUUUUUUCUUGUUCGCUCAUUCAUAUUUAUUCCUCAGUUCCAAGUCGAACGAUGUUCUCUUGUAAGAUUGCAGAUGGUUUUUUUCGUACAUGUAAGAUCACACCUAGCGUGCAUGCAGAUUGUGAAAAUAUCUCUUUUGCAGAUGUUGCAUGCCAAGCUGAUGCCACUAGACAAUCCCAUGAUACCAGCAGUGGUCACAAUCAUGGAUCCAGGAGAUGAAGGGGCGGGUGCUGACAAGAACUGGGUGGGCGGGAGGGGGGAGUGGAUGGCAAUGAUCCACGGCAUGGAUCGUUGGACUCUGAAGAACUACUACAGACAGAUUGAACUGCCACUGCCACCGGUGGAUGCUGCGGCAUUACUCUGAGACCUCGCGGCGUUUUCCACGUCCGACAUGGUUAUAUGUACAACCAGACACCAAUAGAGCUCUUGAAGAUACACCAAUAGAGCUCUUGAGCUAUCUUCAAGAGCUCUAUUGGUGUCUGGUUGUACAUAUAACCAUGUCGGACGUGGAAAACGCUGCGAGGUCUCGGAGUAAUGCCGCAGCAUCCACCCGAUUAUUACGAAAAUAAGCAUUGUUACAAGCUUUCCAAGUGGCCCAAAAACACACCCACAACCCCAAUGCAUUCCAUCCACUGACCAAACAGCUGUGGCGCAGUGUCAGGGACAUGAGGCAGAUCAAAGGCAACACGGAGUACAAACCACAGAAAUCUUGCAAGGGGACAGUGCGCCCACAUAACUGGCACUUAGUAUCCCCCUUCCGUCCUCUAUGUUUCAAAUUAUCCUUAGUUAAAAUGCUUCUAUUUAGCACAACUCACAGAAAAAUCCUGAUUUUAAGAGGAAUUUUGACCUUCCAAAGAAGAUGGUGAGGAUAGUUCCAGUCAGUUCUUUUUAAAGUUCUGUGAAAUGUAACACAUUUUUCCCUUGUGGUUCAACUACAUCUCCAACUAAAACCUCGGUAGUAAAGCAAAUGUUGUAAAGCAGAGGAUUAAGCAGCUUAAGAGGUUUGUCAGCACACCACCAAUCUUCCCAAAAUCUAGUUGCUUUUCCACAACCUUUUUUUUCCAAAGACUGUAGAAGACAUCUUUAACAUGUAGCAGCCCAGACCAAAAUUGAGAAUUGCCAGCCCUAUGAGGGACCCCAGCUGAACAUUGAGAUUUAGCAUAUUUGGUCUUGCUAGAGUGACUGUGUGAUGUGCUAAGUGUGAUGUAUUGUUUUCUCCCAUUGCCUACACAAAAGACUCACUACUGUUCACCCAGGAUGGGCGGCUACUUGUACAUGCUUUUACAAAUGUUCCUGGUUAUCAUGUGGUUUUUUUGUUUCCGUAAAAAAAUGUCAACCAAGUUCAUACCGGUUGCAGGUCAGGCUGAUUGGAUCCGUUCCUGGUUAUCAUGUGGGCCCCAAUAUUAAAAAGUGGGGCCAUAUGAAGCUUAGGAGUGUUCUUGAAGGAUGUGUAUUUGAAAAACAAUUUUGCAAGUCCCCACUUAUUUAUCAGGUACCUUUCAUUUUUCAUGCAUCUAUCAAUUUGUCAGGGCAUGCUAGUUUCCAAGAUACAUUGAUAACUGAUAAGCGAACUUAAUAGCCUUGUAUUUAUCCUUAGAUGCUUAAAGUUAAGAAAUUGAUUUGAUAUGCCAAACUUGCUGCUACCAGGCAGCUAUGUUGUAUGAUGACCUUAAGAAAGCCAGUACAUGAACCUUACAAUUUCAUGGCAUAUGAAUGUCAUCAAGCUGUUAGUUAUGUCUUGCUGGUGAUUGUUGAAUAGUGAAUAAUCAAGCAGUAUAGCAAUUUUUCAUUUUUAUGUUGUAUCACAGGGGUGUGCAGAAUGCAGGAUCUAUACCUAACCAAACUAGUGUAAUGUGGUACCUUAGCAAUUAUAUUAUCACUUACUGCACCCAGUUAAUGGGACUCCAAAUCGAGCAUUCAUACUAGACAUUGUCCGUUCUUUCUCAUGUUUGACUUUUUAAAGGAUGUUUAGCAUUAGUUUCUUCUUGCAUGCAGUUUUCCUCCUUGGGAUCACUUGAUGAAAAAUGGAUGACUGAGUUUGCAUGCUCGUUAUCAGCUGGUAAAGCAGAUGAUGGAUCACCGUUGGGGAUCGGGAAACCACUUAUUGUCUGGCCUACAGUGGAGGAUGUUAGGUGCUCAAUAGAGGUAUAAAUAUGGCCUACAGUUGUACUUACCGUGUCAUCAAGAAGUGCAUGCUUUAUUUGUGAAUGGACCCUGGGCAUUUGCGGUAUGUUUUGUUUAAGCCCCACCUUGCCAUGCCAAAUAUUUGGCUAGCCAAAAUUUUGGUGGAGGUUUUGUUUGCCCAUGAGUUGGCCAAAGUUGGCAAGAAAAAUGAACUAGGAUUGAUAAGGAGGCAUUGGCUUGCCAAAAAGUUGGUCACCAUCCAAGCAAACACCAAAAUUUUGAUCGUGGUCAAAAAACUGGUAAGGUAGACUUUGGACAACAUCCAAAUACAUGCUUGUAAUUUCUUGACAUGUUGAAUACUUGGUAAUAGGUUAUGAUAUUCCACGAGGGAUCAGUGCUGGCCUUAAAAGCAUACGAGCUUAAAUAAAUUUGUAUUAACUUCUCAGAUCAAUGCUGGCAGAAUUUGAUGGGUCCUUUUGUACUUGAUUGUUAAUGUCUUAUUCUACCUUUUUUGUGCUUGAUAUAUCAUUUUAGGGGUAUGCAGCUGGUAGUUGCAUUCCAAGUCCUCAGAAGAAUGUUGAGAAAGAUUUCUUGAGAAAAUAUUGGUCCAGGUGGAAAGCAGAUCAUGUAGGCCGUUGGUAUGCUCUCUAUCUCUCUCCCCACCCCCUCUCUCUCUCUCUGCAGCUACCUGAAAAGCUAUAUAUCGGUUCAAAUAAAAUUUCAUAGUUCUUAACAAAUAGGAUGUUAUAUACCAGUUAUUGACUCAUUGUGCAAAUUAUCUACUAUCGUAUCACAUUGUAGAUUUCUCUAUUUCUUAGAUUAUCACAAUGGGUAAUUUAUCUAAUCCUUUUUGUGUGGUGUAAUAUGCCAUGUGUCACAAGACGAUUUGGUUGGGCUGUUUGGUUUUGCCUCAUGGUAUCCAUGAAUACAAGACUAGUUAGUUGUGGCCAAAAUAUAAUAGUGUCAUACUUGCUGUUAUUUGUCCUUUAAUUAUGUACUGUAGCUUUUAAAACUCUUGCUAAGAUACAGCCUUUGAAGAGAUAGCAUUCAAUUCCAAGUAAUGGGGUAGUAUAGCUAAAAGAGCUAAGGAUGGAGAUGUCUUCCUUUAGUCCUGUCAUUCUCUGUUACCACACUGCUAAAGCAAGUAUGUUGUUUCUGCAUGGCUGUCAACUAGUAUCAUCUGAUCUGGUUUCUUUGGCAAAAUAAGGUCUAUUGAAAUCCUCAUUAUAAUCUAAACAACAGCACUCUGGUAUUAGCCAUGUAAUGUACUAAUGGUUAUCACUGCAUAUUUGUAAUCUCAGUCCAAGUGGGCAUCAUCAUCUUAUGCUCAAUCAAUUAUUGAUAUAGCCUGCAAAAGAUUGGCAUACUUGUCCCUUUUGGGUCUUACAUUUUUCUUCUUCUGUCAAUAUAUUUUUUAUGACUGAUGCAAACUGAUAUUCUGAUCUUGCUUUUUUUUUCAUCAGCCAUGCUAUGCCUCACAUAAAAACUUUUGCUCGUUACAAUGGUCAAAAUAUUGCGUAAGUUUAUAUUGUCCCUAUAUAGUUCUUACCAUUUCAUGACCAAAUAACUGUAAUAGUUCACUGGAUGAUCAUUAUCUAAGAAAAAUGUCUGCUUUACCCCCCCCCCCCCCUCUGCUUCCAUGAAAGUACAGCUUAGACUAUCUAUUACCACACCAGUUAUUCGAACAUCCUUAACUUUAAAACUACUGCGAUUUUCACACUACUUUGGUAGUUUUUUUGCUUUCAUGGUAUUUGGCUGGGCUAGAAUCUCUUAGUCAGGAAGAUACUGAGCCAUGCGACUGCCACCAAUUAACCUCACAAAUUAAGUUGGCAGUUAAUUAAUUAAAUAUUAAAAGCGCAAUCAACUUUUUCCUUGUGGCUUCCAGUUUAGUUCGUUGGCUUAACACUGACCGAGUCCACAAAAGUGGCUAACACAGCAAUAACCGUCCGUGGGUGAUUUGUACUUAUUUUCAAAGUUGAGAGUUUUAAGUAGUCGGACAUGUAGUAUCUAAAGUCUUGUCUAUUUCCCCCAUCAGAUGGUUUCUGCUUACCUCAUCAAAUUUAAGCAAAGCUGCUUGGGGCGCACUGCAGAAGAACAAUACGCAGCUGAUGAUACGGUCAUACGAGGUACACAAUUCGGAUGCAUUUUUCUUUUUUUUAUGAUAUUUUCUCUAGAUUAUAGAACUUGCGUUGAUAAGGCAUCUAUAGACCAACAACUUUCACUACCAGUCAUCACGGAAUUGUGACUAUACCUUUUCAUUUGACCUGCUUUCAGUUGGGUGUACUGUUCUUGCCCAAAACUCUCCAGUCUGUAUCACGAUUUUCAUGCACGGAGAAGAAUCACUCAAACUUGGUAGUAGAAAAUCACCCCUGGUCAUUUUAUUAUUGCUAUGGAAACAUUUCUCUUUCAUCUCACCUUCAUUUCUCACACGUGUACCCAGGGUAACCUGACCCUUGGUAAAACCAUCAAGACCAAGCUGGUCACACUUUGCUGGAAAGAUGAUGAAGAAAAGGAACCAUCUGCUGAAGUUAUCAGAUUGCCAGUGCCAUAUCAACUCCCUCCACAGCUUUAUGGACCAGAAGGUUAGCUGUUGUCAUAAUAUUUAGUAUGCUUUGAGCUGUGAAACCUAAAAUGUUGUUUAACUUUCAGAUGUACCAUGGUCAUGGGACCGGAGGUACACGAAGAAGGAUGUUUAUGGUGCAGUCUGGCCACGCCAUUCUUAGCUUACCUGUGUGCCGAUGACGAGUCUUAAUCGUGUUCAAGUCGAAGGACACAAAUCCAGUGGUACAUUGAUCGGUCUCUAGUCAAAUCAUUAACAUAUAUGACCUGAUUGCUCAUCCUCCCUGUUUCUUGGUGGCACCAUGGCUAGCUUGGCUAGCUAAGCCGUGUGCUGACAAUGAUUGUUAACUGUGUUCAGGUCUGAGGACAUGAACCCAGUGGUACUUUUAUCAAGCAGUGGUCAAAUACUCAGUACGACCCGAUUGCUCGUCCAGUCUGUUUCUUGGCCGCUCUGUCAAUUCUGAGGAAAAAAAAACUACAAGCGAUGGAACAUUUGAUUAAGAAGAGGUUGUUGGAGCAUUGGAUAUUUUCAGCAUACUGAGACGUGCACUAAUGUCAUUUGGUGCUUGCCGUUGUGCUGUUUAUGCACCCGUCUGUUUAAAUCUGUAUUAUCGUUGUACCGCAUAUGUUGGUGGGAUCUCUGGGAUCACGUUUGCUGGCUGGUUUAUUUAUAAUUUUGCUUGUUAAGGUCGUUCCCAUUACGAAAGUAACCACACAUAGAGCAUGCUACUGACUAAACAAACAAUAGAAUACGAUGCUGGGUAUCCUGAUUCAGAGAAAAGUUACUGGAAUGAAAAAUGGUCUUCGGUUCGUACUUUCAUAACAUGCUCUGGCUGGCCGCGAGUUGAGUUUGGCGUGAGGCGGGGCCGGAUGUUCGAUAUUGUUCCCUGGUUUUUUUUUUUUAGAUAAAAGGCUUUUGCCCUGUUCCAUUUCAGACGAAACGAAACCACAUAGUUCGGUACAGUGAUAUGACCAAGAAACCGAAAAACGGCUAACAUCCUCAAAAAGAGUUAAAACUUGACGGAGACUAAACGAUACAACCUUGUAAUAGCACUGCAAAACAUCUGCCAAAAGAGCAGAAAAUUUUGUCCUCGCACUCCCAGGUUGCUCACUCUCAGGGUCUUCAGGCCAGCUUCAGCGCAACUUCAUGCAGGAGAGGAGUUUCAGGGCCCGUGACAGUAGUGCGCCGUUUCUUCAGAGCUGCAGUCGAGGGGCUUCCACCGCCUUGUUCUCGAUGAGUAAGAGACAUUUGUCCCAGACCGGGAUAUCUUUCUCGGGGCAGAGUGGUGCCAGCGCUCUAGUAAGCGCAGCAAUCGUCUCCACAGGACCUGAACGUUGAGCCACAAAUGCCGAGCAAAGUAUAAGUCGUUACGGAAUUUUCAGAGAGUCCAAAUCAGGCCAGAAGUCAGUAUAUUAACAACACCAUGCUUUUUGUUACAUAGACAGAAGGUAGCCAUUUGUUCAAAGGAGUUUAUAGCAGGUUUAUCAACAAUCUCUGAUAAUUCAUGACAUAAAUGCCUGGCUACAACACACUCAAAGAAAAGGUGUGGUAUAGAUUCAGGUUCACAGCAGAAGAGACAGGUCUUAUCUGCUAGCUCUUGUCGCUUGGCAAGAUUAUCUCUAGUGAGAAGUUUAUUAUUACUUAGCAGCAACAAGAACAUGUGUAUUUGUGAGGGCACAUGAAUAUUCCAUAGAGCAGGCACAAACACAGGUGUUAUUACUCUAAAAUUUACUACAGCAUAGAGAGAUUGGGAGGUGUAUACACCAGACUUGUGUAGCCUCCACAUCAUCUGAUCCUCCUCUGUGGAGAAAACCACACUAGAGAGGAUCUGGGAUAGAGCAUCCCACUGUUCCAAUAAUCUGGGAUUGAAAUUUCUCCUAAAAGAUAAUCUAAUUUCCCCAUCAACACAGACCUCAGGCAUAGAAGCCAAUUGUUCAUUGCAGAUAAUAUAAACAUCUCAAAACUAAGGCUAGUGCCACCAAACAAAUGAUCCUCUCAGAACCUAAUAGAUCUACCAUUUCCCACCAGCCAUUGGUAUCCCAGCAUAGCUACUUUACUAGCCCACAUCACACCUUUCCCAAAAACAGGGCUCAUUCUACUAUCACAAGCAAAGAUAUUUGGGUUAGUAACAUUAUAUUUAUGUUCUAUAAUUUGUUUCCAAAGUCUGUUAGAGUCCAUUUUAUAUCUAUGAAUCCAAGAGGCCAGCAGUGUCACAUUUAAGUCUCUCGGGUUAGGGAUCCCUAAAUCUCCAUAUUCCUUUUUCAUUGCCAUCAUAUCCCAGUUUGCCAGAUGAUAUUUUCUGUGACCCUCAUAGUUGUCCCACAGGCAGUGUGCCAUCUGUGAGUUUAUUGAUUGAAUUGCCCAGCUAGGGAAUUUUAUGAAGGAGAGUAGAUAAAUUGGAAUGCUGGCUAGGCAAGCUCUAAUGAGCACCAGUCUACCAGCAUAGGACGGUAGUCUGCCUCUCCAACGAGCAGCUCUUUUAAUCACUUUAUCAAUGACUGGUUGCAAAUCCUCUUUUCUCAAUUUGUUGUGGUGCAGGGGAACCCCAGAUAAGUAAUGGGAAGGGCACUACAUUUACAACUAAAUAUUUGGCUAAGAGAGUUGGUCUCCUCUUCCUCCAAGUUGAGGGGGAUCAGGUCAGAUUUAUUGUAAUUGAUUUUCAUACCAGAAAUGUGUUCGUAGAGGGUAAGGAACCAUUUCAAAUUUUGUGCCAUAUUCAGAUCAUUUUUUAGGAGAAUCAAAGUGUCAUCUGCGUAUUGUAGACUGACAAUCCCUCCAGGUCUGAAAUCAGGCAGCAGGCCCUGGAUGUGUGAGUGCCUAGCAGCUUUGUUCGGCAUCCGAGUGAAGACAUUGGCAACAAGGUUAAACAGGAUUAGGGACAAAGGAUCUCCCUGUCUCAGGCCUUUACCAGUUUCAAAAAAGUCACUCUCAGUGUCAUUGAUUCUAAUCCCCACAGAGCCCUUGUAAAUCAAGGUUUUUAGUUUGGUUCUCCAUUUCAGGCUAAAGCCCAUAUGUGUUAACAUGUGAUCCAAAAAGUCCCAAUUAAUUCUGUCAUAGGCUUUCUCAUAGUCAAGUUUGAGGAGGAUCCCUUUUUCUUUGUUUUGGUGGAUUUCAUGAAUUAUCUCAUGAGCUAUCACCACACUAUCCAAAAUGUAUCUGCCUCUAAUGAAAGCAGUCUGGUUGAUGGAGAUAAGUCUGUCAGCACACGUCCCCAUCCUAAUGGUGCAGGCUUUAGCAAAGAUCUUGAAACUGCAGUUAGUCAGUGCUAUGGGUCUAAAUUUUUUCAAAGAAGUUGCAUCUGGCUCUUUAGGAACAAAGUUAACAUGGCAAAGUUGAGCCUGAAAAGAUCAGCUUUGUCAUUAUCAAAAUCAUGGAACAGUUUCAGGAGGUCAGGUUUGAUGGUCUCCCAAAAUUUAUGGUAAAACAGAAAGGGGAAACCAUCAGGUCUAGGGGCUCCUUCAACAUAUGAAGAGAAGACAGCCUCUUUGAUCUCCUCUGAGAAAGGUUGGUCCAGGACACUAUUCUCUGCCUCUGUCACCAUGUCCUCAGUGUCCCAAAAGUUAUCAUCUAGAUUAAUAUCUAGCCUAUCUUCUCUGCCAAAUAUCUGUCUAUAAAAUUGUACAGCAAUUUGAAUCAUAUUUGGAGUGUCAUGAACAAUUCCAUGAGGCCCCUCUAAUGAGAGGAUCUUCUUCUUCCUUCUUCUCUGAUUAGCAAUUGCAUGAAAAUAUGCAGUAUUUUUAUCACCUUCUAAGAUGUCUGUUUCUCUAGCCCUUUGUUUGGCUUUAGUCUUUUCAUUUUUCCAGAUCAAGUUAAGUUCAGACUUAACAGUCUUAAACCUAAGUGAAUCAUCAGUGGACAGACUUUGGGACUCAGACAGGAUGUCAAGGAAAUCAUAUUCAGCAAUCAACUUAGCCUUAAGUUUUUUCUGUUCAGCCUCAAUGUUGGCACCCCAUCCUUUCAGAAAUUUUCUCAACAUUCUAAUAUUAACCUGCCAGAUAUCAAUGGCAUUGCUACAGGGGCAGGGAAGUUCCCAAAUUUUGAUGAUAAGAUCAACACAACCCUCAACUCCCAACCACCAUUUUUCGAAUCUAAAGAUUCUUUUAGGUGGAGGGGCAUGAGAACCACAGUCCACCCAGAUGGGAGUGUGGUCACUACCAAUUCAAGGUAAGGCAGCAACUGAAGAAGCAGGGAAAUGAGCCUCCCAACAAGUGGAUAAAAAAAUUCUAUCUAAUGCCGCCAUAACUGGGGCCUCCCGAUUAUUUGACCAGGUGUAACUUCGAUUGGCUGGCUUCAGCUCCAUCAAGGCAGCUGCCUUUAUCCAGUUAUUGAACCUAUCAGCCCAGGUUUGGUGUAUAUUUUCAGACCUUUUAUCUAUUAUCUGUCUAAUCAAGUUAAAGUCACCACCCACUAGAAUGGGCACAGGGCAGUCAGCACAUAAGUUAGUCAGAUCAUCUAUAAAAGACUGCUUUAACUCAUCAUAAGCUGGGCCAUAAACAGCCACAAAUCUCCAAGCAAAAUUAUCAAUUUUAUUUUGAAAAUCACAAGAAACAUAGAAGGAGCUAGUGCUCCACUUUUGUACUGAGAAGGAAGUGCCACUCAAAAUUACCAAAAUUGACUAGAGUCUCCAAAAACAUAGGACUAAAGUCCUGCUUUUUGGUUUCAGACAGUGCAAUGAUAGCAGGAUGAUGAGCUCUUUACUUUUUUCACCUUUGAGGGUUCAUUCAACCCCCUAACAUUCCAGAUAAUGAAUUGCAUCAUCAGAGUUAGUAAAUAAAUUUUUGGCUCUAUAGCUUCUAUCUUUCCUCCUUUUGUAAGAGACAUGUAUAACCUCAUCCUGCUCAAGGUCAUUAUCAUGGUCACUUACAGGGGAAUCAUAGUUGAAGUUAUCAGUUACCAGGUCAUGUUCCUCAUGUUCUAAAAUAUCUUCUAAAGUAACAUCCAGGUCAACAGGCAGGAAGAUAUCAGGGUGGUCCUCAGCCAACUGAGAUAAUCUUGCAUUUUCUAAUUGUUUCAGAUGAUCAAUUGUUUUAUUAACUAAAACAGGUGUGGGCCCUAAACAAACAUUAACAUCAUGUGCUUUAAGAGAUAAAGAAUCAUUGCAAGUAGCAGCAAAAGAGUGUUUAAAAGUAUUACCUUUGUUCAAUGGUACCUCCAGGUUUUUUUGAGCAAUAAUUUCUUGAGCCCUGCGGGGGUGGGGAAAGAUUCUGAGUCAGAGAUCAGAUGAGUUUCAUUGCCAGCAGAGUUAGCUGGAGCAGCAGCAGAGGGGAUCUCAGCAGCAGCAUUGUUGGAAUUUUCUGCAGUAGUGGUUUCAGAAUUCUCAGCCAUAGACCAAGACUUCAGCACUGAAGUCAUUUCCUCAGUGUGUUCUUCAUCAUCAUAUGAAUCAAUCAAGCCAGCAUCAGCUAGGACCUGUAAACUGUUUAAAUUUGCAGCAUUGUUGGUUUUGGGCAGGGAGCUGCUAGAUGGCUGUUCCUUUUCAGCAAGUGUAUCCUUAGAUUUCUUUCCAUCUUUCCUGGAUUUCUCCAAAUCUUGUAUCUCAUCAUCCAUGAUGUUAUCAUCAUCCAUGUCAUCCCCUUCAUUAUCUUUGUCUUUCAGUCCCAUUAUACUGUCAAUGUCUACUCCAUCCCACUCAACAGUGAACUGCAGCAGGUAGAAUUUCUUCCUCAUGACCACCAUUCGGUCAGGUGGGAUUUUUAGAGGGUUUCUUACAGCAAUCUUCACCCUAACUGUUUCAUAAAGAGAUUUAAAAACCUCUGCCCAGUCAAUGUCAAUGAGCAGUCCAAAACUCUUGGAUAUUUGAGCAAUAACACCCGAGGACACCCAUUUUGGAGGAAUGCCUCUAAUCUGCAACCACACCUCUUAAGUUCACCCACAUCAGGCAAAUCUCCAUCCCAAAUAAGGAUUUUAAUUGUCACACUUUCCUGAUCAACUCCCUCUUGUAAAUUGAUAGAUGGUAGUCCCAUCAGAUCUUCAACUUUCUUGUGUGGGGGAAAUCUGACAAGAAAACUCUUCUUCUCUAUCUGUCUGACUUGCCAUUUUCAAGUAUCAUCCCAAGUUGCAGCCAAUUUAACCUGCAGUUCCUGCACUGUAAUGCUACCAUGGGUUAUAGCAAUGAUUAGCUCGGUUCGCGCGCUUCGCUACGCCGUUGACAAACUAAAACAAUCAGGCAACCAUUUUCUCAUACGCAAUCACACAGAAACAAAUUGCUACGUUUUGCAGAUGCUUUUUCAUACGCUUCUAUCUCUACAUAACCGUGCAUAUUUUUACCUUUAUUCCAAACAUAAUAUUCUUUGAAUAUUAAUCAUCAAAAGUGCAAUCAUUGAUGACUCACCAUCAAUUAUAAUUAUUUACAGGAAAAGCAAUCAAUUUGGUAACAUGCCUGCUCUCAUUGAUUUUUUAUGUUGGUCAAAAUAGAAAUUCCAAUGCUUUCCAACUUGACCAAGAUUACAUUAUUCUGGUAUUCUGUACCACUGAAUGUUAUAUGUUCUGAAUCAUCAAAUCGAAAACACAAAACAACCAUAUGAAGCAACAUUUUCCACAUGAAUGUAUAUUUUUCUAAUAAGAUGUAUCAAGAGUACAACGUCCGAAAGAAAUUCAAAAAAAGAUAAAAUCUGGAAGAAGUCAAAACAAAAUGCAUGAACUUCAACUUAAGAAUUCGACAGACAAGUUUUUUAACAGUACGCCAUCCAGAAGAAGUCGAAACAAAAUGUAUAACUUGAACUCACACAUAUAUAGAUAAAACAAACAUCUGAAAAAAUUCAAAACAAAUGCAUGGACUUGAACUCAACGCAUAUAUAAAUAAUACAAAAGGAUAUGCAUUUUGCUAAUAACAUCACAGCACGUUUAUCCAACCAAGAUCUGCUCCGCAUCCAGGUAUAAGCAAACAAGAUUUUCCCUUAACGGGGCCCUUCGGGAAGCAGUAGCCUAUACCAUACCGGCCGCCACCAAUCCUUGCCGCAGCGGCCAUUGAUGUACAGGGUCAGCCCGUUUAUCCCGCAUACCUAUAAGAUUGCCACUUCCAGGUACAUCAGCCACGCACAACUAAAUUCUUAAAAAAAAUUCUACAGGUAACAGCAUGCCCACAAGUCCAAUUAACAACCCACUAGAAUAUACUGCAGAAGUAAUCAACUUGAUAGAAUCGGUGCAAAAUACAAAACUACAUAAAUACAAUUCUUAUUCUUGAACACAUCAUUAUCCAAAAAUUCUCGUCCUAACAUCGAUAACCAAAAGUAUCAACUUUUCAACUUCUCUUGAUUAUUUGUACGCUUGCAAGUCUGUUCAUGCUCCUCUCCUCUCCUUCCGGGAAACGAAACUUCACAAGUCCACAUUGAGCAAUAUGAGAUACCGGUAGACACUCUUGCAUGCAGUAUCUCUAAUUAAUAUGCAUGUAUCUCUAACUAUUAUGCAGUACACUUUAAUAGAAUUAUACAUGAAGUUCAUAUUCAAAGGAUCAUUAGAAGUUCACAAACCUUGUGCUUUCUUGUUGACAGCUACCAGUGUCGUAGCAAUGUUAAGCAGCCCUUCAAUAGCAGCAUACUGGAGAACAUGCAUGGUGGAGAGCAUAUAUAACUCAACAUCUGAAGGUAACAAAUUUAAGAAGAAUAACUAAAACUGAAAAAGAACUCCCGUCAAGAAAUAGAACUGCAGUAGAACUGAAAAUGAAGCAGCUUGUCAUGUUGCAAUUAACAGCAAUGGAGUGGAUUGAUAAGAAACUCCAACUAAGUUUAGAGAGUGCGAUGAGCUGAUAAGGAUGUCACAGUCCCAAUUUUCAUAAAAAAACUGAUUUAACAAGAGCACACGGCGCAUCCUGAAGCGUUGCCGGAUGUCACAGUCCCAAUUUUCAUAAAAAACUGAUUUAACAAGGGCACACGGCGUAUUACACAGAUUAAACUCAUCCUGAAGCGUUGCCAGCACCAAAAAUCCAUCUCUAUAAAGAAAAAAAGAUUCAACACUAAAACUAACAACAUCAGAUUCUACAUCCUCAGGAAAUUAUCAUGAGCAUUUUAAUAGCAUUUUUUUUAUAUUACAAUAAUGCUAGACUCUUAGUUUUAAAUAGCGCGCUAUAGCAUUGCUAGAGGGACGCUAUAGCGUUUGGAGAGGGCUAACCUAAGAAAAACGUUAUUAGCUCCGCUAAUCACGCUAUAGCGUUAUAUUUUGGGAUCGUUAGCGCGCUAAGCUGUCCCUGCGAUAAUUAUUUUUGGGGCUUUUUCACAGGUGUGCCUUAAAUUCCAUCGCAUCUCAAGCAAUGUCUCAGCUCAUUGUAGUUUUUCUAGAUUUUGAAAAAAAGUAUCAGAUUAAAUGUUGCUAUUGUCCCAAUAUAUGCACUGUUGGCAUUAUUAGGGUUAGGUACCAUCAUGCUGGCAUUACAAAUGGUGUUUUAAGUGUCAAGGAGUGUUUCUAAGUGUCAAGGAGUUCCUACUGAUGCGAAGAAGAAGAUAUUUUUGUCAUAUGAUGCCUCAUUUAUUGAUAUUCUUUAUGUUUUUUUAAAAUCCGCUAAAUGUCUUGGCCCCGCUGGCGCCGCUAUAGCACGUGUAGCUUAUCUGUCAGAGAACUGUGUAUUCUGUCUGAAGGAGAAGGGAGAGAUCACACGCACCUACGGCAGAACUACCGCAACCAACAAACGGCAAAAUCCGCCGCCGCAGCAAACGGGCAGCCGACGGAGACCACCACCACAGGCAAAGCAAAACCUCCGCAACCAGUGGACGACAGAACCCGUAGCACCGAUUCACAACGCCGGGGAUGGCCUUCGUUUUGCCUUUUAAAUACGCUGAGAAAGAAGCUCCGAGAAUGCCGGUAACCGCCUUAACAGAGCCAGCACACAGCUGCUCUCGAAGGCUCCAAGCAGCCAGCGCAUCAAGCCAACAGACGUGUCGUCUUGCAUGCAGCCGUCCAAACCGGCAACAAUCCUCCACGCAAUGACGCAAGGAACUAUCUCUGACAAUGGACCAACAACAAACGCAAGCCCACAGUCAGCGGCGUCCAGCGCAUGCACCCUGCUACCUCUUUGACAACAGCCCGUCUAAAUAAAAGGAAGCCAGCCAAGCCUCGGUGGAGCGCUGAGAGGCCGGACAAUCAACCGGAUUUAGGAUUUGGAUGUUAUACCACAGUCGUUGAUGUUAAGCCACCUAGUAGAAGCCUGUGUUCAUCAAUGUUGACAUGGAGAAAACCUAGGCCACCAUUUGCACUGCCCUGUUCCCUGGUUUUGAUGCUACGAUCAAAAGAGCAUUUGGAACAACGUCGGUGCGGUGAGAACAAAAAGAAUCCUCACUCAACACCGACGCGCAGGUAGGUUCAACGUGCCUACUCCCGACAGAGAGUCACCACCGGAAGGCUGGCCUCGUCAUUCCUCCUGAUGGCCCGCCCGCACGGGGUUCCGCGUGCAGCAGUGUUUUGCUUCCGCGGCGCAACCAAACGCAGAAACGACAUGAGACGGCGACGUGCCCCCGCCGCGCCACUGUCGGCGCUAGUUGCCGCCGUGCGUGGCCGGCCGCGUUCGCCCAACGCUAACCCCCGCCGCGGGGUCCUCGACGCAAAAUGGGGAACCCGAUGCGUGGGCUACGCGCGGCACGUGAAUGCGUUUAUGCGUGCCUCUUUCCUGGCUAGCUGGGAGGCUGGCCGGCCGUGGGGGACGUCACGAAUCUCGUAUCGUAUCCCUGCGUCGACGGACGACGGCUCUCCUCGUGGGGCCCGCCCGCGUAGAGAUUGGUUCCCGAUUCGCGAGAAAACGGAUGGCAUUUGCUGUGCUGCUGGAUUAAAUUAACUCCUAAUCUCAGAUAGCAUAUCGGAAGACCGCGUCUGCACUGCGUUGUGAACUGACAUUUGCGUUUGCGCAGGACGCCGGUCAUGCGUGUCUCGGCUUUCUCUGCGACUCUCCGUGUUGUACUUGUCGUAGCGUGCUGGAAUUAAACGCGACGACAAUUCUCUUCACACCGCGACGAAAAAACACAAACUUGAUUCUUUUUUUUCUCUAUAUGUGAAAAUUACAGAUUUGUCUGUCAAAAAAAUUACAUGCUUGAUUUAUUUUAUAAAAAUAGUUUAGAUACACGCAACAUUUCGUCACUCAUAUGAGCGGAGGGAGUACAGAUUUAAUUACGUGGCAAUUCUUUUAGCUUGUCAAAAUCCCCAUUUACAGUCAAGUUACAUUUUGGACAAACAAAAAAUAGACAAUUACAAGUCCUAAAGUACACAUGGAAAUGAACUACAAAAGAAGAUCGUCACGCGUAAGAGCCUUGAACUCAAGUUGCCACGACGACAAGGCUUGCCGUCCACGCGUCUUCCAGAACUCAGUCUCGCCGCCUUUUGCAAAACAUGCCACCGAUGAAGCUUCGCAUAGACUCUCAGCGGAGAGGCCGCAACAUCGGAAGAGAAGAUCCCUCCAAGAAAGAAGGGAGGGGACCGGAGCCAAAACGCUUGUUAUGUUUGGACAAUAGUAUGGACCACAUUCACCAUUGUAAAAGAGAAAGAACAAAACUAACCUUUUGUAUUGCUAAAGGAAAUAAUCUAUGUAUGGAAUGCAGAUUAAUUUUUUAUUAAGCUCCAUCCCCUCCCCAGCGUUGCUAGUUUUAUAUUUUGCGUUUUUUCUGUAAAAAAAAUUGCAUUUACUUAAGAGUAAAAUGCACUCACGAUCACUGAACUUGGUUUCGAUUCUCAAUUUAGUCAUUGUAUUUCGAAAGUUACGGUUUGUAAACUUGACGAAAUAUUUCACAUACAGUCACCGGUACUGUAUUUUGUACGCACAGAUCCGUAGCAUGUGCCAACUCAGAUCGUAUUUUUGCAUUUUGCCUCUGAAAAAUAAUUCAUGAGGACGAGAGGGAACGUAAGUUUCGAUUUUCAAAAUACAGUCACUAAAUUAAGAAUAGAAAUAAAGUUCAGCGACUGUGAAUGCAUUUUACUUAACUCUUUAUUGUCAAUAGCAAGCAGCAAUGCCGCAGUCUGUUUUAUAACAGAGGUGUUUUCCCCGUGCUCCAAUUCCUACCUUGGGCACAGAAACACAAACAAAGUGGCUGCCACAAAAUAGCCCGAACUGAGCAUCGCAUGACGGUGGAGAAAAGAGGGGAGAGGAGAGGAAAGGGGAGGCAAGGAACCGAGAAGCAUCCUCCUCCGCCCGUCUAUAAAUUCUCCUCCUUUCCUCCUCUUUAUAUAGGAGGCAUCAAAGCAAAGAAGAGGGAGAACACCAAGGGCUACCAGCGCCUCUCCGCGAUCCAAAUCCUACCGAGAAAGUUCUUGGUUGAUCUCCUCUUCGACCACCUCCGAGGGUAUGCCCCCCUUUACCCCGUCGAUUCUUGAUCUGUAUGGUUGUCGUUCUGCAGCAGAAUCCUCUUUUAGUCAGAGGAUCUGUACUGAUUGAUCUUGAUUUGCGGUCCUGGUCCAGGGAUUUAGGGUUGAGCCGUGUAGGUGUUCUCGGAUCUUGUUGUUUUUUUAUAUCCCUUGAUAUGUGUUCGUACAUACAAUCGUCCAGGAAAUUCUAGGAGAAUGGUUAUUGCCUGUAAUCUAAAAAAAUAAGGAGGUUUGGUCAUGUUUUCUCUCUUCCGUAGUAACAUCCAACGGUGAUAAAAAUUUUACUAUUUUGGUCAGCAGAAUUAAGAGCCGAUAUGUAGUCAUUCCUUUUUUAAGAAUUCUACCUUAUUUCUGUAUUUUCCUAUUGUCAGUAGUAUUUGCUAAACAAUAAAUUAUAUGCGGAAAGAUCCAACCCUGAUGCUACUUAUUGUGUGAACCUAAGUUGAGAUCAUCGCAUAAAAAACACUAAUUUAAUAAUAUGAGCUUCAUAUAGGUCUUUUCAUUUUGUAGAAAAAGAAAGUUAUUUUCUUGUUAUUUUUUGCAAGGAAAUAAAUUUGCCAAUACUAGCGGUGCAAGUGAUUGUAUAUAUCAAGAUAACAUUGGUUAUUGUUAGUGUCGUAUGUUGUCAUCUUGGCUAUGAUUUUUGGGCCUUAAUUCUGGAUUUCUGGUAUUGUUGCCUCUCGGUUUGAUUAUUUAAUCUUUGUUAAUCUUGACUCUACAAUAAUAAGUACUCCGUACGUCUUAUCAUUUCAUAGAGAAGGGGAAUUUUUGUAAUAUGUAUAUGUUAAUAUAACACUGAUCAUUGUUUGUGUCGUAAGUAUGUUGUCAUCAGUUUGGGUGUGAUCGGACUAUUCUGGUAGAGGUAUCUCUCCAUUUGACGGGUUAAUCUUCACAAUAAGUACUAUGGUUGAGGCAAAAUAUUUACUCAGUAGUCACCAUUCAUGGGAUGGAGUAGAAGUCAUGGAUCUUGGCCCCAUGUUCACUUUAUUCUUACAAUCAUGUGAAUCUUGCUAGAUUUGCAUUGCUUCUUGGUUUCCCCUAAUUUUCCAGCACUUCAUACUGUUGACAACAUCUUAUUCCUGCAACCAACAACCUUUCUUUAAUCCUAGGAAUAUGCUGCAUUAAUCCUAAAAGGUGGUUACUUCGUUAAUUAAUUGAAACGAAUAGGUUGCUAGAAAACAAUUAUGUAGUAUAUAGGCGGUGCAUAAUUUAGAUGAUGGGAAUGACCAUGAAGGUUUCGAGUUGGCCAUGUAUAUGGUAUAGUUGUAUUUUCUACACAUUUCUGUAUUUCCUCUGACAAUACAUGGAACGAAGGUGUGAGUGCCUGAGUGGACUAGUGAAACCAUAUUACAUUUACCAAUUGUGUUGAUGUGUUUCUCCUUAGCAUGCACCUUUUGCUCAUUUGGUUGUUCUGUACUUAACAAGGUUCUCUAUAUCUGUACAAUCUGAUGAUUCAUUUCCUUCUAUGACUGCUUGAUUAUUGAAACGGGAACUUAUAAAGCUGCAUUUCACCUCUGUAUACUGCACGUUUUAAUGAUUCACUUCUUGCUUUGUACAGUUCUUGGUGUAGCUUUUGCCACUCUCACCAGGAGUUUUCAUGUCUGAUCUUGACAUUCAGAUCCCAACUGCCUUCGGUAUGCCUGUAGUUUUUAUUUGUUCUUCUCAUUGAAAUUACUUGCAGUGCGUGGAAUAUGUGUAACUGAUUUGUUUUGCUGCUACGCACAGAUCCCUUUGCUGAGGCGAAUGCUGGGGAAGCCGGUGCAGCCGCAGGAUCAAAGGACUACGUUCAUGUACGCAUCCAGCAGCGUAAUGGCCGCAAGAGUCUGACCACAGUACAGGGUUUGAAGAAGGAAUUCAGCUACAGUAAGAUCCUCAAAGAUCUUAAGAAAGAGUUUUGCUGCAAUGGUACUGUUGUCCAGGACCCAGAGCUUGGACAGGUGUGUUGAAACGACCAAACUUGUGUUCUCUGAUCAUAUCAUUUGUUUGCAUAAUUUUUAAAGCUAGUUAUCUUGAUUAAUGCUGUAUGUUUUCCUUCCUUUAGGUCAUUCAACUUCAGGGUGAUCAGAGGAAGAACGUCUCCAAUUUCCUUGUCCAGGUAAAGCUUCAUGUUUUCGCAGGUCACGCUCAGUUACAUCGCUGUUCGGAAACAUGGAUGUAGAUGUCUUAACUUUGGCUUCCUCUGUUUCCCUCAGGCCGGCAUUGUGAAAAAGGAACACAUCAAGAUUCAUGGUUUCUGAGCAACUGCCAGCUCCAUAUCAUCAAAAAUCUGCAUGCAAACGCAGCUAUAUAUCUGGGGUGGAGUAUAUUUCUGCUGUGUGCUAGCACUAGCAGGCGUUUGCGCUUGCACGUUCCAGUCUAGGACACAAACCUAGCAUAGCCCACCUCUCUGCGUGUAUGCUUGCUACCGUUGUGAAGCUUGUAAAAGGAACCAUCGUGAGAUGGAUCGUUUCUCUCUCUCGUCAAGGUUGAAUAAUAAUAGAUGCUUUUUAAAGCGGGAUAUCUUUUCGUAUCAUCCAUUUUUGCGACGUUCAUUGUUGUGCUUCGAUUCGGUUUUGGCAUGACUUGUUAUGUUUCCUGAGCGGCCCCAAUGCCGAUGUUGGGUUGCUCAGUACAAGUCACUGCUAGUGAUCUCCUAGGCAGGAUUAAAAUAAUGAUCAAAUUUCUUGUUCGCCGUAUCACUUCGCAGUUUAGGAGGCCAAGCUCGGUUUGCUGCCACCUAGUAGCCUCUUUGUGACUAAAAAACAUUGCCUUCGUGACAUGCGCUAAUUAUUGGAGGUCCAGUUGCCCUAACAAUGUUUUUUUCAGAUAGCAGCCAUUGAAUAUACAGUAGCCCCGUUAUGGCAAUUUAUGCUUGCCGCAGAAACAAGCUUAACUCGAAACUGUGAAUACAGUACUACAGUACUACUCCACUGUUAUUGGGUACGGUUUUGCUUUAUUGGUAGCCAACUGAUAUUUAUACUUCGAACUGUGUUGGUACAGUUUCAGAAGUAUCAAUUUCCUGUUAGGCACAGUACAUGAAGAUUUGCGGCACUGAAUUAAUUAUCACUGAUCUUCUCACCAAGUGGUCAGAAGUAGUGUUCUUGUUGUUAUCGUCCUGCUAGCAGGCGCAAAGCGUUGCCGCCGUCCACUGAACAUGGCUGCACGUGUUUCUUGCCCCGAUACACGGCGAGAUCGAUUAGGUUAAGACGCAACGCACCCACGUAAUGUAGCCGUUAAGUUUAUCAGCAGAUUUUGUUAAUCCGAUGGAACAUCUCAAUGUACGGUCUGAUGACCGCCGAAUUUUUUGCACCAUUGGCCCCACCAACGGAAAUUCCAGAAAUGAUCCCUCCCAAACGAAAUGCCAAAAAUGAUCUGACGAAAAGCACAGAAGUCACCACGUCACACAUUGUGCCAAUGGUAUUAGUGGAAAGUGUUUAAAUCCAAUUGCAUUGAAGGAAGGGUCUUAAGUCCAAUUGCAUCGGCGGAAGGCAUUUGCAUGGGCACUUAAGGGCAAACGGGUCUGCACGAUAUUUCUACUUUUCAUUUUCUUCUUAUACUUAUUUGUUCUAAUAUUUGUAAAUUUAUUUGAAUAUCCAAAUGAACUCCCAUCUUUAUGAAAUUUUGAAGGUAAGUUUAGAAUGGUGUUACCCACAUGUAGUAAAAUUUUCGAUUAUUUUGGAGCAAUUUUGAAUUAAACAAGAUUUGAACUCAAAUAAAUCCCAGAAUUUCAAAAUUUUAUAAAUAUCGGAGUUAGUUUGGAUCUUCAAAUAAAUUUUAAAAAUAUCAGAACGAGUAAGUAUAAGAAGAAAACGAAAAAGAAAAUCAAUCGGGUGGGCACGGCUGCCCUAAAGUGCUAUGCAUAGGCCUUCCGCCAAUGCAAUUGGAUCUAAGGCCCUUCCUCCAUCACAAUUGGAGUUAAGCACUUUUCUCGAAGUGCUACGUGGCAUCUUCCGACCCUCCUGUCAGGCCAUUUUGAUAUUUCAUUGGCCAGGGGACCAAUUGAGCUUUCUAUCCAUGACCGCGAGAGUUGUCUGCGGACCUACGCACGCUGAAUUGUCAAGCUUUUAACCGAACAUCCAUGGUAGAAAAAACGGAACCGUCUAUUAACAAAAAAAAUAGUACGGUAUACUAACUUUUUAUUUAGUCAUCAUUUUAUUGUCCGUUAAACCUCCAUCCAAGUUUUCACAUACUAGUAAAUGUGAAAACGGUAAUUUCAUUCCAAGAACACCGCGAAUGCCGACCUUCACCGUCUUGUCCUGCAAUCGAUCGAAUCAAUCUGCACCGCCCGAUUCUGUCUGCCCUCCGCUGCCACUUUUUUGCCGUUGAAAUGUAGCCGCGUCCUUUCUGGGUUGUCCUCUCAUUUACUCCUUUGCCGAUCAGUUUCACGUGCAGAUGCUCGCUAGCUAAUAGCCUUUCACUUUAUCUCUUUUAUUUUCUGAGGAUGAUGAGAUACUCGUGUUCGCCAAAUUUCCCCGGCAGAACCGCUGCGCCAACGAAAGAAGCAUCUCCACACGUCGUCGGUUUUCCAGGAAGCGCCGGCCAGGCCAGGCCAUCCAGAUCUGUGGCAGGAGCCAUUAUUUUUCCCUGACAAGCGUGUCUAACGAGAUGAGAUCUCGACGUGCGUUUCGUUUCGCCCAUGCCCCCCCGCUUCUGCCUGACAUGCCAGCAUGUCUGUUCUCGUUUCUCAGAAUUUUUGUCUGAACUAUUUCGCACAAUGUCAAUCCGUAUACGCAGCCAAAAUAUAUAUUUUUUGCUUGCUACCCAUGCUCGUGUAUACGAACUCUAGUGUUCGCGAAACAAAUCGCCCAUCCUGCCAUCCACCCCACACUCCCACAGUGUUCUGGAACGCAAAUUUCAGAAAUAAUAAUCCACCCACCAAUCAAAUCUCUGAUAGUUACACCGCUAGACAGACCCCCAAAAAAAGAAUACGGAAGGGGACGGACGAUCCUGGCCGCACAUCACCCUGGGAGGACCCGACGCACGAAUCACGAGGCGGUCGUCCUGAGCGCGCACUCCUCAGGCACGGUGGGGAACCUCUUGCGGUCGUCGCAGUAAUCGUAGAUGACGAGGUUCCUGGCCACCCAGCCGGAGUCCUGCCGCUGGCCGUCGUCGAGCGCCCACGCCGGCGGCUGGUCCCACCAGCUGUCGCCGGUCUUGGCCGCGCACGCCGGCGUCGCCGCCCCCGCCGCCGCGCCCCAGGCGCAGGCGUCGGCGGUGAAGUCGCUGUAGGAGGAGACGAAUGGGCCCUUGGUCCAGUCCGUCUUCUCCAGGCCGCCACGCGUGGCCCAGUCGUCGGCGUUCCAGAUGCUGGAGAAGACGUACAUGGGCUUGGCGAUCGGGAAGAACUUGUUGUUGGGCUUGUCCGAGUUCCGGUACUCCCUGAUCGGCACCUUAUCCACGAAAAAUCUGCCAACCCCCAAAUAAAGAACUUUUUUGUCAGGACUAAUCAGGAUUACUUUACUCUUGCGGCAAUGAAUGCAGUGGCAACUUGGCAAGCGCAAACGAAUCUCGAUCCCAGUGUACUGUACAGAAGCGCUAGUCUAGUCAGCGAACCCAUGUGCGUGCGGGCGCGACCACCACUGUUGCCGCAGUUUGGAGUACAAGAUCGAGCCGAAAGAAAGCCUCUUGGUUGGUACAUAUCCGAGAGGGGAGAAAAGAUUCGAGCAAAGGCGGUACACCGAAGAACAGUGCACGGCGACACGACUUGUUUGGUCCAAACAAGGCGGUGUACCCAACACGUACUACAACGAAGCCGAGUUUGGCAUACUGUCUGCGGGUGGGCCUAGUGGGUAUCUAUCGGAGCGACCCAAUUCAGGGAUGGGUGGGUGGAUCCAUUCAAUUCGACUCGUCCCCCAAGAUGACGCUGGUGCAAUGGCAAUCAGAAGCAGCUUAAUCGGAAGGAAGGAAUUAAUGGUGAAAGUGUGCGGGCUUACAGGAUCUGCUUGGGGUUCCAGAGGAUGGAGUAUGUGUGGAACUCGGCGGUGGGGUCGAACCAGAGCGAGUGGCGCAUCUCCCGGCCGCCGACGCCGCCCUGGUACACGUUGGUCUGGAUGAUGUAGGGCUCCCCCGUGCGGUUGCCCAGGAACUCGAAGUCCAGCUCGUCACGCUCCGGCGCCGCGUCCAGGUCCGAGCACAUCUGAUGAUGAAUUAAGAGUACCCAAUCAGUUAACCAACGCCUCAGUUUUUGUUUAAGCAAAAAAAAUCCAUGGAGUUCAGCUUCAGCACGUACGUAGUAGGCGGUGACAACGCCGGCGGAGUCGUUGCCGACGAGCUUGAGCUUCAUGCUGAACCACCCGAACAAGUACUUCUGCUUCGUCUGGAACCCGACGCCUGAGGAAAGAAAGGAAGAAAGAGACCAAAGAAUGGAAUUAACAGCUGAAAUGAGAGUUAAACAGGACUACACAUUUGCAAUGUUGUUCCCUAAUGCAGGCUCAAGGAGUUGAAGCUUGGUUUGGUUGUACUACUGGAGAACAACAGUGAUGUGACUCUUGCCUGUCUUGUUGUCGAGAGAGAGGUACCACGUCUGCCCGUCGGCGGAGGUCUUGACGUGGUCCUCGGCGCCGGUGAUCUCGAAGUUGUCCCCGAACGACGGGGCCGCCACCGCGUAGGCGCCCUGCAAGCAGCAAGAAACGGCAAUGGCGGCGCACGCCAGGAGAGCGCCGACGCACGGGCGGCGCUUCCACGAGCCCAUCGUCGACAAACCCAGAGAGAAAAAAAGGAUUGUGUCGAUGAGAAGAGGAGAAGGGGCAACGGCAAUGGCGACGGCAAAGCCACACACAAACGGGCAGAGGAGCGGAGCGGACGAGUGUGUGCUUAGCUUUGGUCUCGGGCAAAGCACAAAACAAGACGGACCACCGCGUAACAGCUUUUAUAAACUAGAGAGCGCUUUGACAGGAGUUGUUUAAGCAGCUGCCGUUCUAAAGUGACGCCGGUGCCUCAACAAGCGUGUAGCCGAGCUGGACUGGAAGAGAAGACAGGAUUGUUGCCCUCUGGUUGCGUCCGUAGGGUGAAAUCGCACCGUUGCGCGCGGCUCACUCACCUUUCUCGAGAGCCUCUACUACACUCCUCUUUGACUUUAUUUUAUCUUAUCACCGGCGGCUUUUUUUCAUUUCAAACAGGAUGCUAAGGCGUAUACAUACACUACUGCUGCGGCGUUAAGGCGCAUACAUACAGAUACAGGGCACUCGCUGCCACGCACGGGCUUGAGAUCUGGUUUCUGGCAUCUUUUCGAGAGAGAUGAUGGCCUCCUCUGGUAUCGUCAGUGUAUCCGUCUGCUGCUCGUGGCUGUCACAUGCAUGAGCUUAUCAUGCUCGUUCCGGGAGAGUGGAUUGAUUGUCAUCUGACUAGGAGACCUUGACCCAAGGCAAGGCAGCGUGACUGCCGAGAGCGAAACAGAGUAAAGGCAGGGCACCAGCCAACCAACCUACUCUGUUCUCUACUCUGCAUUUCCCGCUAGGCUUGCCAAAGGUUGUUUGCUCUGUUUCCGAGCGACGAUGGGGCCAUGAAAACCGGACAAGAGAUUUGCACUAGUAGUCCAGGAGGUUUAAAUGCUAGGCCAGUAUGUGUGUGUGUGUGUGUGGCUCGUGGAUGUCAAGGUAAUCAGACGACCGACAGGAUUACAGUGUAGAAAGCAGAGUUGCCGUCUGAUCCAUCGAUGUUUUGAUCCCAAGCAUGUGUGGCUCGUGUAGCACUGAAACCUACUUCUCGUGGAGGUACGAACACUGUCGUUGAAUAGUCGUAUAAAGGUUGAGCACGAAUCUUAUUGAGAUGUGACGAGCGGCGUCAAGCAAUAGAAAACAGGGUCUUGUAGGGCAUGUCGUGAGAGACGGGGUCUUGUAGGGCAGUAGUACUACUAGCUGCGCUAGCUUGGCCGCGUCCAAAACAAACGGGAAGAGGGGCUAGCUAAACCCCGGGUUUCCAGGUUCCUGUCCAUGAUAAGAGUCCGCGAAUAUUGGCUGAUGCUGGCGUUAAUUGUAAGCCAGAACCGCUCCUGGUCGUAGUAGCUGGCAUUUAGCGUUAACAUCUGACACGGGUUUGUGAUCGUGCGCUUGCAGAGAAACGCUGCGGGCCUAUGCAACGGAAAACACUCCUGUGGUGUGUGGAUGCACUCCUGGAAUAAUUUUUUAGCUAGGAAGAGCUGCAUGACUCAAUGAUUAGUCCAUGGAAUAAUUUGACUAGAAGUGUGCAUUGGAUCUGGUCGGUACAGGUUUACUCUUUGUCAUCAGAAGUGAAACGGUGACUUAUCUCAAACCGUGAUCUGAUGAAAAAAAUAAUGAUUUAUGCUCCUUGAAAGUACUAAUCCUGAGUACAAAUCAGGCAUAUUAAAUUCAAGCCAAAUGCUUUAUGAGUUUAGCUCGUGAAAAGGCAACCAGGCAUACGAGCAUAGCUCACACGGUCACACCAGGGUUUUUUUUUCCGGUUUUGCCAUUGAUAAGUUGCCCUUUUUAGUUAGAGAUCAUAUGUUAGUCAUCGGAUCUGAAUACAAUGAUAGUAAAUGAGAGAACGUGGAUGAUCCUCAGAUCAACCCCUAAGACAUAUUUGCAUUCGGUCCCUUCUCCUUUUCUCUUCUUGCACAAAUUGGUCCCUCUUCUCUUCACAUGAGCCAUUGUUUCUUGUUUCCUUUACGCUCAGGUCCUCCAGAAUAUUUCUUCAUCUGCAGCUUAUCCAAAUUAGAAGAAUUUGUGCCUUAAUGCACUGUUCUGCAAGACAUAUUAAUCAUGGUAUUAAUUUGCUCAUUUGGUCGAAUAUUCUACAUAUAGCAUUCGGUUUUGAGGCAAAAUCAACUCUAAAUGAUGCUAAAUGUCAAUUAAGUGAGACAAAAUUGAUGCAAACGUGACCCUGAUCAACCAUAGCCAUCCGAUUAAGAUUUUCCUAUCAUUUGUGCUUGUACGAAUCUUGCACGAGUCUCAGUGAUUGGAUUGGAUGAUUGUUAGCAUCGACUUAGAAAUAAUAAUUUUCUCGUCACCUUAGAAAUAGCAAAAUCUUUUUUAAGGGUGUGGCUAUAAUCUAAGUUGCCUGAUUUUAAGCACAACUCUUAAAUCUAAGUUGACAAAUCAGAAUCAUUGGAUUAGUAUCUAGAUCUCAUUUUACUCUUCGUUUUUCAUCACCUGUCUUGAUUCUUAAAGCACAAAUCAUAUUCAACAGUUGAGGAAUCAACUUAUAUCUAUCUAAAUCAAACAACCUAGAUAUAGUAAAACCGUUUUUUAUAUCUCAUUCAACUUCCUCAAAUAUAAUUAGAACAGCACUUUACUAAAUUCAAGCCAAAUGCUUUACCUUUGUUUCUAGCUUAAGCAGUUGUAAUCUAUUGCACAGCUGUUAGAUGAGAUGCUUUUUUUCUGUGGGGGAGAAUUAAAGAGAUGCUUUAGCUCAGUAGUAGUAUUUAUUUCCUGAAUGAUUAAUGGGAUACUUUGGCUGUCUUUAGGUCUUUAAACGACAAUGUUGAUAAGGUAGAUCGAAGGAAUAAAGGAUGAUUUCCUUUACUGCUGCGUUCUGUGAAACGUUUGCCCAGGAAAGAUCAAGAGAGACGAGAUGGAUCCCUAAAAAAAAGGAGAGACGAGAUGGAAAAGUUUCAGCGGGACAAAGAAACGAGAAGGUUCCUUGAGAACGUGUGAAACAAAGCUUACACAUUGCCACACGGGCUCAGAGUCAAUCUAUUUUGGGCUAACUUGUUUCUAAAGAGGAGCCCGUUUGUAAGUACGUUCGUUUCUCAUUCGAGGUUUCCCGUUCCAUUUUCGGCCUACCGGGCGACCGUAUACGAGCCCAGGACGUUACAGGCCGAACUUCGUCUCAUAUAUUUAUCACGGGCCCUCUUCUGGAUUGGUCUUCCGUCGGUACAUCUACUUUUGUACCGUAGUGGCCGGAGAUUUUCGGUUUCCCUCGCCUCCGGCCGCCCCAUUGGCGCUGCGAGGUGGGGGAAUUUCGGUUUCUUCUAAGAUUAUUUAGAAGUUUUGCUUAUAUCGAUUGUUUGGUUUUGAUCGGCAACGACAUGGCGGAAGGUGCGAUGCGGAAUAAAGGUACCAUGUUUCUUACUCUGUUGUGGUGGUGUCUCAACGGACGUUGCUGUGGAACAAGAGAUUUUUAAUCCCCAUGGAUUUAGUGUAUCCGAUCUUGUGGAUCUUGGGUUUGUGUACUCGCAGAUCCGUUUACAUGUAUCUGUUGAGUUUUUGUUAGUGUGUCAUGGUGCUUUUGUUGGUUUAUGUUUUGUAAUUUUGGAAUACUUUUCAACGCUCAUGGCUUCUCGUCUUUUUGGAUUAGCGACUCAAGGGGCUUUUCGAAACCUUUGAAGGUAGUCAAGUUCGUGCAAGGAUAAUAGUAAUGAUGUGGCUGCUACAGUUCGAUUGCAGUCUUUAUGUUGAAGCCUCAGUAGAAUUUCAUGUUGUAAAAUAUGAGAUCACAGAGAAGAUUUCUUUAAGAAAUUUCAGUUCUUAAUUAUAAAAGUUACCUUAGAGUUUCUAGAGUCUAUGAUCCAAAGCAUUGUACUUGUAAUGAUUCUCUUGUUUGAAUAAAGUUACGGGUUAUUCUAAAAGAAAUCUAUCUUUUGUACCGUGCUUUUAAUAGGGAUGGCACCCGCAACGUAUGGGUACGGGUUGAACCUUCUCAUACCCUUACUCGUCCUCUUUGAGCUUACCCGUUACCCGUACCCAUACCCGACAACGGGUAUAACUUUUUCCCAUACCCGUCACCCGUCUACCCCCGCGGGUAAAAAUACCCUUAAUAAAAUUUGAUCAAUAAGAACAUGUUCCUUAGAAACAUCAUCAUAUUUCUCAAAACCACAACAAUUUUGUGAUCAACAAUACUAUAUCAACACACUAUAAAUAACAAAAACACAUAAAAAGAUAAUAUAUCUUUAAAACGGUAAAUGGCACAUCGCACAUGUAUGACAGUUUAUUAUACGGGUGAACGGGUACAAGGGUAUGGGUUAUGCAUUCCCAUACCCGUACCCGUUCUACCCGAUGGGAAUGAAGUAUUUCCCAUUUGCGUACCCACGUGUUAAAAUUCUGUCCCAAACCCGUACCCUAAUGGGGAUUUACUUGCCGGAUACGCGGGUAAUGGGUACCCAUUGCCAUCCCUGACUUUUAAUAGCUGGCAGUGGCUCUGGCCGGCGGUGGAGAGGAGGUUACAUUUUCUUUUCGAAAUGGAGGAGUUUAUAUGGAAUAAAAGUGUUUAGGGUUCAUCUCUGUUGUAGUGUAGCCUUUCUCUACUGCGUGGAGUCAAUGUUUCUUCCCUUUUUUGCACAAAGAAAAUAAUUCUUAAAGUUCACGCCUUCAUUUUUUGGGUCUCGUUUCUGAUCAGUUCGGUAAUCAAAUAGCGGUUGGGCAACCUGUCUGGUAAAAAUGUGACCCUGCCUACUGUGGGUCCAUCUAUCUUAUAUUAUUUAUGGUUUGUGACCCAUGGCUCAUGCAACUCUCGAAAAUUAGGAGAGUAGUGCAGUUCGUGUCUGUAGUUUCGAAAUUAACAGUAUCUUCCAGCUCGAGCAGAACAAGGGACUACUGCUGUAUCGUUGGUGAGGUUAAUUUACGCUCUUACAUCUCUUAAUAUUAAUAUUGUAUUUCCUCCGUUCCAAAUUAAUCGGCGUCAUUUUUUUUCUUCAAAAAAUCCCCUGUAAAUUUCCGAAAUAAACUUGCAGAAUUUUUGCGAAAAACCUCCUGUAAAUUUUCGAAAUUAACGCGCAGUCCACGUUUAAAUGAAGAUGUGGACUGCAGGUUUAUUUUGAAAAUUUAUAGGGAUUUCUUUGCAAAAAGGCCGGCGACAAUUAAUUAGUCACAGAGGGAGUAGAAGGAAUUUUGGGACACUCGUCCUGAACUAUGUUUCUACGUGGAUGAUCAAACUCAAGACAUUGCGCAAUUAUCCAAGAGGAAAAAUGACAUUCUUGUAGCUGACUUCACGCAGAAGAAGGUGCAUGCUGCUAUUUUUCAAACUAAACAUAUCUUGGCUCCAAUACCAGACGGGUUAUAAAACACGAUCCGAUAGAAAUGUUUGUUCAGCCUCGACAAGCGAGCUGCCUUUGUUUAAGUCGAAUUUUAGAGUCAUCGCCCUUAUCCCUAAAAAAAGUACGGUUCGGAUACAACAAUAUAAACCCAUUUGUCUACUUAAUGCUAGUCUUGAAAUCUUCAUGAAGAUAGGUAUUAAUCGUCAGGGGCGGGCACCGGAUUUUAAGACAUGGUAUUCAAAACUCCAAAGUUUACAAAAUUUAUUGUUUAGAUAGCCUAAAGCCUUGGUUUCUGAAUGGGAACAAAUGGUAUUCCGAUAGGUUCACUUCAUAAUUGAGCGAUUGGGCCGGCAGAGGAGCAACCAGGAAGUGGGUUUAGCUGUUUUCUGAAUUGAAUUCGUUGACUACCAUGACAUUGUUACUUCUCUUCAUAUAUUGUUUUACAUAUACAUACUCGAUAAAAUAUAUACUUGGUUUUUUUACAAGAAUAAUUGUGAUCGUUCAUCAUGUGAUCCGACUUACCCAAACGGCUUUCAUGCCUGAACGGCAUAUCUUAGAAAGGGUAGUUGUCCUUCAUCUCCAUAGAAUUCACGGGGAGCAAAAAUUGAACACGGUUUUUCAGAUAUUAUAUUGUUUGUUCACUUGAACCACCAAAUAUCAAAAUUGAGAUUGUUGGUUAAUACUACCACAUCUCUUUCAGUUUACUAGGCCUAUCUUCAAAAUCACCGUUUUUUUUCAGAUAACUUAGAGGGGAUACCAUGAACCACCAAAUAUCAAAAUUGCUUAGGCCUUGUUCGUUUGCAGAAAUUCCUGCAGGGAUUGAGAGGGAAUCUGGGGAAAUUGAACUGAAUUUCCACUUUUCCCAGGGCAGAAACGAACUGGCCCUUAGUUGAAAUUCAGGGGGAAAAAAUAGAACACAGGUUUUUCAGAUAUUGUUCAAAAAGCCUUAUAAACUGGAAGGGAGGAGCAACAAUUAGUCUCCGCAAGAAAUAGCCCAAACAUUCAGAGUAGUAACGGAGUAAAUAAGCGCACCAGCACCAUGAAACAACUAAAUAACCUUUUUAUUCGCUCCUCUAGUCCCAGAAGGAUCCAUGGAGUUUCACGAGGCCGAUCACACGGCGGCAGCGCUAUGAACAAGACGCUAACAUCACGAAGCUAGAGACAAACAGGGGAGUUAAAACAAGUCGACAAAGCACACAGAAAGUCCUCGUCUCGAAGCCUCCUCUGUUUCAUUCAACCAUCUUAUUGAUUGUCACCCACCCCCUAAAGGGCGUCGCCUCAGGCCGUUUGUUCAGGCGUCCACGACGUCGCCGUUGUUCGCCGAGGCCAGCACCAUCUCCGGGUGCAGCGCCGGGGUCGCGUUCUUGAGCGUCCCGUCGAUGCCGUUCGGCCGGCCGAGCGCCUUCAGAGCCAGGUGCGCCGCCUUCUGGCCGGAGAUCAUCAUCGCGCCGAACGUCGGGCCCUGCAACCAAAACAAAUCCUCAGUCCAAGAACUGAACCGGAUUCCAUUGAUCUGUACUCCGUAUUUUUUAUUUCUAUUUUUGCGAAAACUUUAGUAAUCAUUUCUCACCAUUCUCGGGGCGCCGUCGAUCUCGGCGACCUCCAUGCCGGUGACGAUCAUGCCGGGGACGACCUCGCGGGUGAGGCGCACGAUGGCGUCCUCGGCCAUGUUCAUGUCAAGCGCCUUCAUCCCGGGCACCGUGUCGAUCAUCCCGAUGUCCUGGAGCCUCUUGACUCCCGUGGCGCCGAAGGGCCCGUCGUGGCCGCAGGAGCUCACCACCACCUUGGCCUCCAUGACGUUGGGGUCCAUGCAGGACUGUGUGUCGUGGUUCAUCGACACGAGCGCCCAGUUGGUGACGACGCCGGCGACGCGGUCCUCCUUCACGAUCAGGUCCUCCACGGCCACGGCGUUGAAGAGCUUCACGUUGGGGCGGGCCAGGAGGCGGCUCAUCACCGUGGAGGUGAAGAGCGCGGCGUGCUUGAUGACGACGUAGUCCUCCUGCUCGUCGUACUCGAUGUUGAGCUCGUCGAGGAACAGGUGCGCCGGCUUGCGCACGACCAUGGCGGAGAAGAGCUGGCCCCCGAGCCAGGCGCCGCCCCCCGGGGACACGGACUGCUCGAUGAUGGCGAUGCUGAUGGACGGGUCUUUGGAGAGCUCGUAGGCGCAGGACAGCCCCGCGGAGCCGGCCCCCACGAUGACGACGUCCGUGUCGGCGUAGGUGAUCAUGUCGGUCAUGUACCGGCGGGUCAUCUCGCGGGAGACGAUGGAUUCCUUGAUGGGGCUGAACUUGAAGGCGUUGAGGUCGUAGGGAGGGGUGGAGGCGGAGAUGGAGUUGCAGAUGGCGCCGGCGCGCGGGGUGGCGACGCUGGACGGGGUGCGCGCGGCGGCCGCCGGGAGGCGAGCGCCGGCGAAGGAGGUCUUGAGGAGGCUGGAGGCGGAGGUGGCCAUGGCUGCCAUGGUGAGGUGGAUCUGGUUCCGUGCGAAGUUUCUUGGGUUUCUGGAGAUGGGUGGAUGGGGAUAAGGGGCGGUGGCAGGGUAUAAGAAGAGGAGAGGAGCAGGCAAAUAUCCGGUGGUUGUGUGUACGUGCGAUCAGAUCCGAAGGUGUCGGCCUUUGGACUCAUCGGGGAUAUUUUGUGUGGUCUCUUGGCAUGAGUUACUGUGCUUAUUAAUGACCAUCAGCUCAUACAGUAGUGUUAUGUUAUGAAACACCA